AAACUAGCUGGGCAGAAUAAAUCCAAACAAAGGUUUCUGGCAUACAUAAGUAACUUGUCUUGGCAAAACUUAGUUUAAACAAAAUUAACAUAGAAGCAUUACACAAAAACUUUUGUCCAUUAAAAGGUAAGGUAGGUAACCGAGCGUUGCAUAGCCCUCGCUUAUCACAGGGAUAGAAAACUAGCUAGGACCAAAAUGAUGUGCCGUUUCAUGGUCUGCUUGCUCUAUUGAGACUUUAGACCUCAACCAAAGCCGGUGGGCGCAGCUCAUCCUCCUCCUUCAGGGGGUGGAUGGUGACGAGGUCAGGCAGCGGGGUGGUAGGGCCAAGCUUGCCCUUGGGGUCCCAGUCAAGCAUAAUCUUCACCUUGAUACCAAGAACGCCCUACAAAACCAAGCCAAUGUUGAAUCAUAUGUAGUUCCAUGAGCAACAAACCGGGAAAAACAAGGUUAAGUAAGCAGCACAACAAACAAACAUGUCUGAGAAGAACGUGCCUAACUGUAGCAUCAAUGUACUCGUUGACGGGCUGACCAGAUGAGAUCAUGUACCCGUCCUUGAACUUCAUCGACUUGGCUCUCUGGGCCCUGAGCUUGCCGCUCACAAUGACCUAGUGCAAAAUCAAGAGAGUAGUCAACAACUAAACAUAGGAAGUGUAAAAUAAGAAUGUCAGAUCACAUGUGCAGAGAGUAGUCAGCAACUAAACAUAGACGUGGGCUUGCUGAGGCACAUGUGAUCUCCAAGAGACCGUUGUAUUGAGAUACAAAGAGAGAAAAAGCCAUCUAGUUACUACCUACGGACCCGUAGGUCUGAGUUGAACUACUCAUGCAUGAUUGGAGAGGCACAAAUGAGGAUGAUGAACCCCUUCAUGAUCGUGUUCCCCUCCGGCAGAGUGCUGGAAUAGGGUUCUAGAUUGGAUCUCAUGGUUCUGAAACUUGCGGCGGCUGGAAUGAAAUUUCGUCGACUCCCCUAGGGUUUCUGGAGCUGGGAGGUAUUUAUAGAGCGAAGAAGCGGUGCAGGAGGCCACCGAGGUGGGCACAACCCACCUGGGUGCGCCUGAGGGCCCAGGCGCGCCCUGGUGGGUUGUGCCCCCCUUGGGGCACCCCCCAGGUGCUUCUCUGGCCCAUCUGGUGUCUUCUGGUCCAAAAAAAUCCAUAAAAAGUUUCGUUGCAUUUGGACUCCAUUUGAUAUUGAUUUUCUGCAAUGUAAAAAACAAGCAGAAAACAACAACUGACACUUGGCACUAUGUCAAUAGGUUAGUCCCAAAAAAUAAUAUAAAAUGAUUGUAAAACAUUCAAGAAUGAUAAUAUAACAGCAUGAAACAAUCAAAAAUUAUAGAUACGUUGGAGACAUAUCAACGUCCAUUUGCCAAAUUUCAUAAUCAUAAAAUGCAGCAAUUGCUAACAUGAUUCAGACAGACUUAAGCAUCGCUACGAGUGAGAAAGUCUCAUCGUAGUCAACCCCUUGAACUUGUCGAAAACCUUUCACGACAAGUCGAGCUUUGUAGACAGUAACAUUUCCAUUAUCGUCAGUCUUCUUCUUGAAGAUCCAUUUAUUCUCUAUGGCUCGCCGAUCAUCGGGAAAGUCCACCAAAGCCCAUACUCUGUUCUCAUACAUGGAUCCUAUCUCAGAUUUCAUGGCCUCAAGUCAUUUAUCGAAAUCUGGGCUCAUCAUAGCUUCUUCAUAGUUCGUAGGUUCGUCAUGGUCUAGUAACAUGACUUCCAGAACAAUAUUACCGUACCAUUCUGGUGCGGAAUGUGCUCUGUUCAACUUACGAGGUCCAGUAGUAACUUGAUCUGAAGUUUCAUGAUCAUCAUCGUUAGUUUCCUCUCUAGAUGGUGUAGGCAUCAUGGGAAUGGAUUUCUCUGAUGAGCUACUUUCCAAUUCGAGAGAAGAUACUAUUACCUCAUCAAGUUCUACUUUCCUCCCACUCACUUCUUUCGAGAGAAACUCCUUAUCUAGAAAGUUUCCAUUCUUGGCAACAAAGAUCUUGCCUUUGGAUUUGUGGUAGAAGGUGUACCCAAUUGUUUCCUUAGGGUAUCCUAUGAAGACGCACUUCUCCAAUUUGGGUUCGAGUUUAUCAGGCUGAAGCCUUUUUACAUAAGUGUCGCAACCCCAAACUUAAGAAACGACAGCUUAGGUUUCUUGCCGAACCACAGUUCAUAUGGUGUUGUCUCAACGGAUUUAGACGGUGCCCUAUUUAACGUUAACGCAACUGUCUCUAAUGCAUAAACCCAAAAUGAUAGUGGUAAAUCGGUAAGAGACAUCAUAGAUUGCACCAUAUCUAAUAAAAUACGGUUACGACGUUCGGACACACCAUUACGCUUUGGUGUUCUAGGUGGCGUGAGUUGUGAAACUAUUCCACAUUGUUUUAAAUGAAGGCCAAACUCAUAACUCAAAUAUUCGCCUCCGCGAUCAGAUCGUAGAAACUUUAUUUUCUUGUUACGAUGAUUCUCCACUUCACUAUGAAAUUCUUUGAACUUUUCAAAUGUUUCAGACUUGUGUUUCAUUAAGUAUAUAUACCCAUAUCUGCUCAAAUUAUUUGUGAAGGUCAGAAAAUAACGAUACCCGCCGCGUGCCUCAACACUCAUCGGACCGCAUACAUCGGUAUGUAUUAUUUCUAGUAAGUCAUUGGCUCGCUCCAUUGUUCCGGAGAAUGGAUUUUUAGUCAUCUUGCCCAUGAGGCAUGGUUCGCAAGUAUCAAAUGAUUCAUAAUCAAGUGAUUCCAAAAGCCUAUCUGCAUGGAGUUUCUUCAUGCACUUUACACCAAUAUGACCUAAACGGCAGUGCCACAAAUAUGUUGCACUAUCAUUAUCAACUUUGCAUCUUUUGGCAUCAAUAUUAUGAAUAUAUGUAUCACCACAAUCGAGAUUCAACAAAAAUAGACCACUCUUCAAGGAUGUAUGACCAUAAAAGAUAUUACUCAUAUAAAUAGAACAACCAUUAUUCUCCGAUUUAAAUGAAUAACCGUCUCGCACUAAACAAGAUCCAGAUAUAAUGUUCAUGCUCAACGUUGGCACCAAAUAACAAUUAUUCAGGUCUAGAACUAAUCCUGAAGGUUGAUGUAGAGGUAGCGUGCCAAUGGCAAUCACACCGACCUUGGAACCAUUCCCGACGCGCAUCUUCACCUCGUCCUUAGCCAAUCUUCGUUUAAUCCGUAGCUCCUGUUUCGAGUUACAAAUAUGAGAAACCGAACCAGUAUCAAAUAACCAGGCGCUACUACGAGCAUUAGUAAGGUACACAUCAAUAACAUGUAUAUCAACAUUUGUUCACUUUGUCAUCCUUUUUAUCUGCCAAAUACUUGGGGCAGUUACGCUUCUAAUGACUAGUCCCUUUGUAGUAGAAGCACUCAGUUUCAGGCUUGGGUCCAGCUUUGGGCUUCUUCCCGGGAGUAGCAACUUGCUUGCCAUUCUUUUUGAAGUUCCCCUUCUUUCCCUUGCCCUUUUUCUUGAAACUAGUGGUCUUGUUAACCAUAAACACUUGAUGCUCCUGAAGGAAAUAUGCCCUAGAGGCAAUAAUAAAGUUGUUAUUUAUAUUUCCUUAUAUCAUGAUAAAUGUUUAUUAUUCAUGCUAGAAUUGUAUUAACUGGAAACUUAGUACAUGUGUGAAUACAUAGACAAAGAGAGUGUCACUAGUUUGCCUCUACUUGACUAGCUCGUUGAAUCAAUGAUGGUUAUGUUUCCUAACCAUAGACAUGAGUUGUCAUUUGAUUAACGGGAUCACAUCAUUAGAGAAUGAUGUGAUUGACUUGACCCAUCCGUUAGCUUAGCACGAUGAUCGUUUAGUUUGUUGCUAUUGCUUUCUCCAUAACUAUACAUGUUCCUAUGACUAUGAGAUCAUGCAACUCCCGAAUACCGGAGGAACACUUUGUGUGCUACCAAACGUCACAACGUAACUGGGUGAUUAUAAAGGUGCUCUACAGGUGUCUCUGAUGGUGUUUGUUGAGUUGGCAUGGAUCAAGAUUAGGAUUUGUCACUCUGAUUGUCGAAGAGGUAUCCCUGGGCCCUCUCAGUAAUGUACAUCACUAUAAGCCUUGCAAGCAAUGUAAUUAAUGAGUUAGUUAUGGGAUGUAGCAUUACGGAACGAGUAAAGAGACUUGCCAGUAACGAGAUUGAACUAGGUAUUGGGAUAUUGACGAUCGAAUCUUGGGCAAGUAACAUACUGAUGACAAAGGGAACAACGUAUACCGUUAUGCGGUUUGACCGAUAAAGAUCUUUGUAGAAUAUGUAGAAGCCAAUAUGAGCAUCCAGGUUCCGCUAUUGGUUAUUGACCGAAGACAUGUCUCGGUCAUGUCUACAUAGUUAUCGAACCCGCAGGGUCCGCACGCUUAACGUUCGGUGACGAUCGGUAUUACGAGUUUAUGUGUUUUGAUGUACCAAAGGUAGUUCGGAGUCCCGGAUUUGAUCACAAACAUGACGAGGAGUCUCAAAAUGGUCGAGACGUAAAGAUCGAUAUAUUGGAAGCCUAUGUUUGGACAUCAGAAUGGUUCUGGGUGAAAUCGGGAGUAUGCAGGAGCACCGGGAGGUUACCGGAACCCCCCGGGAGGUGUAUGGGCCUUAUUGGGCCUUAGUGGGAAAGAGGGAGAAGAAGAAAAGGAGGGGGUGCCCCCCCCAAGCCUAAUCCGAGUUAGGAAGGGGGUCGCCCCCCUUUCCUUCCUUCUUCCUCCUCCUUCCUUCUCUCCUAAAACCAAACAAGGGGAGGGGGAAUCCUACUCCCGGUGGGAGUAGGACUCCCUUGGGCGUGCCUAGAGAGGCCGCCCCCUCCCCCUCCUCCACUCCUUUAUAUACGGGGGAGGGGGCACCCCAUGGACACACAAGUUGAUCAUUGAUCUUUUAGCCGUGUGCGGUGCCCCCUCCACCAUAAUCCACCUCGGUUAUAUCGUAGCGGUGCUUAGGCGAACCCUGUUCCGGUAGCAUCAUCAUCACCGUCAUCACACCGUCGUGCUGAUGAAACUCUCCCUUGAAGCUCUACUGGAUCGUGAGUUUGCGGGACGUCACCGAGCUGAACAUGUGCAGAUCGCGGAGGUGUCGUACCUUCGGUGCUAGAUCGGUCGAUCGUGAAGACAUACGACUACAUCAACCGCAUUGUCAUAACGCUUCCGCUUAUGGUCUACGAGGGUACGUAGACGAUACUCUCCCCUAUCAUUGCUAUGCAUCACCAUGAUCUUGCGUGUGCGUAGGAAUUUUUUUGAAAUUACUGCGUUCCCCAACAGUGGCAUCCAAGCCAGGUUUAUGAGUAGAUGUUAUAUGCACGAGUAGAACACAAAGGAGUUGUGGGAGUGGGUAUAUACAUAUUGCUUUCCGUCACUAGUUGAUUCUUGAUUCAGCGACAUUGUUGGAUGAAGCAGCCCAGACCGACAUUACGCGUACGCUUACGCGAGAUUGGUUCUAUCGACGUGCUAUCGCACACAGGUGGCUAGUGGGUGUUUGUUUCUCCAGCUUUAGUUGAAUCGGAUUCAAUGAACAUGGUUCUUUCUAAAGAUCAAAAAGCAAUCACUAUACCGCGUUGUGGUUUUUGAUGCGUAUGAAAGAACGGUUCUUGCUCAGCCCAUAGCAGCCACGUAAAACUUGCAACAACAAAGUAGAGGACGUCUAACUUGUGUUUGCAAGGCAUGUUGUGAUAUGAUAUGGUCAAGACAUGAUGCUAAAUUUUAUUGUAUGAGAUGAUCAUGUUUUGUAACACAAUUAUCGGCAACUGGUAGGAGCCAUAUGGUUGUCGCUUUAUUGUAUGAAAUGCAAUCGCCAUGUAAUUGAUUUACUUUAUCACUAAGCGGGAGCGAUAGUCGUAGAAACAAUAUUGGCGAGACGACAACGAUGCUUCGAUGGAGAUCAAUGUGUCAAGCCAGUGACGAUGGUGAUCAUGACGGUGCUUUGGAGAUGGAGAUCAAAGGCACGAGAUGAUGAUGGCCAUAUCAUAUCACUUAUAUUGAUUGCAUGUGAUGUUUAUCCUUUGUGCAUCUUAUUUUGCUUAGUUCGGCGGUAGCAUUAUAAGAUGAUCUCUCACUAAAUUUCAAGGUAUAAGUGUUCUCCCUGAGUAUGCACCAUUGCUACAGUUCGUCGUGCCAAGACACCACAUGAUGAUCGGGUGUGGUAAGCUCUACGUUCACAUACAACGGGUGCAAGCCAGUUUUGCACACGCAGAAUACUCGGGUUAAACUUGACGAGCCUAGCAUAUGCAGAUAUGGCCUCGGAACACUGGAGACCAAAAGGUCGAGCAUGAAUCAUAUAGUAGAUAUGAUCAACAUAGUGAUGUUCACCAUUCAAAACUACUCCAUCUCACGUGAUAAUCGGACAUGGUUUAGUUGAUAUGGAUCACGUGAUCACUUAGAUGAUUAGAGAGAUGUCUAUCUAAGUGGGAGUUCUUAUGUAAUUUGAUUAAUUGAACUUUAAUUUAUCAUGAACUUAGUACCUGAUAGUAUUUUGAAUGUCUAUGUUGUUGUAGAUAGAUGGCCCGUGCUGUUGUUCCGUUGAAUUUUAAUGCGUUCCUAGAGAAAGCUAAGUUGAAAGAUGAUGGUAGCAAUUACACGGACUGGGUCUGUAACUUGAGGAUUAUCCUCAUUCCUACACCAAAGAAUUACGUCCUGGAAGCACCGCUAGGUGCCAGGCCUGCUGCAGGAGCAACGCCAGAUGUUAUGAACACCUGGCAGAGCAAAGCUGAUGACUACUCGAUAGUUCAGAGUGCCAUGCUUUACGGCUUAGAACCGGGACUUCAACGACGUUUUGAACGUCAUGGAGCAUAUGAGAUGUUCCAGGAUUUGAAGUUAAUAUUUCAAGCAAAUGCUCGGAUUGAGAGAUAUGAGGUCUCCAAUAAGUUCUACAACUGCCAGAUGGACGAGAAUAGUUCCGUCAGUGAACAUAUACUCAAAAUGUCUGGGUAUAACGAUCACUUGAUUCAACUAGGAGUUAAUCUUCCGGAUGAUAGUGUCAUUGACAGAAUUGUUCAAUCAUUGCCACCAAGCUACAAGAGCUUCGUGAUGAACUAUAACAUGCAAGGGAUGGAUAAGACAGUUCCCGAGCUCUUCGCAAUGCUAAAGGCUGCGGAGGUAGAAAUCAAGAAGGAGCAUCGUGUUGAUGGUCAACAAGACCACCAGUUUCAAGAAAAAGGGUAAUGGGAAGAAGGGGAACUUCAAGUAGAACAGCAAGACAGUUGUUGCUCAAGUGAAGAAACCCAAGUCUGGACCUAAGCCUAAGAAUGAGUGUCGGUGUCAAAACCGGCGGAUCUCGGGUAGGGGGUUCUGAACUAUGCGUCUAGGCCGGAUGGUAACAGGAGGCAAGGGACACGAAGUUUUACCCAGGUUCGGGCCCUCUUGAUGGAGGUAAAACCCUACGUCCUGCUUGAUUAAUAUUGAUGAUAUGGGUGUUACAAGAGUAGAUCUACCACGAGAUCAGAGAGGCUAAACCCUAGAAGCUAACCUAUGGUAUGAUUGUAUGUUGUGAUUGUUGUCCUACGGACUAAAACCCUUCGGUUUAUAUAGACACCGGAGAGGGUUAGGGUUACACAAGGUCGGUUACAAAGGAGGAGAUAUCCAUAUACGUAUUGCCUAGCUUGCCUUCCAUGCCAAGUAGAGUCCCAUCCGAACACGAGACGAAGUCUUCAAUCUUGUAUCUUCAUAGUCUAACAGUCCGGCCAAUGGAGAUAGUCCGGCUGUCCGGAGACCCCCUAAUCCAGGACUCCCUCAGUAGCCCCUGAACCAGGCUUCAAUAACGAUGAGUCCGGCGCGCAGUUGUCUUCGGCAUUACAAGGCGGGUUCCUUCUCCGAAUACGUCACAGAAGAAUUUGAAUACAAGGAUAGUGUCCGACCCUGCAAAAUAAGUUCCACAUUCCACCGUAGAGAGAAUAAUGUUUUCACGGAUCUAAUUUGCUGGCUUGUUUUGGCAGCAUGACGUUACGUCAUGGCCCGGUGAUUAUUCGAACCGUUUCUUUUAACCAGCUCCACACAUAACGCGAGGCGGUUUCGUGACACAUCUUGCCGAAGCGGAGAUCGUGUUCCCCCAAUUACGGGAUUCUCAUUAAUACGGUCAUGGGUAACCCAACCGUGUCUAGGACUCCUAGAUUAUAGGCAAGUCCUAAACGGCUACGGAGAGGACGCUUGAUAUUCACCCUCUUUAUAAAGGGACGGUGUUUUUGCUUUUUCUCUCUCGUGCUCAAUCGAACCCUUCAUUUGCCUCGAGUUCUAACACCCAAAGCCCAGGUUAGGUGCUCCGGAUCUUCAAUCAUGUCCGAAUCCAGCCUUCAAGGCCGAUGGAUGCCCUCCUCCGUGACGGAAGAGGACAUUAAGAAGUUGAGGGAGGCUAGAUACCUGACCGCCGAGGUAUCGCAUCGGCUGCCUGCUCGAGGGUAAGUCGUCCCUACUCCUGAACCCAACGAGAAUGUUGUGUUCGUCUCCCACUUCCUCUGAGGUCUAGGCCUCACUCUGGAUCCUUUUGUCAGGGGCUUGAUGUUCUAUUACAGGAUAGAUUUCCACGAUCUAGCUCCGGACUCCUUUCUCCACAUCACAACAUUUAUUGUCGUGUGUGAGGCCUUCCUCCGUGUGACCCCUCACUUCGGCCCGUGGCUCAAGACCUUUGAAGUACAACUGAAGAUGAUCGAGGGGAAACAUGCAGCGUGCGGAGGUGCAUCAAUAGGCAAGAUGGCAGGAGCUCCAUGGCCGAAAGGUUCCUUUCCAGAGGUGUCCGAAUUAUGGCAACGGGAGUGGUUUUACGUCACGGCUCCCAGAAGUGCCAAGUGGGCGGCUGCCCCCGCUUUCCGCCCGGGCCCCCACCACAACUGAUGUCAUGGAUUAGCAGGGGUCUGAGCUGGGGUCCAGCCAAGGACGUGCCUAUACCAAAGCCGCAUCCGAGAUCUCUUCGAGGGAGAUUUUAAUUUGGUUGUGGUAAUACAAGUUAUGCUGGUUCGUCAACUCCAGCCUUGCAAACGCCGUCCCCUGCGCUUGUGGGAGUUCAAUCCAGAGGGACCACGUGCCAUUCAAAGUUUCCUCGGCCUGACGCACGAGGAGAUGUACAAGUCAUUCUUCGGACCUCAAGUGGAAUGUCCGGAUAUCACCGAGGACAUGGGCCUGAGCAGUAACCGCGUCGCCGAACAAUUAAGAAAUCGUCUAGCCGAACACGCUGUCCUUUAUUCGAAGUUAUUUCUAAGAGUUCGCUUUUUGACCAGGACUGGCUAGCAAAGGCGAAGAUGAUUCGGUGUUUGCCCCCCCUCCCUGAGGGUUUGGAAAAUCCGGUAUUGGAGAAGAUGCUCGAGGUCGCACCUUGCCCAGAGCCCUUGAAGGAAGAUACCGAGGGAGAUAAUACGGGCGGACGCGGGCCCCCAUCGCUAUCUGCUCCAACCGAGGGAACGAGCGUCUCCACGAAGGAGGACGAUCGGGGGAGGAAAAGGACUACUUUCGAGGAUCCGGAAGCCGAAGCCUCCAAAUGGGAGAAGAGGUCUCCCACUGAGGGUCUUGCCUUGGGGGGUGCUUUUGCCGCACAGAGUCCGCGGAGGGAUCUGCCCUCCAACGAGUCGUAAGUGAUCCAAAAAUAUUUUAAUAGUAAGGGUAUGCUAUCUUUUUCCUCUGAGAAAAUAACCACUGCAUAUAUCUUGCAGUUCGGGCCUCAGCCCCUCUCAAAUGAGCUCGUCUGCGGGGGGUCUUCUUCCAGAGAUGAUGGAGAGCGAAACACCUCCCCCGGACUCCUUCGCUCUAGAAGCGGGCGACCCCGAAGUGUCGUCGCGGAGGGCCUCUCCGGAUCCGGUGAGGCCAGAAGAUAAUCCCGUAGACCCCCAAAGUCCCCAGUGUCCGGCUCCCGAAGAGAGCAUAAGAAAGAGUCCGGCACCGUUUGGUGUGUGGUCGGACGUUUCGAGGGAGUUGGUGGGGCGAGCGGCCAUCUCAGAAGAGCACCAUACGCUGAUGGGUACGGUGAUGGAGAGAAUCUCGUCCGCUGAAAGAGGAUUACAUGAAGCCUUUAUGAGUCUAUUGACAGGCUUUGAGGUAUGUGAGAUAAUAUGUGAUAGUACUGCACAUGUUAGGUGUGCCCUGUGUAGAUAGUAGCCCCUGAGACUCUGGUUGUCGUCGAGAACGGCGGCGAACUAGGAUCAUAUUCCCAGGCAAUAACCAAACUGCCUCUAUGUGCAGGUGGUGGAAGCUCCGGUGGCUAGCCGGACUAGCGAGUUUGCCCAAUUAAAAUGACAACUGGAUGCGGCAGACGCCGACAUCGAGCUUGUUAACAAGAGGCUUGAUGAGGCACAGGGUAAGUGUUAUUAUCCGGUGAACGCCACAUAGUAAGAGCAGCAUAAUGCCAGUAUGUUUAAUAUGUUGUGACUGCAGAUGGAGCUGCCACUGUGGAAGCCUUGCGGGCGGAACUUGCUCGAGCCAAGGAACAAGCAAGGAUUAGUAAUGCAGCUGCUUUGAAGGCAGCCAAAGAGUUGAAAGCCGAGAAGGCCGCACAUUGCGAGAGCCAGGAGAAAAUGGCCAAGAUGGCCGUAGAAUUAAAAGACACCGCCGACCAUUGCUGGUUCCUUGAAAAAGGAAACCGAGCGAAGGCAACGGACCUUGAGAAGGCCGUGGCGCGGACAAAGACACCCAUUCUGCUAUGAGAGCGAAGAAGGAGGAGCCGCGGGAAGCCGGGGAUAUUGCGGCUGGGAAACCCUUCAUGUUACGGAGGAAGUUCGGAGAUCCUCGAUAUGCCCCUGUGGAUCGGCUGUGGAGUUCGGCAAAUGCGUAUAUGGAUUUGGCAGCGAGCGCUGCCGAUGCGGCCAAGUACUUCCAAGGUCAGACAGAUCGUGAAGUGGACAAGCUAUUCUGGACGCAAUUCCAUGUUCCAGAGCGUCCGCUUUCAUUGACUGACCAGCUAGACGAAUGGGCCGAACUGAAUAGGUUGUCUGGACUCGCCAUGAGGUCUGUUGUGGAUCAGCUAUGGCCGGAAAGACCAAAGCCGAACAGCUAUUUCAGCUUAGUGCAGCAGUUCCUUGAUGCGGUGCCACGCAUUAAUGCGAUGAAGAGGUCGGCGUGCAUAGAAGGCUCGCGGAUGGCCCUUGCCCAUGUUAAAGCAUACUGGGCGAAGAUGGACGCUACCACUGUUGCGGCGCAGGGAUCGGCCAUAGGCCGGGUGGCUGCCCAGCACUAUUUCGAGGAGGUUCUCGAGGGUGCUCGUUUGAUAGAGGCCCGGUGCUCGAAAAAUAUUAUGUUUGAGUGAUAUGUAUUUUCAUUGUAAGCACAAUGCUUUUAUGAUUUUUUAUAAAGUUAUUUUUAUACUUUUGCCUGAAAGUAGUAUGAUGCCUCUUGUGCGGCCGUUUAUGUAUACCUGUGUAUAACCUGAAAGAUUGCAGCCGUCGGCUUCAACCCCCACGCAUAAAAUGCAGGGGUGUUCGCAAAAAAUGCGUGUUCAUACUUAACCCAACGUCUUGGUCCUAUUAAGGAGGUGAUAGCGUAGUGAGCGAGGCAACCGGACUAUAAUGCUUUAACACUUUCACUUAGCCAUAGUAGUUUGACAGUGGGGCUACUAGAUAGCCCUUGGUGGCUCCGCACUCUCCCGAUCGCGGGGUGCGUACAUGCGUGGCCGGGAAACGGCCCUUCGUUAAGGCGGAUGAAUUCUAACAUUUUGAUAGGUCACCGAGUGGUUGACCAGUCUCACACUAUAUCAUGACAGUCAGUUUUCGGCUUUCUCUACCGAGGUGCUCGUCCGGAUGAACCAGGGAACAAUCAAAGUAGUUCUCCUGGUGCUACCUUAGCCGGUAAAGCGGAACAUAAGGCACCAAAACACAGGAGCCGGGCAAACCCAACAUUUGACCAAAGACAAUGAUUCGGAGCUGAUGCAUAUAAGGCCAAACUCGCGACGCCGAACACUCCCUAAGGUAUUCGGUCUUUAUGGUAUAAACCGGGCCUAAAUAGUGUCCUUCGUAAGACCUUCGUAAGAAUCCCCUUGUGUCCGGGUACGUGCAUUAUUCUGACGUGGCCACAUGCCAAGACGCCAGGAUCCUUCUCAACUGUGCUGAGAAUUCGGUGGAUAUGUAUCAACAAGAGACAGUAAAAAAGGUUUACGCAAGGUCUUAAUCUAAAAAGAAUCCUUGGAGCGGGUCCCUGCUGCAUGUCUGCGCCUGUGUCUCCGUUGUGCCAUAUCCUGAACGGGUGUAGCACGAUGAUUAUCUGUAAAAGAGAGGAGCUUAGGUGAAAAAGCUGUCGUGCAAAAAGAUAGUUUUUUAAAGAAAUCAUGUAUAAUUCAAGGUAAGUAAUAAUUGCCGCUUGUCUGCGCACGUUGAGCCCCUUGUAUUUGCAAUAGGGGUGUGAUCAUUGAUCCGGUAAAAAUUGCAUAUGGCUGCCGGACUCGUCUAACCGUGUCCGAGGUCGUGACGACCUGCUAAAUGCUUUAGUUGGUAAGGCCGUUUUUAGUGUGCGGCUGCCAGGGCAGCCGCACGCUCUUCGGCGCACAGAGAUCGCUUAAUACUUCCGUUCACUGUAAUGAUGCCACGUGGACCGGGCAUCUUGAGUGUGAAGGAAGCGUAGUGUGGUAUUGCGUUAAAGCGAGCAAAAGCUUUGCGUCCGAGUAGUGCUUGAUAGCCACUUUGAAAUGGAGCGAUGUGGAAGGUUAAAUGUUCGUUACGGAAGUUAUCGGGGAAGCCGAAUAUAACUUUUAGUAGCAGGGAGCCCGUGCAAUGAGACCCUGGGCCUGGCGUUACUCCUUUAAAGGUAAUAUUGCUAUGGCAAAUUUUUGUUGGGUCUAUCCCCAUUUCGUGGAUUGUAUCCUGGUAUAUCAGGUUUAGACUGCUGCCACCGUCCAUCAGGACUCAUGUGAAGUGGUAUCCGUCAAUUAUUGGGUCUAAUACCAGGGCAGCCCAUCCUGCACGCCGGACACUUGCUGAGUAAUCACGAUGGUCGAAAGUGAUCGGUUGAGACGACCAGUGGCAGGACUCCGCGGUGAUAGGCCUUUGGGCGUAUUUUUCUGGGAGUGCCGUUUUGUUUCUGCCAUUGAUCACGUGUAACACGUUUACUGUUUUGACUUCUGGUGGAAAUUUAUUUUGUUCCCCAGCGUCUUCCUUGAGAGGCUCAUCCUCAUCUUCGCUUGGUGUAUCCUCCCCCUUGUGUACGGCGUUGAGCUUGCCGGACUGCUUGAAGACCCAACAUUCUCUAUGGGUAUGAUUGGCUGGUUUGCCAGGGGUGCUAUGGACCUGACAUAUUUGGUCCAGAAUUUUGUUUAGGCUGGACAGUUCGUCUCGGGUGCCUUUAGGGGGCGGCUUUUGCUGACCUGGCCGAGAGCUUUUGAAUCCGGCGUUUACUGCCGUGCUCUUCGUGCUGUCUCUUUUAUUCCGGCGUUUGUUAUUGCUGUUGCACCAUGAUUUCCCGUUUCCAUCUCUAACUUCAGAUGUACUGGGGUCGCUGGAGCUGCAUCGGGCUAGCUAGUUGUCUUCACCCGCGCAAAAGCGGGUCAUGAGGCUUGUUAAUGCUGCCAUUGUUCUCGGUUUUUCUUGGCCGAGGUGUCGGGCAAGCCAUUCGUCGCGGACGCUAUGCUUAAAAGCUACCAAGGCUUCGGCGUCUGGGCAGUCGACAAUUUGGUUAUUUUUAGUAAGAAACCUGUUCCAAAGCUGUCGGGCUGACUCUCCGGGCUGUUGAGUUAUAUGACUCAAAUCAUCCGCAUCCGGAGGUCGGACAUAAGUCCCUUGAAAGUUUGCCCGAAAAGCGUCUUCGAGCUCUGCCUAGCUUCCAAUGGAGUUUUCGGGGAGGCCUUUAAGCCAAUGACGAGCUGGCCCUUUGAGUUUGAGUGGUAAGUACUUGAUGGCGUGGAGAUCAUCUCCUCGAGCCAUAUGGAUGUGGAGGAUAUAGUCCUCGAUCCAGACCCCAGGGUCUGUUGUUCCGUCGUAUGCCUCUAUGUUUACAGGUUUGAAUCCUUCUGGAAAUUCAUGAUCCAGCACCUCGUCGGUGAAACAUAGGGGGUGUGCGACACCCCUGUAUCUAGGUGUACCGCAUUGUUCGUAUGUUUGUUGUGUUAUAUCGUAUGCUGGGGCGCGCUUGCGUGGUCCAUAGAUGGAUCUGGUUGCGCUGUCCUUUUGGUGCAAGCCCUCGCGUGAAUCGCGUAUUGUCUUGUGGGUGGCAUUGUUUGCCGCUCUAUUGUGGCCGUGAGGUUGUCUAUCCGGCCAGGUGGCUCUUUUGAUUUUUGGUUGUGAGGGGUCUAAGGCCUCCUCAGCGAAUUCAGGUAGCAACUUCCGCUUUGGGUAGCUCUUGGUGGGGCGAUUGUCGCCGUACUUCGCUGCUGUAUUGAGUACUUUACUCCAUCUGAUUUGGAGUGUGUCCUGUGCAACCUUGAGCCUUUGCUGCUGCUUUUUCAGACUCCUCGCGGUGGCAACAAGCCUUUGACGGGCAUUCUGCUGCUCCGGGUGCCUGUCCGGCGUUGUGUCAUCCGGACUAUUAUCUUUGCCAGAAUUGGUUUGUUCGGUUUGAUUCUCUGUAUUGCCGUGGUCCGGCAGUGGUUCGCCCUGCUCCAACGUUGGGUAUGUGUUAUCGUUAUUUCUGGCGAGGCGUGAUUUGGGGCGGCGCUUGUGCCGCCGCUUUGACUGCUUCUCGAGGGAAUAAGCCUUCGGUGUGUCGUUCCGUUCCUCAUCGUCUUCUUUUGGUGUGUCCACCAUGUAUACGUCAUAUGAUGAAGUGGACGUCCAGCGCCCUGUGGGCGGUGGUUCCUCUUCGCCUCCCGCAUCGUUGUUCAUACCGUCGAUGUCUUCGGAGUCGAAGUCAAGCAUGUCGGUUGAGUCAUCGACAGUGGCUAUUUCUUCAUCAUCCAUAUCCCAAUCCUGUUGGCCAUAAGACGGCCAGGGCUCUCCUGACAAAGAGAGAGACCUUAUUGAAUUUAGAAUGUCGCCGAAGGGCGAGUGCUGAAAGAUAUCCGCGGCAGUGAAUUUCAUGAUCGGCGCCCAAUCGGAUUCGAUUGGCAGGGGCGCGGAUGGUUCGGUUUCCCGAAGAGAGUCCGGCAUCUUGGAGUCACGGGCUGCACGGAGAUUUAUGCGGGUGUUUGGCUCGAUCGCCGUUGAGACUGCAACCCCUGAGGCGGUGUCUAACCACCCGUCCUCGAUUGGCGCAGUUGGCUCCGAACUAAGGGUCGGAGCUGAUGCGGGCGCGGCUCCUGGGAUACUGUUCGGCGGUAGAGCUAGGUCAUACCCAUCGCGACAGUGCGGCGCGCCCGGCUGUGGCUCGAAUCCGUCGAAGAUCAAGUCCCCAUGGAUGUUGGCCGUGUAAUUCAAACUUCCAAAUCUGACCUGAUGGCCAGGGGCGUAGCUUUCAAUCUGCUCCAGAUGGCCAAGCGAAUUAGCCCGCAGUGCAAAGCCGCCGAAUACGAAGAUCUGUCCGGGGAGAAAAGUCUCACCCUGGACCGCAUCGCUAUCGAUGAUAGUAGGAGCCAUCAAGCCUAAUGGCGACGACACAGAGGAACUCUCAAUGAAAGCACCAAUGUCGGUGUCAAAACCGGUGGAUCUCGGGUAGGGGGUCCCGAACUGUGUGUCUAGGCCGGAUGGUAACAGGAGGCAAGGGACACGAAGUUUUACCCAGGUUCGGGCCCUCUUGAUGGAGGUAAAACCCUACGUCCUGCUUGAUUAAUAUUGAUGAUAUGGGUGUUACAAGAGUAGAUCUACCACGAGAUCAGAGAGGCUAAACCCUAGAAGCUAGCCUAUGGUAUGAUUGUAUGUUGUGAUUGUUGUCCUACGGACUAAAACCCUCCGGUUUAUAUAGACACCAAAGAGGGUUAGGGUUACACAAGGUCGGUUACAAAGGAGGAGAUAUCCAUAUACGUAUUGCCUAGCUUGCCUUCCACGCCAAGUAGAGUCCCAUCCGGACACGAGACGAAGUCUUCAAUCUUGUAUCUUCAUAGUCUAACAGUCCGGCCAAUGGAGAUAGUCCGGCUGUCCGGAGACCCCCUAAUCCAGGACUCCAUCACUGAGUGCUUCUACUGCAAAGGAACUGGCCACUAGAAGCGGAACUUCCCCAAGUAUUUGGCAGAGAAGAAGGAUGACAAAGUGAAAGGUAUAUUUGAUAUACAUGUUAUUGAUGCGUACCUUACUAAUGCUCACAGUAGUGCAUGGGUAUUUGAUACUGGUUCAGUUGCUAACAUUUGCAACUCGAAACAGGGGCUACGGAUUAAGCGAAGAUUGGCUAAGGAUGAGGUGACGAUGCGCGUGGGAAAUGGUUCCAAAGUCGAUGUGAUCGCCGUCGGCACGCUACCUCUACAUCUACCUUCGGGAUUAGUAUUAGACCUAAAUAAUUGUUAUUUGGUGCCAACGUUGAGCAUGAACAUUAUAUAUGGAUCUUGUUUGACGCGAGACGGUUAUUCAUUUAAAUCAGAGAAUAAUGGUUGUUCUAUUUAUAUGAGUAAUAUCUUUUAUGGUCAUGCACCCUUGAUGAGUGGUCUGUUUUUACUAAAUCUUGAUAGUAGUGAUACACAUGUUCAUAGUAUUGAGGCCAAAAGAUGCAGAGUUGAUAAUUAUAGUGCAACUUAUUUGUGGCACUGCCGUUUAGGUCAUAUUGGUGUAAGGCGCAUGAAGAAACUCCAUUCUGAUGGACUUCUGGAAUCACUUGGUACAUGCGAACCAUGCCUCAUGGGCAAGAUGACUAAAACUCCGUUCUCCGGAACAAUGGAGCGAGCAAUAGAGUUAUUGGAAAUCAUACAUACUGAUGUGUGUGGUCCAAUGAACAUUGAAGCUCGCGGCGGAUAUCUUUAUUUUCUCACCUUCAUAGAUGAUUUGAGCAGAUAUGGGUAUAUCUACUUGAUGAAACAUAAGUCUGAAACAUUUGAAAAGUUCAAAGAAUUUCAGAGUGAAGUGGAAAAUCAUCGUAACACGAAAAUCAAGUUUCUACGAUCUGAUCGUGGAGGUGAAUAUUUGAGUUAUGAGUUUGGACUUCAUUUGAAACAAUGUGGAAUAGUUUCACAACUCACUCCACGUGGAACACCACAGCGUAAUGGUGUGUCCGAACGUCGUAAUCGUAUUUUACUAGAUAUGGUGCGAUCUAUGAUGUCUCUCACUGGUUUACUGCUAUCGUUUUGGGGUUACGCUUUAGAGACAGCUGCAUUCACGUUAAAUAAGGCACCAUCUAAAUCCGUCGAGACGACACCUUAUGAAUUGUGAUUUGGCAAGAACCCCAAGUUGUCGUUUCUUAAAGUUUGGGGUUGCGGUGCUUAUGUGAAUAAGCUUCAACCUAAUAAGCUUGAACCCAAAUCGAAGAAAUGUGUCUUGAUACGUCUCCAACGUAUCUAUAAUUUUUGAUUGCUCCAUGCUAUAUUAUCUUCUAUUUUGGACAUUAUUGGGAUUUAUUAUUCACUUUUAUAUUAUUUUUGGGACUAACCUAUUAACCGGAGGCCCAGCCCAGAAUUGCUGUUUUUUGCCUAUUUCAGAGUUUCGCAGAAAAAGAAUAUCAAACAGAGUCCAAACGGAAUCAAACCUUCGGGAACGUGAUUUUCGGAACGAACAUGAUCCAGGAGACUUGGACCCUUCAAGAAACCAACAGGGAAGCNNNNNNNNNNNNNNNNNNNNNNNNNNNNNNNNNNNNNNNNNNNNNNNNNNNNNNNNNNNNNNNNNNNNNNNNNNNNNNNNNNNNNNNNNNNNNNNNNNNNNNNNNNNNNNNNNNNNNNNNNNNNNNNNNNNNNNNNNNNNNNNNNNNNNGACGUACUCCUUCCUCCUAUAUAUACCUACGUACCCCCAUACGAUCAAAGACGGAGCCAACACCCUAAUUCCACCGCCGUAACUUUCUGUAUCCAUGAGAUCCCAUCUUGGGGCCUGUUCCGGAGCUUCGCCGGAGGGGGCAUCAAUCAUGGAGGGCUUCUACAUCAACACCAUAGCCUCUCCCAUGAUGUGUGAGUAGUUUACAUUAGACCUUCGGGUCCAUAGUUAUUAGCUAGAUGGUUUCUUCUCUCUUUUUGGAUCUCAAUACAAUGUUCUCCCCCUCUCUUGUGGAGAUCUAUUCGAUGUAAUCUUCUUUUGCAGUGUGUUUUGAGGCCGAUGAAUUGUGGGUUUAUGAUCAAGUUUAUCUAUGAACAAUAUUUGGAUCUUCUGAAUUCUUUUAUGUAUGAUUGUUUAUCUUUGCAAGUCUCUUUGAAUAAUCAGUUUGGUUUGGCCUACUAGAUUGAUCUUUCUUGCAAUGGGAGAAGUGCUUAGCUUUGGGUUCAAUCUUGCGGUGUCCUUUCCCAAUGACAGUAGGGGAAGCAAGGCACGUAUUGUAUUGUUGCCAUCAAGGAUAACAAGAUGGGGUUUUAUCAUAUUGCAUGAAUUUAUCCCUCUACAUCAUGUCAUCUUGCUUAAAGCGUUACUCUGUUCUCUUGAACAUAAUACUCUAGAUGCAUGAUGGAUAGAGGUCAAUGUGUGGAGUAAUAGUAGUAGAUGCACGCAGGAGUCGGUCUACUUGCCUCGGACAUGAUGCCUAUAUACAUGAUCAUACCUAGAUAUUCUCAUAACUAUGCUCAAUUCUGUCAAUUUCUCAACAGUAAUUUGUUCACCCACCGUAAAAUACUUAUGCUCUUGAGAGAAGCCACUAGUGAAACCUAUGGCCCCCGGGUCUAUCUUCCAUCAUAUUAAUCUUCCAACACUUAGUUAUUUUCAUUGCCUUUUAUUUUACUUUUCAUCUUUAUCAUAAAAAUACCAAAAAUAUUAUCUUGUCAUAUCUAUCAGAUCUCACUCUCGUAAGUGACCGUGUAGGGAUUGACAACCCCUUAUCGCGUUGGUUGCGAGGAUUUAUUUGUUUUGUGUAGGUGCGAGGGACUCGCGCGUAGCCUCCUACUGGAUUGAUACCAUGGUUCACAAAAACUGAGGGAAAUACUUACACUACUUUCCUGCAUCACCCUUUCCUCUUCAAGGGAAAACCAAUGCAGUGUUCAAGAGGUAGCAUGUCUUCAUAGGAUACCCAAAGGAGACUGUUGGGUACACCUUCUAUCACAGAUCUGAAGGCAAGUUAUUCGUUGCUAAGAAUGGAUCCUUUCUAGAGAAGGAGUUUCUCUCGAAAGAAGUGAGUAGGAGGAAAGUAGAACUUGACGAGGUACUUGUACCUUCUCCCUUAUUGGAAAGUAGUUCAUCACUGAAAUUAGUUCCAGUGAUUCCUACACCAGUAAGUGAUGAAGCUAAUGAUGAUGAACAUGAAACUUCUGAUCAAGUUACUACCGAACCUCGUAGGUCAACCAGAGUAAGAUCCGCACCAGAGUGGUACGGUAAUCCUGUUCUGGAAGUCAUGUUACUUGACCAUGACGAACCUACGAACUAUGAGGAAGCGAUGAUGAGCCCAGAUUUUGCAAAAUGGCUUGAAGCCAUGAAAUCUGAGAUGUGAUCCAUGUAUGAGAACAAAGUAUGGACUUUGGUUGACUUGCCCGAUGAUUGGCAGGCCAUAGAAAAUAAAUGGAUCUUCAAGAAGAAGACUGACGCUGACAGUAAUAUUACUAUCUACAAAGCUCGAAUUGUUGCGAAAGGUUUUCGACAAGUUCAAGGAGUUGACUACGAUGAGACCUUCUCACCCGUAGCGAUGCUUAAGUCCGUCCGAAUCAUGUUAGGAAUUGCCGCAUUUUAUGAUUAUGAAAUUUGGCAAAUGGAUGUCAAAACUACAUUCCUUAAUGGAUAUCUUAAAGAAGAGUUGUAUAUGAUGCAACCAUAAGGUUUUGUCGAUCCAAAAGGUGUUGACAAAGUGUGCAAGCUCCAGCGAUCCAUUUAUGGACUGGUGCAAGCCUUUCAGAGUUGGAAUAUACGCUUUGAUAGUGUGAUCAAAGAAUAUGGUUUUAUACAGACUUUUGGAGAAGCCUGUAUUUACAAGAAAGUGAGUGGAAGCUCCAUAGCAUUUCUGAUAUUAUAUGUAGAUGACAUAUUGUUGAUCGGAAAUGAUACUAAAUUUCUGAAUAGCAUAAAAGGAUACUUGAAUAAGAAUUUUUCAAUCAAAGACCUCGGUGAAGCUGCUUAUAUAUUGGGCAUCAAGAUCUACAGAGAUAGAUCAAGGCACUUAAUUGGACUUUCACAAAGCACAUACCUUGAUAAAGUUUUGAAGAAGUUCAAAAUGGAUCAGGCAAAGAAAGGGUUCUUUCCUAUAUUACAAGGUGUGAAGUUGAGUUAGACUCAAUGCCCGACCACUGCAGAAGAUAGAGAGAAAAUGAAAGGUGUUCCCUAUGCUUCAACCAUAGGCUCUAUCAUGUAUGCAAUGCUGUGUACCAGACCUGAUGUGUGCCUUGCUAUAAGUUUAGCAGGGAGGUACCAAAGUAAUCCAGGAGUGGAUCACUGGACAACGGUCAAGAACAUCCUGAAAUACCUGAAAAGGACUAAGGAUAUGUUUCUCGUAUAUGGAGGUGACAAAGAGCUCAUCGUAAACGGUUACGUCGAUGCAAGCUUUGACACUGAUCCGGAUGACUCUAAGUCACAAACCGGAUACGUGUUUUUAUUAAAUGGUAGAGCUAUCAGUUGGUGCAGUUCCAAGCAGAGCAUUGUGGAGGGAUCUACGUGUGAAGCGGAAUCCAUAGCUACUUCGGAAGCAACAAAUGAAGGAGUCUGGAUGAAGGAGUUCAUAACCAAUAUAGGUGUCAUACCUAGUGCAUCGGGUCCAAUGAAAAUCGUUUGUGACAAUACUGGAGCAAUUGCCUUGGCAAAGGAAUCCAGAUUUCACAAGAGAACUAAGCACAUCAAGAGACGCUUCAAUUCCAUCCGCGAUCAAGUCAAGGAGGGAGACAUACAAAUUUGCAAGAUACAUACGGAUCUGAAUGUUGCAGACCCGUUGACUAAGCCUCUCUCACGAGAAAACAUGAUCAGCACCAAGACUCCAUGGGUGUUAGAAUCAUUACAAUGUAAUCUAGAUUAUUGACUCUAGUGCAAGUGGGAGACUGAAGGAAAUACGCCCUAGAGGCAAUAAUAAAGUUGUUAUUUAUAUUUCCUUAUAUCAUGAUAAAUGUUUAUUAUUCAUGCUAGAAUUGUAUUAACCGGAAACUUAGUACAUGUGUGAAUACAUAGACAAAUAGAGUGUCACUAGUUUGCCUCUACUUGACUAGCUCGUUGAAUCAAUGAUGGUUAUGUUUCCUAACCAUAGACAUGAGUUGUCAUUUGAUUAAUGGGAUCACAUCAUUAGAGAAUGAUGUGACUGACCCAUCCGUUAGCUUAGCACAAUGAUCAUUUAGUUUGUUGCUAUUGCUUUCUCCAUAACUAUACAUGUUCCUAUGACUAUGAGAUCAUGCAACUCCCAAAUACCGGAGGAACACUUUGUGUGAUACCAAACGUCACAACGUAACUGGGUGAUUAUAAAGGUGCUCUACAGGUGUCUCCGAUGGUGUUUGUUGAGUUGGCAUGGAUCAAGAUUAGGAUUUGUCACUCCGAUUGUCGGAGAGGUAUCUCUGGGCCCUCUCGGUAAUGUACAUCACUAUAAGCCUUGCAAGUAAUGUAACUAGUGAGUUAGUUACGGGAUUUAGCAUUACGGAACAAGUAAAGAGACUUGACAGGAACGAGAUUGAACUAGGUAUUGGGAUACCGACGAUCGAAUAUCGGGAAAGUAACAUACCGAUGACAAAGGGAACAACGUAUACCGUUAUGCGGUUUGACCGAUAAAGAUCUUCGUAGAAUAUGUAGGAGCCAAUAUGAGCAUCCCGGUUUCACUAUUGGUUAUUGACCGGAGACAUGUCUCAGUCAUGUCUACAUUGUUCUCGAACCCGUAGGGUCCGCACGCUUAACGUUCGGUGAUGAUUGGUAUUACGAGUUUAUGUGUUUUGAUGUACCGAAGGUAGUUCGGAGUCCCGGAUUAGAUCACAGACAUGACGAGGAGUCUCGAAAUGGCCGAGACGUAAAGAUCUAUAUAUUGGAAGCCUAUGUUUGUGAAGGAAAUAUGCCCUAGAGGCAUGAUACAUCUCCAACGUAUCUAUAUUUUUUGAUUGUUCCAUGCUAUUAUAUUAUCAACUUUGGAUGUUUUAUAUGCAUUUAUAUGCUAUUUUAUAUGAUUUUUGGGACUAACCUAUUAACCUAGAGCCCAGUGCCAGCUUCUGUUUUUUCCUUGUUUUAGAGUAUUGCAGAAAAGGAAAAUCAAAUGGAGUCCAAUUGACCUGAAACUUCACAGAACUUAUUUUUGGACCAGAAGAAGCCCACACAGUAUCGGAGAUGGACCAGGAGAGUCCCGGGCUGCCCAUGAGGGUGGGAACACGCGCCCCUACCUCGUGGACAGCCCAGAGAUGCACCGAUGUACUUCUUCCUCCUAUAUAUACCCAUAUACCCUAAAAACUUCAGGGAACACAAUAGAUCGGGAGUUCCGCCUCUAGAAGCCUCCAUAGCCACCGAAAACCAAUCUAGACCCGUUCCGGCACCCUGCCGGAGGGGGGAAUCCCUCUCCGGUGGCCAUCUUCAUCAUCCCAGUGCUCUCCAUGACGAGGAGGGAGUAGUUCUCCCUCGGGGCUGAGGGUAUGUACCAGUAGCUAUGUGUUUGAUCUCUCUCUCUCUCUCUCGUGUUCUUGAGGUGGUACGAUCUUGAUGUAUCGUGAGCUUUGCUAUUAUAGUUGGAUCUUAUGAUGUUUCUCCCCCUCUACUCUCUUGUAAUGGAUUGAGUUUUUCCUUUGAAGUUAUCUUAUCAGAUUGAGUCUUUAAGGAUUUGAGAACACUUUAUGUAUGUCUUGCGUGGGAUACCCAUGGUGACAAUGGGGUAUUCUAUUGAUCCACUUGAUGUUUGUUUUGGUGAUCAACUUGCGGGUUCCACCCAUGAACCUAUGCAUAGGGGUUGGCACACAUUUUCGUCUUGACUCUCUGGUAGAAACUUUGGGGCACUCUUUGAAGUUCUUUGUGUUGGUUGAAUAGAUGAAUCUGAGAUUGUGUGAUGCAUAUCAUAUAAUCAUACCCACGGAUACUUGAGGUGACAUUGGAGUAUAUAGGUGACAUUAGGGUUUUGGUUGAUUUGUGUCUUAAGGUGUUAUUCUAGUACGAACUCUAUGAUAGAUUGAACGGAAAGAAUAGAUUCAUGUUAUUUUACUAUGGACUCUUGAAUAGAUCGAUCAGAAAGGAUAACUUUGAGGUGGUUUCGUACCCUACCAUAAUCUCUUUGUUUGUUCUUUGCUAUUAGUGACUUUGGAGUGACUCUUUGUUGCACGUUGAGGGAUAGUUAUAUGAUCCAAUUAUGUUAUUAUUGUUGAGAGAACUUGCACUAGUGAAAGUAUGAACCCUAGGCCUUGUUUCAAUGCAUUGCAAUACCGUUUAUGCUCACUUUUAUCAUUCGUUACCUUGCUGUUUUUAUAUUUUCAGAUUACAAAAACCAUUAUCUACUAUCCAUAUUGCACUUGUAUCACCAUCUCUUCGCCGAACUAGUGCACCUAUACAAUUUACCAUUAUAUUGGGUGUGUUGGGGACACAAGAGACUCUUUGUUAUUUGGUUGCAGGGUUGUUUGAGAGAGACCAUCUUCAUCCUACGCCUCCCAUGGAUUGAUAAACCUUAGGUCAUCCACUUGAGGGAAAUUUGCUACUGUCCUACAAACCUCUGCACUUGGAGGCCCAACAACGUCUACAAGAAGAAGGUUGUGUAGUAGACAUCAAGGCAAUAAUAAAGUUAUUAUUUAUUUCCUUAUUUCAUGAUAAAUGUUUAUUAUUCAUGCUAGAAUUGUAUUAACCGGAAACAUAAUACAAGUGCGAAUACAUAGACAAACAAAGUGUCACUAGUAUGCCUCUACUUGACUAGCUCGUUGGUCAAAGAUGGUUAUGUUUCCUAACCAUAGACAUGAGUUGUCAUUUGAUAAAUGGGAUCACGUCAUUAGGAGAAUGAUGUGAUUGACUUGAACCAUUCCAUUAGCUUAGCACUUGAUCGUUUUAGUUUACCGCUAUUGCUUUCUUCAUGACUUAUACAUGUUCCUAUGACUAUGAGAUUAUGCAACUCCUGAUUACUGAAGGAACACUUUGUGUGCUACCAAACGUCACAACGUAACUGGGUGAUUAUAAAGGUACUCUAUAGGUGUCUCCGAUGGUACUUGUUGAGUUGGCAUAGAUCGAGAUUAGGAUUUGUCAUUCCGAUUGUCGGAGAGGUAUCUCUGGGCCCUCUCGGUAAUGCACAUCACUAUAAGCCUUGCAAGCAGUGCACUAAUGAUUUAGUUGCGGGAUGAUGCAUUACAGAACGAGUAAAGAGACUUGCCGGUAACGAGAUUGAGCUAGGUAUUGAUAUACCGACGAUCGAAUCUCGGGCAAGUAACAUACCGAUGACAAAGGGAAUAACAUAUGUUAUUAUGCGGUUUGACCGAUAAAGAUCUUCGUAGAAUAUGUAGGAGCCAAUAUGAGCAUCUAGGUUCCGCUAUUGGUUAUUGACCAGAGACGUGUCUUGGUCAUGUCUACAUAGUUCUUGAACCCGUAGGGUCCGCACGCUUAACGUUCGGUGACGAUCGGUAUUAUGAGUUUAUGCGAUUUGAUGUAUCGAAGGUAGUUCAGAGUCCUGGAUGUGAUCACGGACAUGAUAAGGAGUCUCAAAAUGGUCGAGACAUAAAUAUUGAUAUAUUGGACGACUAUAAUCGGAUACCAGAAGUGUUCCAGGUGAUUUCGGAGAAAACUGGAGUACCGGAGGGUUACCGGAACCCCCCCGGGAGAAGUAAUGGGCCACAUGGUCCUUAGUGGAGAGAGAGAGGGCCGGCCAGGGUAGGCCGCGCGUCCCCUCUGAGGGAGUCCUGAACUAAGGGGCCCUCGGGUGUCCGUCCUGUUAGCCAUGGGCCGGAUUAAUGGACUAUGAAGAACACGAAGACCGAAGACUGCACCCGUGUCCGGAUAGGACUCUCCUUGGCGUGGAAGGCAAGCCUGGCGACCAAAUAUGUAGAUUCCUUUCUUUGUAACCGACCUUGUGUAACCCUAGAUCCUCCCGGUGUCUAUAUAAACCGGAGGACUUAGUCCGGAGGAGGGAGAUAUAUUCAUUAUCAUAGUCAUACAGGCUAGACUUUUAGGGUUUAGCCAUUACGAUCUCGUGGUAGAUCAACUCUUGUAAUACUCAUAUUCAUCAAGAUCAAUCAAGUAGGACGUAGGGUAUUACCUCCAUAGAGAGGGCCCGAACCUAGGUAAACAUCGUGUCCCCUGUCUCCUAUUACCAUCGACCUUAGACGCACAGUUUGGGACCCCCUACCCGAGAUCCGCCAGUUUUGACACCGACAUUGGUUCUUUCAUUGAGAGUUCCACUGUGCCGUCCUCAAAAGGUUCGAUGGCCCCUUCAAUCAUCAACAAUGAUGCUGUCCAAGGAGAAACCUUCCUCCCCGGACAGAUUUUCGUGUUCGGUGGCUUCGCACUGCCGGCCAACUCAUUUGGCCAUCUGGAGCAGAUCGAUAGCUACGCCCCUGGCCAUCAUGUCAGAUUUGGGAGCUUGAACUAUGUCGCGGACAUCCGUGGAGAUUUGAUCUUCGCUGGACUCGAGACCGCGGUGAUCGCUCCUAGUCAUCUCGAUGAACAUGACCUAAAUCUGUCAUCGGACCACAUUCAGGAGAUAGCUCCUGUAACUGCUCUGGCCUUAGAUCCGGAGAAUACGACGCCAUCUAAGGACUGGAGGUUCAACCCCACCACGGAGGCCACAGAUUCCCCGACGUUGGAGCUGCAAAUGGACUUAAACCCACACAAUAUUUGUGUCACCGGAACCCCGGACUCGUCUCUGGGUGUAAGUUCCGAACCAUGUGAGUCCAUGGAUGCCGAACUUGAUCGUUUAUCGAUCUUCGAGUUCAGCGCUGCAAACAUGUUCCAACACUCACCCUUGGGAGAUGUGCUAAGCUCAUUAAAAAACCUGUCCUUGGCGGGGGACUCACAACCGAACUAUAUCCGGUUCGAACUAGAAGCUGAUGAUAGGGAAUUUUGCUCCCCACCCGCCACCCACUCCAUAGCCACUCUUGAAGACUUAACCGACAUGCUCGAUUACGGCUCUGAAGACCUCGGCGGUAUAGACGACAAUGCCGAUGAGGAGCAGGGCCAAAACCCGCCGUUUACCGGACGUUGGACGAUCACUUCUUCAUAAGAGGUAUACAUGGUGGAUACACCUAAAGAAACUAACGACGAUGACAAAGAAGAUCCAGUCGAGGAUAAACCUCCUGAGACAUAGCCUAGACGCCAGCGUCAGCGGCGCCACUCUAAGUCACGUUGUGAAAAGACAGCAAUGCCGGCAUCGGAGAAAACAACACCCCGGAUGACGCUGGAGACAACGAAGACCCUGUUGAGGCAACGUCCGAACAUGAUGAACGGGAAGACGGGCACGAUAGCCCUGAUGAGCAGGCCAUACACGAAGACUCGGAGGACAGUAAUUAUCUUCUGCUCUCCGAGGAUGAGGAGAGCCUCGGCGACGAGGAUUUCAUCGUGCCUGAGGAACCUCUCGAGCAAGAGCGCUUUAAACGCCGGCUAUUGCCCACUGCAAGGAGCCUAAAAAAGAAGCAGCAGCAGCUCCAAGCUGACCAAGACCUUGAUACGUCUCCAACAUAUCUAUAAUUUUUGAAUGCUCCAUGCUAUUAUCUACUGCUUUAAACAUCAUUGGGCUUUAUUAUCCACUUUUAUAUUAUUUUUGGGACUACCUAUUAACCGGAGGCCCAACCCAGAAUUGUUGUUUUUUUCCUGUUUUAGGGUUUCAAAGAAAAGGAAUAUCAAAUGGAGUCCAAACGGAAUGAAACCUUCAGAAACAUGAUUUUCUCAUCAGAUAAGAUCCAGGAGACUUGGACCCUCCGUCAAGAAAGCCACGAGGUGGUCAUGAGGGUAGGGGCACCCCCCUAGGGCGCGCCCCCCUACCUCAUGGCCCCUCGAAGCUCCACCGACGUACUUCUUCUUCCUAUAUAUAUCCACGUACCCCCAAACGAUCGGGGACGGAGCCAAAAACCUAAUUCCACCGCCGCAACUUUCUGUAUCCAUGAGAUCCCAUCUUGGGGCCUGUUCCGGAGCUCCGCCGAAGGGGGCAUCGAUCAUGGAGGGCUUCUACAUCAUCAUCCAAGCCCCUCCGAUGAAGUGUGAGUAGUUUACUUCAGACCUACGGGUCCAUAGCUAGUAGCUAGAUGGCUUCUUCUCUCUUUUUGGAUCUCAAUACAAUGUUCUCCCCCUCUCUUGUGGAGAUCUAUUCGAUGUAAUCUUCUUUUUGUGGUGUGUUUGUUGACAUCGAUGAAUUGUGGGUUUAUGAUCAAGUCUAUCUAUGAAUAAUAUUUGAAUCUUCUCUGAAUUCUUUUAUGUAUGAUUGGUUAUCUUUGCAAGUCUCUUCGAAUUAUCAGUUUGGUUUGGCCUACUAGAUUGGUUGUUCUUGCCAUGGGAGAAGUGCUUAGCUUUGGGUUCAAUCUUGCGGUGUCCUUUCCCAGUGACAGAAGGUGCAGCAAGGCACGUAUUAUAUUGUUGCCAUUGAGGAUAACAAGAUGGGGUUUUUAUCAUAUUGCAUGAAAUUAUCCCUCUACAUCAUGUCAUCUUGCUUAAGGCGUUACUCUGUUUUUAACUUAAUACUCUAGAUGCAUGCUGGAUAGCGGUCGAUGAGUGGUGUAAUAGUAGUAGAUGCAGAAUCGUUUCGGUCUACUUGUCUCGGACGUGAUGCCUAUAUACAUGAUCAUACCUAGAUAUUCUCAUAACUAUGCUCAAUUCUGUCAAUUGCUCAACAGUAAUUUGUUCACCCACCGUAGAAUACUUAUGCUCUUGAGAGAAGCCACUAGUGAAACCUAUGGCCCCCGGGUCUCUUUCUCAUCAUAUCAAUCUCCAUCACUUUAUUAUUGCUUUGCUUUUACUUUUACUUUGCAUCUCUAUACCAAAAAUACCAAAAAUAUUAUUUAUCAUCUCUAUCAGAUCUCACUUUCGUAAGUGACCGUGAAGGGAUUGACAACCCCUAAGCGCGUUGGUUGCGUUGAGCUAUUGUUUUUGUGUAGGUACGAGAGACUCGAGCGUAACAUCCUACUGGAUUGAUACCUUGGUUCUCAAAAACUGAGGGAAAUACUUACGCUACUUUGCUGCAUCAUCCCUUCCUCUUCGGGGAAAUCCAACACAGUGCUCAAGAGGUAGCAAGAAGAAUUUCUGGCGCCGUUGCCAGGGAGUCUGCGCAAAAGUCAACAUACCAAGUACCCAUCACAAUCCCUAUCUCCCGCAUUACAUUAUUUGCCAUUUGCCUCUUGUUUUCAUCUCCCCCACUUCACCCUUGCCGUUUUAUUCGCCAUCUGUCUCUCUCUAUCCUCCCUCUCCAUUUGCCUCUUUUGCCCGUUUGCUCUUUGUUUGCUCGUGUGUUAGUUUGCUUGCUUGUCGCGAUGGCUCUACCUAAAUUUGGUGAUCUCCACCUUAAAAGGUUAGAGGAGAUCGAAAACAACGUCAGGAAGUUUACGGUUUUGCAAUUUGAGCAUAAUAAUUUCUUUAGAAAUGAGCAUAAGGAACAAAAAAGUUUCAUGAAUUAUAUGAAUAAAGAGCUCGAUGAUAUGUCUAAAGAAUUUGAUGGUAUAAGGUCCCAAAUUGCCCAUCUUGAAAAAUUAACUGCUAAAAUUUCGGAUAUGCAAGCUACCUUACUUAAUAAGAUGGCCGCUAAACCGGAUUCCUAUGAAAAUAAUGAUGAAGAUCUAAAAGUUAUUGAUGUGUCUCCUAUUAAAUCUUUGUUUGGCAAUAUGAAUCUUGAUAAUGAUGGGACUGAAUAUGAUCCACCUUUACCUAGAGGGCGUUCUAAGAAUUCGGAAUUUGUUGAUCUUGAUGCUAAAUUUGAUAAAAGUGGGAGUGAAUAAAUUAAAAUCCUAGAUGUUGAUAAACCCACUAUUAUGGAUUUCAAGGAAUUUAACUAUGAAAAUUGCUCUUUGAUUGAUUUUAUUUCCUUGUUGCAAUCCGUGCUAAAAUCUCCUCACGCUUAUAGUCAAAAUAAAGCGUUUACUAAACAUAUCGUUGAUGCCUUGAUGCAAUCUUAUGAAGAAAAAAUUGAAUUGGAAGGUUAUAUCCCUAGAAAACUUUAUGAUGAGUGGGAACCUACUAUUAAAUUUAAAAUUAAAAAUUAUGAGUUUUAUUUGGGUGCUAGUGUCUCUACUAUUCCCAAAACUUUGUGUGAUUUUCUAGAUUUCCGUGAUUUUGAUGAUUGCUCUCUAAACUUGCAUCUUGCGGAUUCCACUAUUAAGAAACCUAUGAGAAGAAUUAAUGAUGUUCUUAUUGUUGCAAAUGGGAAUUAUGUGCCCGUAGAUUUUAUCGUUCUUGUUAUAGAUUGCAAUCCUUCUUGCCCUAUUAUUCUCGGUAGACCUUUCCUUAGAAUGGUUGGUGCAAUUAUUGAUAUGAAGGAAGGGAAUAUUAGAUUUCAAUUUCCAUUAAAAAAGGGAAUGGAACACUUCCCUAGAAAGAAAAUAAAAUUACCAUAUGAAUCUAUCAUGAGAGCCACUUAUGGAUGGCCUACCAAAGAUGGCAACACCUAGAUCUAUUCUUGCUUGUUAUGCCUAGCUAGGGGCGUUAAACGAUAGCGCUUGUUGGGAGGCAACCCAAUUUUAUUUUUAUUCCUUGCUCUUUGCUCCUGUUUAGUAAUAAACAAAUUACUUAGCCUUUGUUUUGGUUGUGUUUUUGUGUUUAUUAGUGUUUGUGCCAAGUAGAAUCGUUGGGAAGACUUGGGGAAAGUCUUGUUGAACUUGCUGUAAAAAACAGAAACUUUAGCGCUCACGAGAACUGCUGUCAUUUUUAUUUGGAAAGUGAUAUUUAGUUAAUUAUUUUUGCAGAUUAUUAAUAGAUAAAUUCCUCACGUCCAGAAAUUUAUUUUAGAAUUUUUGGGGUUCCAGAUCUUGCGCUAGCUACAGAUUACUACAGACUGUUCUGUUUUUGACAGAUUCUGUUGUUCGUGUGUUGUUUGCUUAUUUUGAUGAAUCUAUGGCUAGUAAAUUAUUUUAUAAUCCAUAGAGAAGUUGAAAUACAGUAGGUAUAACACCAAUAUAAAUAAAGAACGAGUUCAUUACAGUACCUUGAAGUGGUCUUUUGUUUUCUUUCGCUAACGGAGUUCACGAGAUUUUCUACUUUAAGUUUUGUGUUGUGAAGUUUUCAAGUUUUGGGUAAAGAUUUGAUGGAUUAUGGAACAAGGAGUGGCAAGAGCCUAAGCUUGUGGAUUCCCAUGGCACUCCCAAGAUAACCUAAGGACACCUAAAAGCCAAAGCUUGGGGAUGCCCCGGAAGGCAUCCCCUUUUUCGUCUACUUCUAUCGGUAACCUUACUUGGAGCUAUAUUUUUAUUCACCACAUGAUAUGUGUUUUGCUUGGAGCGUCUUUUAUGAUUUGAGUAUUUGCUUAUUAGUUUAACACAAUCAUCCUUGCUGUACAUACCUUUUGUGAGAGCCAUACAUGAUUUGGAAUUUGAUAGAAUACUCUAUGUGCUUCACUUAUAUCUUUUGAGCUUUAUAGUUUUGCUCUAGUGCUUCACUUAUAUCUUUUAGAGCACGGUGGUGGAUUUGUUUUAUAGAAACUAUUGAUCUCUCAUGCUUCACUUAGAAUAUUUUGAGAGUCUUAAUAUCAUGGUAAUUUGCUUAAAAUCCUAAUAUGCUUGGUAUGCAGGAUUAAUAAUAAAACUUUCGUAUGAGUGUGUUGAAUACUAAGAAAAGUUUGAUGCUUGAUGAUUGUUUUGAGAUAUGGAGGUAAUAAUAUCAAAGUCAUGCUAGUUGAGUAGUUGUGAAAUUGAGAAAUACUUGUGUUGAGGUUUUCAAGUCCCGUAGCAUGCACGUAUGGUAAACGUUAUGCAACAAAUUUGAAACAUAAGGUGUAUUUGAUUGUCUUCCUUAUGAGUGGCGGUCGGGGACGAGCGAUGGUCUUUUCCUACCAAUCUAUCCCCCUAGGAGCAUGCGCGUAGUGCCGAGGUUUUGAUGACUUGUAGAUUUUUGCAAUAAGUAUGUGAGUUCUUUAUGACUAAUGUUGAGUCCAUAGAUUAUACGCACUCUCAUCCUUCCAUCCUUGCUAGCCUCUUCGGUACCGUGCAUUGCCCUUUCUCACAUUGAGAGUUGGCGCAAACUUCGCCGAUGCAUCCAAACCCCGUGAUAUGAUACGCUCUUUCACACAUAAACCUCCUUAUAUCUUCCUCAAAACAGCCACCAUACCUACCUAUUAUGGCAUUUUCAUAGCCAUUCCGAGAUAUAUUGCCAUGCAACUUUCCAUCAUUCCGUUCAUCAUGACACAUUCAUCAUUGUCAUAUUGCUUAGCAUGAUCAUGUAGUUGACAUAGUAUUUGUGGCAAAGCCACCAUUCAUAAUUCUUUCAUACAUGUCACUCUUGGUUCAUUGCAUAUCCCGGUACACCGCCGGAGGCAUUCACAUAGAGUCAUCUUUGUUCUAGUAUCGAGUUGUAAUCAUUGAGUUGUAAAUAAAUAGAAGUGUGAUGAUCAUCAUUAUUAGAGCAUUGUCCCAAGUGAGGAAUAAAUAAAUAAAAAAUAUAAAGGCCAUAAAAAAAGAGAAGCCCUCCCCCCCCCAAAAAAAAGAGAAAGGCCAUAAAAAAGAGAAGUCCCAAAAAAUGAGAGAAAAAGAGAGAAGGGACAAUGUUACUAUCCUUUUACCACACUUGUGCUUUAAAGUAGCACCAUGAUCUUCAUAGUAGAGAGUCUCUCAUGUUAUCACUUUCAUAUAGUAGUGGGAAUUUUUCAUUAUAGAACUUGGCUUGUAUAUUCCAACAAUGGGCCUCCUCAAGUGUCCUAGGUCUUCGUGAGCAAGCAAGUUGGAUGCACACCCACUAGUUUCUUUUGUUGAGCUUUCAUACAUUUAUAGCUCUAGUGCAUCCGUUGCAUGGCAAUCCCUACUCCUUGCAUUAACAUCAAUUGGUGGGCAUCUCCAUAGCCCAUUGAUUAGCCUCGUUGAUGUGAGACUUUCUCCUUUUUUGUCUUCUCCACAUAACCCCCCUUCAUUGUAUUCUAUUCCACCCAUAGUGCUAUGUACAUGGCUCGCGCUCAUAUAUUGCGUGAAAGUUUAUAGGUUUGAGAUUACUAAAGUAUGAAACAAUUACUUGGCUCGUCAUCGGUGUUGUGCAUGAUGAUAGCAUUCUUGUGUGACGAAAAUGAAACAUGACUAAACUAUAUGAUUUUGUAGGGAUGAACUUUCUUUGGCCAUGUUAUUUUGAGAAGACAUAAUUGCUUAGUUAGUAUGCUUGAAGUAUUAUCAUUUUUAUGUCAAAUAAACUUUUGUCUUGAAUCUUUUGGAUCUGAAUAUUCAUACCACAAUUAAGAAGAAUUACAUUAAAAUUAUGCCAAGUAGCACUCCGCAUCAAAAAUUCUGUUUUUAUCAUUUACCUACUCGAGGACGAGCGGGAAUUAAGCUUGGGGAUGCUUGAUACGUCUCCAAUGUAUCUAUAAUUUUUGAUUGCUCCAUGCUAUAUUAUCUACUGUUUUAAACAUUAUUGGGCUUUAUUAUCCACUUUUAUAUUAUUUUUGGGACUAACCUAUUAACCGGAGGCCCAGCCCAGAAUUGAUGUUUUUGCCUGUUUGAGGGUUUCGAAGAAAAGGAAUACCAAACGGAGUCCAAACGGAAUGAAACCUUCGGAAACGUGAUUUUCUCAUCAGAUAAGAUCCAGGAGACUUGGACCCUCCUUCAAGAAAGCCACUAGGUGGUCACGAGGGUAAGGGGCACGCCCCCUAGGGCAUGCCCCCUGCGUCGUGGGCCCCUCGAAGCUCCACCGACGUACUUCUUCCUCAUAUAUAUAUCCACGUACCCCCCAAUGAUCGGGGAUGAAGCCAAAAACCUAAUUCCACCGCCGCAACUUUCUGUAUCCACAAGAUCCCAUCUUGGGGCCUAUUCUGGAGCUCCGCCGGAGGGGGCGUCGAUCACGGAGGGCUUCUACAUCAUCAUCCAAGCCCCUCCGAUGAAGUGUGAGUAGUUUACUUCAGACCUACGGGUCCAUAGCUAGUAGCUAGAUGGCUUCUUCUCUCAUUUUGGAUCUCAAUACAAUGUUCUCCCUGACGGUGUCCUGGACUAGGGGGUACUCAACACGUCAUCUCCCGAUCUGUUAGAUUGGGCCGAGGACCCCCAUGGCCGUAUACUCAUGGGCCAGUUUGGACAGCUGCCGCAUACAUGGAAGAUUCCACAGGACUUGGUGAUCAAGACAAGGACUCCUCCCCACCGGCGUAUUUGACUAGGACUCUUGUUAUCCUAGGCCUCUGGUGCAUUAUAUAAACUGAGGCCGGGCUAGUCGAUAGAUCAUAUACAACAAUCAUACCAUAGGCUAGCUUCUAGGGUUUUAGCCUCUAUGAUCUCGUGGUAGAUCAACUCUUGUAAUACUCAUAUCAUCAAUAUCAAUCAAGCAGGACGUAGGGUAUUACCUGCAUCAAGAGGGCCCGAACCUGGGUAAACAUCGUGUCCCCUGCCUCCUGUUACCAUCGAUCCUAGACGCACAGUUCGGGACCCCCUACCCGAGAUCCACCGGUUUUGACACCGACAUUGGUGCUUUCAUUGAGAGGUUCGCUGUGUGAUCGACAAAAGGAUCGACGACUUGUCUGCGGAUUAACUACGACGUCGACAUCUUCAUCACCGGCUCGACUGGUCACCUUGGCUCAACCGAGGACCGCACUCCUUCUCCGAUCGUCAUGUUCGGACGAGGGCCUUCAUCAACAUCAACUCCGAUCUCUAUCAUGAUCAUAGAGGGAUCAUCCAUGGAGCUCGAGGGCUCAACGUCAACAUUGCCCUCAGGCGGUCGUGCUGUUUUUCUGGGCAGCGAACUUGUAUCCACUGUCACCACCUCCUCGAGCGUCGGUUUGACGAUUGCUUCGGUGGAAUGGUGCGGAAUUACGUCUACAACAGCCAUGCAAAAUUUCGUCGAGUUCCGAUGGAGGAAUCUCCGACAAACUACGAUACCGGAGCCCUGUCAAAUCUAUACGGGAAUCUGGACGAGUUUAGGGCGUGGUCUCUAGAGCCCAUCUCGGAGGUCCUUUGGAAGAUCCAACCGUUCAUCUAUGGUGGAAUUCCCAUAUCUACCACCCCUCCAAAUUUCAGCUCGAUCCGACGGUUCAAACUCCGAGAAUCUUUUGAUGAGUGGACCAAUUUUUGGAUCCGUUUUCUGCACGAAUACGGACCCGACCCGAAUUCAUGUUUCUUUAUGAACAUGAUAUUGGACAACCUUUUUAGAGGAUUUCUCUUCUAGGGUAUUGUGCGUUGUUUUUAAACAUGUCCCUGUAAAUUUUUAAGCCUCCCGUGAGGUCAUCUUCAUCAUCUUGCUGGUGUCAAACCAGUCCGGCAAUAUUGCUCCAAGGCUGCCGACCUGCGCUAGACACGUCGUCACUUUGUUGAGCCAAGCUCAACUUCUUCGGAUCAUCAUCUCGGCAAGCCAAACAAGAGUCCGGCAUCGCGAAGGAUAAAUCAUCACCAACAUUGCCGCCCCCACGGAUUACACGGAGCGGGCAUACCGGCAUCGCCUCACAGUCACUUCAUCAAGCCGGCAUCUACCAUGUCACGACCUGCAUCGGCAGGGCCGCACUAUUGCUUCUUCAAGCUGGUAUCCAUCACGCCGACCUACUUCGACUCAUCGGCUAACAUCAAGGCUUUGACAUCUCGGCUAGACCGGGGGCUUCACCAUCUCUUCAUCAACCUACUCCGGAGACUUCGGCAUCACUAGCCGACCAGCUCCGUCAUGUUAGCUGGGCCGUGGGCUUUGCCUCGGCGAGCCAAACUUUGCCAGCAUCGCCAUACCGUCGCUUUAUCGCCCACCAGGCAAUGGGUGUGCGGAUCGAGUCCCAAUUUUCGGAAUCACCUUUCUUCGGAUUGCUACAACAAAUAAACCAGGUGCUAUUAAUCCUAGUAUUUUUUGCUUGUUCGGGUUCAUUUUUCCCAAGAAAUUAUUACUCUGGUUUGUUCAUCAUAUGUACACAGGUCUAUCAAAUGAUGGCCACAUUAAUGACGGUCACAUGGUGGUUCGGUCAAUUUCCGUACAUGGUCCGACGAACGCCGCAUCUGGAACUCGGACCGACAUGUGAAUUCAAGCUUUGCCAUGCCUUUACCGCAUCACACCGACGCCCUGCGUCGACAUUGACUUCGGCGCCAGGCCAUAUUUAUUUUAUUACUCACUUUGCAUAAAUUAUUUAUUAUGUAACAAAUUUUUAAUUAUUAUUGUUAUUACUGUUAUCUCCGGUUUGCACUAUAUUUUGUGCAUAGGAAAAUGAUCCGGGUUGGGCAGUAUCGUCAACUCGGCGUACUUACAUACCACGUCACCUCGGCUGGACGGGGGGCUUCGUCAACACUUCAUUACCCCAUGCCAGGGACUUCGGCAUCACUCUGCCGGCCCGCAUUGACCGUGCUAUGUCACCACUUCGAAGUGCCGAGCUCUUUGCUCCGCCACCUUGGGACUGGCUUGGGGGAUGGAACCUUGUCCCGCAUCAAGCUCGGGCCGCGUCAUCAACACCGAACACAUUAACCAGCUAAGUUGCCUUCAUGCUCAAAGUUUUAAAUUUUUAACUUGUGUUCGGUUCGACCAAGCAUUAUACUUUUUUGGAAAAAAGUUGCUUGUAAAAAAUUUCCUUGUCCAAACUUUGUUUGUGACGCACAAAUUCAAAUACCCCGUUUAUUUGGGGGCUUCCUUUAUGAAGCUUUUCCUCUUGCAUAUGAUUAUACUUGUACGCCUUCGUUCCUUGUUCGUGUAUUACGCCACAAUAUGCAUCAUAUUGACUUAAGCGAUUUGCAAGAUGGGUUGCCUGGCUCCUGUGCUUACCCCUACAUUCCCGAUUAUUCGGCUAGGGAGUAAAGGGAGCACCUCUGCGAUUGUCACGACCGAGUCCUCCGAGCUCUGACCUCAGACUGGGUGAAGCCGAAAGCUAGCGCUCUUAUUGUUUUCAAUCAUGGUCGGCGCACAACGGAACUCAUGAGUACAAAAAAUCUAUUGCACAAGUCUCAUAGUAAUAAUGAGCACCAAAAAAGGUAUCGGUGGGGGUACUAUUUUCUUCGAAGAUGCUUCUUACACUUCGUCUGUAAUAUAGCAUAAGUCCCCUAAGCGCGCUUUGUCUGUUAUAGCAUUAUGGCUCGGUUGCCUGGUCAUCGGAAACACUAUCGAUAUUCUCAACAGGUGGAGUACAUAACACUUUUCGGUCCUUGACCGAAGAGGGAGAAGUCGACGGUCGGUUAAGACGCGUUUAAAGUUUGGGUGAACAAAGAUAUGAUAUUAGUACUUCGGUACAUACAAUCAUUAUACAUAAAAUUCUUACCCAAGUCAGUUGGGGCUCUUAAAAUUUAUAUAUGAGUUGUAAAUGUGUUUUCUUCUUGGUCGUUGUCAAAACACGACAGAAGCACAAUUUUUUCUUUCUCUUCCAAUUUUCUUAUUGGCACCGAACACUUGAUCUUGUUCGGACGUCAUGUCUUUACUGAAGUUUUUUGGUUUUCCAAGCUUAUGGCACUUUCAAACUAUUUGUGUGUUUCCAACACAAGUCUCACAGUGUAAUGCCGGACACCUUUAUAGAUUCGGCAAAAACAUUCUCAGAUCUCACUAUAUAUGCAUUGGUUUCAAAUUGUGUCUUCGGUCAAUAGUUGGGUUGCCCGGCUCCUGCGCUUGCCUCCUACAUUCCGCUUUGUUCGGCUAGGUGUGCAAAGGGAGAACCACUGCGAUUGUGCUUCUAGCUCACAUGGUUAAGCACCUCAGUGGAGAAAGCCGAAAACUGACUAUCAUAAUAAGCGUAAACUGGUCAGUGAUCCGAUGACGGUGUUAAAUGACGGGCCAUUCAUAACAAUGGCCGAAGUGUUUACAGCUUGACCUCGACUGUCGCCGAACACUACCGGGGGUUAUUAACUGGCCUCAAACUAAAUCCUCGAUAUUUUGCUCUUACAUUAGAGUUGAGGUUUCAUGAUCAUGCUUAGCAUGACAACCCAAAGAAAGGAACCGAUAGUGGGACUAUUUUCUUUGGAAGACAUUUAUUAUGUUAAACAGUAAUAUAACAUAUCUCUCUGCGUACCUUUGUUUAUAAAACCGUAUGGCCAGAUUGCCUUGUUUGUCGUAAAUCUUUGCCCUCAUAAAGGCUUUAUAAAGUAGGACAAACACUCCUCGGCUACUAGCCGAGGAGGUGGAAGCCGAUGGUCGGUCAACAAAGUUUUGUACAAUGCGGAUCCGAGCAUUAAGGAUGUAAAGUACUUGGAUACAUAGAGUCAUUACACAUAAUUUGUGAUUUUACUAUGGAUAUCGAUCCUUAAUUCGGCCACCCGUGCCCACAUUAAGGCUCGGGGGCUACUGGGCUUUGGGCUUAUUACUUACAAAUAUUAAAGGGGCACAUCGAUCCCCUGAUCUGGUGUUGCCACCCGACCAGUGUCUCGGGGGCUACUGCAUUGCCUGUCCAAUGCAAAAAAAAUUAAGUGCAAUACAGUUUUCGAGGAGAUUAUGAUCCUUAGGUUGGUCGGCCGCACCCAACCCGAGUCUCGAGGGCUGAGCACGCCGCUUUUUGUAUCCCAAAGUAUUCUGCCGAGCUAGGACUUGAUCCUCAGGCCGAUUUUGCAAAUCAACCUGAGGCUCAGCGGCUACUGGGAUCAGUGGUCUUACAACAUCCUUCAAGUGCAUCUCAGGUUUUAAACCGAUACACACGUAGAGGGUUACUUGCUAUAUAUCUUGGCAGAGAAUAAAUUGCACCAAUCAAAAAUAUUUACAAAAAAUUGGCCCACAGUCGGGGUGAUGCACCACCUCGGAAGCAGUCCGGCAUAAAGCUUAGGCGCUAGUGGCUGGCUCCAUAGAGGGCAUUUCCAGCAUUAAGCUCGGCUAAACUCCUUCAACUUCUUUGAACCAAGGUGAAUUAUGACAGUCCGGCGUUGGACCUUGGACAUAGUCUGGCGUUAGAGCUUGCACAUAGUCCGGUGUUGGAGCUCGGAUAUAGUCCGGCGUUGGAGCUUGGAUACAUUCCGGUGUUGGAGCUCGGAAGCGGUCCGACGUUGGUGCUCGUCUACAAAAGAUACCUCGAAUGCAGUCCGGCGUUAGAGCUCGGACGCAAGAGGACACUACCUCCUGGGAACAACUUCAAACCCGAGAUGGGGCAUAAAAAUAACAAGGCAUUGAUAAAGGCCGGAAACUUAAAGGGGCUCCUCGGAUACCCGACGUAUAAACUCGUCGAAUGCAUUUUGGCGAUCCUCAAGAUCGAAGAUGAGAAGAUUUGUUGAACCAGUUUUCAAGACCGACAACCGAAUAUGAAGAACAGUUCGGAAGAAUCGAGGAGCGUCCCUAACUUGAAGACCGGUUCAGGGGGCUACUGACGGUGUCCUGGACUAGGGGGUACUCAGCACGUCAUCUCCCGAUCUGUUAGAUUGGGCCGAGGACCCCCAUGGCCAUAUACUCAUGGGCCAGUUUGGACAGCUGCCGCAUACAUGGAAGAUUCCACAAGACUUGGUGAUCAAGACAAGGACUCCUCCCCACCGGCGUAUUCGGCUAGGACUCUUGUUAUCCUAGGCCUCUGGUGCAUUAUAUAAACCGAGGCCAGGCUAGUCGAUAGAUCAUAUACAACAAUCAUACCAUAGGCUAGCUUCUAGGGUUUUAGCCUCUACGAUCUCGUGGUAGAUCAACUCUUGUAAUACUCAUAUCAUUAAUAUCAAUCAAGCAGGACGUAGGGUAUUACCUCCAUCAAGAGGGCCCGAACCUGGGUAAACAUCGUGUCCCCUGCCUCCUGUUACCAUCGAUCCUAGACACACAGUUCGGGACCCCCUCCCGAGAUCCGCCGGUUUUGACACCGACACUCCCCCUCUCUUGUGGAGAUCUAUUCGAUGUAAUCUUCUUUUUGCGGUGUGUUUGUUGAGACCGAUGAAUUGUGGGUUAACGAUCAAGACUCUCUAUGAAUAAUAUUUGAAUCUUCUCUGAAUUCUUUUAUGUAUGAUUGGUUAUCUUUGCAAGUCUCUUCGAAUUAUCAGUUUGGUUUGGCCUACUAGAUUGAUCUUUCUUGCAAUGGGGGAAGUGCUUAGCUUUGGGUUCAAUCUUGCGGUGUCCUUUCCCAGUGAAAGAAGGGGCAGCAAGGCACGUAUUGUAUUGUUGCCAUCGAGGAUAACAAGAUGGGGUUUUUAUCAUAUUGCAUGAAAUUAUCCCUCUACAUCAUGUCAUCUUGCUUAAGGCGUUACUCUGUUUUAACUUAAUACUCUAGAUGCAUGCUGGAUAGCGGUUGAUGAGUGGAGUAAUAGUAGUAGAUGCAGAAUCGUUUCGGUCUACUUGUCUCAGACGUGAUGCCUAUAUACAUGAUCAUACCUAGAUAUUCUCAUAACUAUGCUCAAUUCUGCCAAUUGCUCAAUAGUAAUUUGUUCACCCACCAUAGAAUACUUAUGCUCUUGAGAGAAGCCACUAGUGAAACCUAUGGCCCCCGGGUCUCUUUCUCAUCAUAUCAAUCUCCAUCACUUUAUUAUUGCUUUGCUUUUACUUUUACUUUGCAUCUCUAUAACAAAAAAUACCAAAAAUAUUAUUUAUCAUCUCUAUCAUAUCUCACUUUCGUAAGUGACCUGAAGGGAUUGACAACCCCUAAGCACGUUGGUUGCGUUGAGCUAUUGUUUUUGUGUAGGUACGAGGGACUCGAGCGUAGCCUCCUACUGGAUUGAUACCUUGGUUCUCAAAAACUGAGGGAAAUACUUACGCUACUUUGCUGCAUCAUCCCUUCCUCUUCGGGGAAAUCCAACGCAGUGCUCAAGAGGUAGCAGACCUACUCAACGAUAGAUGGACAUACAUCCUAAUAGCCGAAGAAUACGGCCUCAAGUGCACAACCAAGGGUUACCCGAAGCGCAGAUUGCUACCUUAGUUCGAUGAGGAGGCGCCGGAACCUGUGCCACGCGGUCUGUACAAUGCGGUUAACCGACCACCAUGUAGCCGGGAUAAAGCGGCAGCUCAAGCCGAACAGCAGCCCGCCUCAACCCAAAGAAAAAACAGAGAAAAAACAGCUCGGGAUCAUACAUACGACCCUCGGUAGGACCUGGAUACUAGAGCAGAACAUACCAGAUCGAUCUAUGGAUCGUGAGGACAUGCCUCGAUGCGCAACGGCGGCUACCUAUUCGGACGUGACAAGUCUUGUCACGACCGGGCCGAAAACCGCAGACGGACUCCAUCUAAGCUACAUCGCGACGUGGCCCAAUAUAGAGGCGCCACACACCACUCUGCUUCACUAACAAAGUAAUGAAGCAUGAAUUCCCAGAAGGGUUUAAACCCGUGAAUAUCGAAUCAUACGACGGAACAACAGAUCCCACGGUGUGGAUUGAGGAUUUCCUUCUCCAUAUCCACAUGGCCCAUGGAGACGACCUUCAUGCCAUCAAGUACCUCCCGUUAAAACUCAAAGGACCAGCUCGGCACUGGUUAAACAGUCUGCCUGAAAACUCAAUUGGCAGCUGGGAGGAGUUGGAAGUUGCCUUCCGCGAUAACUUUCAAGGUACAUAUGUCCGGCCACCAGAUGCCGAUGACCUAAGUCACAUUGUCCAGCAGCCCGGAGAGUCUGUUAGAAAGCUCUGGACUAGGUUUUUAGUUAAAGAACCAAUUUGUUGACUGUCUAGACGCGGAAGCCCUCGCGGCCUUCAAACACAGCGUCCGGGACGAGUGGCUUGCCCGCCACCUCGGUCAGGAAAAACCAAAGUCUAUGUCAGCCCUUACCGCUCUAAUGACCCGCUUUUGUGCGGGAGAAGACAGCUGGCUCGCCCGUAGAAGCAAUAGUGCCAGCGAUCCUGGCACCUCCGAAGUGCGGGACAGUAAUGGAAAGCCACAACGCAAUAAAAACAAACGUCGCAAUAAUAAUGAGGGCUCACAAGACACAACGGUCAACACUGGAUUCAGCGGCCCCAAACCCGGCCAACGGAAAAAGCCAUUUACGGAAAACAAAGAAGAGCCAUCCAAUUUAGACAAAAUACUGGAUAGGCCCAGCCAGAUCCAUGGCCACCCUAAUAAACCAGCUAAUCACACCAACAGAAGUUGUUGGGUCUGCAAACAGGCCGGCAAGUUAAAUGCCGAACACAAGGGGAAGAAGCCGCCCGGCGAUAGCAACGACGAACAUGCUCACCAACCGAAGAACGGGGGUCAGAAGCAGUUUCCCCCUGACGCAAAAACAGUAAACAUGGUAUACGUGACACACACCCCUAGAGGUGAGCACACGGAACACUCCCUCUGUACAGGGUGAGCACACGAAGCACUGGUCGACUUCCUCGUCGACUGGGACGAGUCCCAGUACCUACCUCCAGCGCCUGACUCCACCCAUUGGCGGAUGCAUUUCGACGGCUCCAAGAUGCGCACCGGCUUGGGAGCCGGUGUUGUCCUCACUUCUCCUAAAGGCGACAAGCUCAAAUACGCACUGCAAAUCCAUUUUGCCGCCUCCAACAAUGUCGCCGAGUACGAGGCGCUCAUUCACGGGCUCCGGCUUGCCAAAGAACUUGGCAUUCGCCGGAUCCUGUGUUAUGGCGACUCGGACUUAGUGGUCCAGCAGUCGUCUAACGACUGGGACACCAAAGAUGCAAACAUGGCGAGUUACCGUUUCCUCGUGCAGCAACUCAGUGGAUAUUUCGAGGGGUGCGAGUUCCUCCAUGUGCCAAGAAACGACAACGACCAAGCAGACGCCUUGGCAUGAAUCGGUUCUACCCGCCAAGCAAUACCAUCCGGCGUCGCCCUUCAACGCCUCCUCAAGCCGUCUAUCAAGCCUUCACCAGAAUCGGACUCCAUCUUUGUGCCGGCUCCCCCCGAAGAAGUCGGAUCCGACUCCAGAGCCCCGGCAGACGGUACGGGGAUUUUGGCAGAUGGCUCCAAAGCCGCCACAAUCGAGGCUGGCCCAGGGACUGCAGAACCCGGCCCGGGGACUGCGGCGGCCGGCCCGAAGACUCCAGAACUCGGCCCAAGGGCUGCGCCAGUCAGCCCGGGGACUUCAUUAAUCCAGCAAGCGGUUGUUGACUCCAGCCCGCCGCCUCCCAGCCCAGCCGCUCUCGUCCAAGUCACAGUUUUGGCAGUCGAAGAAAUAGCAGCACCCUCAUGGGCCCAGCCCAUCCUCAAAUUCCCGGUGAGCAAAGAGCUGCCGACUGAUGAGACCUUAGCUCGGCAAGUACAACGCCGAGCGGCAGCCUACACCAUAGUCAACAGAGAGCUGGUCAGGCGCAGCGUCACUGGUGUAUACCAGCGCUGUGUAGAGCCAGAGCAAGGCCAGGCAAUUCUCAAAGACAUCCAUCAAGGCGAGUGCGGCCACCAUGCGGCUUCAAGAGCACUCGUCGCCAAAGCUUUCCAACACAGUUUCUUUUGGCCAACAGCCUUAGAAGAGGCCAAGGAAUUGGUCCAAAAAUGCAAAGGGUGCCAAAAGUUCCGCUCCAAGCCGCAUCAGCCGGAUUCUGCACUCAAGACCAUCUCCAUUGCCUAGCCUUUCGCAUUUUGGGUCCUAGACAUGGUGGGACCACUCAAGACGGCACGAGGUGGCUUAACUCACUUACUUGUCACGGUGGACAAGUUCACCAAGUGGAUAGAAGCGAAGCGAAUCAAGAAACUGAAUGGUCCGACUGCAGUGACUUUCAUCUCCGACAUCACAAUUCGGUACGGCAUACCACAUAGCAUCAUCACUGACAACGGUGCGAAUUUUGCCAAAUGCGCCUUGGCCCGUUUCUGUGCGACACAGGGCAUCCGACUGGACCUAGUGUCCGUCGCCCAUCCAUAGUCAAACGGCCAGGUGGAGCAAGCAAAUGGCCUCAUCUUGUCCGGCAUCAAGCCCCGAUUGAUCGAGCCUCUGGAGCGCUCUGCUGGCUGCUGGCUUGAUGAGUUGCCAGCCAUCCUCUGGAGUCUGCGCACGACUCCAAACAAGUCAACCGGCUUCACGCCUUUCUUCCUCAUCUACGAUGCUGAAGCCGUCAUCCCAAUGAACAUAGAGUUUGAUUCCCCGUGAGUCACCAUGUACACCGAGGAAGAAGCAGAAGAAGCACGACAAGAUGGCGUCGACUUGCUGGAAGAGGGCCGGCUGUUGGCACUCAGCCGGUCCAGCAUCUACCAGCAGAGCUUGCGCAGAUACUACAACAGGAAGGUCAGGCCGAGAUCUUUCCAAGAGGGCGACCUCGUGCUCCGACUAAUCCAGCGAACAGCCGUCCAGCACAAGCUGUCGGCGCCUUGGGAAGGCCCCUUCAUCAUCAGCAAAGUGCUGGGCAACGACUCCUACUACCUGAUCGACGCUCAGAAGCCCCGAGCACGCAAGAGGGACGACUCCGGCAAAGAGACAGAGCGGCCAUGGAAUGCGAAUCUCCUCCGAAAAUUUUAUAGUUAAACGCAGUAUGUAUCACGCUACCUUUUGUAUUAAAAGUACCAAGACUUCGGGUCCCCCGAGAAGAGCUCGGGGACUGCCCUCUUUUAUCUAUAUGAUAAGAAAUAUGCCUUCGAGUAUAUUAAUCUUUGUUAUGCCGCUUGGCACCGGGUUCGACUAGUCGGCCCGGGGACUUGCCGUCCUGCGCUAUGAAAUGCUUCCUGCAGCCGGACAGGUAGUGUGUGGCGUCUAAGCCGUCUCCUGCCAGAAGCCGCAGCUCGCAGAGCGACUGUCUGGUGGGCAGGCGUAAGGAAGAAUGGGCGUCCACAUGAAAAAUGGCUAAGGACUCAAAGCAUAAACAUAGCUUAAGGCCGGCUUCUAGCCUUUUUCCGCAAACCGACUCUUGAAUAGUCGUCUUGCCGCCUUCUAUCCGACUUGUUAAACAACUCUAAAAACGGCUAAGUACUUGCCAUCCCAAAGUGACCAAGAAUUUGAUCCAGCAGCAGUCUGCAGAGCGGCUGUCCGACUGACAAAGACGGCAACUGAGGGAAGACGGCAAAGGAAAAAGGCAAAAUAACAAUUAGCAAGAAAAGAUAGAAGUCGGAUGAAUAUUUACAUAACAAGUUCUUCAAAAACUAUUAGAAUAGAUAAAACAAAGACAAGGUGGCAGCCUAGGGGGCGGCAAACGGGUUUGGAGGAUCAGAGGAGACGACGGUGUUGGAUGUUGGGGCGGCCGGCUGGGCGGUAUCGGCUUGAUCACCUCCAGCGGCAGUCGGCUCGGGCGGGCACGGCUCGUUGCUGGAGGCGCGGUCGAGCUGAGGCUGGCCGUCCGCUCCGUCUUCCGGUGCCUCCAUCUCGCUUCCGUCCUCUGCCUCAUCUUCCUCCUCGACGCUGGAGCCGAUCACCUUUGCCGAGUCCUUGCCGUAGUCGGGGUUCAGCCCAAACCACUCCAGCGGUACCUCCCCGCCGUCUUCAGCCUGCUCGGAGACAAAGAUGCUGGUGUCGGUGUACACGGCGAUCGCCGCCGCACGCUUGACAAGGGCGUCUUCCGCGGCUGCCAGCUCCGGCUGGGCCUCUGACCGGAGUGUGGCCAGCCGGUCUAGGUCCAUCCCCGGAUACCAUGCCUUGACGAAUUCCAAGGCUCGACGCGCUCCGGCCCGGGCCGAGGAACCCUUCCAGGCCUCAAGACGGCCAACCGCGACCUCCAGCCAGUCGGUAGUCCGACUGGGGGUGCACGGAGCCUGCACGUCUGGCCACAGGGCGGCGAUCGCUUGGGCGCCGACACAUUGAAGCCGGCGUAGCAUCUGGUGGGCCGGCCGCAGGCGAGCCCCAAUGCUCAAAAUAUGCUCGUCAAGGGUCCGAGGGGCAUCAACGGUGAUCUCCGCGCCAUCCGCCCUCCGCUCCUCGCGAUCGGCCUCGAUAGCUUGAAUGGCGGCCUGCGAGUGGCCGGGGAAGAAGUCUACCAAGACGGAAAGAAUGAAGAACAAGUCAAAAAACCAGGAGUCGGCUCGACCUAUAGUCGGCGGCUCGAAGAAGGAAAGCAGAGAAGCUCACCGUCGACGAGGUCCUCAAUCUCGUGGAAGUCGGAGGCCAGCAUUGCCUCCUUGUCAGUCCAGGAGGAGUGCUCGCUCACGAACUCGGCCAGGAGGGCGGCCUUCGCCUCUUCCGCCUCCUGCUGCAUCUUCUUAAGCAACUCCUUUUGCUUUGCCAAUUAUGCGGCCAGCAGAUUGCACUCUGCGGCGAGUUUGCUGCACUCCCCCCCCCCCUUGGCGCGCAACGCGGAGUUGGCUUCGCUCAGCUGCUGUUGAAGAGUGGCGUUGGCCUCUGAAGAAAAAGAAGAAAGAAGGCGUUAAGUCAUCAACGAAGAAGGUCGCCGGGGAGAUCCGGCCAGACUGCUCAGCAGUCGGCCCAAAUCUCAGGGACUACAACCCGCGGGUGCGCCAGCGCGCCCCCGCAAAGAAGAAAAAAGACUCACUCCGGCUCUUCGACAGGUCGGCGGUCCGCUUGCCUAGCUCUUCAACGUUGCGGUUGAAGGCGGUGACACGAAGGUUGUGAUAGUCCUGCAACAAGUAUUUCAGAGAAAGGUUAGUACCCGAAACUCACCAAUUGGAGUUCUGGGCCACCUGCUCAGCAGCCGGCCCAAAACUCGGGGACUACACCCAGUGGGUGCGCUGGCGCGCCCCCACAGAGAGGACAAGAAAAUAGGGACAAAGGAGAAAGCAUACCCGGAUGGCUGCCCACAACGCCAGGUGCGCCUUGGUGCAGUUUUGGAUGGCAUCACUCUCAGCUCGCAGCUUCGUCUGGACAUCCAGAAGCGCCUGGUUCAGCAGGCCCGUGCCGCCUCCUCACACCCACCCAAUGGGCGCGGCGCUCGUUGCUUCGGCGUCUGGAAUCGUCGAGCUGGCAGUGCCAGUCUCCAAGGGGCGUGGCGCCGAAGUCGCCUUCUCAAGACGGUGGUGCGUUGGCGAGCCGACUUGAAGGAGUAGCCUUGCCACGGCCUCGUCUUCAGCCGGCGGCAAGGGCGGACCCGCCGGCUGUUUGCCUUGCGCGCUCCUAGAUGGCGGCGGGGGCGGCUAUGGCGGCGCGACCGCGUCUGGCAUGGGGGCGUCGCCGCUGCCUCUCUCCACGAUCAGGAACUCGCCGCCGGCUUCCCCUGACUGCCCCGUGAACUCCGGGGGCGGCGGUGCAGAGUUUAGAGGGGUGACGAACACCGCCGACCGCCGGGGCGCAACUUCCUUAGCCGGCCGCUUUGCCGCAGCGGCGGCCUCGGCCGCCUCCAGCUUCUUCAGGGUGGAGGCCUCCGCCUUCUCGGCCUCCGCUUUCUCCCGGCGGGCGGCCUCGUCCUCCUCGCGCUUCUCCUGCGCGUUCCGCUCCGUCGCCUCCCGAAGGUCGGCGGCGGGGUCAAUCCGGCGAGUGGUGGCAGAUGUCUCCACCGACCCCAUAACGGAGGCGGCGGCAACCCUCUCAAGAGUGAGGGGAGCCCUGAGGCGAGAAAAGCAUAUGAAAAACUCAAACAAGAUCAACAAAGAGAAAAUAAAGAUAAGGGAUGGAGGCGCUUACGCAGAGACCAGCGGCGGCUUCUUCACUUCCUUGCGAAAGCGGCUGGCUUUCGCGACCGCCUCUUCCCGCCUGGUCGCGGCGGCCACUCCCUUGAACUUCUUCGACCGGCCACCAAGCGUACUCGGCCCGGCCCGGCGCUUCUUCGCACCGCCUUGAGCAUCCAAGCCGGUAGAGGAACUCGCGCUUGGCUGGUCGGCCUUUGGCUGGCGACGCGGGGCGACUUCUCCCUCGGCCUCGUCGUCAGGCCAGUCGACGAAAGUGGCCGAAGGCCUGGAGCCGCCUGCUUCUCCUCCUCCUCCCUCGGCGUCGGCUUCCAUGGCAGCCGCCCCCAAGUCAGGAUCGUCGAUGUCGCUCUCUGCCCGAUCAGGGACAAACUGAUGAGCCGGCCCCGCGGUGCUGGCCGAAGGAGGGACGAGAGGGUUCUGAUUCAAAACAAAAACGGUAAGACUUGACAAGUCGGACUUGGCAACAAAAGAAAUAGAAGAAGAAGGAAGACGACUUACAAUAGGCGGGGGGGUUGGCGCGCGAAUACGGCUCCUUGCCGAACCGCCAGUCCACCGAGAGACCGCAGUUCGCGAUGUAGUUCACCGUGUUCGCCACCUCUGCAUGAGGCAUGUCCUUGGAGCACAUCCGACUCAGGUCCCGAUGACCGCUCAUCUGGCAGAUCAGGUUAGGUCGGCCUUGGAGUGGGAGGACUCGGCGCGCCACGAAGGCGGCCAGCAAGUUGGCCCCGGUCAAGCCCUCCGACUGCGUCAGCAUUUGGAGUCGCGCGGCGGCGACGGCACCAGCGGGAGACAUCGUCUUGGCUCGGUGUGACCAGCUGGGGAGCCUUCCAGUCGGCGCGUCGGCUUCGUAAGCCGGCAGGUUAACCCAGUCGCCUUCUGGGGUGACGUUCUUCACAUAAAAAUAGAACCGCUGACACAUCUUCACCGACUUAAUUAGUGUGAUGGUGGGAAACGGAUUGUCGGCCACUGAUCUCCGCAUCGCGAUGAAUGCACCACACUGGGCCGGCACGCCGGCGAUGUGUGUGCCGAGCUUGGACUGGAAGAACUCAUCCAGAGCUCGAUGGUGGGGAGAAUGCCGAGGAAGCCUUCGCACAGGGUGGCGAAGGCAGCCAGCAGCACCAUCGUGUUCGGAGUAAGGUGGUGCGGCUGGAGCCCGUGGAACUCCAAGAAGGAGCGGAAGAAGCCGCUCGCCGGCAGCCCCAGGCCGCGCAUAAGGUGCGAGCGGAAUAUGACCCGCUCGCCGUCCUCCAACGCCGGCGAUAUUUCUCCCUCCGGCGCGAGGCGGACCCGCACUAAGUCCCUGCCGGGCAGCCGCCGUGUCUGGCGGAGGAUCUCGAUGUCGUCAUCGUCAACCUCGGAGCCAUCCCACACUCCGGAGCAUACAACAGGAGGCACGGCAGCGGAGGAAGAGCUCAUCACUGCGGGCGCGGCGUGGUUCGGAGCAGCAACGGUGAGAGGAAGAAGAAGCAAGGAGGAGCGAAAGGGAGUGGGGAGAAUGGCACGCGUGCUUCGCCGCCCCCCUCCCCCCGCCUACUUGUAGGCUCGUGGGCUGAGAAGCCGAGGGGGCGGUCAUGGGAUUAACUGCGCCCGGGACCCCACAACCCCCACGAUUUACUAGACGAAGUUACCAUGUGCAAUAACCGCGCGGGAACCCCAACCAUCCGCGCGGCCACAACGGAUCCGUUCGCAUGCCGAGGCACGGUAGUGGCGGGCCCCGCCUAUAGGCCUGUCCCGUCGCGUGUGUGGGUGAGCAGACUAGCUCAGCCACGUGGCGCCUCGCGACGGGUCCACCACGGGCGGCAACCCGGAAGCUUAUUAGGCACGCCGCCUGAACUCCACCGUGAUGUUCAAACUUUUUUAGGGGCAAGUCGGCCUUGAGCAAGUCCGACUCCAACCAGUCGGCUUGACAGAGGACGGCUAGCGAGGCCCAGAUCCAACCACCGGAGAGAAGAAACUGUUGAGGCUCCUCGACAUGUCGCCCUCGGAGCCUCACCAACUUCGAGGACUACUGUCAGAGUAAUGGGCCAUGGGUAGUCUAACCCAGGCCCAGAACCUUUCAAGACAUUGAGGCAGAUUGCGCCCCUCGAGACCCCAGGACAAAGAGCUGCCUUCUGAGAGUCGGCGCCGAGGCGGCCGACUGCCCACUCGCGGCCGAGUCCCAGGGACGACUUCAGGAUGAGCCGACUCCUAACUGGCGACUUCCAGAGAAGCCGGCCUUGGGGAGUCGGCCCGCGACGCCAACAACCCCCAUGCCCUCAUAAAGAGGGACGGGACGGGGAGUGGCCCUAGUAAGGUCCACUCCCACCCCUUUUCCAAGGGCAGACAUGGCUACAGUACGCCGUACCCGCAGAGAUCUCCGCGCGGCGCGACACUAUUGCCAGGCCGGCCCUGAUGUCAGCCCCAGAGGGCGGAGUCCUGUGCCCACGACAGCCUGCCGGUACGACCCAGGGAUGAUGGGUCCCACCAGUCGGCGGGCGUACAAAAGACGGCGAAAGCGCCACCAGUCGGCCCAGAUGGGAGUCAGCCACCAGGAGUCGGCCGACCCCUCCCACGGGCCCCAUGCACCAUUAAUUAGACACGACAGGUAGUGGCCACAAUGAUCGCCACGCCCUCAUGACCGAGCCUGCAUCAUUAGAGGCACGGCUAUAGUAAUCUGCAGCCGGCAAGACCCGCCCGCGGCGGACGUGGCCUGUCGGCUCCGUACCGAGCCAGUCGGCGGGGCCCAACAGUAGGCGGGCCCCAGGAGUCGGCGGAUAAGACGGCGGCCAGAGAGACUGACGGCUAGGCCCGCGCCCAGUCGGAUUACCAUUGUACCCCUGGGGGGUAGACCUAUAUAAACCCCCCAGGGCAUCCAUGCAAAGGGUUGGAAUCCAUUAGCACUAGACCAGAUCGUAUAGGAAGGAGAGAGCUAGCCUUGCCUUCUCCUACCUCCAGGAAACAUCUCAAGGAGCAACCGUGUAAACACUUUGCCAUAGUGAUCAUGCGGAGACCCCGUAGAGCAGCAGUAGGGGUAUUAUCUCCCCGGAGAGCCCCGAAGCUGGGUAAGAUUCGCCGGCGUGCAUGCCUUCGCCUUAUCCCGUUUCCAGGCACCGACGAUGUUCUACUCGCCCCACCAUGAUAAGCCAUCCUUUGGCAUAUGUCGCACCCAACCCCCGACAAAUUCAGAGAAGAUUCAAAUAUUGUUCAUAGAUAGAUUUGAUCAUAAACCCACAAUUCAUCGGUCUCAACAAACACACCGCAAAAAGAAGAUUACAUCGGAUAGAUCUCCACAGGAGAGGGGGAGAACAUUGUAUUGAGAUCCAAAAAGAGAGAAGAAGUCAUCUAGCUACUAACUAUGGACCCGUAGGUCUGAGGUGAACUACUCACACUUCAUCGGAGGGGCUAUGGUGUUGAUGUAGAAGCCCUCCGUGAUCGAUGCCCCCUCCGGCGGAGCUCCGGAACAGGCCCCAAGAUGGGAUCUCGUGGAUACAGAAAGUUCCGGUGGUGGAAUUAGGGUUUUGGCUCAGUAUCUGAUUGUUUGGGGGUACGUAGGUUUAUAUAGGAGGAAGGAGUACGUCGGUGGAGCAACAGGGGGCCCACGAGGGUGGAGGGUGCGCCUGGGGGGUAGGCGCGCCCCCCUACCUCGUGGCCUCCUAUUUUGUGUCUUGACGUAGGGUCCAAGUCUCCUGGGUCUUGUUCAUUGAGAAAAUCACGUUCCCGAAGGUUUCAUUCCGUUUGGACUCCGUUUGAUAUUCCUUUUCUUCGAAACCCUAAAACAGGCAAAAACAACAAUUCUAGGCUGGGCCUCCGGUUAGUAGGUUAGUCCCAAAAAUAAUAUAAAAGUGGAUAAUAAAGCCCAAUAAUGUCCAAAACAGUAGGUAAUAUAGCAUGGAGCAAUCAAAAAUUAUAGAUACGUUGGAGACGUAUCAAUGACCCAAACUCUUAAAGAUUAUGGGAUAUCUGUGAAACAUGUUCCAUUACUUUGUGACAAUGAAAGUGCUAUUAAGAUUGCUCAAAAUACCGUGCAACAUUCUCGAACUAAGCAUAUUGAAGUUCGUCAUCAUUUCAUUCGAGAUCAUGUUGCCAAAGGGGACAUUAAUCUUAAGCAUGUUCACACCGAAAAGCAGUUAGCUGAUAUAUUCACGAAACCACUUGAUGAGAAAAUGUUUUGCAGGUUAAGAGGUGAAGUGAACAUCAUUGAUGCUUCAAACUUGGAGUAGGAACUCCAUUUGAUACAUGCAAGGCAUGAGCCUAUGACUAAUCCUUGAUAGUUCUCUUAUGUUGACUAUCUUAUGUCUUGGAUAUAUUUGCACCUUGCAUGUUAUCUAACCCGUGUAGGUACUUGGAUGAAUCUAAAUCUAUGAGAUUGCAACUCACUCACAUCUUGAGCGAUUUCUAUAUCACCAAGUCUCUACACAAUGGUGGAUGAAGACAAGGAAGCACACAACCAUUCAAAUAUAUCCUUUGACAAAUUUUAUGUUGAGUUUCAUGAUUGUCAUUUUGGAUACACAAGCGCUCUUCCUUGCAAAAACUAACCCUUGUAGGUAGAUGAACUCAAAAUCCAAGUGGUGCUCCCAACUCUUGAUGAGCUAUAUCAACCUUGAGCAACCCACACAAAUUCAACUACAUGAUCAUGAUCGACGCCACCACCCAAGGUAUGUUAUUCCAUCUUAGAGAAGCUUUACUCCAAGUCAUGAGUCAAAGCAACUCAACAAGAUGUGAAUACAUCAAAAAGCUUAAACGAAAAAUGGUAACCCCAUUUUGAGCUUAAACAAUGAGUAUGACCUAUGGUCAAGUGAUCUCACUUGACUCCUAAGUCAAUAUACUCUAACAUAGGUGACUUUGUCGCCGACCAAUUCUAGAUGAAGUUCUCUGGUGUUCUUUUCUGUGCUCUUACAUUUGUCUCAUGCAUAUUUGUUUCCCUCUUCAAAAAAAAUCUUCAUCUAGACUGCUUUUUAGUUUCUUCUCUUUUAUUUUCUGUUCUGCAUUCCUUGCAUCCAAUUCAUUGCAAAUCUUUGAGUUAAUUCCUUGCAAAUCCUUGUGAGAUCUUACUUGUCUAGUGAGCUGAGGUGACAAGUGUUUUCUCGAUGAUGAACUUGGUCUCACCGGUCUGAUGCUUUCGGUCCAACCGAAUCCUAUCGGUACAACCGAACCAUACAACUCGGUGUCACCGAUUUCACCAUAGGAAAGACAUCUUGCCACUUGUUUCUGCAUUCUUUUUGAUCCAGCUCCACUCAAUGACUCAUGUCCUCGACCAGCAUCCCAUUCAACUUGCUGCUUUGUUAUGUGACUCAAGGACCAAAACCCAUCAUGACAAAAAUCCAGAAGAACCCUUCUUGGAAAUUGAUGUCAAAGGGGGAGAGAGAGAUCACAUCAAAGCUUAAUCAUAUCUAUAGGGGGGAGAAUACUCAAGGGAAGAAAGAGUAAUCAUCAAGGACCCCAGAUGCUUGGUGUUCAAGAGGAGAGAAGUCACAUGUCUUCAAGAGGGGAAAGACAUGUUCAUAUUUGCUCGUUUGCAUUAGCUCUGUUUAUUUCCAUUGAGCUCUGAUUUUGCUCUGAUUUUCUGUUCCCUUUCUUCUCCCAGUAUCCCUUGCUAGAUUCAGGGGGAGCAAGACAUCUAAGGGAAGGAAAUCCUUGAAUUUAUUGCACAUCUUUACCUUUGGGGACAUGUCUAUAUCCAAUGUGGUACUUAGUACUCACUCUACAUGUCAUCCCAGUCUUGGUACUCUUGUGGUUUCUUUUGAUUGCUCUAGCCAGCAGGUGUAUCUAUGUCAUCUAAUGUUGUUUACACAGGUUCAUCCCAUCCUAAGCCAACUCAAGACCACAAGGUAAGUAUAUGCAUCACAAUCAUGUGUAUGAGAAAUUCUUGCUGAUGUACAUACUAUUUGCAAGGACUCAUGAGCAUGAAGGUACAUUUCUCAUGUUCACAACAUUUGCUCUGAUGCAUAUAGCCAAGAUACAUGUAACACAUUGCUUACUCUAUCAUGUUUAUGCAUUCACAUGCUUCUAUAUUCCAUAUUCACAUGAUUGCAUACAUGUAGGGGGAGCCUAUGCAUGUUACAUGUCUUUCCAAAGCUUUACUUACUAUUCUCUAUAUAUUUAUCUAAAGCUUUGAUGUAUGUUGUCAUCAAUUACAAAAAAGGGGGAGACUGAAAGCACAAGUGCUCCCUAGGUGGUUUUGGUAAUUAAUGUCAACAUAUCUCUUGUUGGACUAACACUUUUACCUAGUAUGUUUCAAAUAAGUUCAACAAUGAAGUGGCAUGGACUAGAGGAUGUGGAACCCCUUCAAGAUGCUAAGGACAAAGAAUUGGCUCAAGCUCCAAGCUCAAGACUCUACAUUUUCUAUUUUAGUGAUCCAAGAUCACAUUGAGUCGAUAAGAAAAGCCAAUACUAUCAAGGAGGGAUGAGGUGUUGCUUAAUGAGGCUCUUGCUCAAAAUGCUUAGUGAUAUGCUCCAAAGCCCUCAACCACUUUCUCACAUCCAAAUAUGUCCCACACCAAAUAUCCAACUCGGCCCCACCGAUUCUUUCUAUCCGAGCCACCGAGUUCAGUUGACAUAGCCACUACCAAAAACCCUAAUCAGUUCGGUCUCACCGAUAGGGAUCUCGAUCUCACCGAGAUGGGCUUGGAAACUCUCUGUUACAUAUUGCAAUAUUUUCGGUCCCACCGAGAUAUGAAAUCGGCCCCACCGAGUUUGCUUGGCCAACUCUCUGUUUCGCUUAUUACCUAAAUCAGUCCCACCAAGUUUGAGCAAUCGGUCAAACCGAGUUUUGGAUUUACCCUAACCCUAGUACAUCGGUCCCACCGAGUUGAUCCAGUCGGUCCCACCGAAAAUCCUAACGGUCACUAGAUUUGCUGAAUCGGUCUGACCGAGUUUAUCAAUUCGGUCCCACCGAGAUUGGCAAGUUGUGUGUAACAGUUAGAUUUUGUGUGGAGGCUAUAUAUACCCCUCCACCUCCUCUUCAUUCUAGGAGAGAGCCAUCAGAAUGAACCUACACUUCCAACUUACUUUUUCUGAGAGAGAACCACCUACACUUGUGUUGAGGCCAAGAUAUUCCAUUCCUACCUUAUGAAUCUUGAUCUCUAGCCUUCCCCAAGUUGCUUUCCACUCAAAUCUUCUUUCCACCAAAUACAUAUCCUGUGAGAGAGAUUUGAGUGUUGGGGAGACUAUCAUUGGAAGCACAAGAGCAAGGAGUUCAUCAUCAACACACCAUUUGUUACUUCUUGGAGAGUGGUGUCUCCUAGAUUGGCUAGGUGUCACUUGGGAGCCUCCGACAAGAUUGUGGAGUUGAACCAAGGAGUUUGUAAGGGCAAUGAGAUCGCCUACUUCGUGAAGAUAUACCGCUAGUGAGGCAAGUCCUUCGUGGGCGACGGCCAUGGUGGGAUAGACAAGGUUGCUUCUUCGUGGACCCUUCAUGGGUGGAGCCCUUCGUGGACUCACGCAGUCGUUACCCUUCGUGGGUUGAAGUCUCCAUCAACGUGGAUGUAUGAUAGCACCACCUAUCAGAACCACGACAAAAACAUCCGAGUCUCCUAUUGCAUUUGAAUCCUCCAAACCCUUCCCUUUACAUUCUUGCAAGUUACAUGCUUUACUUUCCGCUGCUCAUAUACUCUUUGCAUGCUUGCUUGAUAUGUCUUGUGUUUGUUAAACUUGUGACAAAACUCCACUUCAACUUAAAGAAAUUAAAAACUGCAACUUUUGGGACUUUGUGUCUAAUCACCCCCCACCCCUCUAGACACCUCUUCUCGAUCCUUUCAGUUAUGUUGUUGUCCCUUGGUGUUGUCGUUCUUCUUCCCUUUCCCCGAUUUGUCCUCCUCUGAGUCAGCGUCUUUGGUACUAUCUGAAUCGGCAUAUUUAACCAAAGCGGCCAUAAGCGUUGACAUGUCAUUGCAGUGAUGUUUGAGCCUUCCUAACUUCAGUUUUAACGGUAGAAACCGGCAAUUGCCCUCCAACGUCAAAACUGUUGUAUCCGCGUUGAUGCGAUCCGAUGAAUGCAGAAUAGCUGAGACACUCUUCACCCAAUGGGUUGUAGACUCCACAUCCUCUUGAACACAAGAGGCCAGGUCCACAAUCGACAUAGGCUGCUUACAAGUAUCUUUAAAAUUCUGGAUAAAUCGGUGUUUUAUCUCGGCCCAUGACCUGACAGAGUUAGCCGGUAAGCUCUUUAACCAAGUACGAGCUGUCCCCUCCAACAUCAUGGUGAAUUAUUUAGCACACACCGCUUCAUCUACAUCCAGCAUCUCCAUUGCCAUCUCAUAACUUUCAACCCAUGACUCUGGUUGCAAAUUGGCGAUGUAAUUGGGCACCUUAUGAGGGCCUAUAAAAUCCUUGGGCAGUCGUACAUUACGCAAUGCGGGGGUAAGAGACGGCACCCCUAAAGAGCUGAAGACCACGCCCGGCUCCACUGAAGCGGUAGGACGAACCGGAGUAGGUUGAUGAGUUGUGUGUUGAGCUGCUAACUCGACUUCUUGACGUGCACGACCAUGAUCCACCACAUCCUGCACAUUAGCACCACCACCUGCCGGGUUAUGCCCUCGCGGCGAGUUAUGGUGACGUGCACUGCUUGACACGGUCGGCUCAUCCUCAACAUGCAUGUUGUAGCUCCGACUUGGGCGGGGGGUGGAAUGAAUCCUCUCGCGACUAUGCGAAUAAGCCUGUUGCUGGUUUAAAGCCGUUUGAAGGAGCUCUCUGGCCCGCCGUGUCUCAACCGCCGCUGGUGACUCGCCGUCCAUUAGGAGGGCUGCCAAUCGUGAAGCGGCGGCCACAAUGUUAUCCAACGGGUUGGAGUAAUGCCCUGGAGGCGUCGGAACGUACUGUGGCACAAUGUUGUUCUGACGAGGGGGGUUCAUCGUGCGCGGCUGAACCGGCGCUCCUGUUCCCGGUGCCUCAGUCUGGUUUCCAACCGGCUGGUUACUGGUUCCUACUCCUGGCGUGUUGAAGAGAUUUCUUGGCUCAUAACCCGGUGGGAGGUGCCACCGAUAUCUCCUCCUCAUCAUAUCAUCUGAGGCACUCUGAUCCAGCCUAAGCCGGUAGGGCUGAGCUUCCAACUUGGCCCGUUUUGUAGCCAUCCUGGAGUUCUCUGCUGCCAGGUCCGCUUUAGCCUGAGUUAUCCGAUCCUUCACCUUUGCAAUCUCCGCAUUGUGCUGAUCCCGGGUUGCUGCAUCCACCUUUGCCGCCAUCAAUGUUGCCUAAGCAUCAAACAAAUCGGACAAAACCUGCGCCGGAGGCGGCGCAGAGCCCCCUGCUCCCGCUGGUGUUGUUGUUGCUGAACCGGAGAGCAUUGCUGUGGCGGUAGAAGAGUUUUUUGCUGGUUGUGUAGCGGCCAUGAAGACUGCGAUCUGGCUUGGCAGAUCGAGGGGGUCCGGAAUGCUGUUGCCAUCGGAACCUCCACUAAUCCGGCAGUCCUGCAACUGAUACAGCGACUCGGUCUCUCCGGUUGAAGACUCGUCAUCCGAACAGACAACGGUUUCUCCAUCAUAUGCUGGUCCAUCCUCAUAUUCCGCUCCAUGGAUGGCACCUACGAAAACAUGCCAUGCUACGGGCUGAACCUGUCGGCGUUCUAGGAACGGGGGUCCCCAGACUUGCCUGCCUGCGGCCCGUGGCGUGGCUCAAGUGGGGCCUAGUGUGGCCCUCCUUCAUCAGCUCAAGCUCAAGACCCUCGCGAGGGGCCAAGCCUCGCAGGGCGGACGACAGGAAGCUUCCUCAGAGGCAGCCUCAUCAGGCAGGCUCACGAGGAGGCGGAGAGAUCAAGGCAGGGGUAUCUCGCAAGGAGCCCGUGACGCAAGCCAUGACGAUCAAGACCAGGCGGGCGCCAGGCGGGCGCCGGCCUGCGCAGUGUCCUUGUUUCCCCUUUGGUGCAAAGGGGGCAAGCACAGGCCAAGGCAUCAGGCAAAGGUUACCAUUCCGGUGCAACGAGACCGAGACCAGCAGAGCGGCAGGACGGAGGUCACCAUGGAGCCCAAGACGGCGUCAUCACUAGUGCUUUUGGCAGCCGAAGACCACCUUUGGUCAGGAUAACUUGUACUAGAUGUUCCCCUUCAAAAUGGCCAAUUGUUGGCGCCCUUCCCACUCAUUAUUUGGGGAGAGGCCCAGGGCCUCUAUAAAUAGAGCAAGCCACCACAGAGUAGAGGACAGACAGGAAGGGACCGGAAAAGAGAGAGAGAGAGAGAGAGAGAGAGAGAGAGAGAGAGGCGACUGAACUCACCCUAGAAGUUCAUCGCACCAGCUCAAGAACACCUCUCGUGAGGCUGUUCUUCCCUUGUACUGUUCAUCAUCAGCCCCUGAGGCAAUCCACCACACCACACACUAGAGUACGGUAUUACACCACAACGGUGGCCCGAACCAGUAUAAACCUCGUGUACCUUGUGUUGUUCGUUGUUUCCAGCUUAGAUCACGCGAGGAGAUUGGACGUAGAUCGGUAGGGGAGAGAUCUCCGCGCGCACCCUAGUGUUCGAACCUCAAGGGUCUGCCGGAACCCAAAAUCCGACAUUUGGCAUGCCAGGUAGGGGUGCACCGGAAUCCUUCUUCCUCCGCAUCAUGUUCCAUCGUCUCGCCGUUCAGAUGUCAAGUGACCCAACAGCCAACGCCGACCGCUGGGCAGCGUGGCCCGCCCACGCCGUGGCACCAGCCCAGGGCGACCUCAACCUUGCGCCUCAGGCAGCCCGCGCUCCGCAGGGCGCUGCGGGGCGUGGGCGACGCGGCCAGACGUCGCCUGCCCUCACACCACGGCAGGUGCGGGCCGCGUCAAGGGCCUCAGACCACGCCGUGCCCACAGCGCCGUACACCCGACGGGAUCAAGCGAAUUCCAGGACCGCGCUCACGGUGGCCCGAGAGCUGCUACGGUGCCGACUGGUGGAGGGCGGCCGCGGCAUGUUGUUGGGGCAAGUAGCUGAGCUCCUGGACGCCGUCGCCUCAGGAACACCUCCUUUCUACGUCCAGCUGCCACCCCAGACCCAAGGCGGGCCGCAUGGUGGCAUCGUGCGCACGCACGCGACUUCUAGUGGACUCCAGGGCCCGUCCAGCGCCAACACCUCCGCCGGCAUUGGGCAAUAAGUCACGCCAGCCCCCUCUCAGGCAAGCGAACGGGUGCACGCCGCGGCCUUCUACCUCGGCAGACCGCCGCGCCAUCACCCCCAAGACGGCGCUCCAAGCCAGGCUGCAUGGCAUACAGGGUGCUGCGGCGAGGCGCAUGAGGCGGUGGCCCUAGAAGCUUAUGUGCCCCACAUGGUGGAUCAGGGGUGCGCGCUGGAAGAAGAUCAUGGCUCAUUCCUCGGGCCAGGCUAGGGCGAGGAGACGCCAGAAGCUGGGCUCUUUCGGGAACCCCGGGAGAGCCUCGACCACCACACCAGCGGCGGCAACUAUCGGGUACCACUCAUCCCUCGGGAGCAAGCUUAUGCUAACCAUGGGUCGCAGGAGAUACAGGUCUCCGCAGCGGGUGGCUACCCCAAUUCUGCAGCCUCAUACCCCUCAGGAGGAGGGCGCAGGGGGCUACAAGAGAGGGGCCGAGAUUCGGGUUCGUUCCCGCGAUGGUCGGAGCAAGGCGUUCUCUGGAGGUAGGCCUGCUGCCGGGGAGGUGCCCCAGGGCCUGCCCCCGGCAGGGGACCCGUGGUCGUCGGGGGAACCGCUGGCGACCGCUCUGCCUCAUUAGCGUCAUCCUGGUUUGCGGUCGCCAUUGAUGGCGGCAGAGUGUGGCGCAAGGCGGGGCCCUCGUCUGGUGAUAUGAUGCAAGGCCGGUACCUAUGAAGAAGGCCCAGUGCCUGUGAAGCUUGCCGCCCGUGACACUCUCACGUAAUAAUGAGUGGGGCUGUACAUGCCCCGGAGUCUCCGGAGAUCCGCCCUCAGGCCUUGGGGGCUCCCGCCCACGCCCAGUGGUAGCACUUAGCUCCGCGUUGGUGAGAAGACGUCGAAGACUAGACUAGGUGGCGGACGCGGCCUUUUGCUUUUGCCUUUCCUUGUUGACAAGUUCUUCAAUUUGGAUUUAAGUUGGAUUUGAGCUCGAUGCUUGCAUGUGUUUGGGGGAAGGGGUGUUUAGUCUUGUUCGAGCAAAUCUCUCGCGUUCUGGUUUUGGCUUUGCGUCCAAAGUGAACAUCGGCUGCCCCCCUCGCGAGCCCCUCGUGAGCCGAGCCGGUCCAGGCACGUUCACAACCAGGACCGCUGUUACCGCACCCUUUCCGGAGAUUUUCAUCGCGGGAUCCACAAGUUAAUCAGAAGACACCCGAGGUGCAGCGGCCCCCGCAGGCCCGCUCGGGACUCAUUGGGGUCAAAGGGUACACAAGCCAGCUGACCCAUCACUGGGCCAGCGGCUAAGUUCACAUGCAACAUUAUGCUUACCAGGGUACUAAUUGCAAACACUUACAUGAGGGGCCUCCCCUCCCAAAAUGCUCUUAUAUCCUUCAGGGCCAAGCCCGAACCUUCUUCGUGCAGGUUAAACAGCAGUGACAUGUGGUCAGUCGGACAUAUCACUCACUGCGUCUUCUUGGGCAUCCUCGGAGGCAUCACUGGCGUCGUUGACAUUGCCGCUGCCGCCAGCAUCUCCAUCAGCGCCAGGCUCGUCCACAACGCUGCCUUCAUUGGCGCCCACAACCACGCCGUCGUCAUCAGACGCAAAGGCCCGGACGAGGGCGUCCACGUUGUCCUCCACCCACCCCGCCAGGUCGCCCCGGACGGCAAUGGGCACGGGUGCGAUGGCAGCAUCAAAGUCGAAGUGGGGAUUCCUGUCCUGCAGAUGGCUGAAGAUGCGGGAGAAGGCACGCCCGAGCAAGGCUCGGCUCCUCUCUUCGACAAGCCAACGGGACCUCUCGGAUCAGUUCUCCAGAAGUGUCACCACAUCGGUGAAAAAUUGGAGGUUGCUGGCAUAGUUGACCUCGUGCGGCUCCUUAGCGGCAGCCUCACAGAUAUAGCCCAAAGCUGUGUUGGCCCUCUCUCUGAGCGUUUGAAGCAUGGGGGCAUGCACAUGCUCCAGAACCCACCGCCGACGGAUCUCGUCCUCAUCCUGCUGCGUGACGGCCUCGGCAUCAUCAACCCUCUGUUGGAGAAGAAGCUACUCGGACCAGGAAGAGGACAGCUUCGCGUGCGCCGCACUGAGGGCGGCUGCGGAGGAGUCCGCACGCCGCGUCACUUCGGUUAGUUUGGCCCUGAGGGUUGCGGUCCUGCCCUCGACCUCGGCCUUGACCAACCCCAACCUCAUCUCGUAUUCACGCUCGAAGGCCGAGCGAGCUUCCGCCACGCGGUGAUGGACUUCUUCCUGGGCUCGGGCUUCGUGCGCGGCAACGUCAUCCUCCGCCCGGGCCACCAGGCGCUCCCUCGUCUCCAACCGCUCAAGGUCAAGGUUGCGCUCGGAGGCCUCCAGCGUCAGCGCCUCCUUGCGCUUCAGAAGCUCCGCCCGAUCAACAGGGCCCCCCUCCAUCGACUCAAGGGCCGCCCGGCGUAGUUCCACUUGCUGCUCCAGGGAGUUGCCCCAUGCCAGGAGAUCCCAUGCGCGCUCCUCCGCAUUCUUGCGCCGUCGGUCUGCUUCCCGGGCCUCCUCGACGGCCUGGGAGCAGGCCUCCUGCAAAGCUGCCAGCGACGCUUCAGCCUUCGCGUUUUUGAGAUCACGUUGGUGACGCGCGAGGGCGAUGGCUACCUUUAGUUUGUGCCUCUCCUCAGCAAGGCGCAAACCUUCGGCCUCGAGGCACGCAUCCUCGUCAGCAAGCUCUGCCCUGAUCUGGCUCACCGCAUCCGCCGCCCUCUGGAGGAACUCUUCGCGAAGGGCGCGUCGCUCCCGAGCACGCCUGAGUACGUCUUCCGCAUCACCCUCUUCCAUCAGAGCAUGCGGAGGGCCCCGAGGCGGCAGGCCCCCUCUCGGCGCGGGGCUGGGGGCUGGCGCCCUAGCCAUUGCCGAACGGACCUCUCUAGGAAUCCGGCCUAGUGUCGGCCCACCCACGGAGUAGGAUCCGAAGACAGACUUCAGCCAUUCACCAUCUAUGAUCAGAGGAGGAACGCGGGGUAAGCUGGAUGUGCCCCAGGAGGACUCAUGAAGAAAGGACAGGGGACGCGCAGGCUCGAGGUGCCCUAUGGAACGGACCACUCCACCAACUGGUUUGGCAGUAUGGGUGCCGCUCGAGCUCGCCGAACCCAGGGCCGGCGGAGAAGGCAAAGCUUGGGGGGAUGGCUCUCAGGCUAACUCGAUAAGUUUCGCAGGGCAGGGCCUGAAAGGGCCACAAUCAGUCGCAGGGAUAGCAAAGUAAAUGAGCAAGGAAAGAAGAAGACUUACUCAUCCAUGGCAAAGUACUUACUGUGCUUCAACAAGCGGCAAGGGCGGUUGUUGCCACCCAAGGCCUCCUUCCUCUUGCGGAGGGCCUCGAAGUCUAUGCGGAACCAACCUAAGCGCCUGGCGCAGGGGUCAGCCCCUGGUGCGGAAGAAGCAUCAAGAUGAUCAGCGCUGGAGGAGUCAGCCUGGGGGCGCUGUCAGGCAUCACCUCGCGAGGAACGGCUGGGGGCUCGGGAGCCCCGGCCUCAGGAACCGUAGGCCGCAACUCCGCACCAGCCGCCGCUCCAUGGUGGGCCUCGGGAGACGCCGCCUUCGAGGCUUCUCGCGGCAUCGGCCCUCAACAUCGGGCGCCUCAACUCUCGUCGGUUCUCGUCUCCCCGCCCUGUCGCCCGAGGAAGGACCGCUGUGGGCGGCAGGAGAAGCAACCAUGGUGGCUGGGUUCUCGCGGGGCCCCGUGAAGCCAGCCGGGCGCAGUCCCCACUCGUCGAAGCCGGGCAUCUACCUCACAAAAUCGGCCCUGCCGGAGCAAAGAUACAAGAGGACACCAUUACUCCGAAGGCUGCCUGGGGAAGGAUCGCCAGUCAAGACCCUGAGCACCGUCUGCAGCACUUCAGGCGCCAAGUCCUCCUCCUGAAGCCGCAUGCGGUCUCUAUGCCCCGCAAAGUCCCACAUCCGGCGAGAGUGGCGCUGAAGAGGAGCAAUGCGACAUUGGAGGAACUCCUUCACCACCUUGGGCGCUGUCACAUUGAGCGCCCUCAAACUCUGGAAGCGGCGCCAGACGAAGGCGAGCUGGGGGCUCGCGAGCACCUCAUGGUCCCAACCCGCGUGAGGAACAGCAGGCGAGGUCGGGUGCGAGAGCAGAGGGUUGGGCACUCCAACGUCCACGUACAGCCACCGCUCUCUCAACCUGGCCUCAGAAGGAGGAAGGACGAAGUCGAUCCCUGAAGCGGCCGUCUCUGGCACGGCUAGGAAGCUCACACACCCUAAGCACUGAGUGGGAUCGCUUAGGCACAAGGAAAUGAAGUGGCGCAGCAGGGCCAUGGAAGGAGGAAUGCCUAUCAUCACCUCGCAAACAAAAGCAAAGACAGCCAGAAGAGUAAUGGACUCCGGCCCGAGGUGCAUCAUGCGGAUCUGAUAAUGGGAAAGCACCGCGUUGAAGAAGGCGGAAAAGGGGGGAACCAGACCCGCCCAUAGGGCAUCAGCGAAGAAUUGGACCUCCGUGACGAUCCUAUCAAGGGAGGCAUGGGACGCAGGCCAGGCCAUGGUCCUGCCGCACUCGUUGAAGAUAGUUGCAAGGGCGGAGCGGACCUUGUCUAAAGCUUCUGGAUUGAGUAUGAUUGACCGGGUGACGGCGGGGGUCACCGCUGGAGGUGUGCGGGGCGAAGGCGCGGGCUUCUUUCCCCUACCUUUCUUCGUCGGUGCCAUGGCGGUGAAGAGGAGGAAGAACUCGAGCCGGAUUGGCGGCGGAGGCUGGAGCUCAAAGAAGAAAGAAAGGUAGGAGGCGGGCGAGCAGCGGAAAGGAGGAACAACUGUGUGCAACAACGGGUCCGCUUAGCCGGGCGCAUAACAAGGCGUCGCGGGGAAGCGCAGACACCCACGUCCAGUCAAUCGCCACGCGGCGCCCGAGGCUGCAGGCUUUUUGGGCCUGCGGUGCUUCGUUCUUGGCCCUUCGCUUCCCUUCUAGGCCAAGCCCGGGCGCGCCUUGGGCCUGGGGGCUACUGUCAGCGUUCUAGGAACGGGGGUCCCCAGACUUGCCUACCUGCGGCCCGCGGCGUGGCUCAAGUGUGGGCCUAGUGCGGCCCACCUUCAUCAGCUCAAGCUCAAGACCCUCGCGAGGAGCCAAGCCUCGUGGGGCGGACGACAGGAAGCUUCCUUAGAGGCAGCCUCAUCAGGCCGGCUCGCGAGGAGGCGGAGAGAUCAAGGCAGGGGUACCUCGCGAGGAGCCCGUGACGCAAGCCAUGACGAUCGAGACCAGGCGGGCGCCAGGCGGGCGCCGGCCUGCGCAGUGUCCUUGUUUCCCCUUUGGUGCAAAGGGGGCAAGCACAGGCCAAGUCAUCGGGCAAAGGUUACCAUUCCGGUGCAACGAGACCAAGACCAGCAGAGCGGCAGGACGGAGGUCACCGUGGAGCCCAAGACGGCGUCAUCACCAGUGCUUUUGGCAGCCGAAGACCACCUUUGGUCAGGAUAACUUGUAAUAUAUGUUCCCCUUCAAAAUGAUCAAUUGUUGGCGCCCUUCCCGCUCAUUAUUUGGGGAGAGGCCCAGGGCCUCUAUAAAUAGAGCUAGCCACCACAGAGUAGAGGGCAGACAGGAAGGGACCGGAAAAGAGAGAUAGAGAGAGAGAGGCGACUGAACUCACCCUAGCAGUUCAUCGCACCAGCUCAAGAACACCUCUCGUGAGGUUGUUCUUCCCUUGUAUUGUUCAUCAUCAGCCCCUGAGGCAAUACACCACACCACACACUAGAGUAGGGUAUUACACCACAACGGUGGCCCGAACCAGUAUAAACCUCGUGUCCCUUGUGUUGUUCAUUGUUUCCAGCUUAGGUCACGCGAGGAGAUUGGACGUAGAUCGAUAGGGAGAAAUCUCCGCGCGCACCCCAGUGUUCGAACCUCAAGGGUCUGCCGGAACCCGAAAUUCGACAGAACCUGGGCAGGGCUUGCACGCUCAGCCGUCUUGAUGAUGUCGGUGCAGGUGUCCGGCUCAGGGCCCGGUUCGCCGAUCUUGCCGAUGAAGACGUGAAUCCCAUGAAAGGGGACUCGGUACCUGUACUCAAUUGAACCGGCCUUGGGACCCCAUCCUGCGUCGUCGAUGUAGAGCUUGCCACGACGACUCUUCGUCAUCCAGCGCACAACGUAUCCCUUGAGUCCUUCGAAGUUGCCCUUCAAGAACUGGAAACCAUCGUGCGAUAGCCCCACGGUGGGCGCCAACUGUCGUGGUUUUGUCAUGGCAGAUGUCCUCGUGAAAGGACUUAGUCAUGGAGCCAUCGCUACGGGUUAGCUUAAAGGGGUUAAACUGGACAAGGGACACGAGGGUUUUUAUACUAGUUCGGCCCCUUCAAUGAAGGUAUAAGCCUACGUCUAGUUGUGUUGGUAUUGCUAGGAUUUCGAUGACCAGGGAGCGAAUCUGGUUGCCUGGCUCUCGAGUUGUUGUCUGUUGUCCCUAAACCGCUGACGGGUCGUCCCUUUAUAUACAUAGGUUGACGCCCGCCGGUUUACAGAGUCCCGAGGCCGGAUCAUAAACGUGUCCGGCUUGGUCCCUAUCUUUCCUAUCUUACAAUGCAAGUUACUUAAUAAGGUCGGUUUACAUCUAUAGGCCUUAACUCGCCUUUGGGCCUUGGGCCUUCGUAAAGCGCCAUCAUUCUUACGUCUUCGUAGGCUUCUAAUCUUCAUAAAGUUAAUCCGGCUACUCCUGGCCGGUUUACGUCCAGUAGUAAUAUCCCCAACAGUGACCACAAUCUCCUUCGUGGAUCUCACGCAAAAUUUUGCGGCCUUCUUCAGGAGAUACACAACGCUGAAACGCCCCUGUCACACUGCAAUGAUGUAACUCUCCAUUGAUAGUAGUCAUGGACUUAGACCACCGGAUUAUCUUCCUGGCCGAAGUUUCGUCCUCCAGUAACUCGCCCCGGUUCAUAUACGCCAAACAUGGAACCGCCUAAUCCGGGAUAACAUGAAGAGCCGCCACCAACUGAGCCUCCGGAUCAGGAACAGCCAAAUCCUCUUCCGUAGGGAGCUUGACGGACGGAUUAUGCAGCACAUCCAGGAAAACAUUGGGUGGAACCAGUUUACGUUGGGAACCCAAGUGGCUUAAAGAGUCCGCCGCUUCAUUCUUCAGCCGGCCCACAUGGUCGACCUGAUAACCUUUGAAGUGACCUGCAAUAAUGUCCACCUCUCGACGAUAUGCUGCCAUGAGUGGGUCCUUGGAAUCCCAAGUACCAGACACUUGUUGAGCCACCAAGUCCGAGUCACCGAAGCACUUAACCCGGCUUAAAUUCAUCCAUCUGAAGACCGUGGAGUAAAGCCUCAUAUUCAGCUGUAUUGUUAGUGCAAGGGAACAUUAAACAGAGAACAUAACAAAACUUAUCACCUCGUGGGGAAGUUAACACGACUCCAGCCCCCGAGCCCUCCAAUUGCCUGGACCCAUCAAAAUGAAUAGUCCAAUAAGUAUGAUUCGGCUUCUCUUCUAGCGCCUAUAACUCUGUCCAGUCAUUGAUGAAGUCCACAAGUGCCUGGGAUUUGACCGCCAUCCAGGGCACAUAUUUUAACCCGUGAGGUCCAAGCUCAAUGGUCCACUUGGCAACCCGGCCAGUUUCUUCCCUGUUCUGGAAUAUAUCCCCCAAAGGAGUAGAACUGACCACAGUGAUGGGAUGACCUUGGAAAUAUUGCUUAAGCUUCCGGCUUGCCAUGAAAACUCCAUACACCAGCUUCUGCCAAUGCGGGUACCUCUGCUUGGACUCAAUGAGUACCUCACUAAUGUAAUAAACUGGCUGUUGAACCGGAUACUCCUUUCCGGCCUCCUUGCGCUCCACCACAAUAGCCACGCUCACCGCUCGGGCAUUAGUGGCCACAUAUAACAACAAGGGCUCUUUAUCAAUAGGAGCAGCAAGGACCAGCGGCUCGGCUAACUGCCGCUUCAAGUCCUCAGACGCUUCAUUGGCGGCAUCACUCCAGAUGAAGUAAUCCGUCUUCUUCAGCAUCUGAUAUAAAGGGAUGGCCUUCUCCCCAAGGCGACUGAUAAACUGGCUCAAGGCUACAAUCCGGCCUGCCUGGCGUUGAACAUCAUUGAUACAGUUCGGUUUAGCCAAAGAGGUUAUGGCCUUGAUUUUCUCCGGAUUAGCUUCACUGCCCCUGUUAGACACCAGAAAGCCCAAGAGCUUUCCUGCCGGUACACCAAAGACACACUUGGCCGGAUUAAGCAUCAUUUUAUAAACCCGGAGGUUAUCAAAGGUCUCCUUCAAGUCAUCUAUCAAUGUCUCCUCCUUUCUGGAUUUCACCACAAUAUCAUCUACAUAAGCAUGAACAUUGCGGCUGAUCUGAUUAUGAAGACAAUUCUGCACACAGCGCUGAUAAGUCGCCAGGGCACUCUUGAGCCCAAAAGGCAUAGAUACAUAACAGAAGGCUCCAAAAGGAGUUAUGAAAGUUGUCUUCUCCUGAUCCUUAACUGCCAUUUUGAUCUGAUGGUAACCAGAGUAUGCAUCCAAAAAGCUCAAAUGCUCACAACCCGCCGUAGCAUCAAUGAUUUGAUCAAUACGAGGGAGAGCAAAAGGAUCUGUCGGACAAGCCCUGUUCAAAUCUAUGUAGUCCACACACAUACGCCAAGUGUCAUUCUUCUUAAGUACCAUCACCAGAUUAGACAACCACUCAGGAUGAAAUACUUCAAUGAUAAACCCAGCCGCCAAGAGCCUGACUACCUCCUUACCAAUGGCCUUGCAUCUUUCUUCAUUGAACCGGCGGAGAAAUUGCUUAACUGAUUUAAACUUGGGAUCAAUAUUGAGAGUGUGCUCAGCGAGUUCCCUCGGUACACAUGGCAUGUCAGAGGGUUUCCAUGCAAAGAUGUCCCGGUUCUCACGAAUGAACUCGAUGAGCGUGCUUUCCUAUUUUGGAUCCAAGUUAGGACUGAUACUAAACUAUUGAGAUGAAUCGCCAGGAACAAAAUCAACCAGCUUAGUCUCAUCAGGCGAUUUAAACUUUAAGGCCGGAUCAUGCUCUGUGGUUGGUUUCUUCAACGAAGUCAUAUCUGCCAGAUCAACAUUGUCCUUUUAGAACUUCAACUCUUCUAUUGCACAAACUGACUCAGCAUAAGCCGCAUCACCUUCACAUUCCAAAGCGAUCUUAUGGCUUCCAUGUCCCGUGAUGGUUCCCUUGUGACCCGGCAUCUUGAGUUGCAGAUAAACAUAACAGGGCCUUCCCAUGAACUUGGCAUAAGUCGGUCAUCCAAAUAGGGCAUGAUAUGGGCUCUUGAUCUUUACUACUUCAAAGGUCAAUGUUUUUGAUCUCGAGUUAUGCUCAUCUCCAAAAGCCACCUCCAGAGCUAUCUUACCAACAGGAUAUGCUGAUUUACCAGGCACCACACCAUGAAAAAUGGUGUUUGAUGCUUUAAGAUUCUUAUCGGUUAACCCCAUGCGACGGAAGGUUUCAUAAUAAAGGAUAUUGAUACUACUUCCUCCAUCCAUGAGUACCUUGGUGAACUUCUAUCCUCCAACCUGAGGUGCCACCACUAAUGCCAGAUGAGGUGGAUAACCCUCUCGACUCCACACAAUGGGCUGUCCAGACCAGUGCAAGUAACGGGGCACCGCCGGUUCAACGGAGUUCACUGCCCUUUUAUGAAGCUUCUGAUCGCGCUUGCACAGACUUGUGGUGAAGACAUGGUACUGCCCACUAUUCAAUUGCUUCGGGUUGCUCUGGUAACCCGACUGCUGUUGUUGCUGCUGACUCCCCUGAUGAUUAUAACCACCUUGGUUGCCCUGAUUGCUGAUACAUCUCUGUCGUAUCUACUUUUCCAAACCCUUUUGCCCUUGUUUUGGACUCUAACUUGCAUGAUUUGAAUGGAACUAACCCGGACUGAUGUUGUUUUCAGCAGAAUUGCCAUGGUGUUAUUUAUGUGCAGAAACAAAAGUACUCAGAAUGACCUGAAACUCCGCAGAGAUUAUUUUUGGAAAUAAUAAAAAAUACUGGCAAAGAAUCAAGGACAAGGGGCCCACACCCUAGCCACGAGGAUGGGGGUGCGCCCCCUGCCUCGUGGCCCCCUGGAGCUCCACCGACCUCAACUCCAACUCCAUAUAUUCGUGUUCGGGGAGAAAAAAAUCAGAGAGAAAGAUUCAUCGCGUUUUACGAUACGGAGCCGCCGCCAAGCCCUAAACUCUCUCGGGAGGGCUGAUCUGGAGUCCCUUCGGGGCUCUGGAGAAGGGAAUCCGUCGCCGUUGUCAUCAUCAACCAUCCUCCAUCACCAAUUUCAUGAUGCUCACCGCCGUGCGUGAGUAAUUCCAUCGUAGGCUUGCUGGACGGUGAUGGGUUGGAUGAGAUUUAUCAUGUAAUCGAGUUAGUUUUGUUAGGGUUUGAUCCCUAAUAUCCAUUAUGUUCUGAGAUUGAUGUUGCUAUGACUUUGCUAUGCUUAAUGCUUGUCACUAGGGCCCGAGUGCCAUGAUUUCAUAUCUGAACCUAUUGUGUUAUCAUGAAUAUAUGUGAGUUCUUGAUCCUAUCUUGCAAGUCUAUAGUCACCUACUAUGUGUUAUUAUCCUGCAACCCCGAAGUGACAAUAAUCGGGACCACUCCCGGUGAUGACCAUAGUUUGAGGAGUUCAUGUAUUCACCAUGUGUUAAUGCUUUGGUCCGGUACUCUAUUAAAAGGAGGCCUUAAUAUCCCUUAGUUUCCGCUAGGACCCCGCUGCCACGGGAGGGUAGGACAAAAGAUGUCAUGCAAGUUCUUUUCCAUAAGCACGUAUGACUAUAUUCGGAAUACAUGCCUACAUUACAUUGAUGAAUUGGAGCUAGUUCUGUGUCACCCUAUGUUAUGACUGUUACAUGAUGAACCAUAUCCGGCAUAAUUCUCCAUCACCGAUCCAAUGCCUACGAGCUUUUCAUAUAUUGUUCUUCGCUUAUUUACUUUUCUGUUGCUAUUGUUAUCAUCACUACAAAAUACCAAAAAUAUUACUUUUGCUACCAUUACCUUUUGCCACUGUUACCACUACUAUCAUAUUUUUACUUUGCUACUAAAUACCUUGCUGCAGAUAUUUAGUUGUCCAUGGGUGGUUGAAUUGACAACUCAGCUGCUAAUACUUAAGAAUAUUCUUUGGCUCCCCUUGUGUCGAAUCAAUAAAUUUGGGUUGAAUACUCUACCCUCGAAAACUGUUGCGAUCCCCUAUACUUGUGGGUUAUCAAGACUAUUUUCUGGCGCCGUUGCCGGGGAGCAUAGCUCUAUUCUUUGAGUCACUUGGGAUUUAUAUCUGCUGGUCACUGUGAAGAACUUGAAAGACGCGAAAACAAAAAUUUAUCCCUCAACUACGAGGGGAGUUAAGGAACUGCCAUCUAGCUCUAAACUUGAUUCAUCUUCUGUUUUGAGUAAGCUUGCGACACCUAAACCUGCUUCUGCUAUUAAUUUUGAUAUGUCGCAUAUUAUUGAUGAUGCCACUUCUGCUAUGCAUGAUACUUAUGAUGAAACUACUUCUGUGCUUGAUACUACUGUGCCACUUGGUGAAUUUCUUGAUGAACAACUUGCUAGGGCUAGAGAGAAUGAAAUUAUUGAAACUGAUAAUAUUGAUGAAAGUGAUGAUGAAGGCUCUCCUAAUAAAUAUGAAUUGCCUGUUGUGCCUGAGGGCUAUGUUAUGGAUGAAGAAACUAAAAAAGACUUUCUUGCAUUUAAUGAUAGAAGUGAUCUUAAGAAAUCAUUAGCUAAGCUUAAACAAAAAACUCUGAAUGCUAGAAUGAAAUAUGAUCCUGCUUAUGAUACUUCACAUAUCUUUGUUACUAAUAAGGAUUAUGAUUUCUCUGUUGAUCCUGAGAUAAUUACUUUAGUUGAAUCUGAUCCUUUCUAUGGUUAUGAAUCUGAAACUGUUGUGGCACAUGUUACUAAAUUAAAUGAUAUAGCCACCCUGUUCACUAAUGAUGAGAGAACUCUCUACUUUUAUAUCCUUAAAAUAUUUCCGUUCUCAUUAAAGGGUGAUGCUAAGAUAUGGUUUCAUUAUCUUGAUCCUAGUUGUGUGCGUAGUCCCCAGGAUAUGAUUUAUUACUUCUCUGCUAAAUAUUUCCCUCCUCAUAAGAAACAAGCUCCCUUAAGGGAUAUAUAUAUAUAUAAUUUUGUGCAAAUUGAAGAAGAGAGUCUCCCACAAGCUUGGGGAGGCUUCUCCAAUUACUUAAUGCUUUGCUUGAUCAUCCUCUUAAGAAGAAUGAAAUACUUUAUGUCUUUUAUAAUGGACUAACCGUUGCUUCCAGAGACCACCUGGAUAGUUGUGUUGGUUCUGUUUUCAGGGAAAGAACACCGGAUGAAGCUGAAAUUCUAUUGAAUAAUAUGUUGACAACUGAAAAUAAUUGGACACUUCCUGAGCCAGCUCCUGAGCCUAUUCCUAAACCAACUCUGAAGAAAAGGGGUGUUCUAUUUCUCAGUCCUGAAGAUAUGCAAGAGGCAAAGAAAUCCAUGAAAGAAAAGGGUAUUAAAGUUGAAGAUGUUAAGAAUUUACCUCCUAUUGAAGAAAUACAUGGUCUUAAUUUACCGCCCGUUGAAGAAAUAUAUGGUUUUAAUCCAUCACCUAUUGAAUAAACACAUGGUCUUGAUAACCCAACACAGGUAUUAAGGUAAAUUCUCUAUAUAGAUAUGAUAAAGCUGAAAUCCCUCCUACUAAGUUUGCUAGCCAAUGUUUGGAUGAGUUUGAUAACUUUAUGGUUAAGCAAGAAGACUUCAAUGCUUAUUUUGGUAGACAAUUGAAACAAAAUGCUUAUAUGAUUGAACACUUGGGUGAUUAUAUGUCUAGAGUUAAAGGUGAACUUAAACUCAUUAGUAAACAUGCUUCUAUGGUUACCACUCAAGUAGAACAAGUACUUAAAGCUCAGAAUGAUUUGCUCAAUGAAUUAAGUAGUAAGAAAAAUGAUAAUGCUGUUAGAGUUAUGACUAGAGGUGGUAAAAUGACUCAGGAACCUUUGUAUCCUAAGGGCCAUCCUAAUAGAAUUGAGCAAGAUUCUCAGAGAAAUAAUAUAGAUGCACCUAGUCCUUCUAAAAGGAAGAGAAAGAAAAAUGAUAGGACUUUGCAUGAUUCUAGUGAACCUGUUAUUGACACACCUGAGAAUCCCACUGAUAUCUCUAUUUCUGUUGUUGAAACACAAUCUGGUAAUGAAAAUGAAACUAGUGAUAAUGUUAAUGAUAAUGUUCAUGUUGAUGCUCAACCUAGCAAUGAUAAUGAUGUAGAAGAUGAACCUGUUGUUGAUCUUGAUAACCCACAAUCAAAGAAUCAACAUUAUGAUAAAAGAGACUUUGUUGCUAGGAAACACGGUAAGGAAAGAGAGCCUUGGGUUCAGAAACCCAUGCCUUUUCCUCCUAAGCCAUCCAAGAAAAAGGAUGAUGAGGAUUUUGAGCGCUUUGCUGAAAUGAAUAGACCUAUCUUUUUGCAUAUGCAUUUGACUAAUAUGCUUAAAAUGAAUCCUUAUGCUAAGUACAUGAAAGAUAUUGUUACUAAUAAAAGAAAUAUACCGGAAGCUGAAAUUUCCACCAUUCUUGCUAAUUAUAUUUUUAAGGGAGGAAUACCAAAGAAACUUGGAGAUCCCAGAGUACCAACUAUACAAUGCUCCAUUAAAAGAAACUAUGUUAAAACUGCUUUAUGUGAUCUUGGAGCCGGUGUUAGUGUUAUGCCUCUCUCUUUAUAUCAUAGACUUGAUUUGAAUAAGUUGACACCUACUGAAAUAUCUUUGCAAAUGGUUGAUAAAUCAACUGCUAUACCUGUCAGUAUUUGUGAGGAUGUGCCUGUUGUGGUUGCAAACGUUACAAUUUUAACGGACUUUGUUAUUCUUGAUAUUCCCGAGGGCGAUAGUAUGUCUAUUAUUCUUAGAAGACCUUUUUUUAAUACUGCAGGGGCAGUUAUUGAUUGCAACAAAGGCAAUGUCACUUUUCAUGUUAAUGGUAAUGAGCAUACGGUACACUUUCCGAGGAAACAACCUCAAGUCCACAGUAUAAAUUCUAUUGGAAAAAUUUCAACAAUCACUCUUGGAGGUUUUGAAUUUCCUCUUCCUACUGUCAAGAAGAAAUAUGAUAUUCUUAUUGUUGGGGAUGUGCAUAUCCCCGUUGAGGUAACCUAGUGUUAUUCGAAAAUUCCCCGGUUUCAUGUUACUCGAAAUGAGUUUGUUAACAAGACUUGAUCAACCUUGUUAGUGGAUUCCUUUUGAUGAGCAUGAGAUGGAUGAAGUUAGAAAGCACAACCUUCUGUACCCUCUUUUUACUUUCUGUUAUUUAGUUUAAAUAAAGCAAAAAUAGUAAUUUCUGUCUGUUUUCUGAUUAUCUGUGCAAUAUAAAAAUACCCCAAAAAUAAAAGUUCUCCAAAUGCCCUGCCAAUUUAAUAUGAUUUUUUCUGGAAUAUUUGAGAAUAUCUGGCACUGAGAACACAACAGGGGAGCAAGCACCUGGCCACGAGGGUCCAGGGUGCACCCACCCCCCCUAAGCAUGCCCCCUGCCUCGUGGGCCGACGGUGGCUCCCCUCCACUUAUUCCUGCACCCACACACUUCUUCUUCCUCCCAAAAAAAUCACCAUCCAACUCAAGCACGAGUUCUAGCUCAUUUUGCUACGAUUUUUGAUCUCCUUGCUCAAAGCACCUCUCACAAAACUGCUUUGGGGGAUUGUUCCUUGGUAUGUGACUCCUCCAUUGGUCCAAUUAGUUUUUAUUCUAGUGCUUUAUUCAUUGCAAAUUUGUGCUGCCUAGGUGACCAUGUUCUUGAGCUUGCAUGUCAAAUUUAUAUGGUUCCAAGUAGUUCUAAUGCAUGAUAUAGGUCCUAGGCACUUGUAGGAGUAGUUGCUAUCAAUUUUGUUGAGCUUGGUUCACUUUUAUUUGAAGUUACUAAAAAUUUCAGAAUUUUUCAGAAAAUAAUGAAGAGAUUUUUGAGGGGCUCAUCGAGCCGAAGCUCGAAGGAAAAGCAAAAUGAAGAAGCAGAGAGGCCCAAAUAUAAUCUGCCUCGCACCGCGGAGGUUCGGCCGUGUGAAUGGCCUUCCAAUGAUUUCUUGAGAGCAGCCGGGAUUUAUGAUGAUUUUUAUGAAUUGGCUAAGAAUGCAAGCCUCAACGACGUCCUCCGCGACCAACGUGAACAAUAUCUCUUACUCACCAAUACUUUUGCGCAAAACUUCUACUAUUAUCCUAAGGAAUUACCUCCUUCAGUAGAGUUUCAUUUAUAUGAUGUGGUUUAGAAGAUGUACUAUAUGAAUUUUGCAGGGUUUGUAAAACACCUUUGAAGGGUAGCUUAGAGGAAGCACGUCGUAGAGAUGUGGACGGGUUUAUUGACACUAUUUCCAUAGGGGAAACUAGGAAGGUUUCCGAUGCAAGAAUCACUAGCAUACAUUUUCCUGUUUUACGCUACUUUGCAAUAUUUGCUAGUCGUUGCUUAAUUGGUCGCGGAAACUGUGGAAACCUUAGUGUUCCUGAUAUUAUUAUUUUGUUCCAUGGUUUAUUCCGUGACGACUCUGUUACUAUGGGCGGUAUUAUUGCCAAACGGUUAAGUCUGAACCAUACAAAGGGCCCCAUCUUUGGAGGUGUCUAUGCUUCAUGCCUUGCUGCAUACUAUAACAUACCUGUUAGGCACUAUGAAAAAGAAGAAAAAUUGCUUCCUACUAUUUAUUUAGAUUAUAAGAGUAUGGUAGCGCAUGAUUUUAUUGUAAAGAAUAGGGAAAGGGAGUUUAAAUACAAAUUGUUCUUUGAUAAACAUCAUCCUGAGACUAUUACCCUGCCUGCCCCUUCCUUGUUUGAUUUGUCUGCAGGCAAGUACCUUGUUCCUUUGGAGGCCAUUCACGCCUACCAAACCCUACAUCAGCUACAGAGCCAAAGCCGGAACCACAGUUUGAUCCUCCAUGACAGUCUGAUUACCGGUGCGAUCCGGAGAUGAUUGCCAACCAGUGGCAAUUAGGGGCUUCUUCAUCAUAGUACGACCCCAACUACAACUUUGGAUAUCCACCAGGCCAUCCAUGGCAAUAAACCCACUUAGACCAAAAGCCUAAGCUUGGGGGGAGUACGUAUUCCUCGGCGACAUUACAUUCAUGUUCACACACUCAUUGCUAGAUGUCUGCGCUCAUACUUUUUCAUUGUGUCAUCCAUGCUAGUUUAUUUUCUCUUUUUAUGCUUUCUUCUUGUGUGUUUAAUAAACCUUAAGAAAAACCAAAAAAUUAGUUGUAGCUUUUAGCUAGUUUUAAUUUCCAUGCUUGUAGUAGUAAUUAAAAAGAAAACCCAAAAAGAUUUCAUGUUCUUCUUUUGCUUGUUGGGAGCUUUCCCGUGUAAAUAGUUUUAUUUCUUUUCUUUUCUCUGGGGUCGAUAGGAGAAGACCAUAAUUAAAUUGUUAAAGUGGCUCUUAUAUGCAUUAUUGUUGAUCUGACAAAAGAGCCCAUAUUGCCUUGUCUUCUCUUGUUUAUUGAAUGCCUGCAGAUUCCAGCUUAGUCCAAUGCACGUGCACUAUUACUAUUAUUCACCUCGUUCGGUCGUGCAAGUGAAAGGCAAUUAUGACAAUAUAUGAUGGACUGAUUGAGAUGAGAGAAGCUGGUACAAACGCGGCCUCUCUUGUUUUUGUAAAUAUGAUUAGUUCAUCGUUCCUGAUUCAGCCUAUUAUGAAUAAACAUGUUUGCAAUGACAAUUAGAGAUUAUAGUUGCUUAUGCCAUGCUUAAUUAGCUAGGAGCUUAUAAUGGUUUACCUUGCGUGCCAACAUGCUAUUAAAAUGGUUGUGAUGUGGUAUGAUAGGGUGGUAUCCUCUUUUGAACGAUUUGAGUGGCUUCACUUGGCACAUGUUCACGCAUGUAGUUGAAACAAAAUCAACAUAUCCUCUACGAUAUUUAUGUUCAUGGUACAUUAUAUCCUACUCAUGCUUGCAUUCGGUGUUGAUUAAUUUUAAUGCAUGUUCAUGACUGUUGUCGCUCUCUAGCUGGUCGCUUCCCAGUCUUUUUCUAGCCUUCACCUGUACUAAGCGGGAAUACUACUUGUGCAUCCAAUCCCAUAAACCCCAAAGUUAUUCCAUAUGAGUCCACCAUACCUACCUAUAUACGGUAUAUACCUGCCGUUCCAAGUAAAUUUGUAUGUGCCAAACUCUAAGCGUUCAAAUAAACAUUCUGUUUUGUAUGCUCGAAUAGCUCAUGUAUCAACUAGGGUUGUCCGUAUCUUCCAUGUUAGGCGGGUUAUUCUCAAGAGGAGUGGACUCCGCUCCUCAUUCAUGAGAAAAUGGCUGGUCACCGGGAUGCCCAGUCCCAUGCUUUAUGCAAACCAAAUCAAAAUAAUUGCACACAAAACUCCCCCGGGACUGUUGUUAGUUGGAGGCACUCAUUGUUUCGAGCAAGCCAUGGAUUGAUGCUUGUUGGUGGAGGGGGGGUAUAAACUUUACCAUUCUAUUUGGGAACCGCCUAUAAUGUGUGUAGCAUGGAAGAUAUCGCCAUCUCUCGGUUGUUAUGUUGACAAUGAAAGUAUACCGCUCAAAAUAUUAUUCAUAUCUAUUUCAAAACCGAGCUCUGGCACCUCUACAAAUCCCUGCUUCCCCCCUGCGAAGGGACUAUCUAUUUACCUUUAUGUUGAGUCAUCAUCCUCUUAUUGAAAAGCACCAGUUGGAGAGCACUGUUGUCAUUUGCAUUCAUUACUGUUAGUUUACAUUGAGUAUGACUUGACUGGAUCUCUUUUACCAUGAAUUACAAUGUCUAGUCAGUCCUCGAUCUUUAAAGGUGCUCUGCAUUUAUGUUUUGCGCUCUCAGAAAGGGCUAGUGUCGGUGUGGAACGACACCUAUGGGAUCACAAGAAUCCCUACUACGGUUGCCGGGGCACAGGGUUGCGAGGAGAGCGGGGCUAGUAGACAGCACAAGGAUCGUUUACCCAGGUUCGGGCCACGAGGAUGCGUAAAACCCUAGUCCUGCUUUGGUGGGUGUAUUUUUGAGAGAUCUUGAGCUCUCGAACUAGUUGUGGUCAGCGCGUGGUUCGAAAGAGCCGAAUCCCCCUCCUCGUCGCCUCGGGUCUCCUUUUAUAGGAAAAGGGGUUGCCACAGUGGCACACAGGAGGUGGAAAGGUCUAAAGUGGCAUGAGGUUAUCCCUCGUAUUACAGGACAAGGUUCAUUUAAUGCACCGCUUAGGUGUCCUCUUGCUUUAUGGGGUACAGGGGCGAGGCCCGGCCCGGCCGUCGCUGCUCCUCCUCACUUCGACACGCGCCUCGGCCAGGGAUGCGUGCGGUGCCAUGUAGGCAGGCAGGCAGCUGAGUUGGUGCGGUGGUGGAGGCUUCACGAAGAUCUGCAUCCGCCACGCAGGCGCUUGAUGAGUUGGCCUGGGAGUUUCAUGUUGCCACGCAGGUGCCCGCCCAGCUGGUUGGGCUGGCAGCUACAUGUGAAUGGCGGUGGAAGCUUGGUUGACGUGGGCUUGGCGGUGGCCUUGCCGGUGUCUUUGGCGAGGGCCUUGCUGGGUGGCCCGGCAAGGGUCUCGCCGUGGCGUGUUGUCGUCCCCGGCAAGGAUCUUGCCGGGGGUUUGGUGGCUUUCCUUGGCAAGGAUCUUGCCGAGAAUCGUCGUCUUCUAAUCUGAUCUUGAAUAUGUCCUCACAAAGAUCUAUAUACCACCACAGAGGUGCCUUCCCUAGCCCUGGCCCCACGCUGAUGAUGGCACUGGGGGCCGUGGGCUCAUGGGUGGCUCGCUCGGUUGGUGCGGGGCGAGCUGUCCCGGCAAGAGUCUUGCCGGGGCCGCUGAGGCCGCCAGGCAAGGGUCUUGCCAAGGGAACUUUCUUCGUCCCUCUACUCUUUGUGGUCUUGGCCUUGGCGUUGCUCUGAUUGUCAUGGGCUUCGAUCUUAUCUUGGCUCACCUCCCUCGUUCUGCUUGGUGUGGCCGUGGGCGCGGCUGUGACUGCCUGUGCAUAGGAAAAGGGUACAAAGAUGCGCCCCUAUUUUUGUACACCGACACAAGCCCCCGGGCCUGGGCCACACAUAAGCGCGAUACGUUGUUGGGCCAGGCCCAAAAUGGUGCGUGGGCAGGUGGACGUUUUUUACCAUGGUAAGAUUCUUCGCGCGCUCCGCCUCCGACGACCCGCGCGCGUGGUGUGGCAUGGAGGGGGGUGCGUGACAUGGGCAGCAUGCGUGGGACGGUUUCCACACGCCUGCGUCACGUCGCAGUAAAGAGGCGGCUCAUGUCUUCCCCGUAAAAAGAGGGAGGCGUGGAGGCGCGGCUCAUUUACUAAGCAGGGUCGGGGUGCGGUCUUCAAGGCGUCCACUCCCCACGAUCACGGGGUGGGGAGAGGUCGCCUCACCCGUCCCCUCAGUUCUGCACGUCUGCCACGCGUCUUUCAUGCGCUUAUGGUGGCAAAUGGUGGAGGCGAGAAGCCGGGCUGCCGCUGGUUGGGGCGACGGGUCGGUCCUGAUUCCCCGUGCCUCCGGUGUCUGGAUUGGCCGGGCAGGGCGGCUGAGCCUCAACCCCGUUCCUUUAUAAAGAGGAGGAAGGGGGGAAUGGCACCCCGCAUUCUUCCAUCUUCUAUCUCCCUCUGCUUCUGCUCCUUCCUCUCACCCGCCAUGGAGAAAGGGAAUCAUGGUCCUUCGACGGUGGCGGCGAGGGUCACCGCUCGACAGCGCGUCCCUCCCCCUUCUGAACCCGUGGUGGUGGAACCGACCGCGAGGGGAAGGGGGAGGGGCGAGGCUGUGGGCGAUGCCGGGGCAGAAGCCGUAGCGCUCGGGGAAGAGGAGGACGGGGCGAUGCGCCAGACCCGCCCAUGCCAAUGAUGCCCUUCCCGAUGGAGGGCCACGUUGAAGACCAGCCUUGCGAGUUCUUCCGAGGCUCCGCCGGGCCCCGCGUCGUCGUCUUCGUCUACCCACUCCGUUCGCUCGGGUGAUGGAGCGUGCCCCACCCCAGACCCUCAGGUUGCACCUGGCCGCUCCUCUGGCAGAAGCUGGUCGGGGCAGGGCCAGCUCGUUGAACCUUGCAGGGCUGUCUCCUUGGGCGCCUGGCGUCGGGAGGCUGUAGAAGAGGAAGAGGGCGGGCGGCAAGGCCGUCAACUCGGAGUAUGCAGGCACCGACGCCUUCAUCGCGUAUUGCCGGUCCUAUCGCCUCGUCUUCCAGCUCCUUUCCCGGCACCGUCAUCACCGGCCCACUCGUGGGUGGCCACCGAGAUGUUCUCUUGGUGCUUUCUGUUGCUCGUAGAUCACCUAGGCACCCCUUUUGCCCUUUCGCCUCCUUGACCUGCCUCUGAGGAGAGGGACAAGAAAGGGAUUAUGGGCAUCUUAUCUAUUUUUUAGUUUGUAAGCAAGCGGGCCUUUGUUAAUUUUAAAACUUGUAAUCCCCUUGCUCAUGUUUUUCAUCUCACACGAACUAUACCUGUAUGGGAUGUUUUUAAUGAAAAAGGGGUGCUUGCCGGGGUUUUUGUUCGCGGGUAAAUCCCGCGACAAGGAGCGAAUCCUUGUUAUUGUUUUAAGAUAAACAUUUGUUCGCCCGGCAACAGGCCUUGCUGUCCCCCCACUCCACUCGACCGUUCUCGCGCUCUUGGCGGAGGCAGGGAUGAAGUGGGCUUUAGGCUCCUCAUCCCACCUCCUUGCCGCCGCGUCUACGACCGAAUCUGGACCCAGGAAAUAACCCCUAGGUAUAGGAAAAGGGGGAGCACGGCAACCUAGAGAUAAAAACGAGGUUUCACAUGCCCCAGUCCGGUUCUGAAAUGCAUGACAGAGGAUAAAAGACUUAUCUGGAUCUGCAGCCCUUGGCAAUCUCAUCUUGCCGCGGUUGGAUCCUUGUGCUUGCAGCCCCCGGCAGCUCUGGCUUGCUGGGGUCGGGGCGUCGGUCCGUUUCCUUCUUUCCGAGUAGCUCAGCAGAAGUGCUCAUGUGCCAUGCGAACCAAAGGAGGAGAAAAGGAACAGAUAGACGCGCACUCGACCUCUAGGCUAGGGGUUAGUCGCCUCUAAGCACUAUCAACCCUAACCAAGGAAGCAACUCGACCUAGCAUGCAUGCUAUAACUUAGGGCGCCAACGCUUCAUUUAUUUAUGCUUAGGGUCUGCGCCUGGCUUUGUACAAAGUGUCACAUGCCUUGUCGGCAAAGCUUGCACAAAAGGUGGCUUGCCGGGAGGCCCGGCAAGCCGUGCCUUAUGGGUAAAACUUGCGAAGAUGCUCGAUGUUCCAGGAGUUGCUCACCGGGAUGGCAUCUUCGGUCUCCAGGCGGACUACGCCAGGCCUGGUGACUCGCAUUACCCGAUAAGGGCCUUCCCACUUCGGCGUCAACUUGUUGGAAUUCUUGGCCGACUGAACGCACCGAAGAACAAGGUUGCCUUCCUCAAGGCUUCGGGCAUGAACCUUGCGGCUAUGAUAGCGGCGCAAGGCUUGCUGAUAGCGUGCCGCUCUCACAGCCUCACGAAGACGAUCUUCCUCAAGGAGCGUCGCGUCAUCUUGGCGCAACGGCUCUUGCUCAAGCUCAUCAUAAGCGAGCACUCGAGGUGACCCGUAUAUGAGUUCCGUGGGGAGAACUGCUUCUGCCCCGUAUACCAGGGCAAAAGGUGUCUGGCCGGUGGCUCGAUUUGGCGUCGUCCUGAUCGACCAAAGAACCGCCGGCAACUCAUCAAUCCAGCGCCUUCCACUCUUCUGCAGCAUGUCAAAGGUCUUUGUUCUCAGGCCUCGCAACACUUCAACAUUUGCCCUCUCCGCUUGGCCGUUGCUCCGUGGAUGUGCCACAGAAGCAAAGCAGACCAUGCUGCCGAGGUCUUGGAUGUACUGCAUGAAGGUGUGGCUUCUGAACUGCGUGCCGUUGUCGGUGAUGACUCUGUUUGGCACACCAAAAUGGCAGAUCAGUCCUUUGAAGAACUUGACGGCUAACUGAGCAGUCACCUUCCUCACUGCUUCCACUUCCGGCCACUUUGUGAACUUGUUGAUAGAGCUCUCUGGCACGUCCUCAACAGUAGCACAACACCCUGAGGAGGUGCGCUUGCCGGAGUGGGUGCGAGAGGUCUUGCCGGGCUCCUUUUUCCCUCCCGGGCCGUCAGCGGCAGGAGCAGGUGCCUUGACGGCAACUGCUACAACUGCUUCUCGAUAGAUUUGGUCGGCGUAGAUCAGCUCGUCCUUCUUGUCGGAGGGGACGGAGAUGAUGGUCAACGGCCCGGGCAUCUUUAGCAUGUUGUGGGCAUAGUGUGACGCUGCCAUGAACUUGGCCAAUGCCGGGCGGCCGAGGAUCCUGUUGUAGGGCAAGGGGAUUUCGGCCACGUCGAAGAUGAUCCUCUCCGUCCUGUAGUUCAACUCUCCUCCAAAUGUCACGGGCAGUGUGACCUUUCCCUUCGGCUGGCUCCUCCCCGGAUUGACCCCUUGAAACGUGCCCGUUUCCUUGAGGUCUCCAUCAGGGAUUUGCAACCUUUGAUCAUGACAGGCGAGAUCAGGUUCAGGCCGGCCCCACCGUCAACCAACAUCUUGUUCUCCCUGAGGUUGCAUAUUGUUGGCGAGACCAACAAUGGCAAACACUUGACCGUGGUAGUGCGGUCAGGGUGGUCCUCGGCAUCAAAUAUGAGGGGCGUGUUGGACCACUUUAGCGGCUUCUGAGCGUCAAACGACGGCUCUGCUGCUGUAAUCUCACGCGCCCACUGCUUGAGCUGGCGGUGAGAGGUAUGCAGCGAGGAGCCGCCAUCGACGCACAUGGCCUCCGUAGCCUUCUGCAACCCUUGCUCACCAGACUCAUCGUCCUCGUCGUGAUCGUCGUCUUCUUGCUUCUUGUUGCGGCCCCGGGCGGGCCUCUCUUGCUGGUUGUCCUUGCCGGGGCGGCCUCCUUGGCCGCCACGCUUCUUGCCGGAUCCCUCAGCACCGUCCUGGUCCUUCUCCUUGUCCCGCCUUUCGUACUUAGCCUUUUGCUUCUCAGCAAGCAGCUCGACUUGUCGGCAGUUCUGGAGGUCGUGGCCCUUGGGGCGGUGGAUCUUGCAGUAUUGCUUGCCGGAGCUUCAUGGCUUGUCGGUAGCCGCCAGGGCCCGGCAGGCGGCGCACCCGGCAAUCUCCUUGUCGGGGGCGUCUGCCUUGACCUUCUUGUCGGCAUCGGUAUCAUCAGAUCCCUCAACGGCAAGCAUGGCCUUGCCUUUGCAUUUCCUAUUGUGACGCCGGCUCUUCUUCGUCGGGGUGGCGGCGUCUUCAUCAGUAGAGUCGGUUUUCGCGCCGGCGUCUUUGCCGGGGUACUUCCUUCCCUCUUCAGCCCGGGCGCACCUAUCAGCCAAAACGUUGAGCUCGGCCACAUCCUUAACCUUGGUCAUCGCCAGCUCCUCGCGCAUCUUGCGAUUGCGUACGUUCUGGUGGAACACGCUAAUCACAACGGUGGGAUGAACGUCGAGGAUGUUGUACUGCACCCGGCUGAAUCUCUGGAUGUACUUGCGCAGGGUCUCCCCUUCCUUCUAGGGAAUGAUAUGUAGAUCACUAGCUUGGCCAUGAGCUUGGUGGCCUCCUGUGGAGGCGCCAACGAACUCAUGGCACAGAUCUGACCAGGAAGAAAUGGAAUCGACCGGCAAGUGCAUCAACCAAGACAUCACAUUGGGCUUGAGCGCCAGCGGGAAAUAGUUGGCAAGCACCUUGUCGUCGCGAGCCCCAGCGGCCUGCAUCGCGAUGGUGUAGAUGCUAAGGAACUCGGACGGAUGGGUCUUGCCAGUGUACUUCUCGCCGACGUCGGGCUUGAACGUGCGGUGGGACGGCCACUAGAACUGCCUCAGCUCACGGGUAAAAGCCGGGCAGCCCACCUCAUAAGGUAGGCCGCCGCCCCCCCCCCCCCCCGGUGUCGGGUGGUCCAUAGCAGGUCCCGCCCGCUUGUCCGACUGGCGGCGCGUUUCGCGCCGGCGCUCGACGGUGGUUCGAGCGUCUUCGUGAGCUCGCUCCCGAAGGACCUGGCGCUGGUCUCGGAGGGUCCGCGGGUCGGACGACGCUAUGGAGAUGUCAUCACAAGGGUCGUCGCGAUGGGCCGACGCCCAUGGCGGCCAACGAGGAGGAGGAGAGUGCACCGUGGCCGCAGCUCCCCCAGUCCUCCCAGCGCCAGCAUGUGGUGGCUCGGUGGAGCGCUAGACCGAGGGCCCCGCUGGUUGUGGAUCGUAUUUGUUUGCGACGGUGAUGAGGCUCCGGAUGGUGGCCCUCCACUCGUCGAGCUUCUCCGCGGCAGGAGGGAAGUCGAGGAGCAGCUGCGCGCGUGCCAGAGCUUCCACUGGCAUGGGCGGCGGCAACAGCUGCGUGGAUCGCGGCGCACUUCGACUUCUAACUAUGUUAGAAGGAGCUCCGUCACGCCCAGCGGCUGUGUGCCAUUUUCGCCAGCGCUUUGGCGAGCGUGCUGAACCCCCUCAUCUUGCCGAUGACGCACAGGGCUCUUCCCACAGCGGUGCCCAGGGUCACCAUCAUGGUGACGCUGCUCGACACGCACACCAUGGGAAGAACACACGGUGGUCGCCGGUGUAGGCGUCCUGGAGGUCGCCGUGCCGCCCGAAGUUGGCACAAUGACGCCCCUGGAGGGCCCCGCGCCGCCUACGGGGGGGCCCAGCUCCGUCCUUGGAGCCAGCGACGUGUAGCCGAUCGUCUGGCGCGCGAACGAUGCCACUCGCCAGGCUCCGACUGCCUGGGCGAUGCUGGUGCUCGCGGGCCGAGGGCCGGGUCCUAUCUGCGACCGGUCCGCUACUCGUCCGCAUCAGCAUGGGUCGUUCGGCUCCCAAUGAAUCGACCACCGUGGCCGUCUUCUUCUUAGGGGCCAUGGUGACGAAGAACUGCUAGGCUAACUACUAGACCAGAUUCUCACAAUUGCGCCCCCUACCUGGCGCGCUGAUACGUCUCCAACGUAUCUAUAAUUUUUGAUUGCUCCAUGCUAUAAUAUCUACUGUUUUGGACUAUAUUGGGCUUUAUUUUCCACUUUUAUAUUAUUUUUGGGACUAACCUAUUAACCGGAUGCCCAGCCCAGAAUUGCUGUUUUUUGCCUAUUUCAGUGUUUCAAAGAAACGGAAUAUCAAACGGAGUCCAAACGGAAUAAAAUCUUCGGGAACGUGAUUUUCUCACCGAACGUGAUCCAGGAGACUUGGACCCUACUACAAGGAAGCAAAGAGGUGCUCACGAGGGUAGGGGCGCCCCCCCCUAGGGUGCGCCCCCUGCCUCGUGGGACCCUCGGUGCUCCACCGACGUACUUCUUCCUCCUAUAUAUACCCACGUACCCCCAAACGAUCAGAACAGGAGCCAAAAACCUAAGUCCACCGCCGCAACUUUCUGUAUCCACGAGAUCCCAUCUUGGGGCCUGUUCCGGAGCUCCACCGGAGAGGGCCGUCAUCACGGAGGGCUUCUACAUCAUCAUAGCCUCUCUGAUGAAGUGUGAGUAGUUUACCUCAGACCUUCGGGUCCAUAGUUAGUAGCUAGAUGGCUUCUUCUCUCUUUUUGGAUCUCAAUACAAUGUUCUCCCCCUCUCUUGUGGAGAUCUAUUCGAUGUAAUCUUCUUCUUUUGUGCUAUGUUUGUUGAGACCGAUGAAUUGUGGGUUUAUGAUCAAGUCUAUCUAUGAACAAUAUUUGAAUCUUCUUUGAAUUCUUUUAUGUAUGAUUGGUUAUCUUUGCAAGUCUUUUCAAAUUAUCCGUUUGGUUUGGCCAACUAGAUUGGUAGUUCUUGCCAUGGGAGAAGUGCUCAGCUUUGGGUUCGAUCUUGCGGUGUUCUUUCCCAGUGACAGAAGGGGCAGCAAGACACGUAUUGUAUCGUUGCCAUCGAGGAUAACAUGAUGGGGUUUAUUUCAUAUUGCAUGAAUUUAUCUCUCUACAUCAUGUCAUCUUGCUUAAAGCGUUACUUUGUUUCUAACUUAAUACUCUAGAUGCAUGCUAGAUAGCGGUCGAUGAGUGGAGUAAUAGUAGUAGAUGCAGAAUCAUUUCGAUCUACUUGUCACGGACGUGAUGCCUAUAUACAUGAUCAUGCCUAGAUAUUCUCAUAACUAUGCUCAAUUCUGUCAAUUGCUCAACAGUAAUUUGUUCACCCAUCGUAGAAAUUUUUUUCCUCUUGAGAGAAGCCACUAGUGAAACCUAUGGCCCCCAGGUCUAUUCUCAUCAUAUCAAUCUCCAUCACUCUUAUAUUGUUUUGCUAUUUACUUUGCUUUUACUUUUUACUUUGCAUCUUUAUAUCAAAAAAUACCAAAAAUAUUAUAUCGAUCAGAUCUCACUCUCGUAAGUGACCAUGAAGGGCUUGACAACCCCUAAUCGCGUUGGUUGCGGGUAGCUAUCGCUUUGUGCAGGUACGAGGGACUUGAGCGUGGGCUCCUACUGGAUUGAUAAGUUGGUUCUCAAAAACUGAGGGAAAUACUUACGCUACUCUGCUGCAUCAUCCCUUCCUCUUCGGGGAAAACCAACGCAAGCUCAAGACAAAGCAAGAAGGAUUUCUGGCGCCGUUGUCGGGGAGUCUACGCAAAAAGUCAACAUACCAAGUACCCAUCACAAUCCCUAUCUCUCGCAUUACAUUAUUUGCCAUUUGCCUCUCGUUUUCCUCUCCCCCCAAUUCACCCUUGCCGUUUUAUUCGCCCUCUCUUUAUCCUCCUCCUUCUCCUUCUCCUUCUCCAUUUUCCUUUUUCUUGCCUGUCUUCCCGUUGCCAUGGCCGAAUCAAAUAGAACAAAGGGUCCUUUCCAAGGUCUUAGUACCCUGGAUGAUCCCUCUAUCCUCUCUAAACUCAGAAAUAAUGAUGCUAUUGAGAGACCCACCGGGGUCACCAAUGAGAGUUUUAAUAAUCUUGAUGAAUAUGACUCUGGAAUUUUUCGCUAUUUAAUUGAUUAGUCUUUAAAAGAUGCUUGGGAUAGGUUAUUAAGGAUUAGGGCUAGCUAUAUACCACAAUAUCAAAUUGAGGUUUACUUAAAAGGUUUUUAUGUCGGAUUACCUACCUCUUUUAAACAAGUGCUAGGUUCUAUUUUUGAAGAGGGUUUUCUUGAAGGGGAUGCUAUAGAUACUUAUGAAAGGAUGAAAACUAUAUUUGGGCACCCCAUGAAUGAUAAAGUUAAAUCUACCACCCUCUUAUGCUUCUAUCAGAACGAAAUUAUCAAAGAGAUGAAAUCUAGUAUAGAUGCAAAUUUCCGUAACGUACUUAAUAUUACUUCAUCCAUUAAUGGCCAUGUGCUUUCCCAAAAUAGGAGAAUAAAUGCCAUAGAAAGGAAAUUUUCUCUUUUCUUUCCUAAUGCCAAAGAUGGCAAUACCUAAAUCUAUCCUCGCUUUUAUGCCUAGCUAGGGGCGUUAAACGAUAGCGCUUGUUGGGAGGCAACCCAAUUUUUUUUUAUUCCUUGAUUUUUGCUCCUGUUUAGAAAUAAAUAAAUUAUUUAGCCUCUGUUUUGGUUGUUUUUUUUUGUGUUUAAUUAGUGUUUGUGCCAAGUAGAACCGUUGGGAAGACUUGGGGAAAGUCUUAUUGAACUUGUUGUAAAAAACAGAAACUUUAGCGCUCACGAGAACUGCUGUAAUUUUCAUUUGAAGAGUGAUAUUUAGUUAAUUAUUUUUGCAGAUGAUUAAUAGAUAAAUUCCUCACGUUAAGCAAUUUAUUUUAGAAUUUUUGGGGUUCCAGAUUUUGUGCUAGCUACAGAUUACUACAGACUGUUCUGUUUUUGACAGAUUCUGUUUUUCGUGUGUUGUUUGCUUAUUUUGAUGAAUCUAUGGCUAGUAAAAUAGUUUAUAAUCCAUAGAGAAGUUGGAAUACAGUAGUUUUAACACCAAUACAACUAAAGAAUGAGUUCAUUACAUUACCUUGAAGUGGUCUUUUGUUUUCUUUCGCUAACGGAGCUCACGAGUUUUCUAUUUUGAGUUCUGUGUUGUGAAGUUUUCAAGUUUUGGGUGAGUUCUUUUGAUGGAUUAUGGAACAAGGAGUGUCAAGAGCCUAAUCUUGGGGAUUCCCAUGGAACCCCCAAGAUAAUCCAAGGACACCAAAAAGUCAAAGCUUGGGGAUGCCCCGGAAGGCAUCCCCUCUUUCGUCCAUUUCCAUCAGUAAUUUACUUGGAGCUAUAUUUUUAUUCACCAACAUGAUAUGUGUUUUGCUUGGAGUGUCUUGUAUUAUUUGUGUCUUUGUUUGUUAGUGUGCCACAAUCAUACUUUCUGUACACAACUUUUGAGAGAGUCAUCUAUGAAUUAAAAUUUGAUAGAAUACUCUAUGUGCUUCACUUAAAUCUUUUGAGCUAUGUAGUUUUGAUCUAUGCACUUCACUUAUAUCUUUUGACCGUUAUAAUUUUGCUCUAUGUGCUUCACUUAGAUCUUUUAGAGCACGGUGGUGGUCUGUUUUAAAGAAACUAUUGAUCUCUCAUGCUUCGCUUAAAUUAUUUUGAGAGUCUUAAUAGCAUGGUAAUUUUCUUAAUAUAAAUAUGCUUGGUGUUCAAGAUAUGUGAAAUUUUCUUUUGAGUGCGUUGAAUACUAAGAGAAGAUUGAAGCAUGAUAAUUGUUUUGAGGUAUGGAGGUGAUAAUAUUAGAGUUGUGCUAGUUUAUUAGUUGUGAAUUUAAAGAAUACUUGUGUUAAAGUUUGUGAUUCCCAUAGCAUGCACGUAUGGUGAACCGUUAUGUGAUGAAGUCGGAGCAUAAUUUAUUUAUUGCUUGUCUUACUUAUGAGUGGCGGUCGGGGACGAGCGAUGGUCUUUUCCUACCAAUAUAUCCCCCUAGGAGCAUGCGCAUAAUACUUUGCUUUGAUAACUUCUAGAUUUUUGCAAUAAGUAUAUGAGUUCUUUAUGACUAAUGUUGAGUCCAUGGAUUAUAUGCACUUUCUCCCAUCCUUCCACCAUUGCUAGCCUCUCUAAUACCGCACACCUUUCGCCAGUAUCAUACACCCACCAUAUACCUUCCUCAAAACAGCCACCAUACCUACCUAUCAUGGCAUUUCCAUAGCCAUUCCGAGAUAUAUUGCCAUGCAACUUUCCACCGUUCCGUUUAUUAUGACACGCUCCAUCAUUGUAAUAUAGCUAGCUUGAUCAUGUAGUUGACAUCGUAUUUGUGGCAAAGCCACCAUUCAUAAUUCUUUCAUACAUGUCACUCUUGAUUCAUUGCAUAUCCCGGUACACCGCCGGAGGCAUUCAUAUAGAGUCAUAUUUGUUCUAAGUAUCGAGUUGUCAUUGUUGAGUUGUAAGAAAAAUAAAAGUGUGGUGAUCAUCAUUUUAUAGAGCAUUGUCCCAAGUGAGGAAAGGAUGAUGGAGAUUAUGAUUCCCCCAUAAGUCGGGAUGAGACUUCGGAUGAAAAAAAAGAGGCCAUAAAAAAAGAGAAAAGGCCCAAAUAAAAAAAAUGAGAGAAAAAGAGAGAAGGGACAAUGUUACUAUCCUUUUACCACACUUGUGCUUCAAGGUAGCACCAUGAUCUUCAUGAUAGAGAGUCUCUCGUUAUGUCAAUUUCAUAUACUAGUGGGAAUUUUUCAUUAUAGAACUUCGCUUGUAUAUUCCAAUGAUGGGCUUCCUCAAAUUGCCCUAGGUCUUCGUGAGCAAGCGAGUUGGAUGCACACCCACUUAGUUUCUUUUGAUGAGCUUUCAUAUACUUAUAGCUCUAGUGCAUCCGUUGCAUGGCAAUCCCUACUCACUCACAUUGAUAUCUAUUGAUGGGCAUCUCCAUAGCCCGUUGAUACGCCUAGUUGAUGUGAGACUAUCUUCCCCUCUUUUUAUCUUCUCCACAACCACCCUUCUAUUCCACAUAGUGCUAUGUCCAUGGCUCACGCUCAUGUAUUGCGUGAAGAUUGAAAAAGUUUUGAAAAAGUUAGAGUAUGAAACAAUUGCUUGGCUUGUCAUCGGGGUUGUGCAUGAUUUAAAUACUUUGUGUGGUGAAGAUAGAGCAUAGCCAUACUAUAUGAUUUUGUAGGGAUAACUUUCUUUGGCCAUGUUAUUUUGAGAAGACAUAAUUACUUUAUUAGUAUGCUUGAAGUGUUAUUAUUCUUUAUGUCAAUAUGAACUUUUGUCUUGAAUCUUUCUAAUCUGAAUAUCCAUACCACAAUUAAGAAAUUUUGCAUUGAAAUUAUGCCAAGUAGCACUCCGCAUCAAAAAUUCUCUUUUUAUCAUUUACCUACUCGAGGACGAGCAGGAAUUAAGCAUGGGGAUGCCUAAUACGUCUCCAACGUAUCUAUAAUUUUUGAUUGCUCCAUGCUAUAUUAUCUACUGUUUUGGACUAUAUUGGGCUUUAUUUUCCACUUUUAUAUUAUUUUUGGGACUAACCUAUUAACCGGAGGCCCAGCCCAGAAUUGCUGUUUUUUUCCUAUUUCAGUGUUUCGAAGAAACGAAAUAUCAAACGGAGUCCAAACGGAAUAAAAUCUUCGCGAACGUGAUUUUCUCACCGAACGUGAUCCAGGAGACUUGGACCCUACUGCAAGGAAGCAAAGAGGUGCUCACGAGGGUAGGGGCACCCCCCUAGGGCACGCCCCCUGCCUCGUGGGACCCUCGGUGCUCCACCGACGUACUCCUUCCUCCUAUAUAUACCCACGUACCCCCAAACGAUCAGAACAGGAGCCAAAAACCUAAUUCCACCGCCGCAACUUUCUGUAUCCAUGAGAUCCCAUCUUGGGGCCUGUUCCGGAGCUCCGCCGGAGAGGGCCGUCAUCACGGAGGGCUUCUACAUCAUCAUAGCCUCUCCGAUGAAUGUGAGUAGUUUACCUUAGACCUUCGGGUCCAUAGUUAGUAGCUAGAUGGCUUCUUCUCUCUUUUUGGAUCUCAAUACAAUGUUCUCCCCCUCUCUUGUGGAGAUCUAUUCGAUGUAAUCUUCUUCUUUUGCGGUGUGUUUGUUGAGACCGAUGAAUUGUGGGUUUAUGAUCAAGUCUAUCUAUGAACAAUAUUUGAAUCUUCUCUGAAUUCUUUUAUGUAUGAUUGGUUAUCGUUGCAAGUCUCUUCGAAUUAUCCGUUUGGUUUGGCCAACUAGAUAGGUAGUUCUUGCCAUGGGAGAAGUGCUUAGCUUUGGGUUCGAUCUUGCGGUGUUCUUUCCCAGUGACAGAAGGGGCAGCAAGACACGUAUUGUAUCAUUGCCAUCGAGGAUAACAAGAUGGGAUUUAUUUCAUAUUGCAUGAAUUUAUCUCUCUACAUCAUGUCAUCUUGCUUAAAGUGUUACUCUGUUUUUAACUUAAUACUCUAGAUGCAUGCUGGAUAGCGGUCGAUGAGUGGAGUAAUAGUAGUAGAUGCAGAAUCGUUUCGAUCUACUUGUCACGGAUGUGAUGCCUAUAUACAUGAUCAUGCCUAGAUAUUCUCAUAACUAUGCUCAAUUCUGUCAAUUGCUCAACAGUAAUUUGUUCACCCACCGUAGAAAACUUUUGCUCUUGAGAGAAGCCACUAGUGAAACCUAUGGCCCCCGGGUCUAUUCUCAUCAUAUCAAUCUCCAUCACUCUUAUACUGUUUUGCUAUUUACUUUGCUUUUACUUUUUACUUUGCAUCUUUAUAUCAAAAAUACCAAAAAUAUUCUAUCUAUCAGAUCUCACUCUUGUAAGUGACCGUGAAGGGCUUGACAACCCCUAAUCGUGUUGGUUGCAGGUAGCUAUCGCUUUGUGCAGGUACGAGGGACUUGAGCGUGGGCUCCUACUGGAUUGAUACCUUGGUUCUAGAAAACUGAGAGAAAUACUUACGCUACUUUGUUGCAUCAUCCCUUCCUCUUCGGGGAAAACCAACACAAGCUCAAGACGUAGCACGCACCAAGGAUGUCGGUGUGGAACGACACCUAUGGGAUCACAAGAAUCCCUACUACGGUUGUCGGGGCGCAGGGUUGCAAGGAGAGCAGGGCUAGUAGACAGCACAAGGAUCAUUUAACGAGGUUCGGGCCGCGAGGAUGUGUAAUACCCUAGUCCUCCUUUGGUGGUUGUAUUUCUGAGAGUUCUUGAGCUCUCGAACUAGCUGUGGUCAGCGCGUGGUUCGAAAGAGCCGAAUCCCCCUCCUCGUCGCCUCGGGCCUCCUUUUAUAGGAAAAAGGGGUUGCCACAGUGGCACACAGGAGGUGGAAAGGUCUAAAGUGGCAUGAGGUUAUCCCUCGUAUUACAGGACAAGGUGCAUUUAGUGCACCGCUUAGGUGUCCUCUUACUUUAUCGGGGACGGGGGCGAGGCCCGUCCCGUCCAUCGCCGCUCCUCCUCGCUUCGACACGCGCCUCAGCCAGGGAUGCGUGUGGUGCCAUGUAGGCAGGCAGGCAGCUGAGUUGGCGCGGUGGUGGAGCCUUCAUGAAGAUCUGCAUGCCGCCACGCAGGCGCUUGAUGAGCUGGCCUGGGAGCUGCAUGUUGCCACGCAGGUGCCCGCCUAGCUGGUUGGGCUGGCAACUACAUGUGAACGGUGGUUGAAGCUUGGUUGACGUGGGCUUGGCGGUGGCCUUGCCGACGUCUUUGGCGAGGGCCUUGCCGGGUGACCCGGCAAGGGUCUCGCCGUGGCGUGUUGUCGUCCUCGGCAAGGAUCUUGCCGGGGGUCAGGUGGCUUCCCUUGGCAAGGAUCUUGCCGAGAAUCGUCGUCUUCUAAUCUGAUCUUGAAUAUGUCCUCACAAAGAUCUAUAUGCCACCACAGAUGUGCCUUCCCGAGCCCUGGCCCCACGUUGAUAAUGGCACUGGGGGCCGUGGGCUCAAGGGUGGCUCGCUCGGUUGGUGCGGGGCGAGCUAUCCAAGCAAGAGUCUAGUCGGGGCCGCUGAGGCCGCCCGGCAAGGGUCUUGCCGGGGGAACUUGCUUCGUCCCUCUGCUCUUUGUGGUCUUGGCCUUGGCGUUGCUCUGAUUGUCAUGGGCUUCGAUCUUACCUUGGCUCACCUCACUCGUUCUGCUUGGUGUGGCCGUGGGCGCGGCUCUGACUGCCCGUUCAUAGGAAAAGGGGUACAAAGAUGCGCCCCUAUUUUUGUACACCGACAGGAGCCCCCGGGCCUGGGCCACACAUAAGUGCGACGCGUUGUUGGGCCAGGCCCAAAAUGGUGCGCGGGCAGGUGGGGCGGUUUUUACCGUGGUAAGAUUCUUCGCGCGCUCCGCCUUCCACGACCCGUGCGUGUGGCGCGGCAUGGAGGGGCGUGCAUGACGUGGGCGGCAUGCGUGGGACAGUUUCCACACGCCUGCGUCACGUCGCAGUAAAGAGGCGGCUCACGUCUUCCCCAUAAAAAGAGGGAGGCGUGGAGGUGCGGCUCAUUUACUGAGCGGGGUCGGGGUGCGGUCUUCAUGGUGUCCACUCCCCACGAUCACGGGGUGGGGAGAGGUCGCCUCACCUGUCCCCUCAGUUCUGCAUGUCUGCCACGCGUCUUUCAUGUGCUUGUGGUGGCAAACGGUGGAGGCGAGAAGCCGGGCCACCGCUGCUUGGGGCGGCGGGUCGGUCCUGAUUCCCCGCGCCUCCGGUGUCUGGAUUGCCGGGCGGGGCGGCCAAGCCUCAACCCCAUUCCUUUAUAAAGAGGAGGAAGGGGGAAUGGCACCCUGCAUUCUUCCACCUUCUAUCUCCCUCUGCUUCUGCUCCUUCCUCUCACCCGCCAUGGAGAAAGGGAAUCCUGGUCCUUCGAUGGUGGCGGCGAGGGUCGCCGCUCGACAGCGCGUCCCUCCCCCUUCUGAACCCGUGGUGGUGGAACCAACCGCGAGGGGAAGGGGAGGGGGUGAGGCUGUGGGCGAGGUCGGGGCAGAGGCCGUAGCGCUCGGGGAAGAGGAGGACGGGGCGACGCGCCGGCCUCGCCCCUGCCAAUGAUGCCCUUCCCGAUGGAGGGCCAUGUUGAAGACCAGCCUUGCGAGUUCUUCAUCAGGCUCCGCCGGGCCCCGCGUCGAGGUCUUCGUCUCCCCACUCCGUUCGCUCGGGUGAUGGAGCGUGCCCCGCCCCAGACCCUCGGGUUGCACAUGAGGGGCUGCGGGAACGGGGGCACGUGGGUCGACAUCGACUUCCCGACUCCUCGAGUUAUGUAUCUCCGUCGUGGAUGGAAGACGUUUGCCCGCAUCCACAGCCUGACGGCGGGGCUCGUCCUCUACUUCAAGUUAAUGGAGGACAGCCUGCUCUCCGUCAAGGUCUUCGGAGAUUUUGGAACUCGUUUGAAAUGCUGCGUGAAGAGCUCCUCUGAUGGAGAUUCUGACGAUGGAAGCUCGUCCUCGAGCGAGAGCGACAAGGAGGGCAGCGGGGCGGACAGCGGGGACGAGUCCGACUAGGCGUCGGACGGCCCGCGCCUGGGCGGGUGCGGCAGCAGCGGCAUCCACACCUGGCCGCUCCUCCGGUAGAAGCUGGCCGGGGGCAGGGCCAGCUCCUUGAACCUUGCGGGGUUGUCUCCUUGGGCAGCUGGCAUCGGGAUGCUGUGGAAGAGGAAGAGGGCGGGCAGCAAGGCCGUCAACUCGGAGUACGCGGGCACCGACACCUUCUUCACGUAUUGUCGGUACUGCCGCCUCGUCUUCCAGCUCCUUUCCCGGCACCGUCAUCACCAGCCCGCCCAUGGGUGGCCACCGAUAUGUUCUCUUGGUGCUUUCUGCUGCUCGUAGCUCGCUAGGCGCCCCUUUUUCCCUUUCACCUCCUUGACUUGCCUCCUGAGGAGAGGGACAAGAAAGGGAUUACGGACAUCUUAUCUCUUUUUUAGUUUGUAAGCCUGCGGGCCUAUGUUAAAUUUAAAACUUGUAAUCCCCUUGCUCAUGUUUUUCAUCUCGCACGAACUGUACCUGUAUGGGAUGUUUUUAAUGAAAAAGGGAUGCUUGUCGGGGUUUUCAUUCGCGGGUAAAUCCCGCGACAAGGAGCAAAUACUUUUUAUUGUUUAAAGAUAAACGUUUUUUUGCCCGGCAACAGGCCUUGCCGUCCCCCACUCCAAUCGACCGUUCUCGCGCUCUUGGCGGAGGCAGGGAUGCAGUGGGCUUUAGGCUCCUCGUCCCACCUCCUUGCCGCCUCGGCUACGACCGAAUCUGGACCCAGGAAAUAAUCCCUAGGUAUAGGAAAAAGGGGAGCACGGUAGCCUAGAGAUAAAAACAAGGUUUCACAUUCCCUAGUCCGGUUCUGAAAUGCAUGACAGAGGAUAAAAGACUUAUCUGGAUCCGCAGCCCUUGGCAAUCUCAUCUUGCCGCGGUUGGAUCCUUGUGCUUGCAGCCCCUGGCAACUCUGGCUUGCCGGGGUCGGGGCACCGGUCCGUUUCCUUCUUUCCAAGUAGCUCAUCAGAAGUGCUCAUGUGCCCUGCGAACCAAAGGAGGACAGAAAAGGAAUAGACAGACGCGCACUUGACCUCUAGGCUAGGGGUUAGUCACCGCUAAGCACUAUCAACCCUAACCAAGGAAGAGACUCGACCUAGCAUACAUGCUAUAACUUAGGGCGCCAGCGCUUGAGUUGGUCGGCGCAGAUCAGCGCGUCCUUCUUGUCGGAGGGGACAGAGACGAUGGUCAACGUCCCGGGCAUCUUUAGCAUGUUGUAGGCGUAGUGUGACGCCACCAUGAACUUGGCCAAUGUCAGGCGGCCGAGGAUCCCGUUGUAGGGCAAGGGGAUCUCGACCACGUCGAAGUCGAUCCUCUCCGUCAUGUAGUUCAACUCUCCUCCAAAUGUCACCGGCAGUGUGACCUUUCCCUUCGGCUGGCUCCUCUCCGGAUGGACGCCUUGAAACGUGCCCGUUUCCUCGAGGUCUCCAUCAGGGAUUUGCAACCUUUGAUCACAACAGGCGAGAUCAGGUUCAGGCCGGCCCCGCUGUCAACCAACAUCUUGUUAACCCUGAGGUUACGUAUUGUUGGUGAGACCAACAAUGGCAAACACCUGACCGUGGUAGUGCGGUUAGUGUGGUCCUCGGCGUCAAAGAUGAGGGGCAUGCUGGACCACUUCAGUGGCUUCUGAGCGUCGAACGAUGGCUCUGCUGCUGAUAUCUCACGCGCCCACUGCUUGAGCUGGCGGUGCGAGGUAUGCAGCGAGGCGCCGCCAUCGACGCACAUGGCCUCCAUAGCCUUCUGCAACCCUUGCUCACUAGACUCGUCGUCCUCGUCAUGAUCGUCGUAUUCUUGCUUCUUGUUGCGGCCCUGGGCGGGCCUCUCUUGCUGGUUGUCCUUGCCGGGGCGGCCUCCUUGGCCGCCACGCUUCUUGCCGGAUCCCUCAGCACCGUCCUGGUCCUUCUCCUUGUCCCGCCUUUCGUACUCAGCCUUUUGCUUCUCAGCAAGCAGCUCGACUUGUCGGUAGUUCUGGAGGUCGUGGCCCUUGGUGCGGUGGAUCUUGCAGUAUUUCUUGCCGGAGCUUCCUUGCUUGUCGGUAGCCGCCAGGGCCCGGCAGGCGGCGCACCCGGCAAUCUCCUUGCUGGGGGCGUCUGCCUUGACCUUCUUGCCGGCAUCGGUAUCGUCAGAUCACUCAACGGCAAGCACGGCCUUGCCUUUGUGUACCUGUUGCGACGCCGGCUCUUCUUCGUCGGGGUGGCGGCAUCUUCAUCAGUAGAGUCGGUUUUCGCGCCGGCGUCUUCGCCGGGGUACUUCCUUCCCUCUUCAGCCCAGGCGCACCUAUCGGCCAAAACAUAGAACUCGGCGACAUCCUUAACCUUGGUCAUCGCCAGCUCCUCGCGCAUCUUGCAAUUGCGUACAUUCUGGUGGAACGCGCUAAUCACAGCGGCGGGAUGAACGUCGGGGAUGUCGUACUGCACCCGGCUGAAUCUCUGGAUGUACUUGCGCAGGGUCUCCCCUUCCUUCUGGGGAAUGAUAUGCAGAUCACUGGCCUGGCCAUGAGCUUGGUGGCCUCCUGUGAAGGCACCAACGAACUCAUGGCACAGAUCUGACCAGCUAGAAAUGGAAUCCACUGGCAAGUGCAUCAAGCAAGACAUCACAUUGGGCUUGAGCGCCAGCGGGAAUUAGUUGGCAAGCACCUUGUCGUCGUGAGCCCCAGCGGCCUGCAUCGCGUUGGUGUAGAUGCUAAGUAACUCGGACGGAUGGGUCUUGCCAGUGUACUUCUCACCGACGUCGGGCUUGAACGUGCGCUGGGACGGCCACUGGAACUGCCUCAACUCACGGGUAAAAGCCGGGCAGCCCACCUUAGGCCGCCAGGGCCCCCCGGUGCUGGGUGGUCCAUAGCGGGUCCCGCCCGCUUGUCCGACUGGCGGCGCGUUACGUGCCGGCACUCGACAGUGGUUCGAGUGUCUUCGUGAGCUCGCUCCCGAAGGACCUGGCGCUGGUCGCGGAGGGUCCGUGGGUCGGACGAUGCUAUGGAGAUGUUAUCAUAAGCGUCGUCGCGAUGGGCCGACGCCCGCGGCGGCCGGCGAGGAGGAGGAGAGUGCACCAUGGCCGCAGCUCCCCGGUCCUCCCAGCACCAGCAUGUGGUGGCUCGGUGGAGCGCCGGCCCGAGGGCCCCGCUGGUCAUGGAUCGUCUUUGUUUGCGACGGCGACGAGGCUCCGGAUGAUGGCCCUCCACUCAUCGAGAUUCUCCGCAGCAGGAGGGAAGUCGAGGAGCAGCUACGCGCGUGCCAAAGCUUCCGCUGGCGUGGGCGGCGGCGAUAGCUGCGUGGAUCGCGGCGCGCUUCGACUUCUAACUAUGUUAGAAGGAGCUCCGUCACGACCCAGCGGCUGCGUGCCAUUUUCGCCAGCGCUUCUGCGAGCAUGUUGAACCCCCUCAUCUUGCCGAUGACGCACAGGGCUCUUCCCACGGCGGUGCCCAGGGUCACCAUCGUGGUGACGCUGCUCGGCGCGCACACCAUGGGAAGAACACGUGGUGGUCGCGGUGUAGGCAUCCUGGAGGUCGCCGCGCCGCCCGGAGUCGGCACAAUGAUGCCCCUGGAGGGCCAUGCGUCGCAUGCGGGGGGGCCCAGCUCCGUCCUUGGAUCCGGCGACGUGUAGCCGGUCGUCUGGCGCGCGAACGAUGCCGCUCGCCAGGCUCCGACUGCCUGGGCGAUGCUGGUGCUUGCAGGCCGCGGACUGUGUCCUGUCUGCGACCGGUCCGUUGCUCGUCCGCACCGGCACCGGUCGUUCGGCUCCCAACGAAUCGACCGCCGUGGUCGUCUUCUUCUUAGGGGCCAUGGCGAUGAAGAACUGCUAGGCUAACUACUAGACCAGAUUCUCACAAUUGCGCCCCCUACCUGGCGCGCCAAGGAUGUCGAUGUGGAACGACACCUAUGGGGUCACAAGAAUCCCUACUACGGUUGCUGGGGCGCAGGGUUGCGAGGAGAGUAGGGCUAGUAGACAGCACAAGGAUCGUUUACCCAGGUUCGGGCCGCGAGGAUGCGUAAAACCCUAGUCCUACUUUGGUGGGUGUAUUUCUGAGAGUUCUUGAGCUCUCGAACUAGAUGUGGUCAGCGCGUGGUUCGAAAGAGCCAAAUCCCCCUCCUUGUCGCCUCGGGCCUCCUUUUAUAAGAAAAAGGGGUUGCCAUAGUGGCACACAGGAGGUGGAAAGGUCUACAGUGGCACAAGGUUAUCCCUCGUAUUACAGGACAAGGUGCAUUUAAUGCACCGCUUAGGUGUCCUCUUGCUUUAUCGGGGACGGAGGCGAGGCCUGUCCCGUCCAUCGCCGCUCCUCCUUGCUUCGACACGCGCCUCGGCCAGUGAUGCGUGUUGUGCCAUGUAGGCAGGCAGGCAGCUGAGUUGGCGCGGUGGUGGAGGCUUCACGAAGAUCUGCAUCCGCCACGCAGGCGCUUGAUGAUUUGGCCUGGGAGCUGCAUGUUGCCACGCAGGUGCCCGCCUAGCUGGUUGGGCUGGCAGUUGCAUGUGAACGGUGCUGGAAGCUUGGUUGACGUGGGCUUGGCGGUGGCCUUGCCGACAUCUUUGGCGAGGGCCUUGUCGGGUGGCCCGGCAAGGGUCUCGCCGUGGCGUGCUGUCGUCCCCGGCAAGGAUCUUGCUGUUGGAAAUAUGCCCUAGAGGCAAUAAUAAAAUGGUUACUAUUAUAUUUCCUUGUUCAUGAUAAUUGUCUAUUGUUCAUGCUAUAAUUGUGUUAUCCAGAAAUCAUAAUACAUGUGUGAAUACAUAGACCACAACACGUCCCUAGUGAGCCUCUAGUUGACUAGCUCGUUGAUCAAAAGAUAGUCAUGGUUUCCUGACUAUGGACAUUAGAUGUCAUUGAUAACGGGAUCACAUCAUUAGGAGAAUGAUGUGAUGGACAAUUCCCAAUCCUAAGCAUAGCUCAAAGAUCAUGUAGUUCGUAAGCUAGAGCUUUUCCGAAUGUCAACUAUCAUUUCCCAUGAGAUUGUGCAACUCCCGGAUACCGUAGGAGUGCUUUGGGUGUGCCAAACGUCACAACGUAACUGGGUGACUAUAAAGGUGCACUACGGGUAUCUCUGAAAGUGUCUGUUGGGUUGGCACGAAUCGAGACUAGGAUUUCUCACUCUGUAUGACGGAGAGGUAUCUCUGGGCCCACUCGGUAAUGCAUCAUCAUAAUGAGCUCAAUGUGACCAAGUGGUUGAUCACGGGAUCACGCAUUACAGUACGAGUAAAGUGACUUGCUGGUAACGAGAUUGAACGAGGUAUUGGGAUACCGACGAUCGAGUCUCGGGCAAGUAACCUACUGAUUGACAAAGGGAAUUGUAUACGGGAUUGAUUGAAUCCUCGACAUCGUGGUUCAUCCGAUGAGAUCAUCGAGGAGCAUGUGGGAGCCAACAUGGGUAUCCAGAUCCCGCUGUUGGUUAUUGACUGGAGAGUCAUCUCGGUCAUGUCUGCGUGUCUCCCGAACCCGUAGGGUCUACGAACUUAAGGUUCGGUGAUGCUAGGGUUGUUGAGAUAUUAGUAUACGGUAACCCGAAAGUUGUUCAGAGUCCCGGAUGAGAUCCCGGACGUCAUGAGGAGUUCCGGAAUGGUCCGGAGGUGAAGAUUUAUAUAUAGGGAGUCAAGUUUCGGCCAUCGGGAAAGUUUCGGGGGUAAUCGAUAUUGUACUAGGACCACCAGAAGGGUCCCAGGGGUCCACCGGGUGGGGCCACCUAUCCCGGAGGGCCCCAUGGGCUGAAGUGGGAGGGGAACCAGCCCCUGGUGGGCUGGUGCGCCCCCCAUUGGCCUCUCCCUGUGCCUAGGGUUGGAAACCCUAGGGUGGGGCCCCCACUUGGCUUGGGGGCAAGCCACCCCCCUUGGCCGCCGCCCCCCUCUUGGAGAUCUCAUCUCCUAGGGCCGGCGCCCCCCUAGGGGUCCUAUAUAUAGUGGGGGAGGGAGGGCAGCCGCACCCUAGCCCCUGGCGCCUCCCUCUCCCUCUCGUGACACCUCUCCCUCUCACUGAGCUUGGCGAAGCCCUGCCGAGAUCACCGUUGCUUCCACCACCACGCUGUCGUGCUGCUCGAUCUCCAUCAACCUCUCCUUUCCCCUUGCUGGAUCAAGUUGGAGGAGACGUCUUCCCAACCGUACGUGUGUUGAACGCGGAGGUGCCGUCGGUUCGGCGCUAGGUCAUUGGUGAUUUGGAUCACGACGAGUACGACUCCAUCAACCCCGUUCUCUUGAACGCUUCCCCUCGCGAUCUACAAGGGUAUGUAGAUGCACUCCCCUCUCCCUCAUUGCUAGAUGACUCCAUAGAUUGAUCUUGGUGAUGCGUAGAAAAUUUUAAAAUUCUGCUACGUUCCCCAAUAGUGGCAUCAUGAGCUAGGUCUAUGCGUAGUUUCUAUGCACGAGUAGAACACAAAGCAUUUGUGGGCGUCGAUAUUGUCAAUUUACUUGCCGUUACUAGUCUUAUCUUGAUUCGGCGGCAUCGUGGGAUGAAGCGGCCCGGACCGACCUUACACGUACGCUACGUGAGACUGGUUCCACCGACUGACAUGCACUAGUUGCAUAAGGUGGCUAGCGGGUGUCUAUCUCUCCCACUUUAGUCGGAUUAGAUUCGAUGAAAAGGGUCCUUAUGAAGGGUAAAUAGAAAUUGGCAUAUCACGUUGUGGUUUUGGCGUAGGUAAGAAUUUUUUUUGCUAGAAACCUAUAGUAGCCACAUAAAAACUUGCAACAACAAUUAGAGGACGUCUAACUUGUUUUUGCAGCAUGUGCCGUGUGAUGUGAUAUGGCCAAAAGGAUGUGAUGAAUGAUAUAUGUGAUGUAUGGGAUUGAUCAUGUUCUUGUAAUAGGAAUCACAAGUUGCAUGUCCAUGAGUAUGAUAACCGGAAGGAGCCAUAGGAGUUGUCUUAAUUUAUUUAUGACAUGCGUGUCAACAUAAACGUCAUGUAAUUACGUUACUUUAUUGCUAAAGCGUUAGCCAUAGUAGUAGAAGUAAUAGAUGACGAGACAACUUCAAGAAGACACGAUGAUGGAGAUCAUGGUGUCAUGCCGGUGACGACGAUGAUCAUGGCACCCCGAAGAUGGAGAUCAAAAGGAGCAAAUGAUAUUGGCCACAUCAUGUCACUAUUUGAUUGCAUGUGAUGUUUAUCAUGUUCAACAUCUUAUUUGCUUAGAACGACGGUAGCUUAAAUAAGAUGAUCCCUCAUAAUAAUUUCAAGAAAGUGUUCCCCCUAACUGUGCACCAUUGCGGAGGUUCGUUGUUUCAAAGCACCACGUGAUGAUCUUGUGUGAUAGAUUCUAACGUUCGAAUACAAUGGGUGUAAGCCAGAUUUACACACGCAAUACACUUAGGUUGACUUGACGAGCCUAGCAUGUACAGACAUGGCCUCGGAACACGGAAGACCGAAAGGUCGAGCAUGAGUCAUAUAGAACAUACGAUCAACAUGAAGAUGUUCAUCGAUGUUGAUUAGUCCGUCUCACGUGAUGCUCGGACACGGCCUAGUUGACUCGGAUCAUGUUUCACUUAGAUGACUAGAGGGAUGUCUAUCUGAGUGGGAGUUCAUUGAAUAAUUUUAUUAGAUGAACUUAAUUAUCAUGAACUUAGUCUAAAAUCUUUACAAUAUGUCUUGUAGAUCAAAUGGCCCACGCUAAUGUUGCCCUCAACUUCAAUGCAUUCCUAGAGAAAACCAAGCUGAAAGAUGAUGGCAGCAACUAUACGGACUGGGUCCGGAACCUGAGGAUCAUCCUCAUAGCUGCCAAGAAAGAUUAUGUCCUAGAAGAACCACUAGGUGACACACCCAUCCCAGAGAACCAAGACGUUAUGAACACUUGGCAGUCACGUGCUGAUGAUUACUCCCUCGUUCAGUGCGGCAUGCUUUACAGCUUAGAACCGGGGCUCCAAAAGCGUUUUGAGCAACACGGAGCAUAUGAGAUGUUCGAAGAGCUGAAAAUGGUUUUCCAAGCUCAUGCCCGGGUCGAGAGAUAUGAAGUCUCCGACAAGUUCUUCAGUUGUAAGAUGGAGGAAAAUAGUUCUGUCGGUGAGCACAUACUCAAAAUGUCUGGGUUGCAUAACCGCUUGACUCAGCUGGGAGUUAAUAUCCGGGAUGACGCGGUCAUUGACAGAAUCCUUCAGUCGCUUCCACCGAGCUACAAGAGCUUUGUGAUGAACUUCAAUAUGCAGGGGAUGGAAAAGACCAUUCCUGAGGUAUAUUCAAUGCUGAAAUCAGCGGAGGUGGAGAUCAAAAAGGAACAUCAAGUGUUGAUGGUGAAUAAAACCACUAAGUUUAAGAAAGGCAAGGGUGAGAAGAACUUCAAGAAGGACGGCAAGGGGGUUGCCGCGCCCAGUAAGCAAGCUGCUGGGAAGAAGCCAAAGAAUGGGCCCAAGCCCGAGACUGAGUGUUUUUGUUGCAUGGGAAGUGGUCACUAGAAGCGGAACUGCCCCAAAUAUUUAGCGGACAAGAAGGCCGGCAACACUAAAGGUAUAUGUGAUAUACAUGUAAUUGAUGUGUAGCUUACCAGUACUCGUAGUAGCUCCUGGGUAUUUGAUACCGGUGCGGUUGCUCACAUUUGUAACUCAAAGCGGGAGCUGCGGAAUAAGCGGAGACUGGCAAAGGACGAGGUGAUGAUGCGCGUCAGGAAUGCUUCCAAGGUCGAUGUGAUUGUCGUCGACACGCUACCUCUACAUUUACCUACGGGAUUAUUUUUAAACCUCAAUAAUUGUUAUUUAGUGCCAGCUUUGAGCAUGAACAUUGUAUCAGGAUCUCGUUUAAUUCGAGAUGGCUACUCAUUUAAAUCCGAGAAUAAUGGUUGUUCUAUUUAUAUGAGUGAUAUGUUUUAUGGUCAUGCCCCGCUGGUGAAUGGUUUAUUCUUAAUGAAUCUCGAGCGUAAUGUUACACAUAUUCAUAGUGUGAAUACCAAAAGAUGUAAGGUUGAUAAUGAUAGUCCCACAUACUUAUGGCACUGCCGCCUUGGUCAUAUAGGUGUCAAACGCAUGAAGAAGCUCCAUGCAGAUGGACUUCUGGAGUCUCUUGAUUACGAAUCAUUUGACACGUGUGAACCAUGCCUCAUGGGUAAAAUGACCAAGACUCCAUUCUCAGGAACAAUGGAGCGAGCAACCAACUUAUUGGAAAUCAUACAUACUGAUGUGUGCGGUCCAAUGAGUGUUGAGGCUCGCGGUGGCUAUCGUUAUGUUCUCACCCUCACUAAUGACUUGAGUAGAUAUAUGGGUAUGUCUACUUAAUGAAACACAAGUCUGAGACCUUUGAAAAGUUCAAGGAAUUUUAGAGUGAGGUUGAGAAUCAACGUGACAGGAAAAUCAAGUUCUUGCGAUCGGAUCAUGGGGGGGAAUACUUGAGUCACGAAUUUGGCACGCACUUAAGGAAAUGUGGAAUAGUUUCACAACUCACGCCGCCUGGAACACCUCUGCGUAAUGGUGUGUCCGAACGUCAUAAUCGCACUCUAUUGGAUAUGGUGCGAUCUAUGAUGUCUCUUACCGAUCUACCGCUGUCAUUUUGGGGCUAUGCUUUAGAGACUGCCGCGUUCACUUUAAAUAGGGCUCCGUCGAAAUCCGUUGAGAUGACACCGUAUGAAUUAUGGUUUGGGAAGAAACCUAAGUUGUCAUUUCUAAAAGUUUGGGGAUGCGAUGCUUAUGUGAAGAAACUUCAACCUGAAAAGCUCGAACCCAAAUCGGAAAAAUGCGUCUUCAUAGGAUACCCUAAAGAAACUAUUGGGUAUACCUUCUACCUCAGAUUCGAAGGCAAGAUCUUUGUUGCCAAGAAUGGAUCCUUUCUAGAGAAAGAGUUUCUCUCGAAAGAAGUAAGUGGGAGGAAAGUAGAACUUGAUGAAGUAUUGCCUCUUGAACCGGAGAGUGGCGCAGCUCAAGAAAAUGUUCCUGAGGUGCCUGCACCGACUAGAGAGGAAGUUAAUGAUGAUGAUCAUGAAACUUCAGAUCAAGUUGCUACUGAACUUCGUAGGUCCACAAGGACACGUUCCGCACCAGAGUGGUACGGCAACCCUGUCCUGGAAAUCAUGUUGUUAGACAAUGGUGAACCUUCGAACUAUGAAGAAGCGAUGGCGGGCCCAGAUUCCAACAAAUGGCUGGAAGCCAUGAAAUCCGAGAUAGGAUCCAUGUAUGAAAAUGAAGUAUGGACUUUGACUGACUUGCCCGAUGAUCGGCGAGCCAUAGAAAAUAAAUGGAUCUUUAAGAAGAAGACAGACACGGAUGGUAAUGUAACCAUCUAUAAAGCUCGGCUUGUCACUAAGGGUUAUCGACAAGUUCAAGGGGUUGACUACGAUGAGACUUUCUCACCGGUAGCGAAGCUAAAGUCCGUCCGAAUCAUGUUAGCAAUUGCCGCAUUCUAUGAUUAUGAGAUAUGGCAAAUGGACGUCAAAACGCAUUCCUUAAUGGUUUCCUUAAGGAAGAAUUGUAUAUGAUGCAGCCGGAAGGUUUUGUCGAUCCUAAGAAUGCUGAUGAGGUGUGCAAGCUCCAACGCUCGAUCUAUGGGUUGGUGCAAGCAUCUCGGAGUUGGAACAUUCGUUUUGAUGAGAUGAUCAAAGUGUUUGGGUUUACGCAAACUUAUGGAGAAGCCUGCAUUUACAAGAAAGUGAGUGGGAGCUCUGUAGCAUUUCUCAUAUUGUAUGUGAAUGACAUACUGUUGAUGGGAAAUGAUAUAGAAUUCUUGGAAAGCAUAAAGGCCUACUUGAACAAGUGUUUUUCAAUGAAGGAUCUUGGAGAAGCUGCUUACAUAUUAGGCAUCAAGAUCUAUAUAGAUAGAUCGAGACGCCUCAUUGGUCUUUCACAGAGUAUGUACCUUGACAAGAUAUUGAAGAAGUUCAAUAUGGAUCAGUCAAAGAAGGGGUUCUUGCCUGUGUUGCAAGGUACGAGAUUGAGCACGGCUCAAUGCCCGACCACGGCAGAAGAUAGAGAAAAGAUGAGUGUCGUCCCCUAUGCCUCGGCCAUAGGGUCUAUCAUGUAUGCUAUGAUGUGUACCAGACCUGAUGUAAACCUUGCCGUAAGUUUGGUGGGAAGGUACCAAAGUAAUCCCGGCAUGGAACACUGGACAGCGGUCAAGAAUAUUCUAAAGUACCUGAAGAGGACUAAGGAUAUGUUUCUCGUUUAUGGAGGUGACGAAGAGCUCGUCGUAAAGGGUUACGUCGAUGCUAGCUUCGACACAGAUCUGGAUGACUCUAAGUCACAAAGCGGAUACGUGUAUAUUUUGAAUGGUGGGGCAGUAAGCUGGUGCAGUUGCAACCAAGGCGUUGUGGUGGGAUCUACAUGUGAAGCGGAGUACAUGGCAGCCUCGGAGGCAGCACAAGAAGCAAUCUGGGUGAAGGAGUUCAUUACCGACCUAGGAGUCAUUCCCAAUGCAUCGGGCCUGAUGAUUCUCUUCUGUGACAACACUGGAGCUAUUGCCCUUGCCAACGAGCCUAGGUUUCACAGGAAGACCAGGCAUAUCAAGCGUCGCUUCAACUCCAUUCGUGAAAGUGUUCAAAAUGGAGACAUAGAUAUUUGUAAAGUACAUACAGACCUGAAUGUAGCAGAUCCGUUGACUAAACCUCUCCCUAGAGCAAAACAUGAUCAACACCAGAACUCUAUGGGUGUUCGAUUCAUGUCGGGGGUUGGGUGCGACAUAUGCCAAAGGAUGGCUUAUCAUGGUGGGGGCGAUUAGAACGUCGUCGGUGCCUGGAAACGGGAUAAGGCGAAGGCAUGCACGCCGGCGAAUCUUAUCCAGCUUCGGGGCUCUCCGGGGAGAUAAUACCCCUACUGCUGCUCUAUGGGGUGUCCGCAUGAUCACUAUGGCAAAGUGUUUACACGGUUGCUCCUCGAGCUGUUUCCUGGAGGUAGGAGAAGGCAAGGCUAGCUCUCUCCUUCCUAUACGAUCUGGUCUAGUGCUAAUGGAUUCCAACCCUUUGCAUGGAUGCCCUGGGGGUUUAUAUAGGCCUACCCCCCAGGGGUACAAUCUUAAUCCGGCUGGGCGCGGGCCCAGCCGUUAGUCUCUCUGGCCGCCGUCUUAUCCGCCGACUCCUGGGGCCCGCCGACUGGUGGGCCCCACCGACUGGCUCGGUACGGAGCCGACAGGCCGCGUCCGCCACGGGUGGGUCUUACCAGCUACAGAUUAUUGUAGCCGUUCCUCUAAUGACGCAAGCUCGGUCAUGAGGGCGUGGCGACAGCUCCACCGUCUGGCGGGCGAUCACUGUGGCCACUACCUGUCGUGUCUGAUUAAUGGUGCGUGGGGCCCGUGGGAGGGGCCGGCCGACUCCUGGUGGCCGACUCCCAUCCGGGCCGACUGGUGGCUCUCUCACCAUCUUUCGUACGCCCGCCGACUGGUGGGACCCAUCAUCCCUGGGUCGUACCGGCAGACUGUCGUGGGCACAGGACUCCGCCCUCUGGGGCUGACGUCAGGGCCGGCAUGGCAAUAGUGUCGCGCCGCGCGGAGAUCUCUGCAAGUACGGCAUACUGUAGCCACGCCUGCCCUUGGAAAAGGGGUGGGAGUGGACCUUACUAUGGCCACUUCCCGUCCCGUCCCUCUUUAUGAGGGCAUGGGGGUUGUUGGCGUCGUGGGCCGACUCCCCAAGGCCGGCUUCUUUGGAAGUCGCCAGUCAGGAGUCGGCUCAUCCUGAAGUCGUCCCUGGGACUCAGCCACGAGUGGGCAGUCGGUCACCUCGCCGCCGACUCUCAGAAGGCAGCUCUUCGUCCUGGGGUCUCGAGGGGCGCAGUCUGCCUCAAUGUCUUGAAAGGUUCUGGGCCUGGGUUAGCCUACCCGUGGCCCAUUACUUCGAUAGUAGUCCCCGAAGCUGGUGAGGCUCCGAGGGAGACAUGUCGAGGAGCCUCAACAGUUUCUUCUCUCCGGUGGUUGGAUCUGGGCCUCGCUAGCCGUCCUCUGUCAAGCCGACUGGUUGGAGUCAGACUUGCUCAAGGCCGACUUGCCCCUAAAAAAUUUUGAACAUCGCGGCGGAGUUCAGGCGGCGUGCCUGAUAAGCUUCCGGGUUGCCGCCCGUGGUGGACCCGUCGCGAGGCGCCAUGUGGCUGAGCUAGUCUGCUCACCCACGCGCGUGACGGGACAGGCCUACAGGCGGGGCCCUCCACUACCGUGCCUCGGCAUGCGAACGGAUCCGUUGUGGCCGCGCGGACGGUUGGGGUUCCCGCGCGGUUAUUGCACGUGGUAACUUCGUGUGGUAAAUCGUGGGGUUGUGGGGUCCCGGGCGCAGUUAAUCCCACAACCGCCCCCUCGGCUUCUCAGCCCACGAGCCUACAAGUAGGCGGGGGGAGGGGGCAGUGAAUCACGCACGCCCAUUCUCCCCACUCCCUUUCGCUCCUCCUUGCUUCUUCUUCCUCUCGCCGCUGCUGCUCCGAACCACGCCGCGCCCGCAGCGAUGAGCUCUUCCUCUGUCGCCGUGCCUCCUGUUGUACGCUCCGGAGUGUGGGAUGGCUCCAAGGUUGACGACGACAACAUCGAGAUCCUCCGCUAGACACGGCGGCUUCCCAGCAGGGACUUAGUGCGGGUCCGCCUCGCGCCGGAGGGAGAAAUAUCGCCGGCGCCGGAGGAGGGCGAGCGGGUCAUAUUUCGCUUGCACCUUAUGCGUGGCCUGGGGCUGCCGGCGAGCGGCUUCUUUCGCUCCUUCUUGGAGUUCCAUGGGCUCCAGCCGCACCACCUUACUCCGAACACGGUGGUGCUGCUGGCUUCCUUCGCCAUCCUGUGCGAAGGCUUCCUCGGCGUUCUCCCCACCAUCGAGCUCUGGGGUGAGUUCUUCCAGUCCAAGCUCGGCACACACGUCACCGGCGUGCCGACCUAGUGCGGUGCAUUCAUCGCGAUGCGGAGAUCAGUGGCCGACAAUCCAUUUCCCAUCAUCGCACUGAUUAAGUCGGUGAAGAUGUGGCAGCUGUCCUAUUUUUAUGUGAAGAACGUCACCCCAGAAGGCGACUGGGUUAACCUGCCAGCUUACGAAGCCGGCGCGCCGGCUGGAAGGCUCCCCAAAUGGUCGCACCGAGCCAAGACGCUGUCUCCCGCUGGUGCCGCCGCCGUCGCGCGACUCCGAGUGCUGACGUAGUCGGAGGGCUUGACCGGGGCCGACUUGCUGGCCGCCUUCGUGGCACGCCGAGUCCUCUGACUCCAAGGCCGACCUCACCUGAUCUGCUAGAUGAGUGGUCAUCAGGACACGAGUCGGAUGUGCUCCAAGGACAUGCCUCAUGCGGAGGUGGCGAACACGGUGAACUACAUCGCGAACUGCGGUCUCUCGGUGGACUGGCGGUUCGGCAAGGAGCCAUAUUCGCGCGCCAACCCCCCGCCUAUUGUAAGUCGUCUUCCUUCUACUUCUGUUUCUUUUGUUAUCGAGUCCGACUUGUCAAGUCUGACUGUUUUUGUUUUGAAUCAGAACCCUCUCGUCCCUCCUUCGGCCGGCACCGCGGGGCCGACUCGUCAGUUUGUCCCUGAUCGGGCGGAGAGCGACAUCGACGAUCCUGACUUGAGGGUGGCGGCCAUGGAAGCCGACGCCGAGGGAGGAGGAGGAGAAGCAGGCGGCUCCAGGCCUUCAGCCACUUUCACCGACUGGCCUGACGAUGAGGCCGAGGGAGAAGUCGCCCCGUGUCGCCAGCCAAAGGCCGGGCAGCCAAGCGCGAGUUCCUCUGCCGGCUUGGACGCUCAAGGCGGUGCGAAGAAGCGUCGGGCCGGGUUGAGUACGCUUGGUGGCCGGUCGAAGAAGUUCAAGGGAGCGGCUACCGCGACCAAGCGGGAAGAGGCGGCCGCGAAAGCCAACCGCUUCCACAAGGAAGUGAAGAAGCCGCCGCUGGUCUCUGCGUAAGCGCCUCCGUCCCUUAUCUUUAUUUUCUCUUUGUUGAUCUUGUCUGAGUUUUUCAUAUGCUUUUCUCGCCUCAGGGCUCCCCUCACUCUUGAGAGGGUUGCCGCCGCCUCCGUUAUGGGGUUGGUGGAGACGUCUGCCACCACUCGGCGGAUUGACCCCGCCGCUGACCUUCGGGAGGCGACGGAGCAGAACGCGCAGGAGAUGCGCGAGGAGGACGAGGCCGCCCGCCGGGAGAAAGCGGAGGCCGAGAAGGCAGAGGCCUCCGCCCUGAAGAAGCUGGAGGCCGCCACUGCGGCAAAGCGGCCGGCUAAGGAAGUCGCGCCCCGGCGGUCGGCGGUGUUCGUCACCCCUCUAAACUCUGCGCCGCCGCCCCCGGAGUUCACGGGGCAGUCAGCGGAAGCCGGCGGCGAGUUCCCGAUCAUGGAGAGAGGCAGCGGCGACGCCCCCAUGCCGGACGCGGUCGCGCCGCCACAGCCGCCCCCGCCGCCAUCUAGGAGCGCGCAAGGCAAACAGCCGGCGGGUCUGCCCUUGCCGUCGACUGAAGACAAGGUCGUGGCAAGGCUACUCCUUCAAGUCGGCUCGCCAAUGCGCCGCCGUCUUGAGAAGGCGACUUCGGCGCCACGCCCCUUGGAGAUCGGCACUGCCAGCUCAAUGAUUCCAGACGCCGAAGCAACGAGCGCCGCGCCCAUUGGGUAGGUGCGAGGAGGCGGCACGGGCCCGCUGAACUAGGCGCUUCUGGAUGUCCAAACGAAGCUGCGAGCUGAGAGCGACGCCAUCCAAAACUGCACCAAGGCGGACCUGGCGUCGCGAGCAGCCAUCCGGGUAUGCUUUCUCCUUUGUUCCUGUUUUCAUGUUCCUCUCUGUGGGGGCGCGUCAACGCACCCACUGGGUGUAGUCCCAGAGUUUUGGGCUGGCUGCUGAGCAGGCGGCCCAGAACUCCAAUUGGUGAGUUCCAGGUACUAACCUUUGUGUGAAAUACUUGUUGCAGGACUAUCACAACCUUCGUGUCACCGCCUUCAACCACAACGUUGAAGAGAUGGGCAAGCGGACCGCCGACUUGUCGAAGAGCCGGAGUGAGUCUUUUUUCUUCUUUGCGGGGGCGCGCUGGCGCACCCGCGGGUUGUAGUCCCCGAGAUUCAGGCUGAUUGCUGAGCAGUCGGGCCAGAUCUCCCCGGCGACCUUCUUCGUUGAUGACUUAACACCUUCUUUCUUCUUUUUCUUCAGAGGCCAAUGCCACUCUUCAACAGCAGCUGAGCGAAGCCAACUUCGCGUUGCGCGCCAAGGGGGAGGAGUGCAGCAAACUCGCCGCAGAGCGCGAUCUGCUGGCCGCACAAUUGGCAGAGCAGAAGGAGCUGCUUAAGAAGACGCAGCAGGAGGCGGAAGAGGCGGAGGCCGCCCUCCUGGCCGAGUUCGCGAGUGAGCGCUCCUCCUGGACUGACAAGGAGGCAAUGCUGGCCUCCGGCUUCCACGAGAUCGAGGACCUCGUCGACGGUGAGCUUCUUUGCUUUCCUUCUUCGAGCCGCCGACUAUAGGUCAAGUCGACUCCUAUUUCUUUGACUUGUUCUUCAUUCUUUCCGUCUUGGUAGACUUCUUCCCCGGCCACUCGCAAGCCGCCAUUCAAGCUAUCGAGGCCGAUCGCGAGGAGCAGAGGGCGGAUGGCGCGGAGAUCGCCGCUGAUGCCCCUCGGACCAUUGACGAAUAUAUUCUGAGCAUUGGGGCUCGCCUGCGGCCGGCCCACCAGAUGUUGUGUCGUCUUCAACAUAUCGGCGCCCGAGCGAUCGCCGCCCUGUGGCCAGACGUGCAGGCUCCGCGCACCCCCAGUCGGACUGCCGACUGGCUAGAGGUCGCGGCUGGCCAUCUUGAGGCCUGGAAGGGUUCCUCGGCCCGGGCCGGAGCACGCCGAGCCUUGGAAUUAGUCAAGGCGUGGUAUCCGGGGCUGGACCUAGACCGGUAGGCCACACUCCGGUCAGAGGCCCAGCCGGAGCUGGCAGCCGCGGAAGACGCCCUUGUCAAGCGUGCGGCGGCGAUCGCCGAGUACACCGACACCAGCAUCUUUGUCCCCGAGCGGGCUAAAGACGGCGGGGAGGUACCGCCGGAGUGGUUUGGGCUGAACCCCGACUACGGCGAGGACUCGGCAGAGGUGAUCGGCUCCAGCGUCGAGGAGGAAGACGAGGCGGAGGAUGGAAGCGAGACGGAGGCACCGGAAGACGGAGCGGACGGCCAGCCUCAGCUCGACCGCGCCUCCAGCAACGAGCCGUGCCCGCCCGAGCCGACUGCCGCCGGAGGUGAUCAAGCCGAGACCGCCUAGCCGGCCGCCCCAACAUCCAACACCGCCGUCUGCUCCGAUCCUCCAAACCCGUCUGCCGCCCCCUAGGCUGCCACCUUGUCUUUGUUUUAUCUGUUCUAAUAGUUUUUGAAGAACUUGUUAAUUCGCACAAUUCCACCCGCGGGGUGUAUUUUGAAAUUCUGCUCGAAGAUUCGGCCAAGGGCCUUUGUUAUGUAAAUAUUCAUCUGACUUCUAUUUUUUCUUGCUCAUUGCUCUUUUGGCUUUUUCCUUUGCCGUCUUCCCUCAGUUGUCGUCUUUGUCAGUCGGACAGCCGCUCUGCGGACUGCUGCUGGAUCAAAUUCUUCAUCACUUUGGGAAGGCAAAUACUUAGUCGUUUUUAGAGUUGUUUAACAAGUCGGAUAGAAGGCGGCAAGCUGACUAUUCAAGAGUCGGUUUGCGAAAAAAGGCUGGAAGCCGGCCUUACGCUAUGUUUAUGCUUUGAGUCCUUAGCCAUUUUUCAUGUGGACGCCCAUUCUUCCUUACUCCUGCCCACCGGACAGUCGCUCUGCGAGCUGCGGCUUCUGGCAGGAGAUGGCUUAGACGCCACACACUACUUGUCCGGCUGCAGGAAGCAUUUCAUAGCGCAGGAUGGCAAGUCCCCAGGCCGACUAGUCGAACCCGGUGCCAAGCGGCAUAACAAAGAGUAAUAUACUCGAAGGCAUAUUUCUUAUCAUAUAGAUAAAAGAGGGCAGUCCCCGAGCUCUUCUCGGGGGGCCCGAAGUCUUGGUACUUUUAAUACAAAAGGUAGCGUGAUACAUAUUGCGUUUAACUGUAAAAUUUUUGGAGGAGAUUUGCAUUCCAUGGCCGCUCUGUCUCUUUGCCAGAGUCGUCCCUCUUGCGUGCUCGGGGCUUCUAAGCGUCGAUCAGGUAGUAGGAGUCGUUGCCCAGCACUUUGCUGAUGAUGAAGGGGCCUUCCCAAGGCGCCGACAGCUUGUGCUGGCCGGCUGUUCGCUGGAUUAGUCGGAGCACGAGGUCGCCCUCCUGGAAAGAUCUCGGCCUGACCUUCCUGUUGUAGUAUCUGCGCAAGCUCUGCUGGUAGAUGCUGGACCGGCUGAGUGCCAACAGCCGCCCCUCUUCCAGCAAGUCGAAGCCGUCUUGUCGUGCUUCUUCUGCUUCUUCCUCGGUGUACAUGGUGACUCGCGGGGAUUCGAACUCUAUGUCCGUUGGGAUGACGACUUCAGCACCGUAGAUGAGGAAGAAAGGCGUGAAGCCGGUUGACUUGUUUGGAGUCAUGCGCAGACUCCAGAGGACGGCUGGCAACUCGUCGAGCCAGCAGCCAGCCGAGCGCUCCAGAGGCUUGAUCAGUCGGGGCUUGAUGCCGGACAAGAUGAGGCCGUUUGCUCGCUCCACCUGGCCGUUUGACUAUGGAUGGGCGAUGGACGCUAGGUCCAGUCGGAUGCCCUGUGUCGCACAGAAACGGGCCAAGGCGCCUUUGGCAAAAUUCGUGCCGUUGUCGGUGAUGAUGCUGUGUGGUAUGCUGUACCGAAUUGUGAUGUCGGAGAUGAAAGUCACGGCAGUCGGACCAUGCAGUUUCUUGAUUGGCUUCGCUUCUAUCCACUUGGUGAACUUGUCCACCGUGACAAGUAAGUGAGUUAAGCCACCUCGUGCCGUCUUGAAUGGUCCCACCAUGUCUAGGCCCCAAACUGCGAAAGGCCAGGCAAUGGGGAUGGUCUUGAGUGCAGAAGCCGGCUGAUGCGGCUUAGAGCGGAACUUCUGGCACCCUUUGCAUUUUUGGACCAAUUCCUUGGCCUCUUCUAAGGUCGUUGGCUAAAAGAAACUGUGUCAGAAAGCUUUGGCGACGAGUGCUCUUGAAGCCGCAUGGUGGCCGCACUCGCCUUGAUGGAUGUCUUUGAGAAUUGCCUGGCCUUGCUCUGGCUCUACGCAGUGCUGGUAGACACCAGUGACGCUGCGCCUGACCAGCUCUUUGUUGACUAUGGUGUAGGCUGCCGCUCGGUGUUGUACUUGCCGAGCUAAGGUCUCAUCAGUCGGCAGCUCUUUGCUCACCAGGAAUUUGAGGAUGGGAUGGGCCCAUGAGGGUGCUGCUAUUUCUUCGACUGCUAGAACUGGGACUUGGACGAGGGCGGCUGGGCUGGGAGGCGGCGGGCUGGAGUCAACAACCGCUUGCUGGAUUAAUGAAGUCCCCGGGCCGACUGGCGCAGCCCUUGGGCCGAGUUCUGGAGUCUUCAGUCCGGCCGCUGCAGUCCCCGGGCCGGGUUCUGCAGUCCCUGGGCCGGCCUCGAUUGUGGCGGCUUUGGAGCCAUCUGCCAAAAUCCCCGUACCGUCUGUCGGGGCUCUGGAGUCGGAUCCGACUUCUUUGUGGGGAGCCAGCACAAAGAUGGAGUCCGAUUCUGGUGAAGGCUUGAUAGACGGCUUGAGGAGGCGUUGAAGGGCAACGCUGGAUGGUAUUGCUUGGCGGGUAGAACCGAUUCGUGCCAAGGCGUCUGCUUGGUCGUUGUCGUUUCUUGGCACAUGGAGGAACUCACACCCCUCGAAAUAUCCACUGAGUUGAUGCACGAGGAAAUGGUAACUCGCCAUGUUUGCAUCUUUGGCGUCCCAGUCGCCAGACGACUGCUGGACCACUAAGUCCGACUUGCCAUAACACAGGAUCCGGCGAAUGCCAAGUUCUUUGGCAAGCCGGAGCCCGUGAAUGAGUGCCUCGUACUCGGCGACGUUGUUGGAGGCGGCAAAAUGGAUUUGCAGUGCGUAUUUGAGCUUGUCGCCUUUAGGAAAGUGAGGACAACGCCGGCUCCCAAGCCGGUGCGCAUCUUGGAGCCGUCUAAAUGCAUCCGCCAAUGGGUGGAGUCGGGCGCUGGAGGUAGGUACUGGGUCUCGGCCCAGUCAACGAGGAAGUCGUCCAGUGCUUGUGACUUGAUGGCGGUGCGGGGCUGGUAGUGGAUGGUGUAGGGAGCCAGCUCUAUGGCCCAUUUGGCCACUCGGCCAGAAGCAUCUCGGCUUCCGAUGAUCUCGGCAAGUGGGGCCGUGUAGACCAUAGUGAUUGGAUGCUCUUGAAAGUAAGGCUUCAAUUUCUUGGCGGCAAAGUGCACGCCAUAGCACAUCUUCUGGUAGUGGGGGUAGUUCUGCUUGGGGGUCGACAGCACUUCGCUCGGGUAAUAUACCGGUCUCUGGACAGGUAGUGCCUUGCCUUCCUCCUUGCGUUCCACUACAAUGACUGUGCUGACUGUCGUGGUUCCAAGUCUGACAGUAGUGUAGGGGGGUAAGUAUGGAGAGGCAAGAUCUUAGCUAUGGCGAAGUUGUAAGAACGCAAGGUUUACGAGUUCAGGCCCUUCUCGGAGGAAGUAAUAGCCAUACGUCUCGGAGCCCGGAGGCGGUCGACUGGAUUAUGAGAGUAUGAAUUACAGGGGUGCGAACCCUUUACACUGAGGAGGGGGUGGCUUAUAUAGAGUCUGCCAGACCCCUCCAGCCCUCAGUUAUGCAGGGUUUUAAGUACAUUAAGGUCGGGCGUUACUGGUAACGCCCCUAAUAAAGUGCUAUGAUGACCAUAAAAUCUACUUAAUGACCGACCGUUAGCGUGCGGAGUGAAUUUAGGUCUCCUGGCCGUCGGGUGGUUGGAUCUUGGUCGAGUGGUUGCUUCUUGGUCGAGUGUCUUCGAGUCCGUCGAGUGAAACACCGCCAAGUCGAUUGAAAUGUGAUUUCUUCUGGAGGUGUCCUUGGGUACGUCAGUUUGGGUAGGUCCAUGGCCCUACCCUAGGUACAUAGCUUCAUCAUUAGCCCCUGAAUGGAUCGAGGUUUGAGUGGGAAAGGGUUUGAGCACAUCUCCGACUCAUUUUUCAUGUCGUGAGCAUACCUUGUUUCGGAUCAAUGGACCAGAGUGAUGACAAGAACUUUCUUUCCAGUCGCCUUGAUCCAUUCUUAGGUUUUGUCGAGUGAGUUCUUAUACUUGAAGAGUUCUGAGUGACAGUGCGGAGGAGAUCUUCGGUCCGACGAGUUGUUCUGCUGCCCGCGGAUUUCGUGGGAUCCAAAUUUCGGGAAGCGCGCGGGACGGGAGAGGCCGCAGUAAACGGAUGGGAUAGCGUGGAGCCGCCUCGAUCCCCGCACCACCUUUUUCGCCACGUAUCAUGCACGCGAUCGCCACGGGAUUUGGCAGGGCCGUUCGGGCCUACUAGUCAGCCACUCGGAAGCAGCCUCAUAUAAGGUGUUGGGCCGGGGCUCUGUUUCGCAUGCCACCAUUCUCUCUUUGUUUUCUCCCGAUUUCUCCGCCACCCUUGCUCCCGUCUUAUCGCCGGAUCUCCGCUCGAGCUCGAACUUCCACCAUGGGGAAGGACAAGACGGCGACGCUGGAACGCGCGAAGAAGGCAACCGCGAAGGCGAAGGGCAAGCGGACCAACCGGGGCAGAUCCUCGUCGAGGUCCGGCCUGCCGGCGGGCUGGAUCCAGGGUGACUGGAUCCGCUUGGCAAUCACGUAGGACGACCUCGACGACCUGGUGGAAGGGGGAUUUAUCCCCCACAAGUCGGCUCGGCUCCCGGGAGACUAAACUGAGCCGCAGCCCAGAGAGGGUGAGUGCGUCCUCUUAACAACUCACAUAGAUCAUGGGUUCUCGCUGCCUCCCCACCCUUUCUUCCGGGGUUUUUUGAACUUCUUUGGGGCUCAGCUCCACCAUUUUACUCCGAAUACCAUAUCUGGCCACUUUCGUGUCUAUGUGCGAAAACUUCUUGGGCUGUCGACCGCACUGGGGGCUCUUCAAACAUAUCUUCACUUGCCGUUCCCAGUCGGUCAAAAAGACCAAGUCAAGUGAUGAGAGGACUCGGGUGACCCAGAUGUGCGGUGGUCUGGGGAUCCAGAUGAGGAGCAAAAGUACCUUCCCAGCGAUGAUCCUUCCUGACUCGGUCCGGGGCUGGCAGUCGACUUGGUUUUACUGCAAGGAUUAGAUGACCCAUGGCCAGUCGACUGGGCUUCCUCCUUUCUCCUUGGCUCGAGUGGAGAAGCCUGCUCCUCUGAAGAUAGUUCCAUAAGAGAAGGCGCAGGUCAAGGAGCUGGUCGAACGGGUCGUCCAGCUCGUCCGCGAUGGAGUGACCGGGAUGGAUCUGCUGGAGGUCUUUCUCGGUCGACGCAUCCAACCCCUUCAGGCGCGUGAUCAUCCAAUGUGGAUGUAUUUUGGGCUCGAAGAUACCACUUGGAUCCACCCGGAGGAGGUCAGUGAGGAUACCUUGGAGAGCUGGUUGAGAGGAAUCAUUGGCAACAAAGACAACCCUCGGGGAUCCAGGAGGGUGAUUCCAUUCGACAACUCGCGUCAGCCGGAGCAGGUAUGUUUCUGUAAGUAACUUUCCGACUCUCCAUGUGAUGUCCCAUUUGCGGUCGACUGAAUGUCUUUUCAUUGUUAUUUUUUAGGCCCUCAUUGAAAUGUACUCGAUGCCCAAUGGAGAGAAAGGGCAAGACUUGGAAGGCGAGGCGAGCGGCGGCGAAAAUGGCGAGUGGACUUCUGAUGGUGAAGAGGAUGGAGAAAGCGAAGACUCAAGCGACGAAGAAGAAGUUGAGUCGCCUCCUCGCAGGGAGAGGCGAUCCAAACUUGCCCAAGAACGACCGAGCGUCCAUGAAAAGGCGACUGCUCAUGCUGGUCAAUCUUCGAAGCGUCCUCGGAUCUCUUCACCAACCCUGAUCGAGAAAGCGCCCAAGCACCCCAAAGUUGCGGAGCCAAAAAUCCGGAAGGCGUUGCCGAAGAUUAAGAUUGACAUCCCCGUCGCUUCUGCGUAAGUGUCUUCCUCUGUAUACACUCGACGCUCAGCGCCGUUUGUUUUUCUUGUUUUAACCGGACGAACUUUGGAACUGCCAGCGCUGCCACUUCUAGGACCUCAGCUUACAGGGAUGAUGAUGAGGUGAUGGAGGAUGCGGUCACGUCAAAACUGGGUAUGACUCCUGCCAUACUGUCUUUAUUUUGGUCGAUUCAACUGCAAGGUGUACCAUUGGGUGAUGUGAUUUUGAGGAUUGAACUUUGCAUAGCUCCCAACAUUAUUGACCUCCCUGAUGAUUAUGAAGAGCCCGAGAGGCCUUUGACAAGGAAAAAUAGGCAGGCUCCUACACAAUCGAGGCGCCACAGUCGACGCCAAGGACGGAACCAGUUGUUCAGGACACUGGCGAUGCCAAUCGGGGUUCUGUUACCUUUGUUGUGCCACUGUCGAGUGCUUUGCCCUCUUCGUCGACUGCUCAGGCUCCUGUCGACCCACCUUCAGUUUUUGCGACUCAUCAUGUCCCAGAGGACAAAGCGAAUGCUGCCAAGGAAGCCAUACGUCAGGCGGGCAUCAUGAUGGAGAAGAUGAGGAUGGUGCGGGACGCCAGUCAGGCUGCCUACGACGCCAGCUCAGCCCUCCAAAGCAAUUUUCAGGUUAAUUGGUCACUGCUUGUUUUGUUAGGAUAUGUUAUCUGAAGACUCUUUUCCGAAAAUCUUUGCAUCUGUACACCCACUGGGUGCGUCGAUUGAAAUUUUUGAACCGGUGGGGGCAUGCUGAGUGCACCCACUGGGUGUAGUCCCCGAGACUACGGUGGACUGCUGGCAGUCGACUAUAGUCAUUGUAUUUUUUCGAAUGUAUAAACCAAACUGGUAGUUUGUCUCUUCCACUCGGUCUGGUUGAGUGGGAUCAGAACUGGUGGGGGCAUGCAAAGUGCACCCACUGGGUGUAGUCCCCGAGACUACGGUGGACUGCUGGCAGUCGACUGUAGUCUGAGUUCUACUUUCUCUCUUUCUGCCUUUUUUUUACUUCCUGGACUCAACUUCGGCGGGCCAGUCGAGUGGGAUCAGAACCGGUGGGGGCACACAAAGUGCACCCACUGGGUGUAGUCCCCGAGACUAUGGUGGACUGCAGGCAGUCGACCGUAGUCUUAGUAUUUAUUGCCUUUGUUGUUUUUCACUGUAAAAUAACUUCUCCUCUUUGAUUGCACAAAUCUUGUGAUCUAGGAGCUCGCUUUGCUGAUUUGGAGAAACAGCAGAUCCAACUGAACCUUGACUUGGAGCUAGCCAAGACAGAGCUGCAAAAGGCUAAGGAUGGUGCCAAUGGUAAGACGAGUUUGUCGACUGGUUUGCCUUGGGCUUGAGUACCCUUCUGCUAUUUCUGAAUCAAGCACCAUUUCUUUGCAGAAAAGCUGAGAGAAGCUCUGGCAAAGAAGGACCAGGAUCUGGCUGCUGCCCGAAAGGAAGCUGACGACAGAGUCACUCUGGCCAAAUAGAAGCUGGCUUCGGUCGGCCAGUUGGAAGAAGAGAAUACCAGGCUGAAGUCUGCUCUGAAUGACUCCAACAAGGAGUGCUCGCACUAGAAGAAGGUGAAUCUCGUCCAGGGCGGGAAAAUGGAAAGCAUUGCUCGCAGGAGGGAUGAUCUAGAGAGCUAUCUGAGAAGUCUUGCCAAGAAGUUGUUCAUCAAGCUUGAAGGUGCACAUUCUGUUCCGACUGAUUUUUUUUGUGUCGACUCAGUGUACGAAAAUUGACUUAUCCUUGGAUCGUGAAUGCAGAGUUUUGCCAGAACUUUGAAGAGGAGACUAGGCGGAUCGAACCAGGUUUGGAUCCAAUCAACUCUCUCGUGAAAGAUGAAACUGCCAUGAAUCUGCUCCGACUGGAAUCUCGCAUCGACGGUGCCGUGGACUACUUGGCUCGACUGAAGGUCGCCAUGUCACAGAUUGACCUGGCACUUUGGCGAGAGGCCACACUCCAAAACAAUCUUGAGUCUCUGAUGACUCGACUUAACGGAAUCCCUGACCGAGUGCAGGAGUGGAAGAAGUCUUCUGCUCGGUGUGGCGCUGAUGUGGCUCUGUCUUUGGUUCGUGUCCACUGCAAGGAGGUGCGACAAGAUAAGCUGGCCGCAAUCAAGGUCGCCAACACCCAAAAGCACGACUUCUAAACUUUUAUGGAGACUUUCAUUGCUGCCGCCACUCGGAUUGCCGAUGGCGUCGACCUGGACGAGUUCGUCGAGCCUGCCAGCCCUCCUCCUGCGGACUGAACAAACUUUUAUGCCCCACCUUAAAUUUGCCUCGAAAUGCCGAGUGGUUUUUGUAACCGUUAAACUAUUUCGGGAUGAAUGCCUGAGCACUUUGACCUGUGGUCUGGACCCUUUAGGAUUUAUCUGAACUCGGUUUAUCAUUGAAUAUCUUUAUGAAUCCCCCGUCGAGUGGAAAUAGUUCUUCUUUCGAGACAACUUUUUUGUACUUGUGGCGCAGCUCUGAAGGGGAAGGUAGCAGUCGACCUGCACCUCGUUACUACAGAGCAGGAUGGAGUGCAUGUUGUAUUUGUGGUGAAGCUCUCCAAGGAGGAGGUGGCCGUCGAUCUGCAGCUUGUUACUGCAGAGCGGGAUGUGUUUCGUACUUAGGCGAGUACCUGACCGCAGCUAAGUCUUCAAACAAGAAAACUUAGGCAAGUACCGGACUGCAGCUAAGCCCCCGAGUGGGAGGACUGCUCUCCACUCGGUAGGAUUUUUCAAACUUAGGUGAGUGCCUGGCUGCAGCUAAGUCCUCAAGCGAGAGAACUUAGGCGAGUACUGGACUGCACCUAAGCCUCCGAGUGGGAGGGCUGCUCUCCACUCGGUAGGAUUUUUUGUUUUUCAAACUUAGGUGAGUGCCUGACUGCAGUUGAGUCCUCAAGAGAGAGAACUUAGGCGAGUACUGGACUGCAGCUAAGCCCCCGAGUGGGAGGGAUGCUCUCCACUUGGUAGGAUUUUUUCAAACUUAGGCGAGUGCCUGACUGCAGCUAAGUCCUCAAGCGAGAGAACUUAGGCGAGUACUGGACUACAGCUAAGCCCCCGAGUGGGAGGGCUGCUCUCCACUCGGUAGGAUUUUUUCAAACUUAGGCGAGUGCCUGACUGCAGCUAAGUCCUCAAGCGAGAGAACUUAGGCGAGUACUGGACUGCAGCUAAGCCCCCGAGUGGGAGGNNNNNNNNNNNNNNNNNNNNNNNNNNNNNNNNNNNNNNNNNNNNNNNNNNNNNNNNNNNNNNNNNNNNNNNNNNNNNNNNNNNNNNNNNNNNNNNNNNNNNNNNNNNNNNNNNNNNNNNNNNNNNNNNNNNNNNNNNNNNNNNNNNNNNNNNNNNNNNNNNNNNNNNNNNNNNNNNNNNNNNNNNNNNNNNNNNNNNNNNNNNNNNNNNNNNNNNNNNNNNNNNNNNNNNNNNNNNNNNNNNNNNNNNNNNNNNNNNNNNNNNNNNNNNNNNNNNNNNNNNNNNNNNNNNNNNNNNNNNNNNNNNNNNNNNNNNNNNNNNNNNNNNNNNNNNNNNNNNNNNNNNNNNNNNNAACUUAGGCGAGUACUGGACUGCAGCUAAGCCCCCGAGUAGGAGGGCUACUCUCCACUCGGUAGGAUUUUUUCAAACUUAGGCGAGUGCCACUUAGGCGAGUACUGGACUGCAGCUAAGCCCUCGAGUGGGAGGGCUGCUCUCUACUCGGUAGGAUUUUUUCAAACUUAGGCGAGUGCCUGACUGCAGCUAAGUCCUCAAGCGAGAGAAUUUAGGCGAGUACUGGACUGCAGCUAAGCCCCCGAGUGGGAGGGCUGCUCUCCACUCGGUAGGAUUUUUUUUUCAAACUUAGGCGAAACGGAUUCGCAGCUAAGACUCCGAGUGGGAGGCUGGCUCGCCACUUGGUAGGAAAUCGUUUUUAUAAACUUAGGCGAAGCGGAUUCGCAGCUAAGCCACCCACUUGGGGAUUUCUUACGUAAACAAAAACAAUAAUAAUCAGUGGGAAAAUUAUAAUGCUCUUGUCUUUGAUAAAUAAACUACAGGAGUUUUUUCUUAUUACAUCUUAUCUGAAUGAUAACUCAAGUAUAAAAGGGGCGGAGCAGCUCCGCAUUCCAGGCUCGUGGCUCAUCAAUCUGGCGAUCGACAUUGUAGAGGUGGUAUGCUCCAUUGUGGAGGACUCUGGUGACUAUGAAGGGGCCUUCCCAAGUAGGAGCGAGCUUGUGUGGUUUCUGCUGAUCCACUCGGAGGACUAAGUCUCCUUCUUGGAAGGCUCGGCUCUUCACGUUUCUGGCAUGGAAUCGACGCAAGUCUUGCUGAUAGAUGGUCGAUCGAAUCAAGGCCAUUUCUCUUUCUUCUUCUAGGAGGUCAACUGCGUCCUGCCGGGCUUGUUCUGCUUCAUCUUCAGAGUAGAGCUCGACUCGGGGAGCGUUGUGAAGCAGGUCACUCGGUAAGACUGCCUCGGCUCCGUAGACCAGAAAGAAUGGGGUUCUUCCGGUCGAUCGAUUCGGGGUUGUUCUUAAUCCCCAAAGGACUGAUGGAAGCUCGUCGACCCAUGCACCUGCUGCGUGCUUGAGAUCGCGCAUCAAUCGGGGUUUCAGUCCUUUGAGAAUCAGGCCGUUCGCCCUUUCUGCUUGCCCAUUCGACUAGGGGUGAGCGACCGAAGCAUAGUCGACUCGAGUGCCCUGAGAGGCGCAAAAGGCCCUGAAUUUGUCAGAAUCAAAGUUUGAACCGUUGUCGGUGAUGAUGUUGUGUGGAACUCCAUAUCUGAAUAUCAACUCUCUAAUGAAACUGAUAGCGGUGCAAGCAUCAAGAUUCUUGAUAGGCUUGGCUUCAAUCCAUUUGGUGAACUUGUCGACUGCUACCAGCACAUGAGUGAAUCCGCUCCUGCCUGUUCUCAGUGGUCCAACCAUGUCCAACCCCCAAACAGCGAAGGGCCAGACGAGUGGAAUGGUUUUUAGGGCUGACGCGGGCUUGUGCGGCAUAUUGGAGUAAUACUGACAUCCUUCACAUUUGUCAACUAUCUCUUUUGCCAUCUCAUUGGAUCUUGGCCAGUAGAACCCCGCUCGGUAUGCUUUAGCCAUAAUGGUCCGAGAGGACACAUGAUGACCACAGGUCCCCGAGUGGAUAUCGUUAAGGAUCAUCUGACCUUCUUCUGGUGUAAUACACUUCUGGCCGACCCCAGUCGCGCUUUCUCUAUAUAAUUGUCCCUUUAUGACUGUAAAGGCCUUGGAUCGACGGACGAUCUGUCGAGCCUCUUCUUCGUCUUCUGGGAGUUCUUUCCUUAGGAUGUACGCGAUGUAUGGUUCUGUCCAGACGGGAGUGAUAACCAAGACUUCCAUGAUCAGGUCGACCACAGCUGGAACUUCAACUUCAGUCGGAUCCGUGGCGCUUUUUGGCUGCGGGGCCUCUUCAGUGAAGGGAUCCUCUUGGACUGAUGGUGUGUGGAUGUGUUCCAAAAACACAUUGCUGGGAAUGGCUUCUCUUUUGGAACCUAUUUUUGCCAGAUCAUCAAUUGCUUGAUUUUUCAGUCAGGGUAUGUGAUGAAGCUCUAACCCCUCGAAUUUCUUCUCCAACUUUCUCACUGCAUUUCAAUAACCAGUCAUGGCUGGACUUCUGACGUCCCAUUCCUUCAUCACUUGAUUAACCACCAAAUCUAAGUCGCCAUAGACCAUGAGGCGACGGACGCCGAGUGAAAUGGCCAUGUGCAACCCAUAUAAAAGUGCUUCGUAUUCUGCCUUGUUGUUAGAGGAAUCAAAGUGGAUUUGAAGAACAUAUCUGAGUUUAUCUCCUCUGGGGGAGACCAACACCACUCCGGCGCCGGAACCAUUUAGCAUCUUGGAACCGUCGAAGAACAUGGUCCAAUGCUCCGAGUGAACCUGAGUCGGCAGUUGCUGUUCAGUCCACUCGGCGACGAAAUCCGUGAUUGCCUGGGACUUGAUAGCUUUCUUUGCCUCAAACUUGAUAUCUAGAGGAAGGAGUUCAAUCGCCCAUUUUGCCACUCGACCAGUUGCGUCCCUGUUAUGCAAGAUCUCUGACAACAUAGCAUCACUGACGACUGUAAUGGAAUGAUCAGAGAAGUAGUGGGCAACUUUCUUUGUGGUCAUAUAAAUCCCAUAUAUGAGCUUCUGAUAAUGAGGAUAUCUUUGCUUCGAUGGGGUCAAGACUUCAGAAGUAUAAUACACUGCGCGCUGAACUUUGAAGGUUUUCCCUUCUUCUUCCCGCUCGACCGUAAGUACCGUACUGAUGACUUGUCCUGUGGCUGCAAUGUAAAGCAGCAAAGGCUCCUUGCUGAUUGGGGCAGCAAGCACCGGCUGGGUGGAGAGCAGAGCUUUGAGCUCUGCGAACGCUGCGUCAGCUUCAGGAGUCCACUCGAACUUGUCAGACUUCUUCAUCAAUCGGUAAAGAGGCAAUGCAUUUUCACCGAGACGAGAUAUGAAUCGACUUAGGGCGGCCAAGCAACCAGUAAGCUUCUGAACAUCGUGCACUCGCACAGGACUUUUCAUUCGGAGUAUAGUACCAACUUUUUCUGGAUUGGCAUCGAUUCCCCGUUCGGAAACGAGAAAACCGAGUAACUUUCCGCCAGGAACCCCGAAUGUGCAUUUUGAUGGAUUAAGCUUGAUAUCAAACCUUCUGAGGUUGGCAAAGGUUUCAGCAAGGUCAGUCAGCAGGUCGGAACCCUUCCAUGACUUGACCACAAUAUCAUCCAUGUACGCCUCCACAUUCCGACUGAUUUGGGUGAGCAAACACUUCUGAAUCAUCCUCAUGAAUGUGGCUUCAGCAUUCUUGAGGCCGAAUGGCAUGGUAACAUAACAGAAGCACCUGAAUGGAGUGAUGAAAGCUGUUUUGAUCUCGUCAGGUCCAUACAGACGGAUCUGAUGGUACCCGGAAUAGGCGUCUAAAAAAGACAGUCGCUCACAUCCCGCAGUCGAGUCGACUAUCUGGUCGAUGCGGGGGAGAGGAAAAUGAUCUUUCGGGCAGGCCCGAUUGAUAUGUUUAAAGUCAAUGCACAUGUGAAGUGACUUGUCUUUCUUGGGGACCAUGACAACAUUGGCGAGCCACUCGGAGUGGUAGAUUUCUCGGAUGAACUCCGCCGCCAAGAGCCGAGCCACCUCUUCGCCAAUGGCCUUUCUCUUCUGGACGGCGGACCGUCGGAGAUGUUCCUUGAUAGGUUUUACUUUUGAGUCGACUCUUAGGCGGUGCUCAGCCAGCUCCCUGGGAACACCCGGCAUGUCAGAGGGCUUCCAUGCGAAAAUGUCCCAGUUCUCAUGGAGGAACUGGAUGAGCACUUCUUCCUAUUUGGAGUCGAGUGUUGUCGAGAUAUGAGUUGGAGCAGCACUGGGGUCGGUCGGGUGGAUGUGAGCUGUCUUCGUAUCGCCAGUCGACUGAAAAGCUGACUCUGUAGCGGGCUUCUUGGCUCGCAACAAAUCACUCGGGUCUGCAGUCUUCUAGUAUUCCUGCAACUCCACCACUGCCAUCUGAGCAUCAGCGAUCUUCGAACCUUUUUGAAAACAUUCUUCCACUUUCUUCCGAUUGCCCGUAAUAGUGAUCACACCUUUGGGGCCAGGCAUCUUCUAUUUGAGGUACAUGUAACAUGGUCGGGCCAUGAAGCGUGCAUAAGCCGGCCUCCCCAAAAUAGCGUGGUAGGCACUCUAGAAGUCUACAACUUCGAAUGUCAACUUUUCUUUGCGGUAAUUUUUGGAAUCACCGAGAAACCACAUCAAGAGCAAUCUGGCCGAGUGAUUCAGCCUUCUUCCCAGGAAUGACUCCACGGAAACUCAUGUUGCUGGCACUGGGUCUGGACAUUGGAAUGCCCAUCCCUUUCAACGUCUCAGCAUACAAUAUGUUCAAACCACUGCCACCAUCCAUCAGGACUUUGGUCAGUCGAGUGCCUUCAACAACUGGGUCGACCACCAAAGCUUGCCUCCCAGGGGUGGCGAUAUGCGUUGGGUGGUCGGACUGGUCGAAUGUUAUGGCAGUCUGAGACCAUUUCAGGUAACUAGGUGUCGCCGGAGCGACCAUAUUCACCUCUCGGUUAAUAACUUUCAGUCAACUUUUGCUUUCAACAUCGGCAAAAAUCAUCAGAGUGGAAUUGACCUGAGGGUAUCCGUCGUCACUGUCUUCUUUGUCCUCGACCUUGUCCGACUCCUUUUCCUUACCUUUGGGCUGCUUGCCCUGGAACUGCUGGAUCAAGAGUCGACACUGUCGAGUGGUAUGUUUCGGGUAAAUGAAAUUACCCUCUUCAUCUUUCUUUGUAUGGACGAGACAUGGUAAGUCCAACACAUCAUUUCCGUCCUGUUCUUUAACCUUUUUUGGGGUUCCAAGGUCCUUUAGGUUUCCCUUUAAACUUUCCUUGGGUUAAAGCCAAGGCUUCCCCGGGAGCCGCUGGCUCGGCUUUCCGCUUCUGUUUCCGAUUGGAAUUUCCUCCGGUUUCUUGGGCGACUGACUUGAGCUUGCCACUCCUAAGCCGAUCCUCAUCUUCACCAUUAGCGUACUUGGUGGCAAUCUCCAUCAUCCGAUUCAGGGACAUAUCUCUGGUUCGACCGAAUUUCAAAUUCAGUUCUCUGUACUUGACGCCUUCCUUGAAGGCACAAACUGCUUGGUGGUCAGGCACAUUCUCCACCGAGUGAUGUAACAUGAUCCACCUCUGGAUGUAAUCCCUCAAAGUUUCAUUCGGCUUCUGCACGCAAGACCGCAGUUCCGUCAGCCCUGCCGGUCGCUUGCAUGUGCCUUCAAAUGUGGUGACGAACACUCGGGAGAGAUCUUCCCAAGUGUAAAUGUUGCUAGGCGCUAACUGGUUCAGCCACGCUCUGGCCGAGCCCUCCAACAUGAGAGGCAGGUGCUUCAUGGCCACUUCAUCAUUGCCACCGCCAAUCUGGACGGCCACUCGGUAGUCCUCAAGCCAAGUAUCGGGCUUGGACUCGCUAGUGAACUUACUGACUCCAGUCGCCAACCUGAAGUUGGGAGGAAUCACAACGGCCCUGAUGGCUCUACUAAAGCACUCUGGCCCCGAAACAUGUACUCUGCUGCUGGUAGGUGCAUCUCUGUCGUGACCUUCUCGGUGAGCCCUAUUCCUGUCGACCAAACCUUGGACGAGAAUGGAUCUCACAUCAAAGCCUGGCCCUCUGGGGUCGACUGGAAUCCUUCGCCCACCACUAUGAGGGCGCCUAUCAUCCUGCUGGCGAGGCACAUACGACCCGCUCCUCGGGGGAGGCGUGGGCACUCGACGUCGACCGUCACGAUCGACUCGGUGAUCAUACUUCUCAUGGUUCCCAUACUGGUCACACCGGUCUCCACGUCCCUCACGCCUCGGGGGCGAUCUCGGGCUGUGAGCCGACUGGACUGUGUCCGCGGCAACGGAUCUGCUGUCAAUCAUGUUAUGCGACUGAGAAACAGCGGAAUUCUAGUCUCCUGCUGCCCGGAGUAACGCUCUGAUCUGCAGCAAGCCUCUGCCAGCCUCCGACUGGGAAGGCUGAAUCGACUCCGCUAUACGGGCCGCAGCUGCUAAAUCCUGAAUCGGAGUUCGAUAUACCUGCGGGGGCGGGAAGAACUGACGUCGACUGGAUUCGGGAACCCGUUGUUGCGCACGCUCGUCGAGUGUUCGCUGGAGGUUCUCCAGUUGAGUGCACUCGGCCAAGUUUGCCAGGCACGCGUCUUCCAAGGCGCGAGCCUCAGGGGUUUCUCCAACGAUAGGAGUGUGCAGUGCAUCCACGUUCCGGCGGCGAAGUUCUUCUCUCUGCAGUGACGUGAGAGGCUCGGGAAGAUACUCCUCAUGGGGACGCGACGGGUCGCCUCCACCCGUGCCUCCGUCGGUGCGGGGAAAACUGGGAGGACUGGGCGGUCCAUCGACCAUCAGAACCUCCACCGCCGGAUCGCUGCUGUCGCACUCGGAUGCGGUCUCUGCGGAGCCAGUCGAAUAGGCCGUAGAGGGAUUCGUCGGGCUCGAUCGCCGCGACUUGCGGGGUGGCCGACUGACGUGCCACCGCGUGUCUCACCCAUCGCUGAAGUCUCGACCGAUCGGAGCGCUUGGGCCGGCGGGAAAUGGGGAGGGAGGACAACACAUGAGCCGACCGGUAGGGGGUCGAUGGUUGCCGCAAGAGAACGCCGCGGACACACGCGCUAAAGUGCGUUGCCCCGCGAACAGGGAGUGCGACCACGUCGAGCGGAGCCUCCUGGAGCCAAGCAGAGUCGUCGACGAUGAAUGUGAGCGCACCGAGACGGAUCUCACGGCCCUCCACCAAAACUCCGCCGAAAACCAUGAUGAUUCGGGUCGGAAAAGGUCGCAACUCCUCCAACAAAUGCUAAAACACCGGCCCCACGGUGGGCGCCAACUGUCGUGGUUCCAAGUUUGACAGUAGUGUAGGGGGUAAGUAUGGAGAGGCAAGAUCUUAGCUAUGGAGAAGUUGUAAGAACGCAAGGUUUACGAGUUCAGGCCCUUCUCGGAGGAAGUAAUAGCCCUACGUCUCGGAGCCUGGAGGUGGUCGACUGGAUUAUGAGAGUAUGAAUUACAGGGGUGCGAACCCUUUACACUGAGGAGGGGGUGGCUUAUAUAGAGUCCGUCAGACCCCUCCGGCCCUCAGUUAUGCAGGGUUUUAAGUACAUUAAGGUCGGGCGUUAUUGGUAACGCCCCUAAUAAAGUGCUAUGAUGACCAUAAAAGCUACUUAAUGACUGAACGUUAGCAUGCAGAGUGACUUUAGGUCUCCUGGCCGUCGGGUGGUUGGAUCUUGGUCGAGUGGUUGCUUCUUGGUCGAGUGUCUUCGAGUCCGUCGAGUGAAACACCGCCAAGUUGAUUGAAAUGUGAUUUCUUCUAGAGGUGUCCUUGGGUAGGUCAGUUUGGACAGGUCCAUGGCCCUACCCUAGGUACAUAGCUUCAUCACUGACUACCCGGCUGGUGGCGGUGAUGUACAGGAGCAUAGGUUCCUUACGAGUCGGAGCCGCCAGAACGGGUGGAGUAGUUAGCAUCUUCUUCAACUGGAGAAAAGCUUCAUCCGCCUUGUGGUUCCACUCGAAAAAAGUGGUCUUCUUCAUGAGCUGGUAUAAGGGGAGAGCUUUCUCGCCCAGCCGACUGAUGAAUCGGCUGAUGGACGCCAAGCAGCCGGUGAACUUUUGCACGUCCAGCAGUCGGCUGGGUACCUCCAUCCUCUCAAUGGCCUUGAUCUUUACAGGGUUGCACUCUAUGCCGCGUUCAGAGACCAGGAAGCCAAGGAGUUGGCCGGCUGGUACUCCGAAGACGCACUUCUCAGGGUUGAGCUUGAUCUAGAAUCGGCGCAGGUUCUCAAAGGUCUCCUUGAGGUCUUCCAGCAGUGUUCCACGCUUCUCCGUCUUCACCACCACAUCGUCCACGUAGACGUGGGUGUUUCUGCCGAGUUGCUUGAGGAGGCACUUCUGCAUGCAACGCUGAAAGGUGGCGCCGGCAUUCCUCAAGCCGAACGUCAUGGUGAGGUAGCAGAAGGCUCCAAACGGCGUGAUGAAGGCGGUCUUCAGUCUGUCAGCCGGGUUCAGCUUGAUCUGGUGAUAUCCUGAAUAUGCAUCCAAAAAGCUCAACAGCUCGCAUCCGGCUGUGGAGUCUAUCACCUAAUCAAUUCUUGGUAAAGUAAACGGGUCCUUGGGGCAAGCCUUGUUGAGGCUUGUGUAGUCAAUACACAUUCGCCACUGCUUGUUCUUCUUCAGUACCAAGACCGGGUUGGCUAGCCACUCUGGAAAGAAUACUUCCAUAAUGAAGCCGGCUGCUAGGAGUCGGGUUAUCUCUUCUCCGACAACUCUUCUCUUUUCUUCUGAUAGGCAGCGCAAGGGCUGCCUGACCGGCUUUGCAUCAGAUCGGACAUGUAACUUGUGCUCGGCGAAUCCCGUCGGUACACCUGGCAUGUCUUUGGGGGACCAUGUGAAUAUGUCCUGAUUCUCACGGAGGAAAUCGACGAGCUCGCCUUCCUAUUUGCUGUCAAGGUUUGCACCUACGACAGCGUACCUCUCUGGGUGCUCCAGAUCCAAGGGUAUCUUCUUUGUCUCUUUGGCCGGCUUGAACGAACCCUCAGCCUCCGACUCCUUUGGGUUAGGCGACACCUCUAGCUGGUUGCCGGCCAUCGCCACAACCCGGUCAAGGAGCCGCUUCUCGGCCGCGAUCACCAGGGACUCGGCCAGCUGACUACUCUCAGCCGCACAGGCAGACGACUUCUGGUAGUCGUCGGCUACGAUCAGAAUCCCCCUGGAACUGGGCAUCUUCAUUUUGAGGUAGGCGUAGUGGGGGACCGCCAUGAACUUGGACAGGGCGGGUCGGCCAAGUAAUGCAUGGUAUGGGCUCUCGAGGUCCACCACCUCAAACCAGACUGACUCUCGGCAGAAGUGAUCUUUGUCUCCAAAGAGGACGUCCAUCAGGAUCUUGCCGAUUGGUGAGCAGGAAAGACCAGGAACAAUGUCGUGGAACAUAGUCCGGCUGUUCUGAAGCUGUCUUUGCUUGAUUCCUAACUUCUCCAUGGUGUCCUUGUACAGGAUGUUGAUGAUGUUGCCUCCGUCUAUCAGAACUCGCGAGAAACGAGCAGCUCAUUUAUCCGUGGCAAAGGUGGCAUCCAAGACCAAGGCAUAAGAGCCCGGACUCGGCAUCACCUCUGGGUGAUCAGCUCUGCUCCAGCUGAUAGGCUUCUCGGACCAGUGCAUGAACUUUGGUGUCUCUGAUGCUACUGCAUUCACCUCUUAUCGCUGCAGCCACCUGCUGCGUCGAUCAUCAGCCACGCUGGUAAAUAUCACGUAGGCUUCGUGCUCUUCGGGGUACUCGUCUUGUACUGCGUCGACUGGCCUGAAAGCCGGCUGCUGGGGCGGAGGCGGAGGCUGCUGCCCAGCAGGUGGGGAAGGUAGGAGGCCAUCUCCUUUGGCGAUCCUGGUGAGCCAGUGGCACUUCCGGGUGGUGUGAUUCGACGGCUUCGCGCUGCUAUGGAACUUGCAAGGACCAUCCAGAGUCCGCUCGUAUGAGAAAGCCGGCAACCAGUUGGGCUUGCCACCUUUCUGUCGCUUGGGUGGAGGCUGCCCAUCCGGCUGCUGGUCUUCAACUGUCGCCACCUGCCGGCUGCUGGAAGCCGGCUGCGGGGCCUUGCGCUUGUGGUUGUUCUGCUGUUGCCGCUGAUUGGCGUCUCCUGCCGGAGUUCUUGGAGCCUGAGGGGCCACUUUGCCAAUCGCGCUAACUUGAAUCUCCGCCUUCAUGGAGGAGUCGGCCGUGGCAUACUUGUCUGCUAUGAUCAGCAGCUCGUCGAGGGUUUCUGGCUCGUCGCAGAGGAGCUUGUGCUUGAUGAGGGUGCCUUCUCUGCACCCGGCGGUGAAGUACUCGAUAGCCUGCACCUCGUGCACGCCCUCGCAUGAGUUCCGAAGCUCGGCCCAACGCGUGAGGUAGUCGUGAGUCGACUCGUUGGGGCCUUGCAUGCACAAGGAAAGCUGAUGAGGCUUGGGAGGCCGCUUGUACGUGCUUGUGAAGUUGCGGACGAAUGCAUCGGUGAAGUCGACCCAGUUGUUGAUGCUGCAGGGCUUCAGGCUGUUCAGCCAUGUCCGGGCCAUGCCCUGGAGCAUGAGCGGAACGUAUUUUACGGUGACACGCUUGUUGCCGUUUGCUAUGUUGACGGCCGGGAGUAGUCAACCAGCCAGUCCUCCGGCUUCACGGAGCCAGUGUACUUGGGCGUGUCUCUUGGGAGCGUGAACCCUUUGGGAGAGGGCUCGUCUCGAAUGCGGGGCCCGAAACAAGGCGGACCCAACUCGUCUUCUUCUUCCAACGCCAGGGAUCGGUGAAGUCGGUCGAUCUGGUGGCAGGCGUCAUUUUCUCCGACUCCCUCUCGGCGGCCAAGGCGGUCGCCGAGAGUUGGAUGGUCAACAGGCGGCGGGGAGACUCGCCUUUCCUUGUGAGGAGGAGGGGGCGGACAGUCGUUUCGUCGUACCACUGCUCUCGAGCGGCCGUCUUGGUCGCGCUCUAUGGUAAUGUGAGUCCGACUGUGGCUGACAGCUGGAUCCUUGUCUUUCCUUCCUCGGGCGCCGCCAGUCGGCGUCCGAGACGUCGCGCCUUGAUCUCGGCAUGGAGGCGGGUUGUUGUUUUGUCGCUGUGGCGCCUCCGUGCGGCAGCCGGCCUCGUUUUGCGCUGUAGCCGCGUCGAUGAGCCAAUGGACUCGCUCCGUCAUCAGGCGGCGCUCUUCGCCCUCAAAGUUGUCCAGCUCAUCCGCCGCCGCCUGGGCGGCUCGAAUGUUCUCCGCAGGUGUGGCGUACACAGGGCGAUUUUCCCCGAACAGGUUGGUGAUGGCAACGCCGUGCUGCUGGACCGCGCCAAGGCGGCUGGGCCCAGCUGGGGCUGGCGAGCCACCCACAGCGCGAUCCAUCUCACGCUGGUAGGCUUCUGACAAGCGUCUCAUGCUAGCCAGCUUCUUCGCGCCUUCGACGAGCUGAAGGCGGCGCGCCUCCAACGUCUCCGCGUCAGCGUCUUCCGGAAUGGGCGUAGUCAGGUCUUGCAGCGCCGCGCCAAGUGGGUCAUGCGCUCCUCCGCCGGGAGGCUUGUCAUGACCGAUGACGACCACCUCGGUGAUGGUGCUUCCUUCGCUUUCCGCGCGAGGGAGAGGCUCGUCGUAGACCACCAUGUUGGUGGGGAACGCGUCGAGUGACGCGGUGUCGGAGUCGACCAGCAUCGGGUCGGUGGAGCCUACAGACUCCAAGUCCACGGCAGGCUCGCCGGCGACGUGGAGUUGGUCGAGGAGGCCCGCGAGGAGGCUCUCGGGGCCGCCCGUGCCUGCGUUGGAUGCAGGUUCAUUGGAGAGGCGAACCUCGCCGACAAGAUCAGCGAGUCAGCUGGCUGCGCAGGCGAUCUCAGCACCGUGCAGCGCGUCAGCGCAAACUCCGUCUGGCGUGCCAGGCUGGCUGUGCUCGCCAGGGAGGAAAAGGGUUCCCGUCCAGAGCAGGUCUUCGGACGACGAUGCACCAGGCCCCACGAUGGGCGCCAAAUGUCGGGGGUUGGGUGCGACAUAUGCCAAAGGAUGGCUUAUCAUGGUGGGGGCGAGUAGAAUGUCGUCGGUGCCUGGAAACGGGAUAAGGCGAAGGCAUGCACGCCGGCGAAUCUUACCCAGCUUCGGGGCUCUCCGGGGAGAUAAUACCCCUACUGCUGCUCUACGGGGUCUCCGCAUGAUCACUAUAGCAAAGUGUUUACACGGUUGCUCCUCGAGCUGUUUCCUGGAGGUAGGAGAAGGCAAGGCUAGCUCUCUCCUUCCUUACGAUCUGGUCUAGUGCUAAUGGAUUCCAACCCUUUGCAUGGAUGCCCUAGGGGGUUUAUAUAGGCCUACCCCCCAGGGAUACAAUGGUAAUCCGGCUAGGCGCGGGCCUAGCAGUCAGUCUCUCUGGCCGUCGUCUUAUCCGCCGACUCCUGGGGCCCGCCGACUGCCUCGGUAUGGAGCCGACAGGCCGCGUCCGCCGCGGGCGGGUCUUGCCGGUUGUAGAUUACUGUAGUCGUGCCUCUAAUGACGCAUGCUCGGUCAUGAGGGCGUGGCGACAGCUCUGCCAUCUGGCACACGAACACUGUGGCCAAUCCCUGUCGUGUCUGAUUAAUGGUGCGUGGGGCCCGUGGGAGGGCCGGCCGACUCCUGGUGGUCAACACCCAUCCGGGCCGACUGGUGGCGCUCUCGCCAUCUUUCGUACGCCCGCCGACUGGUGGGACCCAUCAUCCCUGGGUCGUAUCGACAGGCUGUCGUGGGCACAGGACUCCGCCCUCUAGGGCCGACGUCAGGGCCGGCAUGGCAAUAGUGUCGCGCCGCACGGAGAUCUCUGCGGGUACGGCGUACUGUAGCCACUCCUGCCCUUGGAAAAGGGGUGGGAGUGGACCUUACUAUGGCCACUCCCCGUCCCGUCCCUCUUUAUGAGGGCAUGGGGGUUGUUGGCGUCGCGGGCCGACUCCCCAAGGUCGGCUUCUCUAGAAGUCGCCAGUCAGGAGUCGGCUCAUCCUGAAGUCGUCCCUGGGACUCGGCCGCAAGUGGGCAGUCGGCCGCCUCGCCGCCGACUCUUAGAAGGCAUCUCUUCAUCCUGGGGUCUCGAGGGGCGCAGUCUGCCUCAAUGUCUUGAAAGGUUCUGGGCCUGGGUUAGCCUACCCGUGGCCCAUUACUCCGACAAUUCAUCACAAUGUAACUAGAUUAUUGACUCUAGUGCAAGUGGGACACUGUUGGAAAUAUGCCCUAGAGGCAAUAAUAAAAUGGUUAUUAUUAUAUUUCCUUGUUCAUGAUAAUUGUCUAUUGUUCAUGCUAUAAUUGUGUUAUCCGAAAAUCGUAAUACAUGUGUGAAUACGUAGACCACAACACGUCCCUAGUGAGCCUCUAGUUGACUAUUCGUUGAUCAAAAGAUAGUCAUGGUUUCCUGACUAUGGACAUUAGAUGUCAUUGAUAACGGGAUCACAUCAUUAGGAGAAUGAUGUGAUGGACAAGACCCAAUCCUAAGCAUAGCUCAAAGAUCGUGUAGUUCGUAAGCUAGAGCUUUUCUGAAUGUCAAGUAUCAUUUCCUUAGACCAUGAGAUUGUGCAACUCCCGGAUACCGUAGGAGUGCUUUGGGUGUGCCAAACGUCACAACGUAACUGGGUGACUAUAAAGGUGCACUACGGGUAUCUCCGAAAGUGUCUGUUGGGUUGGCAUGAAUCGAGACUGGGAUUUGUCAAUCCGUAUGACUAAGAGGUAUCUCUGGGCCCACUCGGUAAUGCAUCAUCAUAAUGAGCUCAAUGUGACCAAGUGGUUGAUCACGGGAUCAUGCAUUACGGUAUGAGCAAAUUGACUUGCCGGUAACGAGAUUGAACGAGGUAUUGGGAUACAGACGAUCGAGUCUCGGGCAAGUAACGUACCGAUUGACAAAGGGAAUUGUAUACGGGAUUGAUUGAAUCCUCGACAUCGUGGUUCAUCCGAUGAGAUCAUCGAGGAGCAUGUGGGAGACAACAUGGGUAUCCAGAUCCCACUGUUGGUUAUUGACUGGAGAGUCGUCUCGGUCAUGUCUGCGUGUCUCCCAAACCCGUAGGGUCUACACACUUAAGGUUCGAUGACGCUAGGGUUGUUGAGAUAUUAGUAUACGGUAACCCGAAAGUUGUUUGGAGUCUCGGAUGAGAUCCCAGACGUCACGAGGAGUUCCGGAAUGGUCCGGAGGUGAAGAUUUAUAUAUAGGAAGUCAAGUUUCGGCCAUCGGGAAAGUUUCGGGGGUAAUCGGUAUUCUACCGGGACCACCGGAAGGGUCCCGGGGGUCCACCGGGUGGGGCCACCUAUCUCGGAGGGCCCCAUGGGCUGAAGUGGGAGGGGAACCAGCCCCUGGUGGGCUGGUGUGCCCCCCAUGGGCCUCCCCCUGCGCCUAGGGUUGGAAACCCUAGGGGUGGGGGCGCCCCACUUGGCUUGGGGGGCAAGCCACCCCCCUUGGCCGCCGCCCCCUGAUACGUAUCCGUCGUAUCUACUUUUCCAAACACUUUUGCCCUUGUUUUGGACUCUAUCUUGUAUGAUUUGAAUGGAACUAACCCGGACUGACGCUGUUUUCAGCAGAAUUACCAUGGUGUUGUUUUAUGUGCAGAAAACAAAUAUUCUCGGAAUGACCUGAAACUCCACGGGAGGUCUUAGAAAAAACAAUAAAAAAUCCUCUCCAAAUAUGAAGACUAGGGGGCCCACACCCUUUCCACGAGGGUGGGGGCGCCCCCCUUCCCCCUAGGGCGCGCCCCCCUACCUCGUGGGCCCCUGUUGACCCUCUGACGCCAACUCCAACUCUAUAUAUUUGCUUUCGGAGAGAAAAAAACCAGAGAGAAUAAAUCAUCACGUUUUAUGAUACGGAGCCACUGCCAAGCCCUAAAACCUCUCGGGAGGGCUGAUCUGGAGUCCGUUCGGGGCUCCGGAGAGGGGGAUUCGUCGCUGACAUCAUCAUCAACCAUCCUCCAUCACCAAUUUCAUGAUGCUCACCGCCGUGCGUGAGUAAUUCCAUCGUAGGCUUGCUGGACGGUGAUGGGUUGGAUGAGAUUUAUCAUGUAAUCGAGUUAGUUUUGUUAGGGUUUGAUCCCUAGUAUCCAUUAUGUUCUGAGAUUGAUGUUGCUAUGACUUUGCUAUGCUUAAUGCUUGUCACUAGGGCCCGAGUGCCAUGAUUUCAGAUCUGAACCUAUUAUGUUUUCAUGAAUAUAUGUGAGUUCUUGAUCCUAUCUUGCAAGUCUAUAGUCACCUACUAUGUGUUAUGAUCCGGCAACCCCGAAGUGACAAUAAUCGGGACCACUCCCGGUGAUGACCAUAGUUUGAGGAGUUCAUGUAUUCACUACGUGUUAAUGCUUUGUUCCGGUUCUCUAUUAAAAGGAGGCCUUAAUAUCCCUUAGUUUCCAAUAGGACCCCGCUGCCACGGGAGGGUAGGACAAAAGAUGUCAUGCAAGUUCUUUUCCAUAAGCACGUAUGACUAUAUACGGAAUACAUGCCUACAUUAUAUUGACGAACUGGAGCUAGUUCUGUGUCACCCUAUGUUAUGACUAUUACAUGAUGAACCGCAUCCGGCAUAAUUAUCCAUCACUGAUCCGGUGCCUACGAAUUUUCCAUAUACUGGUUUACGCUUAUUUACUUUUUCGCUUUUACUGUUACAAUCACUACAAAAUACCAAAAACAUUACUUUUGUUGUCUUUAAUUUUGUUGCUGCUACCACCACUAUCAUAUUACUUUGCUACUAAACACUUUGCUGCAUAUACUAAGUUUCCAUGUGUGGUUGAAUUGACAACUCAGCUGCUAAUACUUGAGAAUAUUCUUUGGCUCCCCUUGUGUCGAAUCAAUAAAUUUGGGUUGAAUACUCUACCCUCAAAAGCUGUUGCGAUCCCCUAUACUUGUGGGUUAUCAAGACCUUUUUAUGGCGCCGUUGCCGGGGAGCAUAGCUCUAUUCUUUAAGUCACUUGGGAUUUAUAUCUGCUGGACACUAUGAAGAACUUGAGAGAUCCAAAAACCAAGAUCUACCCCUCAACUACGAGGGGAGGGAAGGAACUGCCAUCUAGCUCUGCACUUGAUUCACCUUCUGUUAUGAGUAAGUUUGUGACACCUACAUCUGCUUCUGCUAUUCGUUCUGAUAUGUCGCAUGUUAUUGAUGAUGCCACUUCUACUAUGCAUGAUACUUAUGAUGAAACUGCUUCUAUGCCUGAUACUACUGUGCCCCUUAGUGAAUUUCUUGAAGAACAAAUUGCUAGGGCUCAAAAUUGAUGAAACUGAAUACGAUGAUGAUAGUGAUGAUGAAAAUAUGCCUGUUAUUCCUGAAGGUUAUCUUUUUGAUCAAGAUGCUUCUUUAGCUAUUUUAGCUUGCAGAGAUAGAUAUGAGCUUAAGAGGUUAUUAAUUAAAUGGAAUAAAGAAUCACUUAGAGAUAAAAGGAAAUCCGAUCCUGCUUUUGCUACUUCACCUAUAUGUGUUCCUGAUAAAGAUUAUGAAUUCUUUGUUGAUCCUGAUAUAAUUACUUUGGUUGAAUCUGAUCCAUUUUAUGGCUAUGAAUCUGAAACUGUUGUGGCACAUCUUACUAAGUUAAAUGAUAUAGCUGCCCUGUUCACUAAUAAUGAGAGAUCACGUUACCUCUAUUUACUCAAAAUAUUUCCGUUCUCAUUAAAGGGUGAUGCUAAGAUAUGGUUUAAUUCUCUUGAUCCUGGUUGUGUGCGUAGUCCCCAGGAUAUGAUUUAUUACUUCUCUGCUAAAUAUUUCCCUGCUCAUAAGAAACAAGCUGCUUUGAGGGAAAUAUACAAUUUCGUGCAAAUUAAAGAAGAGAGUCUCCCACAAGCUUGGGGGAGGCUUCUCAAGUUACUUAAUGCUUUGCCUGAUCAUCCUCUUAAGAAACCUGAAAUACUUGAUAUCUUUUAUAAUGGACUAACCGAUGCUUCCAGAGAUUACUUGGAUAGUUGUGUUGGUUCUCUUUUCAGGGAAAGAGCACCGGAUGAAGCUGAAAUUCUAUUGAAUAAUAUGUUGACAAAUGAAAAUAAUUGGCACCUCCUGAGCCAGCUCCUGAGCCAGCUCCCGCUCCAAUUACUAAGCCUAUUCCUAAACCAACUCCAAAGAAGAGAGGUGUUCUAUUUCUCAGUCCCGAAGAUAUGCAAGAGGCAAAGAAAUCUAUGAAAGAAAAAGGUAUUAAAGCUGAAGAUGUUAAGAAUUUACCUCCUAUUGAAGAAAUACAUGGUCUUAAUAUACCGCCUGUUGACGAAUUAUAUGAUCUUAAUCCUUUAUUCAUUGAAGAACCUCCCGAUAUCCCGACACAGGUAGUAAAGGUAAAUUCUCUCUAUAGAUAUGAUAAAGCUGAAGUCCCUCCUACUAAAAUUGCUAGUCCGUGCUUGGAUGAGUUUGAUGACUUUAUGUUUAAGCAAGACGACUUCAAUGCUUAUUUUGGUAGACAAUUAAAAGAGAAUGCUUAUAAGAUUAGAUGCUUGGGUGAUUAUAUGGCUAAUAUUAGAGGUGAACUUAAACUUGUUAGCAAACAUGCUUCUAUGGUUACCACUCAAGUAGAACAAGUACUUAAAGCUCAAAAAGAAUUGCUCCAUGAAAUGAAUAGUAAGAAAAAUGAUUAUGCUGUUAGAGUGGCUACUAGAACUGGUAGAAUGACUCAGGAACCUUUGUAACCUGAAGGCCACCCUAAGCGAAUCGAGCAAGAUUCUCAAAGAAAUAAUAUUGAUGCACCUAGUUCUUCUAAAAAGAAGAAAAAGAAAAAUGAUAGAACUGUGCAAACUUCUAGUGAACCUAUUGCUGAACCACCUGAUAAUCCAAAUGAUAUUUCUAUGUCUGAUGCUGAAACACAAUCUAGUAAUGAACAUGAACCUAGUAAAAAUAUUAAUGAUGAUGUUCAUGAUGAUGCUCAACCUUGUAAUGAUAAUGAUGUAGAAAUUGAACCUGUUGUUGAUCUUGAUAACCCACAAUCAAAGAAUCAACAUUAUGAUAAAAGAGACUUUGUUGCUAGGAAACAUGGGAAAUAAAGAGAACCUUGGGUUCAGAAACCCAUGCCUUUUCCUCUGAAACCAUCCAAGAAGAAGGAUGAUGAGGAUUUUGAGCGCUUUGCUGAAAUGAUUAGGCCUAUCUUUUUACGUAUGCGAUUGACUGAUGUGCUCAAAACAAAUCCUUAUGCUAAAUAUAUGAAGGAUAUCAUUACUAAUAAAAGAAAGAUACCGGAAGCUGAAAUUUCCACCAUGCUUGCUAAUUAUACUUUUAAGGGUGGAAUACCAAAGAAACUUGGAGAUCCCGGAGUACCUACUAUACCUUGCUCCAUUAAAAGAAAUUAUAUUAAAAUUGCUUUAUGUGAUCUUGGAGCCGGUGUUAGUGUUAUGCCUCUCUCUUUAUAUCGUAGACUUGACUUGAAUAAGUUGACACCUGCUGAAAUAUCUUUGCAAAUGGCUGAUAAAUCAACUGCUAUACCUGUCGGUAUUUGUGAGGACGUGCAUGUUGUGGUUGCAAACGUUACUCUUUUAACGGACUUUGUUAUUCUUGAUAUUCCCGAGGAUGAUAGUAUGUCUAUUAUUCUUGGAACACCUUUUCUUAAUACUGCAGGGGUUGUUAUUGAUUGCAACAAAGGCAAUGUCACUUUUCAUGUUAAUGGUAAUGAGCAUACGGUACACUUUCCGAGGAAACAACCUCAAGUUCAUAGUAUCAACUCUAUUGGAAAAAUUCCAUCGAUUAUAUUUGGAGGUUUUGAAUUCCCUCCUCCUACUGUCAAGAAGAAAUAUGAUAUUAUUAUUAUUGGGGAUGUGCAUAUCCCCGUUGAGGUAACUUAGUGUUAUUCGAAAUUUCUCCGGUUUCAUGAUUAUCGGAAUAAGUUUGUUAACAAGACUUGAUCAACCUUGUUAGUGGAUUCUUUUUUAUGAGCAUGAGAUGGAUGAAACUAGAAGCACAAACUUCUGCACAUUCUUUAUACUUUCUGUUAUUUAUAUUAAAUAAAGUAAAAAUAGUAUUUUUCUAUAUGUUUCCUGACUUAUCCGUGCAAUAUAAAAAUACCCCGAAAAUAAAAGUCCUCAGAAUGCCAUGCCAAUUUAAUAUGAUUUUUUCGGGAAUAUUUGAGGAUUUACUGUGCAAAAAUUACCCCGGGAGGAGCUGCCACCUGGCCACGAGGGUGGUGGGCCCCCCCCUAUAGGGCGCGCCCCCUACCUCGUGGGCCCACAGUGGCCCUCUUCCACUUAUCCCAGCACCCAUAUUCUUCCUCUGCCUCACACAAACCUGAAAAACCAACUCAAGCACGAGUUCCAACCACUUUUGCUGUGAUUUUCGAUCUCCUUGCUCAAAGCACCUCUCGCAAAACUGCUUGGGGAGAUUGUUCCUUGGUAUGUGACUCCUCCAUUGGUCCAAUUAGUUUUUGUUCUAGUGCUCUAUUCUUUGCAAAUUUGUGCUGCAUAGGUGACCAUGUUCUUGAGCUUGCAUGUCAAAUUUAUAUGGUUCCAAGUAGUUCUAAUGCUUGAUAUAGGCUCUAGGCACUUGUAGGAAUAGUUGCUAUCAGUUUUAUUGAAGUUGGUUCACUUUUGUUUGAAGUUACUAAAAAUUUCAAAAAAAUUCAGAAAAUGAUGAGGAGAUUAUUGAGGGGCUCAUCGAGCCAAAGCUCGAAGGAAAAGGCACCGAAGCCUAAGUAUAAUUUGCCGCGCACCGCAGAGAUUCGGGCGUGUGAAUGGCCUUCUGAUGAUUUCUUGAGAGCAGCCGGUAUCUAUGAAGAUUUUCAUGAAUUGGCUCACAAUGCAGGCCUCACCGCUUUCCUCCACGACCAAUGCGAUCAGUAUCUCUUACUCACAAAUACCUUUGUGCAAAACUUUUAUUUUCAUCCUAGGAACUCACCACCUAUGGUGGAAUUUCAUUUAUAUGAUGAGCAUAAGGAGAUGUCACUUUUUGAUUUUUGUCGUAUUUGUUUAGUCCCUUUUGAGGGAAAGACAGAAGAACGACACCAUGAUGAUGUGGAGGGAUUUAUUAAUAAUAUCACUGUAGGAGAAACCAGGAAGGUUUUCGAUGCACGAAUCACUAGCAUACAUUUUCCUGUUUUAUGUUACUUUGCAUUAUUUGCUAGUCAUUGUUUAAUUGGACGCAGAAACUAUGGAAACCUUAGUAUCCCUGAUAUAAUUAUUCUACUCCAAGGUUUAUACAGUGAUAACACUUUUAGUAUGGGCGGUAUUAUUGCCAGGCGGUUAAAUAUGAACCGUACUAAGGGCCCCAUCUUUGGAGGCAUUUAUGCUACACGCCUAGCCGCACAUUUUAACAUACCUAUUAGGCAUGCUGAGAAGGAAGAAAAGGUGAUGCCCCGUGUUUAUCUAGAUCAUAAAAGUAUGGUAGCACAUGAGUUUAUUGUUAAGAAUAGGGCAGGGGAGCUUAGAUAUCAAUUGUUCUUUAAUAAACAUCAUCCUGAGACUAUCACCUUGCCUGCUCCUUCUUUGUUUGAUUUGACUGCAGGCACAUAUCUUGUUCCGUUGGCGGCUAUUCACGCCUACCGGAACCCUGCACCUACCGAGGAGCCAGAACAGGAACCACACGAUGAGCCUCCACGACAAUCUGUUUAUUCUUGGGAUCCAGAGAUGACUGUCAGCCAGUGGCAGUCAGAGUCUUCAUCUUCAACAUAGUAUGAUCCCAACUAUUCCUCCUCAUCACAGUACGACCCCAACAACUAUUAUUAUGGAUAUCCGCCAGGCCAGCCGUGGCCAUAGACCAACUUAGGCCAAAAGCCUAAGCUUGGGGGAGUACGUAUUUCUCACCGACAUUACAUUUAUGUUUACACACACUCGUUGCUAGAUGUCGGUGCUCAUACUUUUUCACUGUAAUAUCCAUGCUAGUUUAUUUUCCUUUUCCUGCUUUCUUCUUGUGUGUUUGUUAAACCUUAAGAAAAACAAAAAAUUAGUAGUAGUAGUUUAUUUUUCUGCUGUAGUAGUAAUAAUCAAAAAGAAAAUCCAAAAAUAUUUCCCGUUCUUCUUUUGCUUGUUGGGAGCUUUCCCGUGUAAAUAGUUUUAUUUCUUUUCUUUUCUUUGGGGGUCAGUAGGAGAAGACCAUAAUUAAAUUGUUAAAGUGGCUCUUAUAUGCAUUAUUGUUGAAUUAACCAAAGAGCCCGUAUUGCCUUGUCUUCUCCUGUUUAUUGAAUGCCUGCAGAUUCUAGCUUAGUCCAAUGCACGUGCACUCUUAUUAUUAUUCACACCGUUCGGUCGUGCAAGUGAAAGGCAAUUAUGAUGAUAUAUGGUGAACUGACUGAGAUGAGAAAAGCUGGUAUGAACUCGACCUCUUUUGUUUUUGUAAAUAUGAUGAGUCCAGCAUUCUUGAUUCGGCUUAUUAUGAAUAAACAUGUUUGCAAUGACAAUUAGAGAUUAGAGUUGCUUGUGCCAUGCUUGAUUAGCUAUGAGUUAUAAUGAUUUACCUUGUGUGCCAACAUGCUAUUGAGAUGAUUAUGAUGUGGUAUGAUGGGGUGGUAUCCUCCUUUGAAUGAUUUAAGUGACUUGACUUGGCACAUGUUCACGCAUGUAGUUGAAACAAAAUCAACAUAGCCUUCAUGAUAUUUAUGUUCAUGGUGGAUUAUAUCCUACUCAUGCUUGCAUCCAAUGUUUAUUAAUUUUAAUGCAUGUACAUGGCUGUUGUCGCUCUCUAGUUGGUCGCUUCCCAGUCUUUUGCUAGCCUUCACCUGUACUAAGCGGGAAUACUGCUUGUGCAUCCAAUCCCUUAAACCCCAAAGUUAUUCCAGAUGAGUCCACUAUACCUUCCUAUAUGCGGUAUUUACCUGCCGUUCCAAGUAAAUUUGUAUGUGCCAAACUCUAAACCUUCAAAUAAACAUUCUGUUUUGUAUGCUCGAAUAGCUCAUGUAUCAACAAAGGUUAUCCUUAUCUUCCGUGUUAGGCGGGUUAUUCUCAAGAGGAGUGGACUCCGCUCCUCACUCAUGAGAAAAUGGCUGGUCACCGGGAUGCCCAGUCCCAUGCUUUAUGCAAACUAAAUCAGAAUUAAUUGCAAACAAAACUCUCCCUGGGACCUGGUGUAUGUUGGAGGCACUCGUUGUUUCGAGAAAGCCAUGGAUUGAUGCUUGUUGGUGGAGGGGAGUAUAAACUUUACCAUUCUGUUUGGGAACCGCCUAUAAUGUGUUUAGCAUGGAAGAUAUCGCCAUCUCUUAGUUGUUACAUUGACAAUGAAAGUAUACCGCUCAAAAUACAAUUUAUCUCUAUUUCAAAACCGAGCUCUGGCACCUCUACAAAUCCCUGCUUCCCUCUGUGAAGGGCCUAUCCAUUUACUUUUAUGUUGAGUCAUCACCCUCUUAUUAAAGAGCACUAGCUGGAGAGCACAGCUGUCAUUUGCAUUCAUCACUAUUAAUCUAUGUUGGGUAUGACUAUGAUUGGAUCUCUUUUACCAUGAAUUACAAUGUCUAGUCAGUCCUUGAUCUUUAAAGGUGCUCUGCAUUUAUGUUUUGCGGUCUCAGAAAGGGCUAGUGAGAUACCAUCUUGUUAUAUCAUAUUAUGGUUAUUUUGAGAAAGUGUUGUCAUCCGAGAUUUAUGAUUAUGGCUUGCUAGUUGAUUAUGCUAUUGAUAUGAGUAAUUAUGAGACCUGAGAAUUAUUGCAAAUGUGGUUAGUUAUGAUAUAUGCUGAAAUCUUGAAUGCUGGCUUGACAUAGUUACAACAACAAGAGCAAACAGAGUUUGUAAAAGUUUUUCUUUCUUUCAGUUUGUCAACUGAAUUGCUUGAGGACAAGCAAGGGUUUAAGCUUGGGGGAGUUGAUACGUCUCCGUCGUAUCUACUUUUUCAAACACUUUUGCCCUUGUUUUGGACUCUAUCUUGUAUGAUUUGAAUGGAACUAACCCGGACUGACGUUGUUUUCAGCAGAAUUACCAUGUUGUUUUAUGUGCAGAAAACAAAUAUUCUCGGAAUGACCUGAAACUCCAUGGGAGGUCUUAGAAAAAACAAUAAAAAAUCCUCGCCAAAUAUGAAGACCAGGGGGCCCACACCCUUUCCACGAGGGUGGGGGCGCCCCCCUACCUCGUGGGCCCCCUGUUGACCCUCCGACGCCAACUCCAACUCUAUAUAUUUGCUUUCGGAGAGAAAAAACCAUAGAGAAGAAAUCAUCGCGUUUUACGAUACGGAGCCGCCGCCAAGCCCUAAAACCUCUCGGGAGGGCUGAUCUGGACUCCAUUCGGGGCUCCGGAGAGGGGGAUUCGUCGUCAUCGUCAUCAUCAACCAUCCUCCAUCACCAAUUUCAUGAUGCUCACCGCCGUGCGUGAGUAAUUCCAUCGUAGGCUUGCUGGACGGUGAUGGGUUGGAUGAGAUUUAUCAUAUAAUCGAGUUAGUUUUGUUAGGGUUUGAUCCCUAGUAUCCAUUAUGUUCUGAGAUUGAUGUUGCUAUGACUUUGCUAUGCUUAAUGCUUGUCACUAGGGCCCGAGUGCCAUGAUUUCAGAUCUGAACCUAUUAUGUUUUCAUGAAUAUAUGUGAGUUCUUGAUCCUAUCUUGCAAGUCUAUAGUCACCUACUAUGUGUUAUGAUCUGGCAACCCCGAAGUGACAAUAAUCGGGACCACUCCCGGUGAUGACCAUAGUUUGAGGAGUUCAUGUAUUCAUUGUGUGUUAAUGCUUUGUUCCGGUUCUCUACUAAAAGGAGGCCUUAAUAUCCCUUAGUUUCCAAUAGGACCCCGCUGCCACGGGAGGGUAGGACAAAAGAUGUCAUGCAAGUUCUUUUUCAUAAGCACGUAUGACUAUAUACGGAAUACAUGCCUACAUUACAUUGACGAACUGGAGCUAGUUUUGUGUCACCCUAUGUUAUGACUAUUACAUGAUGAACCGCAUCCGGCAUAAUUAUCCAUCACUGAUCCGGCGCCUACGAGUUUUCCAUAUACUGGUUUACGCUUAUUUACUUUUCCGCUUUUACUAUUACAAUCACUACAAAAUACCAAAAACAUUACUUUUGUUGUCUUUACUUUUGUUGCUGCUACCACCACUAUCAUAUUACUUUGCUACUAAACACUUUGCUGCAGAUACUAAGUUUCCAGGUGUGGUUGAAUUGACAACUCAGCUGCUAAUACUUGAGAAUAUUCUUUGGCUCCCCUUGUGUCGAAUCAAUAAAUUUGGAUUGAAUAUUCUACCCUCGAAAGCUGUUGCGAUCCCCUAUACUUGUGGGUUAUCAAACCCCCCCCCCUUGGAGAUCCCAUCUCCUAGGGCCGGCGCCCCCCUAGGGGUCCUAUAUAUAGUGGGGGGAGGGAGGGCAGCUGCACCCUAGCCCCUGGCGCCUCCCUCUCCCUCCCGUGACACCUCUCCCUCUCGCUGAGCUUGGCGAAGCCCUGCCGAGAUCAUUGUUGCUUCCACCACCACGCCGUCGUGCUGCUGGAUCUCCAUCAACCUCUCCUUUCCCCUUGCUGGAUCAAGUUGGAGGAGACGUCUUCCCAGCCGUACAUGUGUUGAACGCGGAGGUGCCGUCUGUUCGGCGCUAGGUCAUCGGUGAUUUGGAUCACGACGAGUACGACUCCAUCAACCCCGUUCUCUUGAACGCUUCCGCUCGCGAUCUACAAGGGUAUGUAGAUGCACUCUCCUCUCCCUCGUUGCUAGAUGACUCCAUAGAUUGAUCUUGGUGAUGCGUAGAAAAUUUUAAAAUUCUGCUACGUUCCCCAACACUUGCCAAGGGUCUGGUGGCUUUCCUUGGCAAGGAUCUUGCCGAGAAUCAUCGUCUUCUAAUCUGAUCUUGAAUAUGUCCUCAAAAAGAUCUAUAUGCCACCACAGAUGUGCCUUCCCGAGCCCUGACCCCACGCUGAUGAUGGCACUGGGGGCCGUGGGCUCAAGGGUGGAUCGCUCGGUUGGUGCGGGCCGAGCUGUCCCGGCAAGAGUCUUGCCGGGGCCGCUGAGGCCGCCCGGCAAGGGUCUUGCCGGGGGAACUUGCUUCGUCCCUCUGCUCUUUGUGGUCUUGGUCUUGGUGUUGCUCUGAUUGUCAUGGGCUUCGAUCUUACCGGCUCACCUCCCUCGUUCUACUUGGUGUGGCCGUGGGCGUGGCUCUGACUACCCGUGCACAGGAAAAGGGUUACAAAGAUGCGCCCCUAUUUCUGUACACCGACAGCUAGCGAGAUACCAUCUUGUUAUAUCAUAUCAUGAUUGUUUUGAGAAAGUGUUGUCAUCCGAGAUUUAUUAUUAUUGCUCGCUAGUUGAUUAUGCCAUUGAUAUGAGUAAACAUGAGACCUAAAUGUUAUUGUGAAUAUGGUUAGUUCAUAAUCUUUGCUGAAAACUUGAAUGUUGGCUUUACAUAUUUACAACAACAAGAGCAAACAGAGUUUGUAAAAGUUUUUCUUUAUCACUUUCAGUUUGUCAACUGAAUUGCUUGAGAACAAGCAAAGGUUUAAGCUUGGGGGAGUUGAUAUGUCUCUAUCGUAUCUACUUUUCCAAACCCUUUUGCCCUUGUUUUGGACUCUAACUUGCAUGAUUUGAAUGGAACUAACCCGGACUGAUGUUGUUUUCAGCAGAAUUGCCAUGGUGUUAUUUAUGUGCAGAAACAAAAGUUCUCAGAAUGACCUGAAACUCCGCAGAGAUUAUUUUUGGAAAUAAUAAAAAAUAUUGACAAAGAAUCAAGGACAGGGGGGCACACCCUAGCCACGAGGGUGGGGGCGCGCCUGCCCCCCUGGGUGCGCCCCCUGCCUCGUGGCCCCCCUGGAGCUCCACCGACCUCAACUCCAACUCCAUAUAUUCGUGUUCGGGGAGAAAAAAAAUCAGAGAGAAAUAUUCAUCGUGUUUUAUGAUACGGAGCCGCCGCGAAGCCCUAAACUCUCCCGGGAGGGCUGAUCUGGAGUCCGUUCGGGGCUCCGGAGAGGGGAAUCCGUCGUCGUCGUCAUCAUCAACCAUCCUCCAUCACCAAUUUCAUGAUGCUCACCGACGUGCGUGAGUAAUUCCAUCGUAGGCUUGCUGGACGGUGAUGGGUUGGAUCGGAUUUAUCAUGUAAUCGAGUUAGUUUUGUUAGGGUUUGAUCCCUAAUAUCCAUUAUGUUCUGAGAUUGAUGUUGCUAUGACUUUGCUAUGCUUAAUGCUUGUCACUAGGGCCCGAGUGCCAUGAUUUCAGAUCUGAACCUAUUGUGUUAUCAUGAAUAUAUGUGAGUUCUUGAUCCUAUCUUGCAAGUCUAUAGUCACCUACUAUGUGUUAUGAUCCGGCAACCCCGAAGUGACAAUAAUCGGGACCACUCCCGGUGAUGACCAUAGUUGGAGGAGUUCAUGUAUUCACCAUGUGUUAAUGCUUUGGUCCGGUACUCUAUUAAAAGGAGGCCUUAAUAUCCCUUAGUUUCCGCUAGGACCCCGCUGCCAUGGGAGGGUAGGACAAAAGAUGGCAUGCAAGUUCUUUUCCAUAAGCACAUAUGACUAUAUUCGGAAUACAUGCCUACAUUACAUUGAUGAAUUGGAGCUAGUUCUGUGUCACCCUAUGUUAUGACUGUUACAUGAUGAACCACAUCCGGCAUAAUUCUCCAUCACCGAUCCAAUGCCUACGAGCUUUUCAUAUAUUGUUCUUCGCUUAUUUACUUUUCUAUUGCUAUUGUUAUCAUCACUACAAAAUACCAAAAAUAUUACUUUUGCUACCAUUACCUUUUGCCACCAUUACCACUACUAUCAUAUUACUUUGCUACUAAAUACCUUGCUGCAGAUAUUAAGUUAUCCAGGUGUGGUUGAAUUGACAACUCAGCUGCUAAUACUUGAGAAUAUUCUUUGGCUCCCCUUGUGUCGAAUCAAUAAAUUUGGGUUGAAUACUCUACCCUCAAAAAUUGUUGCGAUCCCCUAUACUUGUGGGUUAUCAAUUGCCUUAAUUGCCAUGUCCGCUCUGAUUACCAUGAAAACCUGAACCGGAACUACCUCCACCGUAACCUGGCCCAUGAGAUCCGGGGCCUGAAUCGCUGCCCGGUCCAUGAUCAUACCAAAAAAAAUCUGAAUUUUUGAACUCCUGCAUAAUAUAACAAUCCUUCCAGAGGUGCGUGGCCGGCUUAUCCCGCGACCCGUGCUUUGGGCAAGGCUGGUUUAACAGGUGAGACAGGCGCUCCAGAUUGGGACUUGGUACUCCACCACGAGGGGGGCAGUUUACCCUUACGACGCUGGCCUUUGUCCUGCGCGUUGGUAUUAGCCAUAAAAUCUAAACUGCUAUCCGCUUUACGCUUACCGCUGUUUCCGUGACCCGCCGGGUUAUGCUGGUGCCCUUUGGUGCUGCCACUCUUCUUUCCCUUCACUGUCUUAUCAUCGUCAGACUCGGGGCCCUUGGUACUAUCAGAGUCGCAUACUUCACCAGAGCUGCCAUAAGCGUUCCCAUGUCAUUGCAAUGACGUUUGAGCCGUCCCAACUUCAAAUUUAGAGGUGCAAACCGGCAAUUGCCUUCCAAUAUUAAAACUGCUAUAUCAGCGUUGAUGCGGUCUGAUGAAUGCAAAAUCUCCGAAACCCGACGCACCCAACGGGUUGUUGACUCUCCUUCCUCCUGGACAUAGGCAGCUAAGUCCACAAUUGACAUGGGCCGCUUGCACGUAUCCUUGAAAUUCUGGAUAAACCGGGCCCUUACUCGGCCCACGACCCAAUGGAGUUAGCCGGCAGGUUUUUCAACCAUGUGCGAGUUGUUCCCUCCAACAUCAUGGUAAAGUAUUUGGCACACGCCGCAUCGUCCACAUCCAGCAUCUCCAUUGCCAUCUCAUAUCUUUCAACCCAUGACUCGGGGGAUAAAUCGGCAGUGUAAUUCGGCACCUUAUGCGGGCCUUUGAAAUCCUUGGGCAACCAUACAUUGCGCAGCGCUGGGACGAGACACGGUACCCCCAAAGAACUGGAGGUAACCCCUAGUUCCACCGACGUUGUUGGACGAACCGGAGUAAUUUGGCGGGCUUCGUGCUGCGCCGCUAACUCGGCCUCUCGACGUGCCCUAGCGCGAUCUACCACAUCCUGAGCAUCACCACCGCCACCCGUCGGGUUAUGGCCACGGGGCGGAUUACAAUUCCGCGCACUGCUUGAUACGGCCGUUUCAUCCAUAUGCCUACUGUAACUCCGGCUCGGGCGGGGAGUAGAAUGAAUCCUUUCGCGGCUAUAUGAAUAAGCCUGCUACUGAGUCAAGGCCGUAUGAAGGAGCUCCCUAGCCCGUCGUGUCUCAACUGCAACUGGGGACUCGCCAUCGAUCGGGAGAGUUGCCAAUCAUGAAGCGACAACAACAAUGUUAUCCAACGGGUUAGAGUAAUGACACGGAGGUGUUGAGACGUGCCGUGAUGGGACAUCAUUCUGACGAGGCUGAGGGGGCGGAUCCAUCGCGCGCGGCUGAACCGGUGCCCCUGUUCCAGGUGCCUCCGCCCGGUUUACCAUUGGCUGGUUGCUGGUGCCUGCUCCUGGCAUGUUAAAGAGGUUUCUUCCCUCAUAAACCGGCGACAGGUGAGAUCGGCACCUUCUCCUCAUGACAUCAUCUGACGCACUUUGGUCCAGCAUAAGCCGAUAGGCCUGUGCCUCUAAUCCGGCCCGCUCAGCGGCCAUCCUGGUGUUCUCCGCUGCCAGAUCCACCUUAGCUUGAGCUAUCUGAUAUUUCACCUUUGCAAUCUUCGUGUUAUGCUGAUCCCGGUUUGCCGCGUCAACCUCCGAUGCUAGCAACAUUGCCAAAGUGUCGAACAAAUUGGACAAAACCUGAGCCGGUGGUGGUGCAGAGCCCCCUGCUCCGGCUGGUGUUGCCGCUGCUGAACCGGAAAUCACUGCUGCUGCGGUAGAAGAAUGUUGCACCGAUUGUGUACCGGCCAUGAAGAUCGCAACUCGGAUCGGCAGUUCAAGGAGGUCCGGAAUACUGUUGCCAUCGGAACCACCACUAAUCCAGCCAUCAUGCAGCUGAUACAGCGACUCGGUUUCUCCAGUUGAAGACUCGUCAUCAGAGUAAACGACAGUUUCGCCACCAGAUACCAAUCUAUCCUCAGAUUCUGCUCCGUGGAUGACUCCCACAAAGGCACGCUUCACGACAUGCUGAACACGGGCAGGUCUUGCAUGCUGAGCCGUCUCGAUGAUGUCGGUGCAGACGUCCGGCUCAGGGCCCGGUUCACCAAUCUUGCCAAUGAAGACGUGUAUUCCGCCAAAGGGGACCCGGUACCCAUACUCGAUCAAGUCGGCCUCGGGCCCCAGCCUGCGUCGUCAAUGUAGAGCUUGCCGCGAUGACUCUUGGCCAUCCGGCCCACAGCGUAUCCCUUGAGUCCUUCGAAGCCGCCCUUGAAGAACUCAAAACCAUUGUGUGAUUGCCCCAUGAUGGGCGCCAACUGUCGUGGUUUUGUCACGGCAGAUGUCCUCGUGAAAGGACUUAGUCGUGGAGCCAUCACAACGGGUUAGCUUGAAGGGGUUAAAGCGGGCAAGGGACGCAAAGAGUUAUACUGGUUCGGCCCCUUACGGUGAAGGUAAAAGCCUACGUCCAGUUGUGAUGGAAUUGCUUGGGUUUCGAUGACCAGGGAGCGAAUCCGCUUUGCCUGGCUCUCGAUUUAUUGUUUGUUGUCCCUAAACUGCCAUCGGGUCGUCCCUUUAUAUACAUAGGUUGACGCCCGUCGGUUUAUAGAAUCCUGAGGCCGUCUCAUAAACGUGUCUGGCUCGGUCUCUACUCUUUCUAUCUUACAGCACAAGUUUACAUUUCAAUGUCGGUUUAUGUCUACAGGCCUUAAUCCGCCUUUGGAACCUGGGCCUUCAUAAAGCGCCACCGUCUUUGUCUUCAUGGGCUUCAAACAUAAUAACUCAUUAUGGGGAUAAUCCGGCCUCUCCUGGACGGUUUAUGCCCAGCAGUAAUAUCCCCAACAAUGGUGCUACUCUGAAGCACAAGUGUGGUAAAAGGAUAGUAACAUUGUCCCUUCUUUUUUUAUUUUUUUUAUUUUUUUCUCUUUUUUAUAGGCUUCUUUGGCCUCUAUCUUUUUUGGUGGGGCUUCUUUGGCCACUUUUAUUUUGAUCAUGGGACAAUGUUCUAAUAAUGAUGAUCAUCACACUUUUAUUUACUUACAACUCGAUACUAGAACAAAGAUAUGACUCUAUAUGAAUGCCUCCGGUGGUGUACCGGGAUGUGCAAUGAUCUAGCGUAGCAAUGACAUCAAAAAACAGACAAGCCAUGAAAAUAGCAUGCUAGCUAUCUUACGAUCAUGCAAAGCAAUAUGACAAUAAAUGCUCAAGUCAUGUAUAUGAUGAUGAUGGAAGUUGCAUGGCAAUAUAUCUCGGAAUGGCUAUGGAAAUGCCAUAAUAAGUAGGUAUGGUUGCUGUUUUGAGGAAGAUAUAAGGAGGCUUAUGUGUGAUAGAGUGUAUCGUAUCACAGGGUUUGGAUGCACCGGCGAAUUUUGCACCAACUCUCGAGGUGAGAAAGGGCAAUGCACGGUACCGAAGAGGCUAGCAAUGAUGGAAGGGUGAGAGUGCGUAUAAUCCAUGGACUCAACAUUAGUCAUAAAGAACUCACAUACUUAUUGCAAAAAUCUAUUAGUCAUCAAAACAAAGUACUACACGCAUGCUCCUAGGGGGAUAGAUUGGUAGGAAAAGACCAUUGCUCAUCCCCGACCGCCACUCAUAAGGAAGACAAUCAAUAAAUACCUCAUGCUCCAACUUCGUUACAUAAGGUUCACCAUACGUGCAUGCUACGGGAAUCACAAACCUCAGCACAAGUAUUUGUACAAUCCACAACUACCCACUAGCAUGACUCUAAUAUCACCAUCUUUAUAUCGCAAAACUAUUGCAAGGAAUCAAACAUAUCAUAUUCAGUGAUCUACAAGUUUUAUGUAGGGUUUUAUGACUAACCAUGUGAAGGACCAAUUCUUGUCAUCUCUCUAAAUAGAUAUAAGUGAAGCAAGAGAGUUUAAUUCUUUCUACAAAAGAUAUGCCCAGGCUCUAACAAAUAUAAGUGAAGCAAAAGAGCAUUCUACAAAUGGCGGUUUUCUAUGUGAAGAGAAACAGGCAAUCCAAACUUCAAAAGAUAUAAGUGAAGCACACGAAGCAUUCUAUAAAUCCAUACUCAAAAGAUAUAAGUGAAGUGCAAUGAGCAUUCUAUAAAUCAACCAAGGACUAUCUCAUACCAGCAUGGUGCAUCAAAGAAAAUUGAAAACUAAAUGCAAAAGACGCUCCAAGAUUUACGCAUAUCAUGUGACGAAUAAAAAUAUAGCUCCAAGUAAAAUUACCGAUGAUUGUUAGAAGAAAGAGGGGAUGCCUUCUGGGGCAUACCCAAGCUUGGUUGCUUGGGAGUCCUCGAAUAUUUCCUUGGGGUGCCUUGAGCAUCCCCAAGCUUAGGCUCUUGCCACUCCUUAUUCCUUCAUCCAUCGUGAUCUCUCCCAAAACUUGAAAACUUCAAUCACACAAAACUUAACAGAAAGUUUGAUAAGAUCUGUUAGUAUAAUAAAGCAAAUCACUACUCUAAGUAUUGUUGCAAACUAAUUCAUAUUUUGUUUUUGCAUUGUAGCUACUGUAAUAUAAAUUUUCCAUGGCUCAAUCCACUGUUAGAAAUCGAUAGUUUCAUCAAAACAAGCAAACUAUGCAUCAAAAACAUAAUCUAUCUUAAACAGGACAGUUUGUAGUAAUCUGAACAUUCACCAUACUUCUGGUACUCCAAAAAUUCUGAAAAAUUUAGGAAAAAUAAACAAUUUGUAUAGAAAGAUAGUGCAAGAAGUUUCAGAACCGUUUGACGUUCCAGUAAAAAAUGUAAAAUCGCGCACUACAACCAAAGUUUCUGUUCUGCACCGCACAAACCAACAAGCAAUGUAAACAUCCUAAAGGCAAAUCUUGGCACAUUAUUUUUAUAAUACAAGGGAAUUGUACAAGGGGGUAAUUAUUUUUGUUGAAAAGUUUAUGUAAUCAAGAUUCACAAAGUUUCCGUGAGCAUGAACAAAGUUCAAGGAGCUCCCCCACUUCAACAAUGCUUGUCUCUCACUUUCACUUUCCUAUUUGAAAAGUUUUGGGUUCCCCUCUUUAUUUUUUUUGUUUUUAAACUAUAUAAAAGCACUCAACAGAAAUAAAUGACUCUCUAAAACUUCCGGGUUGUCUCCCUGGCAGCGCUUUCUUUAAAGCCAUUAAGCUAGGCAUAAGGUGCUCAAGUAAUGAAUCCACCCGGAUCCCAAGGUAUAUCAAAGCCAAUUUUAAUUAACAAUGAUUUGUGAUUUAGUAGUGAGCACAAAGUAACAUAUAUCAUGCAACAACGAAGUCUAACUCUCUUCCUGUGCAUCAGCAUGUCAUAAAAGAACAAUUCAUGCACACAUAGUAAAGGCUAAUGCAUAGUAUAAGAAGUUUCUUGCAAUUUUAUCAUAUUGGAAACAUAGAGAGGCGGAGAUGUAGUUCCUCUCUCAUAAUAAUUGCAAGUAGGAGCAGCAAGCACAUGCAUAUUAUAUCUAUCAAAAUCAUCAUGUGUAGUAGUAAAACGCAACCCAUCAAUAUAAUCCUUAAUAAGGGCAAACUUCUCCGAUAUAGUGUAGUCGGGAGAAUUCAAAAAGAUAAUAGGGCUAUCAUGCGUGGGUGCAAUAGCAACAAUUUCAUGUUUAACAUAAGGAACUAUAGCAAGUUCAUCUCCAUAAGCAUAAUUCAUAUUGGCAUCUUCGCCACAAGCAUAGCAAGCAUCAUCAAAAAGGGAUAUUUCAAAAGAAUCAACGGGAUCAUAACAAUCAUCAUAGUAAUCAUCCUUCGGUAAUCACAAAGGGAAAUUAAACAAUGUAUGAGUUGAAGAGUUACUCUCAUUAGAAGGUGGGCACGGGUAGCUAAUCCGAUCUUCCUCCUUUUGUUCUUCGCUCUCCUCAUCAUCUUUUUCAUCCAAUGAGCCCAUAGUUUCAUCAAUUCCUUCUUCCAUAGACUCCUGCAAAAUAUUAGUCUCUUCUUGGACAGCGGAGACUCUCUCAAUAAAAUCAUCAAUAUCGGAAUUGAAUUCAUAAUUCUCAUAGCAAUAUUUAAGUGUAGCAAAAUUUUCAGGUCUGUAAACAGUAUCAUCAAGAUUUUCACACUCUUUAAACAAAGAUUCAAUUUCAUAAGCACCCAUGAAAUCAAUGAAUUCUUCUAUUUGUUCCACAUCAUAGUAAUCAUAUAUACCAUUAGCAUAAGAAGCCAAUGUUUUAUCAUCAUUAAAUUUGGACGAAAAGGGAAGGUGUGGAGCCUUCAGCCUAGAGCAACAAGUAUAAUCAUAUCUCAAGCAUAGUUGCCGAGCAUACCAAUGCAACAUAUGAAUUUGAACCCAUAAUGGUUUCUCUUUUUCAGUCAAGCGAUAAUCCCUAAAGUAUUCACGUUGAUCCAACGUUUCUCCUGCUACCUCUUGAGCACUGCGUUGGUUUUCCCUUGAAGAGGAAAGGGUGAUGCAGUAAAGCAGCGUAAGUAUUUCCCUCAGUUUUUGAGAAUCAAGGUAUCAAUCCAGUAGGAGACCACGCGCGAGUCACCUCGUACCUACACACACAAAUAAGAACCUCGCAACCAACGGGAUAAAGGGGUUGUCAAUCCCUUCAUGGCCACUUGCAAGAGUGAGAUCCGAUAGAGAUGAUAAUAAUAAGAUAAAUAUUUUUGGUAUUUUUAUGAUAUAGAUUGAAAGUAAAGAUUGCAAAAUAAAGUAGAUAGGAAACUUGUAUGAUGGAGAAUAGACCCGGGCGCCAUAGAUUUCACUAGUGGCUUCUCUCAAGAUAGCAUAAGUAUUACGGUGGGUAAACAAAUUACUGUCGAGCAAUUGAUAGAAAAGUGAAUAAUUAUGAGAAUAUCUAGGCAUGAUCAUGUAUAUAGGCAUCACGUCCGUGACAAGUAGACCGAAACGAUUCUGCAUCUACUACUAUUACUCCACACAUCGACCGCUAUCCAACAUGCAUCUAGAGUAUUAAGUUCAUAAGAACAGAGUAACACCUUAAGCAAGAUGACAUGAUGUAGAGGGAUAAAUUCAUGCAAUAUGAUGUAAACCCCAUCUUGUUAUCCUCGAUGGCAACAAUACAAUACAUGUUGUUUCCCUUUCUGUCAUUGGGAUCGAGCACCACAAGAUUGAACCAAAAGCUAAGCACUUCUCCCAUUGCAAGAAAGAUCAAUCUAGUAGGCCAAACCAAAUUGAUAAUUCGAAGAGACUUGCAAAGAUAAACCAAUCAUACAUAAAAGAAUUCAGAGGAGAUUCAAAUAUUGUUCAUAGAUAAACUUGAUCAUAAACCCACAAUUCAUCGAAUCUCGACAAACACACCGCAAAAGAAGAUUACAUCGAAUAGAUCUCCAAGAGAAUCGAGGAAAACUUUGUAUUGAGAUCCAAAGAGAGAGUAGAAUCCAUCUAGCUACUAGCUAUGGACCUGAAGGUCUGAAGUAAACUACUCACACAUCACCGGAAGGGCCAUGGAGUUGAUGUAGAGGCCCUUAGUGAUCAAUGCCCCCUCCGGUGGAGCUCCGGAAAAGGCCCCAAGGUGGGAUCUCUUGGGUACAGAAGGUUGCGGCGGUGGAAAUAGGGUUUCAUGGUGCUCCUGGAUGUUUGCAGAGUACGUGGAUAUAUAUAGGAGGAAGAAGUAGGUCGGUGGAGCAACGAGGGGCCCACGAGGGUGGAGGGCACACCCGGGGGGUGGGCGUGCCCCCUGCCUCGUGGCCUCCUCGAUUCUUUCUUGACGUCCACUCCAAGUCUCUUGGAUCACGUUUGUUCCAAAAAUAACGCUCCCGAAGGUUUCAUUCUGUUUGGACUCCGUUUGAUAUUCCUUUUCGGCGAAACACUAAAAUAGGCACAAAAAACAACAAUUUGGGUUGGGCCUCCGGUUAAUAGGUUAGUCCCAAAAAUAAUAUAAAAGUGUAAAAUAAAGCCCAUUAACAUCCAAAAUAGAUAAUAUAAUAGCAUGGAGCAAUCAAAAAUUAUAGAUACGUUGGAGACGUAUCAAGCAUCCCCAAGCUUAAUUCCUGCUCGUCCUCGAGUAGGUAAAUGAUAAAAACAGAAUUUUUGAUGUGGAAUGAUUCCUAACAUAUUUCUCAAUGUAUUUUUUUCUUUAUUGUGGCAUGAAUGUUCAGAUUCGAAAGAUUCAAGAUAAAAGUUUAAUAUUGACAUAGAAAUAAUAAUACUUCAAGCAUACUAACUAAGCAAUCAUGUCUUCUCAAAAUAACAUGGCCAAAGAAAGUUAUCCCUACAAAAUCAUAUAGUCUGGCUAUGCUUUAUCUUCGUCACACAAAAUAUUAAAUCAUGCACAACCCCGAUGACAAAGCCAAGCAAUUUUUUCAUACUUUUGAUGUUCUCAAACUUUUUCAAUCUUCACGCAAUAUAUGAGCGUGAGCCAUGGAUAUAGCACUAUGGUGGAAUAGAAUGGUGGUUGUGGAGAAGACAAAAAAGGAGAAGAUAGUCUCACAUCAACUAGGCGUAUCAAUGGGCUAUGGAGAUGCCCAUCAAUAGAUAUCAAUGUGAGUGGGUAGGGAUUGCCAUGCAACGGAUGCACUAGAGCUAUAAGUGUAUGAAAGCUCAACAAAAGAAACUAGGUGGGUGUGCAUCCAACUUGCUUGCUCACGAAGACCUAGGGCAAUUUGAGGAAGCCCGUCAUUGGAAUAUACAAGCCAAGUUCUAUAAUGUAAAAAUUCCCACUAGUUUAUGAAAGUGACAACAUAGGAGACUCUCUAUCAUGAAGAUGAUGGAGCUACUUUGAAGCACAAGUGUGGAAAAGGAUAGUAACAUUGUCCCUUCUCUCUUUUUCUCUCACUUUUUUAUUUGGGCCUUUUUUUGCCUCUUUUCUUUUCUUUUUUUCGUCCAGAGUCUCAUCCCGACUUGUGGGGGAAUCAUAGUCUCCAUCAUCCUUUCCUCACUGGGACAAUGCUCUAAUAAUGAUGAUCAUCACACUUAUUUUUACUUACAACUCAAGAAUUACAACUCAAUACUUAGAAAAAAAUAUGACUCUAUGUGAAUGCCUCCGGCGGUGUACCGGGAUAUGCAAUGAAUCAAGAGUGACAUGUAUGAAAAAAUUAUGAACGGUGGCUUUGCCACAAAUACGAUGUCAACUACAUGAUCAUACAAAGCAAUAUGACAAUGAUGAAGCGUGUCAUAACAACCGAACGGUGGAAAGUUGCAUGGCAAUAUAUCUCGGAAUGGCUAUGGAAAUGCCAUAAUAGGUAGGUAUGGUGGCUGUUUUGAGGAAGGUAUAUGGUGGGUUUAUGGUACCGGCGAAAGGUGUGCGCUACUAGAGAGGCUAGCAAUGGUGGAAGGGUGAGCGUGCGUAUAAUCCAUGGACUCAACAUUAGUUAUAAAGAACUCACAUACUUAUUGCAAAAAUCUAUUAGUUAUCGAAACAAAGUACUACGCGCAUGCUCCUAGGGGGAUAGAUUGGUAGGAAAAGACCAUCGCUCGUCCCCGACCGCCACUCAUAAGGAAGGCAAUCAAUAAAUAAAUCAUGCUUCGACUUCAUCACAUAACGGUUCACCAUACGUGCAUGCUACGGGAAUCAAAAACUUCAACACAAGUAUUUCUCAAAUUCACAACUACUCAACUAGCACGACUCUAAUAUCACCAUCUCCAUAUCUCAAAACAAUCAUCAAGUAUCAAACUUCUCUUAGUAUUCAAUGCACUUAUAUGAAAGUUUUUAUUAUGACUAAAAGCAAAUUGCCAUGUUGUUCUAAAGGACUCUCAAAAUAAUAUAAGUGAAGCAUGAGAGAUAAAUUAUUUCUAUAAAAUAGAACCACCACCGUGCUCUAAAAGUUAUAAGUGAAGCACUGGAGCAAAAAGUAUAUAUCUCAAAAGAUAUAAGUGAAGCACAUAGAGUAUUCUAAUAAAUUCCAAUUCAUGUGUGUCUCUCUCAAAAGGUGUGUACAGCAAGGAUGAUUAUGGUAGACUAAAAAGCAAAGACUCAAAUCAUACAAGACGCUCCAAGCAAAACACAUAUCAUGUGGCGAAUAAAAAUAUAGCUCCAAGUAAAGUUACCGAUGAACGAAGACAAAAGAGGGGAUGCCUUCUGGGGCAUCCCCAAGCUUAGGCUUUUUGGUGUCCUUGGAUUUACCUUGGGGUGCCUUGGGCAUCCCCAAUCUUAGGCUAUUGCCACUCCUUGUUCCAUAAUCCAUCAAAUCUUUACCCAAAACUUGAAAACUUCACAACACAAAACUUAAAGAAAAUCUUCGUGAGCUCCGUUAGUGAAAGAACACAAAACACCACUUCAAGGUACUGUAAUGAACUCAUUAUUUAUUUAUAUUGGUGUUGAACCUACUGUAUUCCAACUUCUCUAUGGUUUAUAAACUCUUUUACUAGCCAUAGAUUCAUCAAAAUAAGCAAACAACACACAAAAAACAGAAUCUGUCAAAAAUAGAACAAUCUGUAGUAAUCUGUAACUAAGGCAAACUUCUGGAACCCCAAAAAUUCUAAAAUAAAUUUCUGGACAUGAGGAAUUUAUCUAUUAAUCAUCUGCAAAAAAUAAUUAACUAAAUAUCACUCUCCAAUAAAAAAUGUCAGCAAUUCUCGUGAGAGCUAAAGUUUCUGUUUUUUACAGCAAGAUCAAAAAGACUUUCCCCAAGUCUUCCCAGCGGUUCUACUUGGCACAAAAACUAAUUAAACACAACCAAAACAGAGGCUAGAUAAAUUAUUUAUUACUAAACAGGAGCAAAAAGCAAGGAAUAAAAAUAAAAUUGGGUUGCCUCCCAACAAGCGCUAUCGUUUAACGCCCCUAGCUAGGCAUAAAAGUGAAGAUAGAUCUAGGUAUUGCCAUCUUUGGUAGGUAAUCCAUAAGUGGCUCUCAUAAUAGAUUCAUAUGGUAAUUUAAUUUUCUUUAUAGGGAAGUGUUCCUUGCCUUUUCUUAAAGGAAAUUGGAAUCUAAUAUUCCCUUCCUUCAUAUCAAUAAUUGCACCAAUCGUUCUAAGGAAAGGUCUACCAAGAAUAAUAGGACAUGAAGGAUUGCAAUCUAUAUCAAGAACAAUGAAGUCUACGGGUACAUAAUUCCUAUUUGCAACAAUAAGAACAUCAUUAAUCUUUCCCAUAGGUUUCUUAAUAGUGGAAUCCGUAAGGUGCAAGUUUAAAGAACAAUCAUCAAAUUCAUGGAAACCUAGCAAAUCACACAAAGUUUUUGGGAUCAUGGAAACACUAGCACCCAAAUCACACAAAGCAUGGCAUUCAUGAUCUUUAAUUUGUAUUUUAAUUGUGGGUUCCCACUCAUCAUAAAGCUUUCUAGGGAUAGAAACUUCCAACUCAAGUUUUUCUUCAUAAGAUUGCAUUAAAGCAUCAAUGAUAUGUUUAGUAAAAGCUUUAUUUUGAAUAUAAGCAUGAGGAGAAUUUAGCACGGAUUGCAACAGGGAAAUACAAUCUAUCAAAGAGCAAUUAUCAUAAUUAAAUUCCAUGAAAUCCAAGAUAGUGGGUUCGUUGCUAUCUAAAGUUUUAACCUCUUCAAUCCCACUUUUAACAAUUUUUGCAUCAAGAUCUAAAAACUCCGAAUUUUUGGGAUGCCUUCUAACUAAAGUUGACUCAUCUCCAGUCCCAUCAUUAUCAAGAUUCAUAUUGCAAAACAAGGAUUUAAUAGGGGACACAUCAAUCACUUUUAGAUCUUCAUCCUUGCUAUCAUGAAAACUAGAAGAACACGCUUUCACAAAGCAAUCUUUCUUCGCACGCAUCCUAGCGGUUCUUUCUUUGCACUCAUCAAUGGAAAUUCUCAUGGCUUCGAGAGACUCAUUGAUAUCAUGCUUAGGUGGAAUAGAUCUAAGUUUCAAAGAAUCAACAUCAAAAGAAAUUCUAUCCAUGUUCCUAGCCAACUCAUCAAUCUUAAGCAAUUUUUAUUCAAUCAAAGCAUUGAAACUCUUUUGCGAACUAAUAAAUUCUCUAAUAUUAGAUUCAAAAUCAGAGGGAAUCUUAUUAUAAUUUCCAUAAUAAUUGUUGUAGGAAUUACUAGGAAAUGGCCUAGGAUUAAAAUUACCUCUAUAUGCGUUAUUACCAAAAUUGUUCCUACCAACAAAAUUCACAUCCAUAGAUUCAUUUUUAUUCUCAAUCAAGGUAGACAAAGGCAUAUCAUUAGGAUCAGUAGGAGCACUCUUAUUAGCAAACAAUUCAUAAGCUCAUCCAUCUUUCCACUCAAAACAUUAAUCUCUUCAAUUGCAUGCACCUUUUUGCUAGUAGAUUUUUCAGUGUGCCAUUGAGAAUAAUUAACCAUAAUAUUAUCUAGGAGUUUAGUGGCUUCUCCUAAAGUGAUUUCCAUAAAAGUGCCUCCUGUGGCCGAAUCUAAGAGAUUUCUAGAAGCAAAGUUCAAUCCGGCAUAAAAAUCUUGUACAUAAAUUCAAACCAUGUGUAGGGCAAUUAUGUAUCAUUAAUUUCAUCCUCUUCCAAGAUUGUGCAACAUGCUCAUGAUCAAGUUUUAAAAUUCAUAAUAUCGUUCCUAAGAGAGAUGAUCUUAGCGGGAGGAAAAUACUUAGAGAUAAAAGCAUCUUUGCACUUAUUCCAUGAAUCAAUGCUAUUUUUAGAAAAAUACGAAAACCAAGCUUUAGCACGAUCUCUAAGCGAAAACGGAAAUAGCUUAAGUUUAACAAUAUCAUUAUCCACAUAUUUCUUCUUUUGCAUAUCACACAAAUCAACAAAGUUGUUUAGAUGGGUAGCGGCAUCUUCACUAGGAAGGCCAGAAAACGGAUCUUUCAUGACAACAUUCAGCAAAGCAGUAUUAAUCUCACAAGAUUCAGCAUCGGUAAGAGGAGCAAUCGGAGUGCUAAUAAAAUCAUUAUCGUUGGUAUUGGUAAAGUCACAUAAUUUUAGUAUUAUCUUGAGCCAUCGUGACAAGCAAGCAAUCCAACACACAAGCAAACAAGAAACAAUCAAAAGAGGCAAACGGGAAAAGAGAUGGGGAACGGAAAAGGAGGGCGAAUAAAACGGCAAGGGUGAAGUGGGGGAGAGGAAAACGAGAGGCAAAUGGCAAAUAAUGUAAUGCGAAGGAUAAGAGUUGUGAUGGGUACUUGGUAUGUCUUGACUUGGCGUAGAUCUCCCCGGCAAUGGCGCCAAAAAUCCUUCUUGCUACCUCUUGAGCACUGCGCUGGUUUUCCCUUGAAGAGGAAAGGGUGAUGCCGUAAAGCAACAUAAGUAAUUCCCUCAGUUUUUGAGAACCAAGGUAUCAAUCCAGUAGGAGACCACGCGCGAGUCACCUCGUACCUACACACACAACUAAGAACCUCGCAACCAACGCAAUAAAGGGGUUGUCAAUCCCUUCACGGCCAUUUGCAAGAGUGAGAUCUGAUAGAGAUGAUAAUAAUAAGAUAAAUAUUUUUGGUAUUUUUAUGAUAUAGAUUGAAAGUAAAGAUUGCAAAAUAAAGUAGAUGGGAAACUUGUAUGAUGGAGAAUAGACCCGGGCGCCAUAGGUUUCACUAGUGGCUUCUCUCAAGAUAGCAUAAGUAUUACAGUGGGUAAACAAAUUACUGUCGAGCAAUUGCUAGAAAAGCGAAUAGUUAUGAGAAUAUCUAGGCAUGAUCAUGUAUAUAGGCAUCACGUCCGUGACAAGUAGACCGAAACGAUUCGGCAUCUACUACUAUUACUCCACACAUCGACCGCUAUCCAACAUGCAUCUAGAGUAUUAAGUUCAUAAGAACAGAGUAACGCCUUAAGCAAGAUGACAUGAUGUAGAGGGAUAAACUCAUGCAAUAUGAUGUAAACCCCAUCUUGUUAUCCUCGAUGGCAACAAUACCAUACGUGUCGUUUCCCUUUCUGUCACUGGGAUCGAGCACCGCAAGAUUGAACCCAAAGCUAAGCACUUCUCCCAUUGCAAGAAAGAUCAAUCUAGUAGGCCAAACCAAACUGAUAAUUCGAAGAGACUUGCAAAGAUAAGCCAAUCAUACAUAAAAGAAUUCAGAGGAGAUUCAAAUAUUGUUCAUAGAUAAACUUGAUCGUAAACCCACAAUUCAUCGGAUCUCGACAAACACACCGCAAAAGAAGAUUGCAUCGAAUAGAUAUCCAAGAGAAUCGAGGAGAACUUUGUAUUGAGAUCCAAAGAGAGAGAAGAAGCCAUCUAGCUACUAGCUAUGGACCCGAAGGUCUGAAGUAAACUACUCACAGAUCAUCGGAAGGGCCAUGGAGUUGGUGUAGAGGCCCUCCGUGAUCAAUGCCCCCUCCGGCGGAACUCCGGAAAAGGCCCCAAGAUGGGAUCUCUUGGGUACAGAAGAUUGCAGCGGGGAAAUAGGGUUUCGUGGUGCUCCUGGAUGUUUGCGGGGUACAUGGAUAUAUAUAGGAGGAAGAAGUAGGUCGGUGGAGCAACGAGGGGCCCACGAGGGUGGAGGGUUCGCCUAGGGGGUGGGCACGCCCUCCUGCCUUGUGGCCUCCUAGAUUGUUUCUUGAUGUCCACUCCAAGUCUCCUGGAUCACGUUUGUUCCAAAAAUAACACUCCCGAAGGUUUCAUUCCGUUUGGACUCCGUUUGAUAUUCCUUUUCGGUGAAACACUAAAAUAGGCAAAAACAGCAAUUGGGACUGGGCCUCCGAUUAAUAGGCUAGUCCCAAAAAUAAUAUAAAAGUUUAAAAUAAAGCCCAUUAACAUCCAAAAUAGAUAAUAUAAUAGCAUGGAGCAAUUAAAAAUUAUAGAUACGUCGGAGAUGUAUCAUCUCCCAUUAUAUAAUUAAAUGGGGUUUUCUCAGGAUUAUCAAAGUAGUACAUAAUAUCUUUCACAUAAUGAGCAUAAGGAUUUUAGGAGGUUCCCAUCUCCAUGAGUAGCAAGUAAACCUAUUUUUUUGGCAUUUCGUGUUACAUAUCCAUAACUAAAGAUAGAGAACAACUUAGAACAGAAAAUAAAAAUCACUUAGUGAUAAAGCAAACAAGCAUACAUGAGAAUAUCAACCCCACGCUAUUGCUCCCCGGCAACGGCGCCAGAAAAAGGUCUUGAUAACCCACAAGUAUAGGGGAUCAAUUGUAGCCUCUUACGAUAAGUAAGAGUGUCGAACCCAAUGAGGAGCUAAAGGUAGAACAAAAUUCCCUCAAGUUCUAUCGACCACCGAUACAACUCUACGCACGUUUAACGUUCGCUUUACCUAGAACAAGUAUGAAACUAGAAGUAUUUUGUAGGUAUUGUUGGAUAGGUCUGCAAGAUAAUAAAGAGCGCGUAAAUAAAAAGUAGAGGUUGUUUAGAUGAAGACACAACUAAGUUAGUUUUAGUAAAGAGCUUGUUGUCACACAAGAAAGUUAUUUGUCCGUAGGCAAUCGAUAACUAGACCAGUAAUCACUAUUGCAAUUUUAUUUGAGGGAGAGGCGUAAGCUAACAUACUUUCUCUUCUUGGAUCAUAUGCACUUAUGAUUGGAAUUCUAGCAAGCAUACGCAACUACUAAAGAUCAUUAAGGUAAAACCCAACCAUAUCAUUAUAAGGCAUCAAGUCCUCUUUACUCCCAUACGCAAACAACCUACUUACUUGGGUUUGUGCUUCUGUCACUCACGCCACCCACCAUAAGCAAAUCAUGAACAUAUUGUUAACCCUACAGUGGGGAUCCCUCACGCUUGCGCGACACGGAGAGCACCAUAGGACAGCACCAAUAAUAAAACAUGCAACUCAAACCAAUCACGAUCAUCAAUUAACACGUAGAACAAAACGGAUCUACUCAAACAUCAUAGGAUAGCCAUACAUCAUUGGGAAAUAAUAUGUAGCGUUGAGCACCAUGUUUAAGUAGAGAUUACAGCAGGUAAAAGAGGGGUUAGACCGCUGCAUAGAGGGGGGAAGAGUUGGUGAUGAUGGUGGUGAAGUUGUUGGUGUAGAUUGCGAUGAUGAUGAUGGCCCCGGCGGCGUUCCCGUGCCACCGGAAGAGAAGGGGAGAGAGCCCUUCUUCUCCUUCUUCCUUGACCUUCUCCCUAGAUGGGAGAAGGGUUUCCCCUCUGGUCCAUGGCCUCCAUGGCAUGGGAGGGGCGAGAGCCCCUCCGAGAUUGGAUCUGUCUCUAUGUCUCUCUCUGUUUCUGCGUUCCUGAUUCUGCCCUUUCACCGUUUCUUAAAUUCCCAGAGAUCCGUAACUCCGAUUGGGCUGAAUUUUGGACAUGAUUUUAUCCAUAUAUUAGCUUUCUUGCGGCGAAAGAAUGGCACCAACCGCCUUACGGGGUGGCCACGAGGUCCCAGGGCGCGCCCCCUGCCUCGUGGCCCCCUCGGGCAUCGUCUCGCGUUGAUUCUUCUUCCCAAAAAUCGCAUAUAUUUCAAAAAAAAUCUCCAUCAGUUUUUAUCCCAUUUGGACUCCGUUUGAUAUGGAUUUUAUGCGAAACAAAAAACAUGCAACAAACAGGAAUUGGCACUGGGCAUUGGAUCAAUAUGUUAGUCCCAAAAUAGUAUAAAAAGUUGCCAAAAGUAUAUGAAAGUUGUAGAAUAUUGGCAUGGAACAAUCAAAAAUUAUAGAUACGACGGAGAUGUAUCAAGACACAUCUCUGGUCAAUAACCAAUAGCGGAACCUGGAUGCUCAUAUUGGCUCCUACAUAUUCUACGAAGAUCUUUAUCGGUCAAACCGCAUAACAACAUACGUUGUUCCCUUUGUCAUUGGUAUGUUACUUGCCCGAUAUUCGAUCGUCGGUAUCUCAAUACCUAGCUCAAUCUUGUUACCAACAAGUCUCUUUACUCGUUCUGUAAUGUAUCAUCCCGCAACUAACUCAUUAGUUGCAUUGCUUGCAAGGCUUAUAGUGAUGUGCAUUACCGAGAGGGCCCAGAGAUACCUCUCCGACAAUCGGAGUGACAAAUCCUAAUCUCGACCUAUGCCAACUCAACAAGUACCAUUGGAGACACCUGUAGAGCACCUUUAUAAUCACCCAGUUACGUUGUGAUGUUUGGUAGCACACAAAGUGUUCCUCCGGUAAUCGGGAGUUGCAUAAUCUCAUAGUCACAGGAACAUGUAUAAGUCAUGAAGAAAGCAAUAGGAGUAAACUAAAAUGAUCAAGUGCUAAGCUAUCGGAAUGGGUCAAGUCAAUCACAUCAUUAGAAUGAUGUGAUCCCGUUUAUCAAAUGACAACUCAUGUCUAUGGUUAGGAAACACAACCAUCUUUGACCAACGAGCUAGCCAAGUAGAGGCAUACUAGUGACACUUUGUUUGUUUAUGUAUUCACACAUGUAUCAUUUUCUUAUUUCAUGAUAAAUGUUUAUUAUUCAUGCUAGAAUUGUAUUCCAACGAUGGGCUUCCUCAAACGCCCUAGGUCUUCAUGAGCAAGCAAGUUGGAUGCACACCCACUUAGUUCCCAGUUUGAGCUUUCAUACACUUAUAGCUCUUAGUGCAUCCGUUGCAUGGCAAUCCCUACUCCUCGCAUUGACAUGAAUUGAUGGGCAUCUCCAUAGCCCGUUGAUUAGUCAUGUCAAUGUGAGACUUUCUUCCCUUUUUGUCUUCUCCACACAACCCCCAUCAUCAUAUUCUAUUCCACCUAUAGUGCUAUAUCCAUGGCUCACGCUCAUGUAUUGCGUGAAAGUUGAAAAGGUUUCAGAACAUCAAAAGUAUGAAACAAUUGUUUGGCUUGUCAUCGAGGUUGUGCAUGAUUUGAAUAUUUUGUGUGGUGAAGAUGGAGCAUAGCCAGACCAUAUGAUUUUGCAGGGAUAACUUUCUUUGGCCAUGUUAUUUUGAAAAGACAUGAUUGCUUUAUUAGUAUGCUUGAAGUAGUAUUGUCUUAAUGUCAAACGGUAGACUAUUGCUUUGAAUCACUCGUGUCUUAAUAUUCAUGCCAUGAUUAGAUUACAUGAUCAAGAUUGUGCUAGGUAGCAUUCCACAUAAAAAAUAUCUUUUUUAUCAUUUACCUACUUGAGGACGAGCAGGAAUUAAGCUUGAGGAUGUUGAUACGUCUCCUCGUAUCUAUAAUUUUUUAUUGUUCCAGGCCAAUAUUCUACAACUUUCAGAUACUUUUGGCAACUUUUUAUACUAUUUUUGAGACUAACAUAUUGAUCCAGUGCCUAGUGCCAGUUCAUGUUUGUUGCAUGUUUUUUGUUUCAUAGAAAAUCCAUAUCAAACGGAGUCCAAACGGGAUAAAAACUGAUGGAGAUUAUUUUGAAAUAUAUGCGAUUUUUGGGAAGAAGAAUCAACGCGAGACGAUGCCCGAGGGGGCCACGAGGCAGGGGCGCCCUGGGCCCUCGUGGGCACCCCGUAAGGAGGUUGGUGCCCUUCUUUCGCCGCAAGAAAGCUAAUAUCCGGAUAAAAAUCGUGUUGAAAAUUCAGCCCAAUCGAAGUUACGGAUCUCCGAGAAUUUAAGAAACGGUGAAAGGGCAGAAUCAGGAACGCAGAAACAGAGAGAGACAGAUCCAAUCUCGGAGGGGCUCUCGCCCCUCCCAUGCCAUGGAGGCCAUGGACCAGAGGGGAAACCCUUCUCCCAUCUAGGGAGAAGGUCAAGGAAGAAGAAGAAGGGGGGAUCUCUCCCCCUCUCUUCCAGUGGCGCCAGAAACCCGUCGGGGCCAUCAUCAUCACCGCAAUCUACACCAACAACUUCACCGCCAUCAUCACCAACUCUUCCCCCUCUAUGAAGCGGUGUAACCUCUCUUUUACCCGCUGUAAUCUCUACUUAAACAUGGUGCUCACCUCUACAUAUUAUUUCCCAAUGAUGUAUGGCUAUCAUAUGAUGUUUGAGUAGAUCCGUUUUGUCCUAUGGGUUAAUUGAUGAUCGUGAUAGGUUUGAGUUGUAUGUUUUAUUAUUGGUGCUGUCCUAUGGUGCUCUCUAUGUCGCGCAAGCGUGAUGGAUCCCCGUUGUAGGGUUAGCAAUAUGUUCAUGAUUUGCUUAUGGUGGGUGGUGUGAGUGACAGAAGCAUAGACCCGAGUAAGUAGGUUGUUUGCGUCUGGGAGUAAAGAGGACUUGAUGCCUUAUAAUGCUAUGGUUGGGUUUUACCUUAAUGAUCUUUAGUAGUUGCGGAUGCUUUCUAGAGUUCCAAUCAUAAGUGCAUAUGAUCUAAGAAGAGAAAGUAUGUCAGCUUACGCCUCUCCCUCAAAUAAAAUUGCAAUGGUGAUUACCGGUCUAGUUAUCGAUUGCCUACGGACAAAUAACUUUCUUGUGUGACAACAAGCUCUUUACUAAAACUAACUUAGUUGUGUAUUCAUCUAAACAGCCCCUAAUUUUUAUUUACACGCUCUUUAUUAUCUUGCAAACCUAUCCAACAACACCUACAAAAUACUUUUAGUUUCAUACUUGUUCUAGGUAAAGCGAACAUUAAGCAUGCGUAGAGUUGUAUCGGUGGUUGAUAGAACUUGAGGGAAUAUUUGUUCUACCUUUAGCUCCUCAUUGGAUUCGACACUCUUACUUAUCGAAAGAGGCUACAAUUGAUCCCCUAUAGUUGUGGGUUAUCAUGUCUCGGUCAUGUCUACACAGUUCUCGAACCCGUAGGGUCCACACGCUUAACGUUCGGUGACAAUCGGUAUUAUGAGUUUAUGUGAUUUGAUGUACCGAAGGUAGUUCAAAGUCCCGGAUGUGAUCACGGACACGACGAGGAGUCUCAAAAUAGUCGAGACAUAAAGAUUGAUAUAUUGGACGACUAUAUUCGGAUACCGAAAGUGUUCCGGGUGAUUUCGGAGAAAACCGGAGUGCCGGAGGGUUACCGGAACCCCCCGGGAGAAGUAAUGGGCCAGAUGAGCCUUAGUGGAGAGAGAGAGGGCCGGCCGGGGCAGGCCGCGCGUCCCCUCCCCCUCUGGUUCGAAUUGGACUAGGGAAGGGGGGCGGCGCCCCCCUUUCCUUCUCCCUCUCCUCCUUCCUUUCCACCUCCUAGUAGGAGUAGGAAAGGGGAGUCCUACUCCUACUAGGAGGAGAACUCCUCCUCCUGGCGUGCCCUGUAAGGGUCGGCCAGCCUCCCCCUUGGUCCUUUAUAUACGGGGGUAUGGGUCACCCUAGGACACACAAGUUGAUUGCUCCAAGCCAUGUGCGGUGCCCCCUCCACCAUAAUCCACCUCGAUCAUAUCGUAGCGGUGUUUAGGCGAAGCCGUGCGUCGGUAGCAACAUCAUCACCGUCAUCACGCCGUCGUGCUGAUGGAACUCUCCUGUGAACCUCUGCUAGAUCGGAGUUCGUGGGACAUCAUCGAGCUAAACGUGUGCUAAACUCGGAGGUGUCGUACGUUCGGUACUUGGAUCAGUCAGAUCGUGAAGACGUACGACUACAUCAACCGUGUUCUCAUAACGCUUCCGCUUACAUUCUACGAGGGUACGUGGACGAUACUCUCCUCUCUCGUUGCUAUGCAUCACUAUGAUCUUGCGUGUGCAUAGGAUUUUUUUUGAAAUUACUACAUUCCCCAACAGUUUGGACAUCGGAAUGGUUCCGGGUGAAAUUGGGAGUAUACCGGAGCACCGGGAGGUUACCGGACCCCCCCAGGAGGUGUAUGGGCCUUAGUGGAAAAGAGGGAGAAGAAGCAAAGGAGCCCCCCCCCCCAAGCCCAAUCCAAAUUGGGAAGGGGGGCGCCCCCCCUUUUCCUUCCUUCUUCCUCCUCCUUCCUUCUUCCUCCUCCUUCCUUCUCUCCUAAAACCAAACAAGGGAAGGGGGAAUCCUACUCCCGGUGGGAGUAGGACUCCCUUGGGCGCGCCUAGAGAGGCCGCCCCCUCCUCCACUCCUUUAUAUACGGGGGAAGGGGGCACCCCAUGGACACACAAGUUGAUCAUUGAUCUUUUAGCCGUGUGCGGUGCCCCCCUCCACCAUAAUCCACCUCGGUUAUAUCAUAGCGGUGCUUAGGCGAAGCCCUGUUCCGGUAGCAUCAUCAUCACCGUCAUCACACCGUCGUGCUGACGAAACUCUCCCUCGAAGAUCUACUGGAUCAUGAGUUCGCGGGACGUCACCGAGAUGAACGUGUGCAGAUCACGGAGGUGUCGUACCUUCAGUGCUAGAUCGGUUGAUCGUGAAGACGUACGACCACAUCAACCACAUUGUCAUGACGCUUCCGCUUACGGUCUACGAGGGUACAUAGACGAUACUCUCCCCUCUCGUUGCUAUGCAUCACCAUGAUCUUGCAUGUGCGUAGGGAUUUUUUUAAAUUACUACGUUCCCCAAUAGCUCCUUCUUGAUUUCUACCUCCGCAACUUUGAGCAUUGUGAAGAGCUCGGGAAUUGUCUUGUCCAUCCCUUGCACAUUAUAGUUCAUCACUUUGUAGCUUGGUGGCAGUGAUUGAAAAACUCUGUCAAUAACACUAUCAUCUGGAAGAUUAACUCCCAGCUGAGUUAAGUGAUUAUGAUACCCAGACAUUUUGAGUAUCUGUUCACUGACAGAGUUGUUCUCCUCCAUCUUGUAGCUAUAGAACUUGUUGGAGACUUCAUAUCUCUCAACUCGGUCAUUUGCUUGAAAUAUUUGAAGGAAAUAUUCCCUAGAGGCAAUAAUAAAGUUAUUAUUUAUUUCCUUAUUUCAUGAUAAAUGUUUAUUAUUUAUGCUAGAAUUGUAUUAACCGGAAACAUAAUACAUGUGUGAAUACAUAGACAAACAGAGUGUCACUAGUAUGCCUCUACUUGACUAGCUCGUUGAAUCAAAGAUGGUUAAGUUUCCUAGCCAUAGACAUGAGUUGUCAUUUGAUUAACGGGGUCACAUCAUUAGAGAAUGAUGUGAUUGACUUGACCCAUUCCGUUAGCAUAGCACUUGAUCGUUUAGUUUGUUGCUACUGCUUUCUUCAUGACUUAUACAUGUUCCUAUGACUAUGAGAUUAUGCAACUCCCAUUUACCGGAGAACACUUUGUGUGCUACCAAACGUCACAAUGCAACUGGCUGAUUAUAAAGGUGCUCUACAGGUGUCUCUGAAGGUACUUGUUGGGUUGGCGUAUUUCGAGAUUAGGAUUUGUCACUCCGAUUGUCGGAGAGGUAUCUCUGGGCCCUCUCGGCAAUGCACAUCACUUAAGCCUUGCAAGCAUUGCAACUAAUGAGUUAGUUGCGGGAUGAUGUGUUAUGUAACGAGUAAAGAGACUUGCCAGUAACAAGAUUGAACUAGGUAUUGAGAUACCGAUGAUCGAAUCUCGGGCAAGUAACAUACCGAUGACAAAGGGAACAACGUAUGUUGUUAUGCGGUUUGACCGAUAAAGAUCUUCGUAGAAUAUGUAGGAACCAGUAUGAGCACCCAGGUUCCGCUAUUGGUUAUUGACCGGAGACAUGUCUCGGUCAUGUCUACAUAGUUCUCGAACCCGUAGGGUCCGCACGCUUAAAGUUUCGGUGACAUGACAAGGAGUUCCGGAUGUGAUUUGAUGUACCGAAGAUAGUUCGGAGUCCCGGAUGAGAUCAGGGACAUAACGAGGAGUCUCAAAAUGGUCGAGACGUAAAGAUCGAUAUAUUGGACGACUAUAUUCGCACAUCAGAAAGGUUCCGAGUGAUUCGGGUAUUUUUCGGAAUACCGGGAGUUACGGGAAUACGGGGAAGUAGUAUUGGGCCUUAAUGGGCCUUAGUGGGAAGGAGAGGCAGUAGCCGGGAGGUGGCGCGCGCCCCUCCCAAGCCGAGUCCGAAUUGGACAAGGGGUUUGGGGCGCGGCCUCCCUCUCCCUUCCUUCUCCACUCCCCUCCUUUCCCCCCUUCUCCUAGUUGGACUAGGAAAGGAGGAAACCUACUCCUACUAGGAGUAGGAAUCCUACUCCCUUGGCGCGCCCCUCCUAGGGCCGGCCUCCUCCUCCCUUGCUCCUUUAUAUAUGGGGGCAGGGGGCACCCCCAAGACACACAAGUUGAUCUGUUGUUCUCUCCCAGCCGUGUGCGGUGCCCCCCUCCACCAUAUUCCAUCUCAGUCAUAUCGUAGCGGUGCUUAGGCGAAGCCCUGCGUCGGUAGCAACAUCAUCACCGUCAUCACGCCGUUGUGCUGACGGAACUCUCCCGUUAAGCUCUGAUGGAUCGGAGUUCACGGGACGUCAUCGAGCUAAACGUGUGCUGAACUCGGAGGUGCCGUGUGUUUGGUACUUGGAUCGGUCAGAUCAUGAAGACGUACGACUACAUCAACCGCGUUGUGCUAACGCUUCCGCUUUUGGUCUACGAGGGUACGUGGACACACUCUCCCCCCUUGUUGCUAUGCAUCACCAUGAUCUUGCGUGUGCGUAGGAAGUUUUUGAAAUUACUACGUUCCCUAACAGUGGCAUCCGAGCCAGGUUUUAUGCGUAGAUGUCAUAUGCACGAGUAUAACACAAGUGAGUUGUGGGCGAUAUAAGUCAUACUGCUUACCAGCAUGUCAUAUUUUGGUUCGGCGGUAUUGUUGGAUGAAGUGGCUCGGACCGACAUUACGCGUACGCUUAUGCGAGACUGGUUCUACCGACGUGCUUUGCACACAGGUGGCUGGCGGGUGUCAGUUUCUCCAACUUUAGUUGAACCAAGUGUGGCUACGCCCGGUCCUUGCGAAGGUUAAAACAACACCAACUUGACAAACUAUCGUUGUGGUUUUGAUGCGUAGGUAAGAACGGUUCUUGCUAAGCCCGUAGCGGCCACGUAAAAUUUGCAACAACAAAGUAGAGGAUGUCUAACUUGUUUUUGCAGGGCAUGUUGUGAAGUGAUAUGGUCAAGACAUGAUGCUAAAUUUUAUUGUAUGAGAUGAUCAUGUUUUGUUACCAAGUUAUCGGCAACUGGUAGGAGCCAUAUGGUUGUCGCUUUAUUGUAUGCAAUGCAAUCGCCAUGUAAUGCUUUACUUUAUCACAAAGCGGUAGCGAUAGUCGUAGAAGCAUAAGGUUGGCGAAACGACAACGAUGCUAUGAUGGAGAUCAAGGUGUCGCGCCGGUGACAAUGGUGAUCAUGACGGUGCUUCAGAGAUGGAGAUCACAAGCACAAGAUGAUGAUGGCCAUAUCAUAUCACUUAUAUUGAUUGCAUGUGAUGUUUAUCUUUUAUGCAUCUGAGUAUGCACCGUUGCGAAAGUUCUUCGUGUUGAGACACCACGUGAUGAUCGGGUGUGAUAGGCUCUACGUUCAAAUACAACGGGUGCAAAACAGUUGCACACGCGGAAUACUCAGGUUUAACUUGACGAGCCUAGCAUAUAACGGAUAUAGCCUCGGAACACUGAGACCGAAAGGUCGAGCGUGAAUCAUAUAGUAGAUAUGAUCAACAUAGUGAUGUUCACCAUUGAAACUACUCCAUCUCACGUGAUGAUCGGUCAUGGUUUAGUUGAUAUGGAUCACGUGAUCACUUAGAGGAUUAGAGGGAUGUCUAUCUAAGUGGGAGUUCUUAAGUAAUAUGAUUAAUUGAACUUAAAUUUAUCAUGAACUUAGUCCUGGUAGUAUUAGCAUAUCUAUGUUGUAGAUCAAAAGCUCGCGUUUAGCUCCCCUAUUUUAUUUUUGAUAUGUUCCUAGAGAAAACUAAGUUGAAAGAUGUUAGUAGCAAGGAUGCGGAUUGGAUCCGUGAUCUAAGGUUUAACCUCAUUGCUGCACAGAAGAAUUAUGUCCUUGAUGCACCACUAGGUGACAAACCUAUUGCAGGAGCAGAUGCAUAUGUUAUGAACGUUUGGCUAGAUCAAUAUGAUGACUACUUGAUAGUUUAGUGCACCAUGCUUAAACGGCUUAGAAUCGGGACUUCAAAGACGUUUUGAACGUCAUGGACCAUAUGAGAUGUUCCAGGAGUUGAAGUUAAUAUUUCAAGUAAAUACCCGAGUUGAGAGAUAUGAAGUCUCUAACAAGUUCUAUAGCUAAAAGAUGGAGGAGAAUAGCUCAAGCAGUGAGCAUGUGCUCAGAUUGUCUGGGUAGUACAAUCGCUUGAAUCAAGUGGGAGUUAAUCUUCCAGAUAAAAUAUUGAUUGACAAAAUUCUCUAGUCACCAUCAGCAAGAUAGUAGAACUUCGUGAUGAACUAUAAUAUGCAAGGGAUAACGGAAACGAUUCCCAAGCUCUUCGUGAUGCUGAAAUCGACGAAGGUAGAAAUCAAGAAAAGCAUCAAGUGUUGAUGGUAAACAAAACCACUAGUUUCAAAUAAAGGGACAAAGGGACGAAAGGGUAACUUCAAGAAGAACGGCAAACAAGUUGCUGCUCAAGUGAAAAAAUCCAAGUCUGGACCUAAGCCUGAAACUGAGUGCUUCUACUGCAAAGGGAUUGGUCAUUGGAAGCGGAACUACCACAAGUAAUUGGCGGAUAAGAAGGAUGGCAAAGUGAACAUAGGUAUAUUUGAUAUACAUGUUAUUGACGUGUACUUUACUAAUGUUUAUAGCAACCCCUCAGUAUUUGAUACUAGUUCAGUUGCUAAGAAUAGUAACUCGAAACGGGAGUUGCAGAAUGAACAGAGACUAGUUAAGGGUGAAGUGACGAUGUGUAUUGGAAAUGGUUCCAAGAUUGAUAUGAUCAUCAUCGCACACUCCUUAUACUUUUGGGAUUAGUGUUAAACCUAAAAUAAAUGUUAUUUAGUGUUUGCGUUGAGCAUAAAAAUGAUUGGAUCAUGUUUAUUGCAAUACGGUUAUUCAUGUAAGUUAGAGAAUAAUUGUUGUUCUGUUUACAUGAAUAAAACCUUCUAUGGUCAUACACCCAAUGAAAAUGAUUUGUUGGAUCUCGAUCGUGGUGACACAUAUUUUCAUAAUAUUGAAGCCAAAAGAUGCAAAGUUAAUAAUGAUAGUGCAACUUAUUUGUGGCACUGCCGUUUAGGUCAUAUUGGUGUAAAGUGCAUGAAGAAAAUCCAUGUUGACGGGCUUUUGGAAUCACUUGAUUAUGAAUCAAUUGAUGCUUGCGAACCAUGCCUCAUGGGCAAGAUGACUAAGACUCCGUUCUCCGGAACAAUGGAGCGAGCAACAGAUUUGUUGGAAAUCAUACAUACUGAUGUAUGUGGUCCGAUGAAUAUUGAGGCUCGCGGCAGGUAUCAUUAUUUUCUGAUCUUCGCAGAUGAUUUGAGCAGAUAUGAGUAUAUCUACUUGAUGAAACACAAGUCUGAAACAUUUGAAAAUUUCAAAGAAUUUCAGAGUGAAGUGGAUAAUCAUCGUAACAAAAAUAAAAAUUUCUACAAUAUGAUCGCAGAAGUAAAAAUAUUUGAGUUACGAGUUUGGCCUUCAGUUAAAACAAUGUGAAAUAGUUUCACUACUCACGCCACCUGGAACACCACAGUGUAAUGGUGUGUCCGAACGUCAUAACCAUACUUUAUCAGAUAUGGUGCGAUCUAUGAUGUCUCUUACCGAUUUACCACUAUCGUUUUGUGGUUAUGCAUUAGAGACAGCUACAUUCACGUUAAAUAGGGCACCAUCUAAAUCCGUUGAGACGACACCGUAUGAACUAUGGGUUGGCAAGAAACCUAAGCUGUCGUUUCUUAAAGUUUGACGUUGCAAUGCUUAUGUGAAAAAGUUUCAACCUGAUAAGCUCAGACCCAAAUCGGAGAAGUGCAUCUUCAUAGGAUACCCAAAAGAAAAUGUUGGGUACACCUUCUAUCACAGAUCCGAAGGCAAGAUAUUCAUUGCUGAGAAUGGAUCCUUUCUAGAGAAGGAGUUUCUCUCGAAAGAAGUGAGUGGGAGUAAAGUAGAACUUGAUGAGGUAACUGUACCUGCUCCCUUAUUAGAAAGUAGUUCAUCACAGAAAUCUGUUCCUGUGACUGCUACACCAAUUAGUGAGGAAGCUAAUGAUGAUGAUCAUGUAACUUCAGAUCAAGUUACUACCGAACCUCGUAGGUAAACCGGAGUGAGAUCCGCACCUGAGUGGUACAGCAAUCAUGUUCUGGAGGUCAUGUUACUUGACCAUGACGAACCUACGAACUAUGAGGAAGCGAUGAUGAGCCCAGAUUCCAUGAAAUGGCUUGAGGCCAUGAAAUCUGAGAUGAGAUCCAUGUAUGAGAACAAAGUAUGGACUUUGAUUGACUUGACCAAUGAUCGGCGUGCCAUUGAGAUUAAAUGGAUCUUCAAGAGGAAGAGGGACGCUGAUAGUACUAUUACUAUCUACAAAUCUAGAAUUGUCGCAAAAAGGUUUUCGACAAGUUCAAGGUGUUGACUACGAUGAGAGUUUCUCACUCGUAUCUAUGCUUAAGUCUGUCCAAAUCAUGUUAGCAAUUGCCGCAUUUUAUGAAAUCUGGCAAAUGGAUAAACAAAACUGCAUUCCUUAAUGGAUUUAUUUAAGAAGAGUUGUAUAUGAUGCACCCAGAAGGUUUGGUCAAUCCUAAAGGUGCUAACAAAAUAUGCAAGCUCCAGCGAUCCAUCUAUGGAUUGGUGCAAGCAUCUCGGAGUUGGAAUAUACGCUUUGAUAGGUUGAUCAAAGCAUAUAGUUUUAUACAGACUUGCGGUGAAGCCUGUAUUAACAAGAAAGUGAGUGGGAGGACUACAACAUUUCUGAUAAGUAUAUGUGAAUGACAUAUUGUUGAUCGGAGAUAAUGUUGAAUUAUUCUGCAAAGCAUAAAGGAAUGUUUGAAAGGAGUUUUUCAAAGAAAGACCUCGGUGAAGCUGCUUACAUAUUGAGCAUCAAGAUCUAUAUAGAUAGAUCAAGACGCUUGAUAAGUUUUUCAAUGAGUACAUACCUUGACAAGAUUUUGAAGUAGUUCAAAAUGGAACAGUCAAAGAAGGAGUUCUUGCCUAUGUUACAAGGUGUGAAGUUGAGUAAGACUCAAAACCCGACCACGACAAAAGAUAGAGAGAGAAUGAAAGUCAUUCCCUAUGCCUCAGCCAUAGGUUCUAUAAAGUAUGCCAUGUUGUGUACCAGACCUAUUGUAUACCCUGCCCUGAGUUUGGCAAGGGAGUACAAUAGUGAUCUAGGAGUAGAUCAGUGGACAUUGGUCAAAAUUAUUUUUAGUGGAAUAAGGAUAUGUUUCUCGAUUAUGAGGGUGACAAAAGGUUUGUCGUAAAGGGUUACGUCGAUGCAAGUUUUGACACUAAUCCAGAUGACUCAAAGUCUCAAUCUGUAUACAUAUUGAAAGUGGGAGCAAUUAGCUAGAGUAGCUCCAUGCAGAGCAUUGUUGACAUAGAAAUUUGCAAAAUACAUACGGAUCUGAAUGUGGCAGACCCGUUGACUAAACUUCCCUCACAAACAAAACAUGAUCACACCUUAGUACUCUUUGGGAAUUAAUCACAUAGCGAUGUGAACUAGAUUAUUGACUCUAGCAAACCCUUUCGGUGUUGGUCACAUGACGAUGUGAACUAUGGGUGUUAAUCACAUGGUGAUGUGAACUAUUGGUGUUAAAUCACAUGGCGAUGUGAACUAGAUUAUUGACUCUAGUGCAAGUGGUAGACUGAAGGAAAUAUGCCCUAGAGGCAAUAAUAAAGUUAUUAUUUAUUUCCUUAUUUCAUGAUAAAUGUUUAUUAUUCAUGCUAGAAUUGUAUUAACCGGAAACUUAGUACAUGUGUGAAUACAUAGACAAACAGAGUGUCACUAGUUUGCCUCUACUUGACUAGCUCGUUGAAUCAAAGAUGGUUAAGUUUCCUAGCCAUAGACAUGAGUUGUCAUUUGAUUAACGGGGUCACAUCAUUAGAGAUUGAUGUGAUUGACUUGACCCAUUCCGUUAGCAUAGCACUUGAUCGUUUAGUUUGUUGCUACUGCUUUCUUCAUGACUUAUACAUGUUCCUAUGAUUAUGAGAUUAUGCAACUCCCAUUUACCGGAGGAACACUUUGUGUGCUACCAAACGUCACAAUGUAACUGGCUGAUUAUAAAGGUGCUCUACAGGUGUCUCUGAAGGUACUUGUUGGGUUGGCAUAUUUCGAGAUUAGGAUUUGUCACUCCGAUUGUCGGAGAGGUAUCUCUGGGCCCUCUCGGCAAUGCACAUCACUUAAGCCUUGCAAGCAUUGCAACUAAUGAGUUAGUUGCGGGAUGAUGUGUUACGUAACGAGUAAAGAGACUUGCCGGUAACGAGAUUGAACUAGGUAUUGAGAUACCGAUGAUCGAAUCUUGGGCAAGUAACAUACCGAUGACAAAGGGAACAACGUAUGUUGUUAUGCGGUUUGACCGAUAAAGAUCUUCGUAGAAUAUGUAGGAACCAAUAUGAGCAUCCAUGUCCGCUAUUGGUUAUUGACCGGAGACAUGUCUCGGUCAUGUCUACAUAGUUAUCGAACCCGUAGGGUCCGCACGCUUAAAGUUUUGGUGACGAUUUGUAUUAUGAGUUAUGUGAUUUGAUGUACCGAAGAUAGUUCGGAGUUCCGGAUGAGAUCAGGGACAUGACGAGGAGUCUCGAAAUGGUCGAGACAUAAAGAUCGAUAUAUUGGACGACUAUAUUCGCACACCGGAAAGGUUCCGAGUGAUUCGGGUAUUUUUCGGAGUACCGGGAGUUACGGGAAUACAGGGAAGUAGUAUUGGGCCUUAAUGGGCCUUAGUGGGAAGGAGAGGCAACAGCCAGGAGGUGGCGCGUGCCCCUCCCAAGCCGAGUCCGAAUUGGACAAGGGGUUUGGGGCGCGGCCUCCCUCUCCCUUCCUUCUCCACUCCCCUCCUUUCCCCCCUUCUCCUAGUUGGACUAGGAAAGGAGGAAACCUACUCCUACUAGGAGUAGGAAUCCUACUCCCUUGGCGCGCCCCUCCUAGGGCCGGCCUCCUCCUCCCUUGCUCCUUUAUAUACGGGGGCAGGGGGCACCCCAAGACACACAAGUUGAUCUGUUGAUCUCUCCGAGCCGUGUGCGGUGCCCCCCUCCACCAUAUUCCACCUCAGUCAUAUCGUAGCGGUGCUUAGGCGAAGCCCUGCGUCGGUAGCAACAUCAUCACCGUCAUCACGCCAUCGUGCUGACGGAACUCUCCCGUGAAGCUUUCCUGGAUCGGAGUUCGCGGGACGUCAUCGAGUUGAAUGUGUGUUGAACUCGGAGGUGCCAUGCGUUCGGUACUUGGAUCGGUCAGAUCGUGAAGACGUACGACUACAUCAACCGCGUUGAGCUAAUGCUUCUGCUUUUGGUCUACGAGGGUACGUGGACACACUCUCCCCCCUUGUUGCUAUGCAUCACCAUGAUCUUGCGUGUGCGUAGGAAAUUUUUGAAAUUACUACGUUCCCUAACAAUAUUAAUUUCAACUCCUGGAACAUCUCAUACGUCCAUGAUGUUCAAAACUUUUUUGAAGUCCCGAUUCUAAGCCGUAAAGCAUGGCACACUGAACUAUCGAGUAGUCGUCAGAUCGAGCUUGUUGGACAUUCAUAACAUCAGCAUCUGCUCCUGCAGCAUGCCUUUCACCUAGCGGUGCAUCAAGGACAUAAUUCUUUUGUGCAGCAAUGAGGAUAAUCCUCAAGUUACGGACCCAGUCCAUGUAGUUGCUACCAUCAUCUUUCGGCUUAGCUUUCUCUAGGAACGCAUUAAAAUUCAAGGGAACAGUAGCACGGGCCAUUGAUCUACAACAUAGAUAUGCAAAAACUAUCAGGACUAAGUUCAUGAUAAAUCAAGUUCAAUUAAUCAAACUACUUAAGAACUCCCACUUAGAUAGACAUCCCUCAAGUCAUCUAAAUGAUACGUUCUAAAUGAUACGUGAUCCAAAUCAACUAAACCAUGUCCGAUGAUCACGUGAGAUGGAGUAGUCAUCAAUGGUGAACAUCUCUAUGUUAAUCAUAUCUACUAUAUGAUUCACGUUCGACCUUUUGGUAUCCAGUAUUCCAAGGCCAUGUCUGUACAUGUCAGGCUCGUCAAGUUUAACCCGAGUAUUCCGCAUGUGCAAAACUAUCUUGCACCCGUUGUACGUGAGCGUAGAGUCUAUCACACCUGAUCAUCAUGUGGUGUCUCAAUAGAUGAACUGUAGCAAUGGUGCAUACUCAUGGAGAACACUUUUACCUUGAAAUUUAGUUAAGGGAUCAUCUCAUAAUGCUACUGACGUACUAAGCAAAAAUAAGAUGCAUAAAAGAUAAACAUCACAUGCAAUCAAAAUAUGUGGCAUGAUAUGGCCAUCAUCAUCUUGUGCUUUUGAUCUCCAUCUCCAAAGCAUCGUCAUGAUCUCCAUCGUCACCGGCUCGACACCUUGAUCUCCAUCGUUGCGUCGUGGUUGUCUCGCCAACUAUUGCUUCUACAACUAUCGCUAACACAUAGUGAUAAAGCAAAGAAAUUGCAUGGCGUUUGCAUUUCAUACAAUAAAGAGACAACCAUAAGGCUCCUGUCGGUUGCCAAUAACUUUUACAAAACAUGAUCAUCUCAUACAAUAACGUAUAUCACAUCAUGUAUUGACCAUAUCACAUCACAACAUGCCCUGCAAAAACAAGUUAGAUGCCCUCUACUUUGUUCUUACAAGUUUUACGUGGCUGCUACGGGCUUCUAGCAAGACUCGUUCUUACCUACGCAUCAAAACACAACGGUCUUUCAUCAAGUUUGUUGUUUUAACAUUCGGUCGUAGUCAAAUUUGAUUCAACUAAAGUAGGAGAAACCGACACCCGCCAGCCACCUUUAUGCAAAACUAGUUGCAUGUCUGUCGGUGGAACCGGUCUCAUGUGCGUGGACAUGUAAGGUUGGUCCGGGCCGCUUCAUCCCACAAUACCGCCGAAUCAAAAUAAGACGUUGGUGGUAAGCAGUAUGACUAUCACCGCCCACAACUCUUUGUGUUCUACUCGUGCAUAUCAUCUACGCAUAGACCUGACUCAUGAUGCCACUGUUGGGAAACGUUGCAUGGAAAACAAAACAAUUCUACGCACACGCAAUGAUCUAUCCAUGAAGAUGCAAUGCAACGAGGGGGAGAGUGUGUCUACGUACCCUCGUAGACCGUAAGCGAAAGCGUUUCACAACGCGGUUGAUGUAGUCGAACUUUCUUAGCGCUCCACCGAUCGAGUACCAAACGUACGACACCUCUGAGUUCUGCACACAUUCAGCUCGGUGACAUCCCUCGUCUUCUUGAUCCAGCAAGGUGUCGAGGUAGUAGAUGAGUUUCAUUAGGACGACGGCGUGGUGACGGUGAUGGUGUAGUGAUUCUCGCAAGGCUUCACCUAAGCACCGCGGAAAUAUGACCGGGGGUGUAAACUAUGGAGGGGGGCGCCGCACACGGCUAACAAUUGAUGUUGUGUGUUCUAGGUGCCCCCCUCCCCACAUACAUAUAGGUAGGAGGGGAGGAGAGGCUGCCAGGGGGCACCCCCUUUCCUAUUUCCACUGGAGAAGAAAGGAAGGGGGAGAAGAGAAGGCAGAGGGGGGGAGGGGGCGAACCUCCUCUUCUCCUUCUCCUAUUCGGCCAUCUGCCAUAGGGGGGGGCGCCACCAAUUGUGGGCUGGUGUGCUCCCCUCUCAUGGCCCAUAUAUUCCCCCGGGGGUUCCGGUAACCCCCCGGUACUCCGAUAAAUAUCCGAUACAUUUUGGAACACUUUCGGUGUUUGAAUAUUAUCGUUCUAUAUAUCAAUCUUUACUUCUCGACCAUUUAGAGACUCCUCGUCAUGUCCGUGAGCUCAUCUGGGACUUCGAACAACAUUCGAUCACCAAAUCACAUAACUCAUACUCCCUCCGUUUCUUUUUACUCCGCAUAUAAGAUUUGGUCAAAGUCAAACUACACAAAGUUUGACCAAAUUUAUAUAAAAAUAUAUGAGCAUCUACAAUAUUAAAACUAUAUAGUAUGAAAAUACGUUUCAUGAUGCAUCUGAUAAUGUUGAUUUCAUAUUGUGAAUGUUUAUAUUUUUUAAUAUAAAGUUAUUCAAACUCUACAAAGAUUGACUUUGACCAAACCUUAUAUGCGGACUAAAAAGAAACGGAGGGAGUAUAAUACAAUAUCGUCAUCAGGCGUUAAGCAUGCGGACCCUAUGGGUUCGAGGACUAUGUAGACAUGACCGAGGCACCUAUCCGGUCAAUAACCAAUAGUGGAACCUGGAUGCUCAUAUUGGCUCCUACAUAUUCUACAAAGAUCUUUAUCAGCCGAACCGUUAUGACCACAUAUGUUAUUCCCUUUGUCCAUCGGAAUGUUACUUGCCCGAGAUUCAAUCGUUGUUAUCUUCAUACCUAGUUCAAUCUCGUUACUGGCAAUUCUCUUUACUCGUUUCGUAAUACAUCACCUCGUGACCAACUCCUUAGUCGUUUGCUUGCAAGCUUUAUGAUGUGUAUUACCGAGAGGGCCCAAAAUACCUCUCCGAUACUCGGAAUGACAAAUCCUAAUCUCGAUCUAUGCCAACCCAACAAACACAUUCGGAGAUACUUGUAGAGCAUCUUUAUAAUCACCCAGUUACGUUAUGACGUUUGAUAGCACACAAGGUAUUCCUCCGGUAUCUGGGAGUUGCAUAGUCUCAUUGUCAAAGGAAUAUGUAUUUGACAUGAAGAAGGCAAUAACAAUAAAACUGAACGAUCAAUAUACUAAGCUAACGGAUGGGUCAUGUCCAUCACAUCAAUCUCCUAAUGAUGUGAUCUCGUUAUCAAAUGACAACUCAUGUCCAUGGUUAGGAAACCUUAACCAUCUCUGAUCAACAAACUAGUCAAGUAGAGGCUCACUAGGGACACAAUGUUUGUCUAUGUAUUCACACAUGUAUUUAUGUUUCCGAUCAAUACAAUUCUAGCAUGAAUAAGAAAUAAAAUAAAAUAACAACUUUAUUAUUGCCUUUAGGGCAUAUUUCCUUCACCCUUCUCAGCAUGCAACAGCUCUACAAGCUACACGGCUCCCCCGGGGCUAUCGUGUCUGACCAUGGCCCAGUUUUUACCAGCCACUUCUGGCAGGAACUGUUUAAGUAUGCAUGUAACGAGCUGAGGAUGAGUACCGCUAACCACCCAUAGACCAACGACCAGACAGAAAGGCUGAACCAGUGCAUCGAGACUUAUCUGUGCUGCUUCGUCCAAGCAUGCCCGAAGCGUUGGAGCUUUUGGGAGCCAUUGGCGCAGUUUUGGUACAACUCCUCACACCACUCUGCCAUCGGGAUGACACCAUUCAAGGCCAUGUUCGAGAGGGAGCCGAGGCAUUGGGGGUUCACUACAUCUACUUCCUAAAGGGUGCAAGCACUGCAAACGUGGCUUGAGGAACGGGCAGUCAUGCAAGACUUGAUCCAACAUCAACUUCAUCGCGCGCGGCAGAUCAUGUAAGACCAGGCGAACAAGAAACGCUCCUUCCGCCAAUUCCAAGUCGGCGACCAAGUCUUCCUCAAGCUCCAGCCAUAUGUCCAGUCUUCGGUGGCUCCUCACGCCAACCAAAAGGUCAACUACAAGUUCUACGGGCCUUUCCUGAUCAUUACCAAGGUCAACGACGUGCCUACGAGCUCAAGCCGCCACCUCAAGCCACGGUACACCCCGUCUUCCACGUCUUGCACCUCCGUCACGCGCUCCUCCCCGGCAUCAUCGCGUCGACGGCGCUGCCAACGAGCUCUGAAGACACGACGAUCCCGGUCAAGGUGCUAGAAUCAAGAUGGUGCAACAAGAACAACAUGAUGAUCGAGCAAGUUCGUGUGCAGUGGUCUUCGGGAGCCGGCCUCGACACCACCUGGGAGAACAAGCAAGCACUCCAAGCAAGAUUUCCUGAUGCAGAGGCUUGGGGGCAAGCCUCUUCCCAAGGAGGAUGGAAUGUCAACGCCCCUGACGAGUCGACCCCACCAAACAGCAAGACACUGGCACGGCUCGACCGCGCCAGGCGCAACAACCCCCACUUCUUCGCCCCAGAGUGGCAUUGGCGGCCCAACCCAUCACCUGCUAUACUUAAGCCAGGCACUGCCCCCUUCGCUCACCAUCGAGUGGAUCAGAAACGGCGGCGGCGACACGAACUGUAUUCCCUUUUUCCUGUUCUUUGAUUCGUGUAUCCCAUCUUGUAACUGCAACUCGAGUUGUUAUUCCUCAGACAAUAGAUCGAUCCACCUCGCUGUUCCUAACAUAAAAGGAAAACAAAAAAGUGAAAAAACAGAAGAAGAAAAUGUUUUUUUUAGGGGAAGAAGAAAAAAAUGUGCAUGUGGCCUCCCGCGAGCUAGGUCGGCCCAGUCUCGCGCUCCCGCCGAGCCCAUGGGCCUUGCACUUACAAGUGGGCCUCAGCAAGCCCACGUCUCAGUUCGCAUCAUCCCCCAGUCCGCAAUGCGCACCCACCCAAACCCUACCCUUCUCGCACCAGCUAUAAAUUCCACCCUCACGCUUCGCUCCCCCUCUCCCGCCGCCGCCCCUCUUCUCUUCCUCUGCCCACAAAACCCUAGCCGUCGCCUCACAGCUCGCCGCCGACGCAGCGAGCUCUUCCUCCACCGCCGCAACCAUGGCGACCCAGAUCAGCAAGAAGAAGAAGGUAAGGAACCACCUAGACCCAGCGUAUUCCGCCGUCCCCAGCACGAUCUAUCGGUGGUGCAUCAACCGAUCUAACGAUUUCCCGUUUGCGCUUCCUUAGUUUGUGAGCGAUGGCGUUUUCUACGCCGAGCUGAACGAGAUGCUGACCCGGGAGCUUGCCGAGGACGGCUACUCCGGCGUGGAGGUACGCGUGACGCCGAUGCGCACGGAGAUCAUCAUCAGGGCCACGCGGACGCAGAACGUGCUUGGUGAGAAGGGCCGCAGGAUCAGGGAGCUCACCUCCGUCGUCCAGAAGCGCUUCAACUUCCCGGAGAACGGCGUUGAACUUUACGCCGAGAAGGUCGUCAACCGUGGCCUCUGCGCCAUCGCCCAGGCCGAGUCACUCCGCUACAAGCUCCUCGGUGGCCUUGCCGUCCGCAGGUAUGAUAACGACCAAUUCUUAAAUGUUUUUCAUAUAUGCGAUUUGUAGAUGCUAGUAAAUGGUCAGAGCUGUUGUGAUACACUUAUCAUUUGUUUAGAUGCUAUGAGAUCUACAUCAAAUACUAUUUGUAGUCCUUGAAGUUUGUGGUUAGCUUCAUGUUUGUAUGCACACUUAGUAAGGAAGUGAUUAUUGUUGCACCUGUGCUUUACUCUGCCCUGCUUUCUGGUCGUGUUUGUGGGGCAUUUGCAUUAGUGCAAAAAGUAAAAGCUGUUCUUUGAAGCAGCAGUGGCCAGACAACCGUAGAGAUAGAUCCACAGAUGAAUGGCUGAUUUGCUGCUUGUCUACUAGUUCUAUCUCAUAUUUCUAUGAAUAAUUUCCUGUAAUUUAUUGUCUUAGAUUAGUCAGCAUUACACAAAUAUCCAGAAUGCAGUGGUUAUGUUGCACCUUCUCCUUUGUGUUGUAGCGGUGCUAGUAGGAUAUAUCACUGGUGCAAAAAGGAGAAGCUGCUCCUUGGUCACCAGCGGCUGUUGAUAUAGAUCCACAGAUGAAUGGCCGACCUGCUGUUUGUCUACUGAAUACUGAUGCUAUCCCUUGUUUCUUCUAUGCAAUCUUGACAUAUUUGCUGUAAUAUCUGUCUUUUCCAGAACAGCUGUGCAUUUUAUGGCAAAAUGUAGUCGUUGAUUUGAAUCUAUGUUAACUGUAUGGUGCUGUUCACUUCAAAUUACUGCAUAUAUAAUCUGUUCAUUUCUGCUCUCUUAUUAUGAUGAUUGUGAGAAUGGUUCACACAUUCCUGCUUCUGUAGCAGUAGUGGCCAGACGACCAUUGAGAUAUGUUGUUUGUCUACUAAAUAUAUCUGGAAUCUAUUUCUCUUAAUGAUUUCUUGUUUUGUUUCAACCUUAUGCUUUCUGUUGAUGUUAUAUUUCUGCUUGUAGUUUCAAUGGAAUUGUUGAUUUUAUUGCAGGGCAUGCUAUGGUGUUCUUCGCUUUGUUAUGGAGAGUGGUGCUAAGGGUUGUGAGGUAAAUUUCCUCUGCACAUGUGAUCUGACAUUCUUAUCUUGCACUUCCUGUGUUUAGUUGCUGACUGCUCUCUUGAUUUUGUACUAGGUCAUUGUGAGCGGCAAGCUCAGGGCCCAGAGAGCCAAGUCGAUGAAGUUCAAGGACGGGUACAUGAUCUCAUCUGGUCAGCCCGUUAACGAGUACAUUGAUGCUGCAGUUAGGCACGUUCUUCUCAGACAGGUUUGUUUGCUGUGCUGCUUACUUAACCUUGUUUUUCCAGUUUGUUGCUCAUGGAACUACAUAUGAUUCAACAUUGGCUUGGUUUUGUAGGGCGUUCUUGGUAUCAAGGUGAAGAUUAUGCUUGACUGGGACCCCAAGGGCAAGCUUGGCCCUACCACCCCGCUGCCUGACCUUGUCACCAUCCACCCCCCGAAGGAGGAGGACGAGCUGCGCCCACCGGCUUUGGUUGAGGUCUAAAGUCCCAAUAGAGCAAGCAGACCAUGAAACGGCACAUCAUUUUGGUCCUAGCUACUUUUCUAUCCCUGUGAUAAGCGAGGGCUAUGCAACGCUUGGUUACCUACCUUACCUUUUAAUGGACAAAAGUUUCUGUGUAAUGCUUCUAUGUUAAUUUCGUUUAAACUAAGUUUUGCCGAGACAAGUUACUUAUGUAUGCCAGAAACCUUUGUUUGGAUUGAUUCUGCCCAGCUAGUUUGUUGCUCUUCGUUUGUGCCACCUUUUUACUGUUUGUUAUGUCUUCUUAUGCGUUCAUUCCGUAUCCACCUUUUUACAAUCAUAAUUUGUUUUUUCAGAAUUUUUAAAAAUAAUAAUUUUCUCAUCUAUCUAUUUUGUUGUUCACACCAGGAGCAUAUGAGCUCAGGUGUAGAAAGGUAGUAUCGGAAAUUCAGUUUUGUUUGAAGCAAGGUUGCUUUUGUUGGUCAUUGAAUUGAGCAUCUUUUGGAGUUGCAGCUAUGCGAGUCCUUGAAAGUAAAAUCCAAAGAAGGAAAUGAAAACAAAUUCAAAACAUUAUGAAUUUAUUUUGUGGCAAACUUUGAUAAAACGGUUGAAUUGUCCGCAAAGAUGGUUUGCUUUAGAGAUGCAAAUGUUAGUACUUGCGAAGUCAAUUAAACUCCCCCUCGCGCGUUCCCCCUCAUCGUUUUUAUCGUGCCAGCGAGAGGAAAAGAAAUACUGUGCUAGGUUUGUCUUUCGCGGCCCCACCGUGUCGUUUGCUUCGUCCCCAUGCCCCCACCCCUUCUCUGAGGCAUGCAACCUCUCCUCCCCUCCCAAAAAUUUCUCUCUCGUUUGCCGCUGCCACGGCCUCGCCUUGUCGGCACAUCCCAGGUCCUCCGGCGCUGGCCAUCGGAGAAGGAAGCAAACUCAACAUCCAGUUGUCCUCCUCCCAACCCAGGCACGUCGCCUCCUUCCCUCCCCUUCCCUCACUCCUUGCCCCUUCUCUGUCGCUCCUACCCCUUUCUUUUCUCAAUCCGGAUCUGUGGAGGUGGCCGGCGGAGAGGACGGUCAUGGCAGGAGUGCUCAAUGCGGGAGACGGCAGAUCGAUCCGCGGAGCUGCCUUAUGCCUGCUUCCUCACCAUGUUGCGACCACCGCCUCCGCAGGCCGGUCGUUGAUGUCACUCUUCGGCAGAGGCGAGAUUGGGUAGGAGCACGGGCGAGUGGGAGGCGUGGUGCUGCGAAGAUGUGGGACACGUCACAGACAGGAAGUGGGUGUGGCGUGAGGAGAUGGGCGGCGACACCAUUCGCUGGCUCCUGUAGCGGCUAAAUUUCGUGUUUUGACCCUUUUGACAAACAAUUUCAGGAUCUGACCCUGGUUUGAAAUAUUUUCGGGAUUUGACCCUUUUGCUACCGCCAGAGCCUCUGGCGGUAGGGUUAGACAGCCUACCGCCAGGGCCCCUGGCGGUAGGGUGUGACGGAGGGGACGGCGGCCGUCACCGCGUGCUGAUGUGGACAAGUACCUUACCGACAGGGUCCCUGGCGGUAGGCUGUCUAACCUUACCGCCAGUGCCUCUAGCGGUAAGGUGUGACAGGGUUUUGCCGUGCAGACAUUCUGUAACGAAAGAUGCAAGGGCCCUCGCGGUAGGUUGUCUGACCCUACCGCCAGGACCCCUGGUGGUAGAGUCUUGUGUUUUGCUGUAUAUAGCUUCUGUAACGAAAUAUGAAAGGGCCCCGGCGGUAGGUUGACCCUAUCGUCAUGGGGGCUGGCGGUAGGUUGUCUCACCCUACCGCCAGGGUGCAUGGCGGUAGGGUCCUCUGUUUUGUUUUUUCAAGUUCAUUUGGUUACUUGUUCUCAAAUUCAAUAUGACAGCAAUAUCACAGCAAGUUUCACAAAUAUGACAACAAUAUCACAGAUUUUAAACAAUUAAACUUGGGCAUCACAGAGAUCCAUAUUAAGAUAACUUGAAGUGCAUAGAACAUUUCAAACACAUAGAUCCACAAAUAGAAAACACAUAGUUUCACGUAGUUUCACAACCACUAGACAAGUUCAACCAAACGAAGUUCAACCGAACUAAAAGAGCCAAGUAUCGAAGAGCAUAAUCAAUUGCUCCUUCCCCUCUUGGAGGUACGGUCCUCGUUACUCUUUGAACGAGUCUCUUCGGUCUUCUUCUUGGGCCGGCGAGGAACCGGUCUCUGGAAAGGGUCCGGACUCAGCAAAUCCUUCUUGUUCGGAUUCCUCUUCGGCAGCUGAGAUGCUUGAGAUGUUUGAGUUGGUGGAGGUCCAUAAUCUUCAUCGUACUCCUCCUCCCCGUUGCUCUCCUCCUCCUCCCCUUCUUCAUGUGUGGCCUCCUCCUCCUCCCCAACUAACCUAGACGACGAGGGAGCAUGGCUCGAUGAGCCGAUGAGACCCUGUGUGGCUACAGGCUAAUAAGCUUCAACUGACCCAGCUCUAGCACACCCAAGCAGCCUUACCAACUUGCGACAAUGCUUCACGAACUUCUGCACUCACAAUGAAACAAGGGCAUAAUAAGUAUCAGAUCGACUGAUUGCAAGUGAACAAGAUGCAUCUGUUCCGAGGAGGCUGAAAUUGUACCUUCAUCGUCCCCCUCACUUUGUUCUCAGAUUCUAUGCUCCCGGUGUUACGGCAUAUCUCUCUCAAGGUAGUUUCGGUGAUUGAUGACAACAUGUUUGCGGACUAAUCUUGUGCUUUGAAUAAUUCACAGAUUCUCCCCUGGCACGAGACGCUUUCUUCCCCUCGGAGUGUAUUUCAAGACGGUGUAGCUCUUUCGUUUCUUUCUCGGUGGACUAGUUGCGUAGAGGGCACCGUACUAUCAAGAGGGGGCCCGCUGGGGUUUUGCAUGGGUGGAAUCAUCACAUACACAUCAGCUUCUCACCCUCCGAGCUUUUCCUGUCCAUUGAAGAGAUCUCUCCUCUCUUCCUUGUUCUGUCUGGGUCUAAGCGGCAGUACCGCGCACCCAGCAGUAGUACCACUGAGAAGCCACAAGCGACAGUACCGCUUCGCAGCGGUAGUACCGCUGUGGCUCCACACCAGUAGUACCGCUGGGGGCCUGGCACAUCCGCCGUGUCCUCAGCAUUUUUGAUAGAUCUCUUCUCUCUCUCUCUCGCGCCCCAGCGGUAGUACCGCACUGCCUGCGGUACUACGGCCGAAGGGUCACAAGCGGCAGUACCACUCCACAGCGGUACUACCGCCCUUGACCCCACUGCCAUAGUACCGCUGGGUAGUCUGGCUCCUACCGCCUCGAUUCAAGAGGUCUUUUUCUCGUGUCGGGUUUUGCGGCACUAGUCACGGUUGUAGUGGCGGUAGUACCGUUCCAGGAGCGGUAGUACCACCCUACCACCGCGGUAGUACCGCUAUUGGGGUCCGUUCCCUACUAAGUCUCCUCAGGGCGGCAGUACCGCAGGGUGGCGCGGCAGUACCGUCGCCUGGCGGUAGUACCGCCCCCUCUCAGCAGUAGUACCGCCCUGUGCGGGGCUGGUUGGUGGGGGGGGCAACGGGAUUGUUGCCCCCACUAUAAAAGGGAGUCCCCUUCCUCCUUCUCACUUACCUCUUCCUCCCCCAAAGCUCCAUUUAUUGCUCAAGCUCCAUUAAAUACUCCAAGCUUCAUUUUGCCCGAUCUAUCUCCCUAGCCAAUCAAACUUGUUGAUUUGCUCGGAAGUGGUUGAGAAGGCUCCGAUCUACACUUCCACCAAGGGAUUUUCGAUUCCCCCACUCAUCCCUAGCGGAUCUUGUUACUCUUGGGUGUUUGAGCACCCUAGACGGUUGAGGUCACCUCGGAGCCAUAUUCCAUUGUGGUGAAGCUUCGUGGUCUUAUUAGGAGCCUCCGAUUAAGUUGUGAAGAUUGCCCCAACCUUGUUUGUAAAGGUUCGGUCGCCGCCUUCAAGGGCACUAAUAGUGGAAUCACGGCAUCUCGCAUUGUGUGAGGGCGUGAGGAGAAUACGGUGGCCCUAGUGGCUUCUUGGGGAGCAUUGUGCCUCCACACUGCUCCAAUGGAGACGUACUUCCCCUCAAAAGGAAGGAACUUCGGUAACACAUCCUCAUCUCCACCGGAUCCACUCUUGGUUAUCUCUUACCUUUACUUGUGCAAGCUCUUUAGUGUUUCUACCCUUGCUUGCUUGUAUGCUUGUUGAUAUUGCAUCAUAUAGGUUGCUCACCUAGUUGCACAUCUAGACAACCUACUUUGAUGCAAAGUUUAAUUUGGUAAAGAAAAGCUAAAAAUUGGUAGUUGCCUAUUCACCCCCCUCUAGUCAACCAUAUCGAUCCUUUCAAUUGGUAUCAGAGCUUUAUCUCUUUAUUAAGGACUUUACCGUCCAAAGAGUAUGGUUGAUACCGUAGACGGUGUGGAGGAACACUCCGGUGUGAAUCCGAUCUCGUCUACGGGAGAUGGGGGAACUUCGCUCUCUCGUGAGGAGUUCAAUGUGGCCUUGGAGACAUUGAAAACCUCCAUGACAACCGAAGUUGAAAGCAUGUUUACUAAAUUUCUUGAGGGGCUUAAACUUUCCACCCCACCGUUGAAAGUGGGUGAUCCCGCCAACAAGGUGUCGGAUGCUAUCCCCGACAAGGGGGAAGCUAGUAGUGAAAAGGCUCCUUCUUCUAGUGGCAAGAAUGGCACCGGCAUCUUUGCCCAUGUGGAACCACCACUUGUUUAUGGUGGACCGGUUCCCUCCACUCAUUUGAAUCAUGCCGGUCCUCCCCCUAAGAUUGUGAAAAAUGAGGAUUUUGAUUCUUGGGUUUACCACUUUAAACGUCAUUUAAAUCAUGUGAACACUAACCUUUGGAGAAUCAUUGAAGAGGGUUUCUAUUCACAUGAUCCAAGCAACUUCACUCCUCGAGAAGCCGCGGACAAUCAAUUCAAUGAGAAUGCUCUCUUCAUCAUUCAAGAUGCAAUUCCACCCGAAGACCUACCUCAUCUUCGUCCCUUCGCCUUGGCCAAAGAUGCAUGGCAUUGUGUCGUGUCUCUCUAUCGGGGAAGUGCAAGCAUUCAACGGUCCAACUAUGAAGUGGUACAAGAUGAGGCCGAUGAGUUUGCAAUGAAGGAAGAUGAAGAACCUCGUGAGCUUUAUCGGAGAGUAACCAAACUCGCGGUCUCACUACGAGAUCACGGGAGCAAGGACACGGAUGACAAUUGGAUCAAGCGCAAAUUCCUCAAGGCAAUGAUGCCCUACCACAAGGCCAUGUCCUCCGUCAUUCGUCAAAGACCAGACUUCCACACUUUGACCUCAAGCAAAGUGUUGGAUGAGUUUGUGGCCAUGAACAUUUUGGACAAGACCGCCGACAAUGCGGUGCUCCGUUCUCAACGGGCAAAGAAGCCUAACCUUGCAUUGAAGGCCAAGCUCACCAUGGAAGAAGAAGAAGAGGAAGAAGAGGAGAGCAACCCCGAAGAUACGAAGUAUGCAUAUCAUGAACACAUGGCACUUGCUUCAAGGAAAUUUUGGAGCAAGAAAAACUCGAGGCCCAACUUUAGCAAAAACAACUCGAGUGGCACAAGGGGCAAGCAACGUGUAAGAACUUGCUACAAUUGCGGCAACAUGAGUCAUUUCGUUGCGGAAUGCCCGUAUGAGAAGAGGGAAGACAAUGGUGGCAAACUCAUCCGAAAGGACAAGGCCAAGUCGUUCCCCAACAAGAACAACUUCACCAAGAAGACUCCUCCCAAGGCUUUGGUUGUGCAAGAAGAGUACAAUGAGGAUGAUGACGAUGAUGAAGAUGAUGAGUCGGUUGCCAUGGCCUCCGUUGCCAUUGCAACAACGUCACGGGUGUCUCUCUUCGACUCACCUAACGAGAGCAUCACCGCCAAAUGCCUCAUGGCUAAAGCCACCAACAAGGUAACCUCCAACAUCAAAACUACCAUCAUUAAUCAUCCUUCCCCAACGGAUACAUUAAUGAACUUGAGGGAGCUAAUGUGGAGGCUAACGAGUUUGAGGCUUUUAUGGGCAAACUCAAGGGAAAAUCCAAGAAGCACUUUGUUGCUCUCUUGGAACAACUUGGUGAGGCCAAUGACAUGAUCGAGGCUCAUGAAGAUACCAUCUCUAAGAUGGAAGGGCAUAGUCGUGACUAUGCCGAUGAGAUUUCGGAUCUUUCCAAUGCUCUUGAGGAAGAGCAUGGUCUUCGUUUGGCUCUUGAGGAGUCACACAACGUUGAUCAUGCUAAGUUAAAGAAAGAUUAUGAUCAUGCCCUCAUUGUUUCUCGUGUGCUAAAUUCCGAGAAGGCCAAACUCGUGGUUGAUCUUGCUAGACUCAAAGAGGAGUUUGAUAUACUUGACAAGGCCCACAAGGCCUUGAAGGGUAUUCAUGCUAGUCUCAAGGAGUCUCAUGAUCAACUCCAAGUGAAACUAACUAAGGAGAAAACAACUUUUCCUCAUAUGGUUUUAAUUGAUAAUGCAAAUGCUACUAACCCGUGUUGUGAGCAUAUACAUCUUGUUGAGAAAAAUGCUAAGUUGAAGCAGCAACUUGAGAGAGGUCUUGCGACUUGCAUACAAGGCAAGAAGAACCUCAACGAUCUCUUGAUCAACCAAAAGGGAGGUGUGGCCAAGGAAGGGGUUGGGUACGUGCCCGACUCCAAGAACAAGAAGAAGAAUGACAAGACCAAACGACCUCCUCCCCUCAUCCAAACCUUUGUGAGGGAGGGAGAGAGUGCCCCCGAGGAGAAGAAGAAGAACAAUGUCAAGAAGGGCAAUGUCAUCCCUCCCAACAAAGCCAGCGAUUUUAAUCCUUCUUAUGUGUUAUGCCGUGCUAGUGAUGGGCAUGUUUAUGCCAAAUUUGUUGGUUCUCUUCAUGAGUACAUUGAAUGAUCUAUUUGGGUUCCUAAGAUCCUUGUUACUAACAUCAGAGGACCCAUUACAAAAUGGGUACCUAAAACCAAGCAUUGAUCUCUUGUAGGUGUUUGCUUCCGGAGGUGGAUCAUGGUUGCUCGAUAGCGGAGCUACAAAUCAUAUGACCGGAAGCAAGGACUUGGUGGUGGACGUGCACAAAGUUCCAUCUAUGCCCACCAAUGUCGAGUGGGGUGACGCCUCAUCCUCUAAGGUAUUGGGACUUGGCAAGGUGGUCAUCUCUCAUGAUCUCACGAUCGAGAAGGUCAUGCUUGUUGAGUCCCUUGCAUACUAUUUACUUUCCGUUCGUCAACUUGCAAUCAUGGGCUUUGCCACUUUCUUUGAUAUCGAUACCGUGGCCCUCUUGUGGAGCAAGACUCUUAAAGUAGCUUUUGUUGGGCAUGUCGAGAAUGGUCUAUAUGUGAUUAACUUUUCGGAGCGACCCACUAAGACCGCGACAUGCCUAAUGGCUAAAGUUGAUGUGGGAUGGCUUUGGCAUCGCCGUUUAGCCCAUGUCAAUAUGAGAUCUUUGCAAAGUCUUCUCAAGGGGGACCAUGUCCGUGGACUAACGAAUGUUAGUUUUGUUAAAGAUCGUGCUUGCAGUGCCUGUAUCGAAGGAAAGCUACAUGAGAAGGCUCACCCUCCCACGACUAUCAUUUAUUCAAAGAGGCCCUUGGAGCUCCUUCACAUGGAUCUUUUUGGGCCCCCAUCCUUCGAUAGUCUUGGAGGUAGAAAGUAUUGCUUGGUGAUUGUGGAUGACUACUCAAGGUACACGUGGGUGUAUUUCUUCAAGAGGAAGAGCGAGACCCAACAAACCGUCAUUGACUUUGCAAAUGAAGCACAACGUCAACAUAAUGCAAAGAUCUUGACAAUAAGAAGUGACAACGGCACCGAGUUCAAGAACUACACCUUGGAUGAAUUUCUUAGUGAUGAGGGAAUCAAGCAUCAAUAUUCCGCACCAUACACCCCUCAACAAAACGGUGUUGCGGAGAGGAAGAACCAGACGUUGAUGGAUGCGGCAAGGACCAUGAUGGCGGAGUUUAAGUCUCCGUACAACUUUUGGGCCGAAGCCAUCAACACCGCGUGUCAUGCAUCCAAUCGGCUCUACCUCCGCAAGGGCUUGAACAAGACUCCAUAUGAGAUACUCACCGGUAACAAGCCCAAUCUCAAGCACUUCCAGGUAUUCGGGUGUAAGUGUUUCAUUCUCAAGAAAGGUGUUCGGUUGUCUAAAUUUGAGGCUAGAGCUUAUGAGGGCAUAUUCGUUGGUUAUGCUACAAACUCUCAUGCUUACCGUGUCCUCAAUAAAUCCACGGGACUUAUUGAGGAGACGUGUAACGUGGAGUUUGAUGAGAAUAACGGCUCCCAAGUGGAGCAAAGUGGCACUUGUGAUGUAGGUGAUGAAAUUCCUCCUCAAGCCAUAAGAAGAAUGGGUGUAGGUUUCAUCCUACCCAUUGAGGAACCCCUUGUGGCCGAAGGAGAAGGACAAUGCUCCACUCAAGUGGAGCCAUCACCAACCCAAGGCCCACACGCUUCCGAAGAACAAAGUGAAGGCCCUCAACCUCUUGAACAAGACCAAGGGCAAGAUCAUACUCAAGACGGUGUUGACACACCAAGUGAUGCCCAAGGUCAAGUUCUCUCCCCCGAGCAAGUUCAAGACCAAGAACAAGUUCAUUACGACGCUCAAGAUGAUCAAACCGCUCCUCAACUCACCACCGAGGAGGAAUUAGAGCGUCGUGCCGCCAAGGUUGCUUCCAAGCUCUCCACCAGGGAUCAUCUCAUGACGAAUGUGCUUGGAAGCUUAAGAAAGGGGGUAAGCACUCGUAGACAAUUAGAAAAUUAUUGUGAGCAUCACGCGUUUGUCUCUUGUGUGGAACCCCACAAGGUCUAUGAGGCGCUAGAAGAUCCGGAUUGGCUCAUGCCAUGCACGAAGAACUCAACAACUUCGAGCGCAACAAAGUGUGGAGAUUGGUGCCAAGGCCAACGGGGAACCAUAAUGUCAUUGGAACCAAGUGGAUAUUCAAGAACAAGCAAGAUGCCCAUGGGAUUAUCAUUCGCAACAAGGCCCGUUUGGUAGAACAAGGCUACUCCCAAGUCGAGGGUAUCAACUACGGUGAAACCUUUGCUUCCGUUGCUCGUCUUGAAUCCAUUCGCAUGUUGAUUGCAUAUGCUUCUCAUCAUAACUUUAAGUUACAACAAAUGGAUGUGAAGAGUGCUUUUCUUAAUGGUCCCUUUAAUGAAUUGGUUUACGUCAAGCAACCCCCCGGGUUCGAGGAUCCCUACUUUCCCGAUCAUGUGUAUCAACUCAAUAAGGCACUCUAUGGCCUUAAACAAGCCCCACGUGCGUGGUAUGACCACCUUACCGAGUUGUUACAAGAUCGUGGUUUUGAAGUUGGGCUAAUCGACCCCACUCUUUUUACUAAGAAGGUCAAAGGGGAGUUGUUUGUGUGCCAAUUAUAUGUUGAUGAUAUUAUCUUUGGUUCUCCUAACAAAGCUUUCAAUGAGGAAUUUGCCGCUCUCAUGACCUCAAAGUUCGAGAUGUCCUUCAUGGGAGAGUUGAAGUUCUUUCUAGGGUUCAAAGUGAAGCAAAGAAGAGAAGGAACCUUCAUUAAUCAAUCCAAAUACACCCAAUACAUGCUCAAGAGAUUCAAGCUAAGUGACGUCAAGCCGGCCUCCACUCCAAUGCCCACCAAGUGCCAACUUGACUUAGAUCCCAAUGGUAAAGUGGUGGAUCAAAAGGUAUAUCGUUCCAUGAUUGGUUCCUUGCUUUACCUUUGUGCAUCUAGACCGGACAUCAUGUUGAGUGUGGGAAUUUGUGCACGAUUUCAAGCCGCACCUAAGGAAAGUCACUAUGUGGCGGUCAAACGAAUCUUUCGAUAUUUGGCUCAUACCCCAAACUUUGGCUUAUGGUACCCAAGAGGAUCAAACUUCAAGCUUGUAGGGUACUCGGAUUCCGAUUGGGCGGGAGACAAAGUGGAUAGGAAGUCCACUUCUGGAGGGUGCCAAUUCCUUGGUUGCUCUUUGGUAAGUUGGUCUUCCCAAAAGCAAAGUUGUGUGUCUCUCUCGUCCACUGAGGCGGAGUAUGUUGCCGCCGGUAGUUGUUGUGCACAACUUCUAUGGAUGAGGCAAACUUUAAAGGAUUAUGGUGUCACUUGUGACAAAGUGCCUCUUUGGUGUGACAAUGAAAGUGCCAUCAAGAUUUCUCUCAACCCGGUGCAACACUUCAAGACGAAGCAUAUUGAGAUUCGGUAUCACUUCAUCCGGGAUCACAUUAGGCGUGGAGAGAUCGAGCUCAACUAUGUCAACACUCAUGACAACCUUGCAGAUAUUUUCACGAAGCCCUUGGAUGAAGCAAGAUUUCACGAGUUAAGGCAUGAGCUAAAUAUCAUUGAUUCAAGCAAUGUGACUUGAACCCUUGCACACCCUACCACGCUCAAUUUGUUGUCUAGUUUAGGUGUAGGCAUGGACAUAGGGGGAGUGUUGUUCUCUCAAUGAACUCUCCCUCCCCCCAUUAUGCAUAAAUUGAUCAAGUCUUUCACGUUAGCCAUUGUUGAUGGCACUUAUGCUUAAAAGACGAGUUUUGGUCAUGGGCCCAAGGUUAAAAUCUUCGCGGUGCUAUACCUUUUGACUCAAACAUAGGUGGCCUCGGCCACCGCCCUCUAGGCGUGUCUUGGUCGUUUGCUGGUGUGUUUGCCGUUUUUUUCCGUUUUGUCGAGCUAAGCCGUGUCUGUUUAGUUGCCGUGGCGCGCUGGGCGGUACUACCGCUGGUGGUGCGCGGUACUACCGCUCGUGAGCGGUACUACCGCCCCCAGCACGGUACUACCGCUGGGGGACGAGAACAGGGGGUUAAGUCGGGGGCAGGGGGAGGUUUUUUCUCCCCCAUACCCAUUCACUUCGCCCCUCUUUUCUCUUCCUCUCUCCAGCCUCCUCUCGCCGCGGGAGUGCUCCGGUAGAUCUCCGUCUUCGGGGCGUCCCUCUCCAUUUCCUUUGGUGGAGUCGAUCCCCACCACGUCCUCUUGCCAUGGAUGCCGAUAUUGCCCCGUUCUUUCUUCCGUUUUGUCUCCUUUUAGUUCGUGUUUCUUAGGGGCAAUGGUGGUUGCAUCUCUAGAUUUUUGGCGAAAUCUAGGCUUGAGUUGAUUGGAGAAGGCAACUAGACUAUCUAGAUUAGAGUUUGGUAGGAUUAUUUUUGAAUUUGGUAGGCCGGUAGUGCCGGAUCUGACCACGGUAGUAGGAAACCACUGUUUCACCACCUCGUGCUUUGAAACUGCUGUUUAUCCGCCUCAAGCCGUACUACCGCUCCCUUUGGAGUGAUACUACCGCUUGACCUAGAGCGGUACUACCGCUCCCUUUGGGGCGGUACUACCACGGGCAGGUCACGGUACUACCGCUGCAUGCCAAUUUCCAUCAUUCUCCUGCCUUACCUUGAUCUUUUGUUGUGUUCUUGGCUUAUGCUCGUUCUUUCUGGUUGUUUCGCGUUGUUCUUGUGUUUGGCUCCAGGUGAUGACCAUUCCGAGCAGCAUGGUCGCCGUAUCAACCCCGGGCGUGCCACAUCAAAUCACUACCGCACCUCAGAGCUUGCCGGUGGUUCCUCGAGCACCCAACCGCCUCCAGCAAGUGCUUCUGCAUGUGCUCCUCCACCUCCUCAGCAAUCGAAGCGAGCCGCCAACAAGCCAAAAGGGAAGACUGUGACUGAGAUGACCAACAAGGAGUUUUGGGAGAAGCGUCGCCGCAACCCCUAUGCAGUGGACCAAGAACCCACUUUGGUCAACCGCCCGUUCUGGAACCGUUUUCAGUUUGCCAUCUACUUUGAUGUGAUCAAGGCCAAGAAGAAUCUUUUUGUUGAUGUUCGCUCCAUUGACACUGAUGCUAUGGAGAAGGAUCCGGAGUACUUUGGCGAAGCUCUUCAGAUGUGCACUCAGCUGAACAUUCUCAGGAUCAUGCAAUUCAACAAGGACUUUGAUGCGGAUUUGGUAGCUCAAUUCUAUGCCACCGUCCAUCUUGGGACGGAUGUCGACAGGACUCUGACAUGGAUGACCAAUGGCAAGCUGCUUUCUGUCAAGUGGAAGGCUUUCAUGGAGUUACUUGAUGUGGUGGAUACCAGGCUUGAGACUCCUGUCGGUUUCCGUCCUCACCGCAAUGCUACAUCCACCCACAAGUAAGCCCUUUGGCCCUACUGCACUGUGAAGGUUCACCCAGUAACUGAGAAGAAGACCUAUGAGCUGUCUCUGUAUCUGGACAUUCUUCAUCGCAUAUUCUGUGAGACUCUCUUCCUUCGGAUUAGGAAUCUGGAUAUGGUCCACUCUUACCUCGUGGACAUGCUCCUUUUCUGUCAGCAUGAGAAGGAAGCAAGCACUGGAGAGAGCCUGGAUAUCUCUCAUGUCAUGUGGUGUGAACUUCUAUCUGCCGUGUCUGAGCGCAAGUGUCCUAUCUAUGGUCCAUUCAUCAUGAGGCUCAUUGAGAGGGCCUGGGCACAGACUUAUCCCAGAGUGCUGCUAGAGACUGGAGAUUUGGUUUCUCAUGAGAUCAAGCGUCUGAGGAAGAAGGACAACUGGACAGCGCCUCACACAGGGGGUCCAUCUGCUACUGCUGCCCCAGGGGGUCCGUCUGCUGCUGCUGCUGCCAUGGGGACCGAGGGUGAGGCUGCUACUGAUGCUCAUGAGGAGGAUUUUGGUUCCACUAGUGCCGAACCUUCGUGGGCACAGAAGCUUAAGCGCAAGAUGAAGAAGCUUUUCUGCAUGGAGUCUCAUGGUCAGUACAUGACUCAUGUGGCAGAGAAGCAUGCCAGGACGCGCCAUAAGGAGCUCAUGCGUCAGAUGGGAGCAACAGUUGCCAGUGGGUCUGAGGGUCAGAUCACUGAAGAGGAGGACUGGAUUCAUCAGAAUUGCCACUGGACCGACUCCGAUGCCGAGCAGUUCUCGACCCACGAUGAAGAUGCAGAGAUGUGAUAUUCGAGCUCUUCCACCUCCCAUCACCUGGAGUCGUAGUGUCACUCUAUGCCCUUUUUGGUGUCUCGCUGCCAAAGGGGGAGAGAGUGUAGGGAUUUGCCUCUUGUGUCGUGUUUUGUGUCGUCUUGUGUCGUCUUGUGUGUUCUCUUGGUGUCCUUCUUUGGUUUGGUUUGGUGUGAGCCCUAAGCUCUAGACAUAUGGUGUGAGACAUAUGCUCCCUAUCGCUACCUUAUUACUUAUGUCAUGUCUGAGUACUGUAGUUUAUUGUGAGAUGCAUGCUUGUCCUGUUUAUUCAAUUCUCUCAUAUAUCUUGUGCUUAGUAUUGUUGGACUAUAAAAUAUAGGGGGAGUUUUGAUCCGAAUGUGUGGGUCGUGCCAUCUUUUGGUGCACACAUUCUGGGGGAGCCCAUCUAUAUUUUGUAGUUCUUAGCUUUCUUCGUUUUAUUUCUUUUCCUUGCGCAAAUCCCUAGUUGUCAUCAGUCCACCAAAAAGGGGGAGAUUGUUACGACAUAUCUCUCUCAAGGUAGUUUUGGUGAUUGAUGACAACAUGUUUGCGGACUAAUCUUGUGCUUUGAAUAAUUCACAGAUUCUCCCCUGGCACGAGACGCUUUCUUCCCCUCGGAGUGUAUUUCAAGACGGUGUAGCUCUUUCAUUUCUUUCUCGGUGGACUAGUUGCGUAGAGGGCACCGUACUAUCAAGAGGGGGUCCGCUGGGGUUUUGCAUGGGUGGAAUCAUCACGUACACAUCAGCUUCUCACCCUCCGAGCUUUUCCUGUCCAUUGAAGAGAUCUCCCCUCUCUUCCUUGUUCUGUCUGGGUCUAAGCGGCAGUACCGCGCACCCAGCGGUAGUACCGCUGAGAAGCCACAAGUGGCAGUACCGCUUCGCAGCGGUAGUACCGCUGUGGCUCCACAGCAGUAGUAUCGCUGGGGUCCUGGCACAUCCGCCGUGUCCUCAGCAUUUUUGAGAGAUCCCUUCUCUCUCUCGCGCCCCAGCGGUAGUACCGCACUGCCUGCGGUACUACAGCCGAAGGGUCACAAGCGGUAGUACCGCUCCACAACAGUACUACCGCCCUUGACCCCACUGCCGUAGUACCGCUGGGUAGUCUGGCUCCUACCGCCUCGAUUUGAGAGGUCUUUUUCUCGUGUCGGGUUUUGCGGCACUAGUCACGGUUGUAGUGGCGGUAGUACCGUUCCAGGAGCGGUAGUACCGCCCUACCACCGCGGUAGUACCGCUAUUGGGGUCCGUUCCCUACUAAGUCUCCUCAGCACGGCAGUACCGCAGGGUGGCGCGGCAGUACCGUCGCCUGGCGGUAGUACUGCCCCCUCUCAGCGGUAGUACCGCCUUGUGCGGGGCUGGUUGGUGGGGGGGCAACGGGAUUGUUGCCCCCACUAUAAAAGGGAGUCCCCUUCCUCCUUCUCACUUACCUCUUCCUCCCCCAAAGCUCCAUUUAUUGCUCAAGCUCCAUUAAAUACUCCAAGCUUCAUUUUGCCCGAUCUAUCUCCCUAGCCAAUCAAACUUGUUGAUUUGCUCGGGAGUGGUUGAGAAGGCUCCGAUCUACACUUCCACCAAGGGAUUUUCGAUUCCCCCACUCAUCCCUAGCGGAUCUUGUUACUCUUGGGUGUUUGAGCACCCUAGACGGUUGAGGUCACCUCAGAGCCAUAUUCCAUUGUGGUGAAGCUUUGUGGUCUUGUUGGGAGCCUCUGAUUAAGUUGUGGAGAUUGCCCCAACCUUGUUUGUAAAGGUUCGGUCGCCGCCUUCAAGGGCACCAAUAGUGGAAUCACGGCAUCUCGCAUUGUGUGAGGGCGUGAGGAGAAUAUGGUGGCCCUAGUGGCUUCUUGGGGAGCAUUGUGCCUCCACACCGCUCCAACGGAGACGUACUUCCCCUCAAAAGGAAGGAACUUCGGUAACACAUCCUUGUCUCCACCGGAUCCACUCUUGGUUAUCUCUUACCUUUACUUGUGCAAGCUCUUUAGUGUUUCUACCCUUGCUUGCUUGUAUGCUUGUUGAUAUUGCAUCAUAUAGGUUGCUCACCUACUUGCACAUCUAGACAACCUACUUUGAUGCAAAGUUUAAUUUGGUAAAGAAAAGCUAAAAAUUGGUAGUUGCCUAUUCACCCCCCUCUAGUCAACCAUAUCGAUCCUUUCACCCGGGGAGAUCACCUAGUGCAUCUGAGGCUUCAAAGAUGCAUCUGUUCAGCUCACCAGACUGCAACGACAUAAGUCAGUCACGAUGACGAAUAAACUAAUUUAAAUACAACCGUCGGUUCAAACUUACCACUCUUUUGAUGAGGGGUGCAAACUCCCUAAAUCCACUGUGCAUGUCUCUGAUGCCGGUCUGGUAGGCCUCUUCCUCGGGGUCAUCCCUCUCCAGCUCCGCGAUGUCUUCCGCCGUCCACCGAGGCCUGAGACGAAGACGGUGCUUCUGGCCAUCAUCGUACCACCUCAUGUGUCGGAUCAGGUAAGCAUCCCAGUCAGUCACUUUCCUCUCCACGUCUUUAUGGAACCUCUGUCGGUUCCACUCCGUCACAUGAGUUUUAUGCUCCUCUCCCUAGUCUGUGAUCGACUGAUUCUUCUGCCGGCUCAUCCUGCAAGGCAUAAGCAACAAGAAUCAUCAUAAGCGCAAUGAGAUCAUCAUAAGCAACAAGAAACAUGAUAAGCGUAAUGAAAUCAUGGGCACGGAGAACAAAGCGCUCACAGGUGGAGCGCGUGGUCGCCGGUAUCGGUGGGCUGGCCCGGUGGGGUAUGCUGAUAAAUCCCAAACUGCGUGGUCACGCGGUGUGGCAAGUGCCACUCGACGGUGUACACACAGAUCAUGGGCACGAUGCACCGCCAGAGACCACGGUCCGCGUCGCACAUCACGUUCAGAUCAAAGCCCCACUGUCGGUCAUGAUACGGCCACCAGUUUACCUGUUACAUAUACAUUGGUAAGUUCCCACUCUCGGUCAAAAGUGGAAUCAAAGAGAAAUGUGUUGAGCGAGUUCAUAUACCUGCGUAUGCGUCAAAGCGUCCAACUCGUUGGUGUAGGUCUUGUACGAAGUCUUGUUUAGGCCCGUGUAGAGUUUGACAACGUCCCACUCGUAAGCUACGGUGGGGUGUCGAGUCUCGUCGCCGUCUUCGCUAUAGGCACCCCAUGGGCGUCUUGGCAACUUCUCCGGACGCCCCACCGGCAGCCGCUCCCACAUCUAAAUGGAGAAGGCCCAGACAAAGCCACCCAUAUUGGACUUGUCUCCCGUCCUCUGCGUUGCGUCGUCAAGCUGCAAAACAUCAAAUGAGGAUCAGAUAUAAGAAAAUGUCAUGGACACACUUUCGUAGGUAGGUAGGCAAUUAGACCCUCUCUUACCGAACGAUAUAGGUAGGCGAGAGAUGCGGUCCCCCAACUGUACCCUACCUCCCAGUCCGCUAGGAAGAAGAGAUACGACCAGUUGACAGAGUUCCCGGAGCUGUCUGGAAACAUGCCCUCCGUGAGAAGAUACCACAGGUAGGCCCUCGCGUACCACUCCACGGUCAUCUCGUCGGCGCCUUCGGGGCAUUUCUGCCGGUGCUCCGAGAGCCAGGUCAACGGCACACCAGUUACCCUUGACAGUGGGGCAGUCGCCGAUGAGGGCUGCAACCCUCUGCUGCCAAUUGGUCCUCUCCACUCGCCCGGUGAGUGCAUGACCCUCGAUCGGCAUGGCAGUAAUCAUCGACCAAUCCUCGAGGGUCACCGUCAUCUCCCCGCAUGGUAGAUGGAAAGAAUGGGUCUCCGGUCGCCACCGGUCAAUCAACGCCGUCAGAGCUGCGUGGACAAGCAUCGGCGGCUGACGCUUGAACUGUAACACAAAACCCAACAGAUGGGCUCUCUUGAAGAACGGCGUGUAGCGCUCGUCGUAGUCCAUAUGCCCAUGAACCCCGUGACCCCUCAUGCGCAGUGGCUGGAGCAUCUGUCAAAAAGUGAACGCCAAAAGUUAGGAAAUUAUUUUCAUCAAUCCGAAAACUUUCAUCAAAAUUUCAUUCAUAUCACUUACCUCUCCGUUCUCUAUGAACCGGGCACGAUGACCCUUGUCGAAUGCCCAGUCCAGCAUGGAGUACCGUGGGCCGAUGUUGUCUGCAAGAGGUGGCCGCCUUAAUAAAAUUUCAUAAACAAAACCACCAUAAACAUAAAGCAUACAUAAACAAAAAAUGAACUCAAAUCAUAUCAACAUGCAUCAUAUCAAAAUAAAAUUUUAAGCAUAUUCCUCCAACAACAACUACUACACAUGAUGGAUCAAAUCAUAUCGACAUGCAUCAUAUCAAAAAAAAAUCCUCCAACAUAUAUCAUAUCAUCAUAUUUUUAAAUAAAAUUUUCCAAACAACAUCUUCAUAUCAUCAUAUCAACAUGCAUCAUCAAACUAGGGUUCAUCUUCACACUAGAUCAUAUCAUCAUAUCAACAUGCAUCAUCAAACUAGGGUUCAUCCUCAUAUCAACAUUACAUCAUAAUUUUUUUAACAAAAAAAUUAUGAACUAGGGUUCAUCUUCACACUAACAUAUGAACUGUUGAUUAGAGUUCAUAUCCAAUACCACUAGUUACUAAAGAACUAAGAACUACAACUACAAUCAAUCUUAGGUGAAAAAAGUCCAAUCUAAGUUCAAAAAUAUGAGGGAUUUCAAGCAAAUAAUGCAUCGAAUCGGAAGCAAGUUUGCAAAAA
rnacentral:lncRNA from 1 species